UCUGGUUUGCAAACAUCAACUGUUAUGCAGCCUUCAAUGAUGCAAACCGUCUCUGGUCUUCAACAGAACCAACCAUCUUCUGUUCAACAGUCAACACAACCAAUGCUCCAGCAACAUCCACAAUCAGUCCUCAGGCAGCAGCAACAACCUCAACAAUCUGCUGGUAUUCAUCAGCAGCAAACACCAAUGAUGCAGCAGCCACUAUUGCCUCCACAACAGCAGCUAAUGGGGCAACAAUCAAAUACCACUAACAUGUCGCAAAAUCAGUUAACUGGACAGCAAAACAUUGUUGGGGACUUGCAGCAGCAGCUAGGGCAGCAGAAUAACCUUCAAAAUCUGCAGCAGCAGCAGUUAAUGGCUCAACAAAAUAACCUCUCAAGCAUGCAUCAGCAACAGUUGGGCCCUCAAAGUAAUGUCACUGGUUUACAGCAACAGCAGUUGCUUGGAGCUCAGCCUGGUAACUCAAGCAUGCAAUCUAAUCAGCACUCUCUACACAUGCUGCAACAGCCCAAGGUUACGCUGCAGCAGCAAGCACAACAAAGUGGAAGUGCUUUGUUGCCGAAUCAAGGGCAGCAGUCACACUCACAGCUGCCACAGCAGCAAUUGACGGCACAGAUUCAAUCACAGCCUGGACAGCUGCAACAGCAAUCAAAUCCAUUACAACAUGAUCUGCAGCAAAGGCUUCAAGCAUCAGGCUCCUUGCUUCAACAGUCAAAUGUGAUUGAUCAGCAAAAGCAGUUGUAUCAACCUCAAAGAGCCCUUCCAGAAACGUCCUCAAGUGAGUUUUUCUCAUCAUUGCAGCUUUCUAACCUUGCUCCAACUUUAAUUUUGCAGCUUUGUGCUUUCAUGUUAGAUUAUAACAUAUUUAUUUAAAUUUCUUGAAAAUACAAUAAUGGUUCAAGUCAGCAAUGCUCUUUCUGGUAGCUUUAUGAGCUACGGCUGCCACUUAUGGCAUCAGAAAUGCCACUGCUAUUGGAACCAUUGUAAUCACACAUACAUUUGUUAUGACAUCAUGCCAUCCAGAGCAUUGCACCAACUGUUCACCUCUCAUAAUGGUUCAAGUCAGCAAUGCUCUUUUGGUAGCUUUAUGUGCUACUGAUGCCAUUGCUAUUGAAACCAUUGCAAUCAUACUCAUUUGUUACCACAUCAUGCCCUCCAGCUCAUCGCACCAACUGUUCACCUCUCAUUUUGAAUUUAACGGACGUGAGUUUUAAAAAUAUAUGUAUAACUGGACAAUGCAUUUGACGCUAGGGUAACUAAUCAUCAGCCAAUUGAUUUUUAUGGGAAGAAAGAAACUAGCAAGUGGAUUAACUCUGAGGCACUUAAGGUUUGGUGUGCUGAUAAAUCAUCACCUUGCUGGAAAAAUCUCAUGAUCACCUCCUCGAUGCUAAUUCUGUAAGGCAUGUGAAGUGUUUCUCUGUCUGUUUGAAUGAUUACAUAACGUUAAGAUGGAGUUCCGAGUACUCCCAAGUCCAGAAAGGACUUGUAUUCCUAUGUAGGAAAAUACUAAUGGUCCUAUCUAGGAUAGAGAAAACCUAAUAAAGCUCCUUAUUCUUUAGGAACAAUCAAAUACUAAAUAGAAAUAAAACCAAGACCUACAGCAUUGCAUUCCAUAAUUUUCAGCAAGUGUGAAAAUUACAGAAAGACCCUUGUGUGCGGAAAUCAUUAAAAAAAUACAUGAAUUCUAAUCUUUUUUUUGCCUGCAUCAAAAUUUUUGUAGCAUCCCUAGAUUCUACAGCAGAGAGUGGACAUGCAAAUGGUGCUGAUUGGCAAGAGGAGAUCUACCAAAAGGUAAUUUCUGUGGUUUACUGUUCAUUAGAUGAAGUUCAUGCAUGUCAUAGUCUUGCAAGAUUUCAAUGGAAAAGGUCUCCUGGAAUUUUGUACAAGGGAGUUUUAUUCAGCUAUGGUUGCGAUUAGUUAGGAAGCAUUGUAAGUUCCAUGAUUGCAGCAACUAACAAACGAUAAAUUACUGAUAAGAUGAUUAAAGGUAAAAUAUUCAGAUUUCUAGGUCAAGAGGGUUUUUUUCUUGGUACUGACACAACAAUUUUUUCUAUUGCAAAUCUCUCCCUUUCGAUUUUUUCCCAGUAUUUCCAUACAUUUAUUGUGUGGUGAGUUAUUAUUUUAUUAUUUCCAACAAGUCCAAUUGACAAUACUUCUUACUGUAAUAGACAGACUUGAAAACAAGAGUGAACUGUUUCUGAAUAGUCAUCGUUAUAUUUGGUUAAGUGAACAGUUAUUUUCAGGAUUACAAGCAAAUCUGUUCUGAAACAUGUGACCAUGGAAGAAAGGAAAAUAAGUGGACCUAAUCCAUUGAAUCAUGACCAUGUCCAGUAUUGUUGAAUUUUUUAGAAAAUGAGGUUGAAAUUCUGAAUCGUUUAAUGGCUGUAGUUGCAAUUCAUAACUGCAUAUUUGAUGAAGUCAAUUUUUUUGUGCCUGGGAGGGUACUAAAACAGGAAUAGGAGUGGUUGUUGAUAAUUAGGAUUUAAGGGUUAUAAAUCCAAAGUUAUAAAGCUAAGAAGUGUUUACCAAAGUCGUGACAUCCAUUGACUUGAGUUAGAACAAUAGAAAACAAUGGUGAUUGUAGUUUGCCGUGAGACAAAGUAACUGAACUUGACCAACCCCUGAAUCUUGUCUGAAGUGGUAACUACACAAUCCUUUGCAUCUUUGCAUGCAAUCAAUAACGAUAUUCUCUUUUGAGUUUUCAGCAUUGAUUCCACUCUGCUAUUUUUAUCUCAAACAAUAUAUGCUGUCCUCUGCCAUUUUAUUUAUUUAUUUAUUAUCAAUUCUCUCAAGUUCGCUUAUGUUUCUUUCUGACUCUGGCACGUGAAGAAAUCAAGCAUAUGAUUGAUAAUGUCUUGCUGUUUAUAUGUACUUCCUAGAUCAAAGUUAUGAAGGAAACGUAUUUGCCUGAAAUAAAUGAAAUGUACCAGAGAAUUGCUACCAAGUUACAGCAGGUAAAUUGUCUCUGUAAUUUUUUCCGAUUUAUUUGCCCACGCAUGAUUCAUAAACCCCCACAGUUGAGCUUUUGUAUUAAUUUGUUUUCCCCAUCAGCAUUGCUUGUCACUGUAUCAUCUGCACUAAUUACCUCCCCCAACCCAACCACCCCACAACCAUGCAUUGACACAGAAGAAUUGGAAUAGAAACAUUUUUUUCACUAAUGUUUUACUAGUUUUGCUAGAAAGGGUCAAUGCAAUUUUUAAUUCUCGUGUAUGUUAACUUUGCUUUCCAGCAUGACCCUCUUCCACAACAACCAAAGUCAGAACAGCUUGAAAAGCUGAAGGUAUUGAAGGUCAUGUUGGAGCGCUUGAUAACAUUCUUACAGGUCUCUAAAAACAACAUCACGCCUAAUUUCAAGGAGAAAUUGGGUUUCUAUGAGAAGCAGAUUGUAGGUUUUCUAAACCCAAGCAGAUACAGGAAGCCUAUUCCUAAUCUACAGCAAGGACAACCUCCCCAACCUCGUAUUCAACCUAUGCAGCAACCCCAAUCUCAAGUUCCUCAAUUGCAGUCCCAUGAAAAUCAACUGAUUCCCCAGUUGCAAUCAAUGAAUACGCAAGGUUCUGUACCACAGAUGCAGCAGAACAAUAUGUCAAGCUUGCUGCAUAAUUCCCUUUCAACUUUAUCUGGGGAUUCGACGUCACAAUCAAACAUGAUGAAUCCAAUACAACCAGGCUCCAAUUUAGAUUCUGGACAAGGAAAUGCACUGAGCUCAUUGCAGCAGACACCUGUAGGAUCUGUACAAAAGAAUCUCGUGAGCAUUUCCCAACCAACCAAAGUUAACACAUUGUCAACACAAAGUGGGGCGAGUAUGCUGCAGCCAAAUAUUCCCCUUCAGUCGAAUUCCAAUAUGAUUCAACACCAGCAUCUAAAACAGCAGCAGCAGCAGCAUGAACAACAGAUGCUACAAACACAACAGCUUAAACGAUUGCAGCAACACCAGAAUUUAAUGCAGAAUCAACAGAUGCAGCAGCAGCAAUUACACCAGCAAGCUCCGUCUCCUAUGCCAGGAGAUUCUGACAAACCAGUUUCUGGUAUUUCCUCACUCUUAAAUACUGGAAAUAUUGUACACCAACCAUCUGUUGCACAAGCACCGGCUCCAUCCCUUGCAAUUGGCACUCCUGGGAUAUCUGCAUCACCUUUGCUUGCAGAGUUUACCAGUCCUGAUGGUGCUCAUGGCGGUGCUUUGACAACUGUUUCUGGCAAGUCAAAUGUUACAGAGCAAUCACUUGAGUGCUUGAUUAAAGCGGUUAGUGAUGCUCUCCUUUUGGUUUUACUCCACCCCACCCUUAUUUUGGAGGUUUCUGAAAAAGAAAGAAACUUCUUUGUGAAUGAGAUGGUGAUGCUGUAAUUUUUUUUCCCAGGUGAAAUCUCUGUCUCCCAAAGCACUUAGUGCAUCUGUCGGUGACAUUGGCUCCGUUGUCAGUAUGAUUGACAGAAUUGCUGGUUCUGCAGCUGGUAAUGGAUCUAGAGCUGCAGCUGGUGAGGAUUUGGUAGCAAUGACAGGAUGUCAUCUUCUUUCGUUUUUGUCUUUUUUAUUUUUCACGUGUUUCUCACAACAUGGGAACUCGAGGGAAUAAAAAGUGCUGGGAAGUAAUUUUUGUUGGAACGUCUUGUGUAACAUCUUCUUUCGAUGAUGACCUCUUGGAUGUUUUGGUGAUAUCUCUACAUCCAAAAUCAUAUAGACCGCUACUGCUGGCACUUGCAGUAGCCAAUGAGCACUGAUAUAUAUUGCAGAGUGAGAUAAGGUUAACUCGUUGCAUUUUCAUAAAUAAAAGGGAUUUCUCUUCUUUUCUUUGUCAAUUACAGUGCAUGUGUAAAAGUUUUCUUACUCAGAGUAAAUGCUAUUGUAAUGUUUUCACAGAGACUCCCCUGUUUUGCAACUAAUUCACUUCUGAAUAUAUCUGGGAAACAGAAAGGCAAUCAACAAAGAGUAAGGCAUCUUCUGAAGAAACAAAGAAAUUUAAUACCCUAAACUAAGCAGCAGGUAGAAGGCAAAAACUGAGCACAAAUUUUCAGGAAGGGACAAAAAAAAUAAAAAAGAAAGCAGAGAAAAAUACAGACUCAAAUUCAACAACACCCAUUUUCUUUCCAUUGGAACACUUUAAAUAGUUUAUUAAAUAAAGCAUAUAAAAAAAUCAACUUAAUGAUCAAUUCUCUAUAAUUUCGGCAUUACUAAAAACAUCCAAACUAAUAAACUAUUAGUUAUUAUAGUCAUUUUAAUAAACAUUUUAGUUAUGAAUUCACCAAACAUUUUGAACAAUUCAUAUUGAUGAAUUAACAUGUCAAUUUUAGAUUUUUUGACUUACUAGUUCCUUCAUGAAUUACUUCUAAAGCAUGCUAUAUAUCUCUAAGCAUUUUUAUAGAAUAUAAUUCUAUCAAAUUCACUUUUACCCAAUGUAUAAUAUAAAAUAUUCAUGGCUUUAACAUCCAUAAAAAAUAAUUUUUUAUCAUUUUAUGUAUAUUCACUUCUAGUUUUAGAAAUCUCAAUACCAUUUUCAAUUUUGAUAGGUUUAGGAGAUCUAUUUUGUACGGAUAGCCACAAAUUAAAAUCAAUAGAUUGACAAUAAACUAUCAUACAACAAUUUAUUACUUGCUCUUUGGUGAUAGGAAUGUGAUUGUAAUAUUAUUUUUCAAGCUUACUCAAUCUCUUAUUCUUGAUAGCAUAACCAAUAAUAAAUGGCGAGCCAAAAUUUAUAUGUUACUCUCUGUAAGAAUUUUGACUGCAUAAAUGUAAAAGAAAAUAGUUUUAAAAAGACUAAAAGUUUUCUUCAUUAUAAAAACCAUGUCAGAAUUGUCUCUUUUUAUAGGCAAUUCUGACACUUAAUUUUAAAAUAACUUUUAAGACAAAAGGUUACAAUUUUCUAGUUUAAAACUACACAAUUAUAUUUCAAGUAGAGUUUUAACAAACACAACUUUUCAUUCACACCUUAACAAUCCCUCCACAUGAUAAAAAUUGUUUGAUCAUAAUAAAAUACAAAGUAGACAUGAAAAUAAAGAGUAGGAGCGAAAAGUCAUUGCAUCGAGCAAGAUAACUUUUGGCCUUGAACCUUUCAUAGUUAAAACUAUUGGAUUCACUCGGCUAAUCAGCAAACAUGAUAUUUUGAGUUGUUUAGCCUUUUGUGAGAAACCAGAUAAUAUAGAUUACACAUUUCAUUUUCUUACAAUUUUGGUUCUCACGGUUGUGUUCAUUUUGGCCUCGAAUACGUCUUGAUUUCAAAGAGCUUUAAAGAAUUUGCAUUUUCAAUCCUGAUAGAAGUGGCCUUAUUUCACACUCACAUAUGUGAUUCUUAUUAAGAGUAUCAUGUAAUACCUCACUUGAAUUUCUCAAGCUAUAAAAGUCAUUAAAAGCUUAGCUUAUCCUAUUUUCAUUGCAGAUAGCACUUUAUAUCAUAUGAAUGGGUAAGAGGGCUAUUAUUAAAUGACAUGUGAUUUGGUUGCUUCUUUGAAUCUAGAUCCUGGGAUCUCCAGUAAACUAGGUUGGGUCGCUAUCAUGACAAUUCAUUGAACUGUGUCUUAAUCUCAUUCCCCUCGAUGAUUAUUGACUUGCUCUAUUGUUAAGCAUUUUAUUAGUAAAUUAAUGAUAUUAUCAUUUAACUUUACAUGGUUAAUAAAGAUAAUCUCAUUUUAGAUCAACUAUCUUACAAUAUUAACAAUUGUGUCAAUACUUUAUGUGUGUGUGUGUGUGUAAGCAUGGUUAUAUUUCAUAUCAGCAUCAUAAUAAUAGCAAAUGUGAAGUAUGUAUUCAAGCAAAGAUGACAAAGAAGCCUUUUCCUAAAGUAGAAAGGAAUUCUCAAUUACUUGAGUUGAUCCAUUCUGAUAUAUGUGAAAUAAAUGGUAUGUUAACAAGGGGUGGGAAAAGAUAUUUCAUAACUUUCAUUGAUGAUUAUUCUCGUUUUACCUGUGUUUCCUUAUUAAAAACUAAAGAUGAAGCCUUUGGAAAAUUCAAAGAAUUCAAGAAAAUGGUAGAAAAUCAAAAGGAAAGGCAAAUUAAAGUUCUUAGAAGUGAUAGAGGUGGAUAAUAUUUUUCUAAGGAGUUUUCUACAUUUUGUGAGGAAAACAAAAUAAUCCAUCAAAUGACAGCACCUUAUACACAACAUAAUGGACUUGCUGAAAGGAAAAAUAGGACCUUAAUGAAUAUGGUCAAUGCCAUGCUUUUGAAUGAUAAAUUACCAAAUAAUUUAUGGGGUGCAGUCUUACUUACUACAUGUCACAUUCAUAAUAGAGUACUAUUUAAAAAAUCAAAUGUUUCUCCCUAUGAAGCAUGGAACGGUAGAAAAUCAAAUCUGAAUGAUUUUAAUGUGUGGGGGUGUGUAGCUUUUUGUAAAAGUUCUGAUCCUCAAAGAACAAAAUUAGGACCCAGAGGUCUUAAGAGUGUUUUUGUUAGUUAUGCACAAAAUUCAAAGGCUUAUAGACUUUUGGAUUUAGAAACUAAUGUGAUUAUUGAAUCUAUACAUGUUGAAUUUAUCAAAAAUAAAUUCAUAAGUGAUUCAAAUGUGUAAGAACCAAAUCUAAAAGUAAUGACUCCUAGCUCAACAUUAAGUGAAAAAUAUAAAAACCUAGAAGUAAUAGGUUCAACUGAACCUAGAAGAAGUCAAAGAGUUAGAAAGGAAAAACACAUAUAUACAGAUUUUAUUUCUACUUAUUCAAUUGUAUUUUUAGUGGAAGGUGAUAGAAAUACAAUAUUAAAAAAGACACCUAUGAUCUUAAAUAUGGAAGAUGAUCCAAAGACAUUUGGUCAAGCUAUGUCUUCUAGGGAUGUUGCUUUUUGGAAAGAAGCGGUAAAUGAUGAAAUGGAUUCAAUAUUGUCUAACAAUACUUGGGUCCUAGUAGAUUUACCUCCAGGUUCUAAGCUAAUAGGAUGUAAGUGGGUGUUUAGAAGAAAAUACAAUACCGAUGGUUCUAUACAAACCUUCAAGGCAAGAUUGGUUGCCAAAGGUUUUACUCAAAAGGAGGGUGUUGAUUAUUUUGACACUUAUUCUCUGGUGGCAAGAAUUACAUCAAUUAGAGUUUUAUUUGCAUUAGCAUCAAUUUAUAAAUUGUAUGUUCAUCAAAUGGAUGUAAAGACGGCUUUCCUAAAUGGAGAUUUAAAGGAGGAAGUGUAUAUGGAGCAACCUGAGGGUUUUAUACUUCCUGGAAAUGAAGAAAAAGUCUGUAAAUUGAUAAAGUCUUUAUAUGGUUUAAAACAAGCUCCGAAACAAUGGCAUGAAAAGUUUGACAAAGCAAUUUUGUUGAAUGGUUUUCAUCACAAUGGUGCUGAUAAGUGUAUGUAUUCCAAAUUUACAAAAUAUUUUGGUGUGAUUAUUUAUCUCUAUGUAGAUGACAUGUUAAUAUUUAGCACCAAUAUGAUUGGAAUUGUUGGAACCAAAAAGUAUCUCACUUAUAUCUUUAAAAUGAAAGAUCUUGGUGAAGUAGAUACAAUUUUAGGUAUCAAAGUUAAGAAACAUGGUAGUGACUAUGCACUUAAUCAGUCAGAUUAUAUUCAGAAAAUGCUCGAUAAGUUUAAGCAUCUCAAUAUAAAGAAGGCUAAUACCCCAUUUGACUAUAGUAUGAAGUUAAAUGAUUAUUAUGAUAAAGCUGUAUCACAACUAGAAUAUGCUAGUGCCAUUAGAAGUCUUAUGUAUGAUAUUCAUUGUACAAGACCAUAUAUAGCUUUUGCUAUAUGCAAGUUAUCAAGAUAUAUAAGCAAGCCGAAUACAGAUCAUUAGAAGGCUAUUGCAAGAGUCUUUGGUUACCUAAAAAGAACAAUCAAUUGAGGUCUAUUUUAUUCUGAUUUUCCAGCUGUGAUGGAAGGAUAUAGUGAUGCAAGUUGGAUGACUAGUUCAAAUGAUAAUAAGUCCACAUCAUGAUGGAUUUUCUCACUUGGAGGAGGUGCAAUAUCUUGGGCAUCUAAGAAACAAACAUGCAUCUCUCAUUCUACCAUGGAAUCAUAAUUUAUUGUUAUGGCUGCUGCAAGUAAAGAAGUAGAAUGACUAAGAAAUAUGUUGUUUGAUAUUAAGUUGUGGCCACAACCUAUGUCAGCUAUUUCUUUAUACUGCGAUAGUGAAGCAACUAUGUCUCGAGCUUAUAGUAACAUUUACAAUGGUAAGUCAAGACAUAUAAGCAUUUGACAUGGAUAUAUUCGAGAGUUGAUUACAAAUGGUGUAAUCACCAUUGUCUAUGUGAAAUCUAUGAAUAAUUUAGCGGAUCCGCUCAUAAAAGGACUAUCUAAAGACAUGGUACGAAAAAUAACUAAUGGAAUGGGGUUGAAACCUGUUUUUAAAGAUACCAGUAAUAGGAACCCAACUUCGGAUCAACAAGAAGCUUAUCUCUUAGUUUAAUGGGUAAUAAUAAGUUACUGUUUUGUAUAUGUUAGACACUGAUAAUUAAUUUGAGUCCCUAUUCUGAUAGUAUUCAGUGUAUUCUAUUACAUAAAGGAGGAUGAGCAUAGGCUCUUCAUGGAAUUUGAAGUUCGUGUCUAAUGUAAUAGAGACAUGUAUAAUUCCACCUAUAUGAAUAUAAAAGUGAUGCCGCUUUUGACAAGAGUUAGGGUUUUUUCUUGUAAAUAUUCAUAAAAAAAAUUAAAAUUAAGAUUUUAGCACAUGACCAUAAUAGUGCUAAACAGUUGUAAACCUCUUUAAGAGUUUGGAUAGUAUUAUGUGUGUAGUAUCUUUUAUUCUACAACAAAAGUUUUGGUUUAAUCUGCGGACACCAAUAACUUUAGUAGGAUUCAAGUUCUAACACUAAUUGAAGUUUUAAAAUGCAAAAUACCUUCUUGUAAGCAUAAUUCUAUAAAGUGAAAAGACCUUCAUUACAAACUAGUGGGGGAUUGUUGGUGUAGUUUGUAAAUGAAUAAAGAAAAGAUGUUUAUCUCACAUUGGAAAGAAACACUCCCUCCUAAUGUUUCUAUGUGUGGGUUUCUAUUGUGUAGUAAAUUAAGCCAUGGUGGACAAACUCUCCUAUUUGGCUUUCUAAUGUUAUUAUAUGGAUAUUUAUAAUAUCAAAAAAUAGCAUUUGGAACUUGAAACUUGGAUCUUAAUAUGAACAGUCAUAUUGUUUCAUCAAUAGUCAUAUUGUUUGAUGAACAGUCAUAUUGUUUCAUCAAUAGUCAUAUUGUUUGAUGAACAAUCAUACUGUUUCAUCGUUAUGUUUUAAGUCUAUAAAAGCAUGUUACUAUACAGAAAAGAGGCACAACAAAAAACAUACAUUCUUUUCUUGGUCUUAUCUUCUCAUUCUUUUAGAGGUUUAGAGGGCUUAGUUGUAUCCUGGAGGUAUUGUCUCUAUGUGGGACAAAUAAACACCUUAAAAAUAGUGUUUUCACGCCUCUAAGCCAACUCCAUAUUUGUUUCCAUCCUAAACAUUCAUAUCAAGAAACAUUGCGCCACGCCUGCUAAACGUCCACGAAAGAGUCGCCGACCGUUAUUCCCGCAUUAAAGUCCAUGCAUGGUCGCCUCAUUAUCUGGAGACGACCGCAUGGCAUUCUCUGGCUAUAAAAACCAGAGAAAGGCCAUGACAAAGAGGAGGGGGGGACAAAACAAAAGACAGGAGAAAAGAGGCAGGAGAGAGAGAGAGAGAGACCGAGAGAGAGGGGGCCGAAAACACAAACCAGAGAAAAAAAACCGGAGGAGUAACCCAGGGAAGAACACAGAAAAAACCAGGGGAACACUGGAGAACAAAUGAGACAGAAAUAGAGAGAAAUUGCUAGCCAACGCAUGAGCACCAACUAGCCUCGUCUCCGGUUGCACCACCCCCUGAAUAGACGGACGCGAAGGAGAACAGGGGAGUAAACGAAGAGAGGACAUAACACCGGGAAACCGAAAACUGAUAGAAAACCAGAAGAAAAGGAAGAACCACAGAGAGACGAACAACACAGGAGCUGAGAACGAACGAAAAAAAGAGAGAGAGAAGACAGAGAGAAAAAGCAGAGGCGUAAGGUGAAACAGAGAAGAACGACCAGAAAUAAACCAAAAGAAAACAGAAGUGAAGGGGAAGUUUUGGCCAGCCACCACACCUUCUUCGUCAUCCAGACCAGGUAAGUUCUCUCUUCUUCGUAAUUAUAAUUACAUAGGUAUUGUACAUAUGCAAAUUUAAUUCACUACUAUAAUUCACCGGUUUGUGCAUGCACGCGUGAAUCAGUUCACACAUGCCUGUUGUCCAGCUGGGUCACUGGCUUGGGUCAGUGACCAGGCUGGGCUGCUGGGUUUAGCCCAGCCUGACCGAGCUGAGCUGGAUCUAGCCCCCAAAAAAAAUUUAAAAAGGAAAAUAUAAAAAAAAACUAGGCAUGGGCCUCGGGCCUAGGUGGCCUAAUCCCCUUUAUUUAAGUCCCUUUUAUUUUGAUAUUCAACCAAAAUGACCAACUUUUCCCUCAUAUUGUUUUUAGGGUAUUUCACUGUAUAUUUGAUCUGUAGAUUUUUACUGCGAAAUUCGGUGUACGAUACUUUUUUUUUAAAAAAAUAUGCAUGCAUAUAUUUAAAUUCAUUUUAUUGGUUUAUUCACCAACGCUAGAGUCAGGAAUACAAUUUAUUUUGUUUUUGCUACGUAAUAUUUAUCAAUGCCAGAGUUGGAAGUAUCUGUAGUCGAAUAUUCACUGACGCUAGAGUCAGGAAUAUUACAAGCAAACCAUCAUAGCAUAAAUCAACAAACUCUUAAUAAUUUAAGACAAAACCAACAAUGCAGCUUAUCUCAGGUAGGGUGUGCUAGGGGUGUUAAUAUCUUCCCUACCCAUAACCAGUCUUGUACCAUAAAAUCUCUAUUGACUAGUUAGGGUUUCUAAUGACCAUAAUACUAGGUGGCGUCUCCUUAAACCAAACCUUUUUCCCAUAAAAGAACAAGAUGCCAGAAAUCUGUUCUUUUCAAGAAUUUUUAAGGUCAUCGCGAUGUCGGGUGCGACAAUACCCAAAACAAUUGCCUUGCUAAUGGGGAUAAAGUUGUCUUUCUUAAGGGAUCUAAAAGUUAUUUGUAUAUUGAUUGGGGAUAAUUUAGUAGGUUCACUCCUUUUUUCAUAUUAAAACUACAUCAUUGCCCUUGCAAUAAAAAAACAAGUGGCCUUUUGUUUUGGGUCUAUUUUGUCUUUUCUAUUUUAUUUGCACAAUAAAAUGACAUCAAUACCCUCGAGAGUUCAAAAAUAUUGACACUUGACGAGAGGUAUUUUUUAGUCUUUUUCAUGUUUUGUGUACUGUAAAAUGACAAAGUUAACCUUAGAAUAAAAUAAAUCUAAAGCUAGUGUGGGAUAACAUUUUCAUCUUUGCAAUAUAGCUUUUUGUAAUAUUUAGAUGCUUUUAGGGGCUAUUUAGUAAUUUAAAGUAUUGAAAUAUUAAUAAAUCAAUAAAAAAGCUGACAUAUGCGUAGCACGUGUCAGCGCGUGAUAAUCCACCACGUCAUUCAGGAGACUAAUAAACUAACCUAAACUCGUUCUUGCCCAACAGCGAGCCACAAACAAUACUCUUUUGAAUAUUAGAAGCAUGAACCACAUUGUUCAUAAUCGACUCUUUCAUAAAUGUCAUCCUUAACAUCACCUUUUUCUGGCCUAGGAUUUUGCACACUAAGAGCCUAUUUGACGUUGCAGUUGAAUCGUUGUUUUUCCAUUUUGAAAAAAAUUAUUCUUGCUUCAAUUGUUUUUGCGUUCUUGGAUUGUUAUGAUGUGUUAAUGUUAAAAAUGAAUUAAAAAAUAUAUUUUGAUACAUUUCCAAGUAAAAAACACUUUACAACGCAACCGCUACCACACUUUUAAACAAUCACUAAGAAGUUAUCCAGGAAUAAUUGUUCUCCAUUUGCAGUUGUUGCAUACUCAAAAAAAUAUUAUGUCAAAACAUACAUGACAGGUGGCUCCAAUAUCAAUCCACCACUUUUUAAGAUUGUGCACCAGGUUUGCUUCUGACAUAACUACAACAAGCUUUGCAGCUUUCUCAUCAACAUUCUCAAUGAUUUUGUUUUGUGCAUUUUUUCCUUACAGAUAUGCCUUUGCUUUUUACAAACAAAACAAGUUUCUUUGAACUUCUUUUUGCCGACACUAUUACCAUUAGAACUCUUGAGAGAACUUGCUUCAUAUUUAAGUUCACCAGGUUAAGAAUGUUUAGGAAUCGGGUUUGCCAUCGAGACCGCAAAGAUUACCAGGUUAAAUUAUUUUGGUUUUUUCCCCGCAUGAUAGAAUGUUUAGGAAUCGGGUUUGCCAUCGAGACCGCAAAGAUUACCAGGUUAAGAAGUACAUUGAAAUUAUUAACAAUAGAUUUAUCCAUUUAUUAUCUCAAUAACAAGAUUAACUUUAUAAUUAUAUAUCACACUUAUAUAAUCUGAAAUAAUAUUAAUUAAAAUGAAUCCCAAAAAUUUAACACACUAAUUCUGCAAAAAACAAAUUUAAUAAACAAUUUAACUUUGCAACUAUGUAUUUAUUUAUUUGUUUUUCUAUGAGACUCAAUUUUUUUUUUAAUAAUCAUCAAGAGUAUAUUGAAAAGGCCAUAAAGCCAAUAGACAGUGAAAUUUUUAACAGAAACUCAAUGUAAUUUUCAACAAAAACUAUAACAAUACAAAUAAUUACAAAUAUUUUUCUUUCAACAUCAACAUAAGAAAACAAUAUGCACUCUUCUAAAGUUAUGAUAAAAAAAAUCUGAUUGAUACUUAUGUUGUUUUAUGAUUAAAGUAACAAUAGCAUCUAAAGAGAAUGAAUUAGGUGUUGCACUAAUUAUGUCAAAAUAAUGCAAGUAAACACACUAAACACAUAUAACACAAAAACCAACAAUAUAAUUCAAGUGCUUAAAGUAAAUAUAUAAGAAAAAAGAGAUUGCAAACUCGAUUUUUAACGUGAUUCGGUAAGCUUACAUCCACAUCUCAAGUACUAAUCAUACUUAAGUAUUGUACUUUUUUACUAAUCCAAGUGAAAGAUACAUUGCCCUUGAUGAAUUCACACCAAGAAAUUACACCACUUGAUGAAUUUUUCUCUUUAAGAUUUUUCUCCUAGAAUUCCGGUUAAAUAGAAUUGCACUUAAUAUAUAUUAUUUCACCAUAAUUAUUAUCCAGAUAUGCAACUUUUUUUCUUUCCGAUCAUCUGUUUUCUUUUUUUCAUAUCAAUACAACAACAAAGGAAAAUACCAUGCAAUAUAAAAUGUAUUUCCCUGUAGAAUCAAUGCAACAAGUUUACAGACAACAGACGACAAGGAAUUUAACAUAGUCAUGGAAUUUAACUGAAGAUAUAUACACUUUACUUUCUCUAUUAAAAUUAAACUAUUUUUUUUAAUCUAUGUCAAUAUAUAAUCAAUUUGGUCUUGAAGAUAUAUAAAUAUACACAGAACAAAUAUGUUAGAAAAUAAAUUGUUUAAGAUUGUUAGAGCACCUUAAAUAGUUCAUAAAAUUAUUCUUCCCUUUUACUAUAAUGAUGAAGUACAAGGGUUGUUGAUGAUGACCUCUUGGAUGGCUACAUGAAGCUUGUUCCGUUUUAAAUUUCAAGGUUAAUCUAUUGCUAUGAGCAUACGUGUCUCAAUUUAAAACUCGAGUUGCAACUGAACUUAAAUGAAUGGUGUUGGAUUUGGGCCUUCUAUUUGUUUUAACUUCUACAGGGUUGAAAUGAUAGUGAUCUUAAAGUAGAAAAGCAGCAGACAAAAAUCAAUUAACCACAAUGGUGCAUGGUUUCCUAGUUUCUCAGCAUAAAGUUGAAUGUUUUGUUGACCUUUCUACAUCAAAAAUCAUAUAGACAGCUACUGCUGGCACUUGCAGUGGCCAAUGCAUACUGUAGAGUAUAUAUUGCAGUGUGAGAUAAGGUUAACUCGUUGCAUUUUCAUAUAUUGAAAGGAUUUCUCUUCUUUUCUUUGUCAAUUACAGCACAUGCAUAGAAGUGUUCUUCCUCAGAGUAAAUGCUAUAGUAAUGUUUUCACGGACUCCCCUGGUUUGCAACUGAUUCACUUAUAUAUCUUGGAACAUAGCCAUAAAUGAAAGGUUCUUCUAGUUCAAGAAAAUUAACCAUGAAGCUCGUAACUAGAAUUUUUAGACAGAAGGGUGGCCAAGCGAACUCCUAUACUCCGUACGUCUGGAAUAAUACAGGGAAAGGGUGUUUAUGUAUUUUGAUGUCUUAUAUUACUUGACCAACUCUUGCUUAUCUCAUUAUUUGUUUUAAUUUUUUGCUAAUAAUUCCACACAUUUCUGAUAUGGUGUGGUUUUUGAGUUCAGGGUUCUUGCUCAUUGCUGCUAACUUCUCUAUACUUGCCUGGUCAUUAAAAAUGAAACGUAAUGAUUUGCAUAUGCUGAAUGGAGACAUUAAAGAGGCAUCUUCUGUUUUCUGGUCAGGAGGGAUUACAAGAACUCAAGAAAUUUUCCAUAUGUUUUGAGGAAAAGAUUUAUACUACCACUACCAAUCAGGUAUUUGCCUAAUGUGAGGUUUAAUAAUUACGAUAUUAUCUAGACAUUAAUAUACACACGCAUUUAUGCUUGUACAAAUGUGUGUGUAGUGUGCCUACACUUCCUCACCGUUCAUUCUGUAUGCAAGGCUGAUUGGGAGUUCACAUUAUUUUGUUAAUUCUCUUGACAAGUGUUUUAUUUAGAGUGACCAAGUUCAAGUACAAGGGAAGAGUGCAAAAAGCAAAUAGCGAAUCAAUACAUAAAUAAUUAAAUAAAAAGAGAGGAAACAAAAGUAUAUCAUAGAGAAGAUGAAAUGAUAGAGCAUAUAUCCAUUUUCCUCCUCUUGUAACAUGGAUUGCUCUGAGAUCUGAUGUUUUGUUAUUAAUAUCUGAUUUCAGUCUGAUUAUAUAUCUACGAAAAAUAUCUCUGGAGAUGCUUUCGAUGGAGAUCAGGUCUCAAAAUGCCAUGCCCACUGUCCCCAUGGAUCCAGCAGGUAAUAAUGCACCCGAGCAUUGAAUUUCUAAACAUCUUACCUUUUGUUUUUCUUCUCACAUUGUUAUCAAACUCUUUUACAUUUUAUUGCUGUAUAUUGCUAUGUAUAUCGCCUUGCUAGAAAAAUCUCAUGAUCACCUCCACGAUGCUAAUUCUAUAAUGCAUGUGAAGUGUUUCAUCCUUAACUUGUUAAGAACAAGGACUAUGAUGCAUUGCUAUUUUAUAUUUUAUGAUUGAGAUGGUAGAUUUUAAAGAUUUUCCUGUUUAGGAGAUAAAAGUAAGAUGUCACUUUUUUGCUUUUCUUCCGAGAGAGUAUUUGAUCCUUUUUUCGUAUAAAAUAAUGCUGGCAUGCAUUGAAUUUCCAAACAGCUUAGCUUUUGUUUUGUUUGUCGCAUUGUUAUCAAACUCUUUUACAUUUUAUUGCGGUAUAUUGCUAUGUGUAGGGCAUGCUUUAAUCAAAAAGUUGAGUAAUUGAUGAAUGCUAGGCAUGAAAAUGACAUAUUAUUUUUGUUUUCUGUCUCCUCCUUUUCUUUCCCCCACCUCAAAAAUUGUCAUGUUAUUUUUGUUUUCAGCCGCCUCUUCUUCCCCAAACCUUUAAAAUUGUUUAUAUUUGCUUUGGAAGCAUGACAAACUUCAUUGCCUCUCAGCUUAAGGAGAUUGCAGCAGGUCUCGAAGCUUCUGGGCAUUAGUUUAUCUGGGUAGUUAGAAGAAACAAAAAGAGUCAAGAAGACAAGGAAGAUUGUUUACCUAAAGGAUUUGAGGAAAGAAUGGAAGGCAAAGGGCUAUUAUCAGAGGAUGGACACUCCAAGUUUUGAUUCUUGGUCAUGAAGCAAUAGGUGCAUUUGUGACUCAUUGAGGAUGGAACUCAACUCUUGAAGGCAUAAGGCAAAUAUUUGCUGAGCAAUUCUAUAAUGAGAAGUUGGUGACUGAUGUUUUAAAAAAUGGAGUUAAGGAAUGGCUUAGAGUGCAGAGAUCAUGUUAAAAGUGAAGCUGUAGAGAAGGCAAUCACUCAAAUUAUGAUGGGUGAAGAAGCAGAGGAAAUGAGAGAGAAGAAAGCUGAACAAGGGAACGCAGUAGAUGAAGAAUAUGAGUUUACUGCAUUUACUGUCAAGAAUACAAACGUGAGCACUAAAAACUAAUUUGUACAGGAUACUCUUUAUAUAUAGAGUAGUAAUUAACUUCAUCACUUAUUUCUUUCUAUGAAUACAAUAUUCCUUAUUUAUAUAUAUUGAUUUGUUUCUUAUAUGAGGUAGCUGUAGUUUCCUUCUAUGAAAGAUCUGCCAUGGCUGUAGUUUCCUUCUUUGAGAAGUAGCCGUUGGUUGAGGUAGCUGUUGAUUCCUGUGAUUUCCAUGUAUGGUUAAUUACCAUUCUGAAUAGUAGCCGUUGGAGGUGUUAAUUCAGAAUGGUUGCUGACGAGAGUGAGGAUCCUGUGGUGGUGCUGCUGCUGUCUCCUGCUGCUGCUGCAGAGGUGUGUUGUUGCUGUUAAUACCCUCCCUCAAACGUUGCCGAGGUUGGAGGCAAAGUUUGCGCUGAAAACGAAGAAGAGUAGCUUUGGACACCGGCUUAGUAAACAGAUCAGCAAUCUGAUGUGUAGUGGGAAUAUGAUGUGUAAUAAGUUUCCCAAGAGCUACGCGUUCGCGUAUAAAAUGAUAAUCAAGUUCAAUAUGCUUGCUGCGAGCAUGGAAAAUAGGAUUGACCGUCAUAUGGAGCGCACUGAGAUUAUCACAAUAGAGCACUGGUGGAGAUAGCAAGGGAAUGUGUAAAUCAUGAAGGAUGUAGGUCAACCAGGUAAGUUCUGCAGCCGUGUUGGCCAUAGCACGAUAUUCAGCUUCAGUGCUAGAGCGUGAAAUAGUAUGUUGUUUCUUGGCACACCAGGAGAUGAGAUUACAGCCAAGGAAGACACAGUAGCCAGUGGUAGAACGUCGUGUAGUAAGACAGCCAGCCCAAUCAGCAUCUGAAAAAGCAGAGAAAUUAAGAUUAGUAUUAGAAGUGAAGUGCAGACCAUUAUUAAUAGUACCUUGACAUAUCGUAAGAUACGGCGGACCAUUUUUAAGUUGACAGUUGUAGGAGCAUGCAUGAAUUGAGAGACAUAAUUAACACUAAAAGAGAGAUCUGGUCGAGUAAGGGUGAGAUACUGGAGGGAGCCAACAAGCCCCCGGAAGAAACUGACAUCCGCUAAAGGAGGAGCAUUGGAGGAGGCUUUAGUUCGUGCUUCAAGUGGUGUAGUCAUGGGUUUACAGUCAACCAUUUCAGCACGUUCUAGAAUUGUAAAGGCAUAAUGUGAUUGUGAUAAAUGAAGUCCAUUUGGCGUGGGCGAAAUUUCGAUGCCAAGAAAAUGAUGAGUAGGGCCUAAGUCCUUCAUGGCAAAUUCUUGACUGAGUAGAGUAAUGAAAUCUGCAACAAGUGUAUCUAUAGUUCCUGUAAGAAGUAUAUCAUCAACAUAAAGUAGGAGAAUAAGAGAACCAUGAUCAGAAUGAAAAGUAAAUAGAGAAGGAUCUGCCAAGCUGCAUAGGAAACCGUAUUUGAGGAGAAAGGAACUAAAACGAUCAAACCAAGCACGAGGUGCUUGUUUAAGGCCAUAGAGGGCACGUUGGAGCUUGCAGACAUGCUGUGGACGUUGAGGAUCUGAGAGUCCUGGUGGCUGUUCCAUGUAGAGAUUUUCAGAAAUCAAACCAUGUAGAAACACAUUUUUCACAUCAAGCUGCCGUAGGGGCCAAUGAUGAACAAGAGCUAUAGUGAUAAUUAGCCGAAUGGUGCCAGGCUUUACAACGGGAGAGAAUGUUUCAGUGUAGUCUAGGCCAUCAAUCUGGUGGUAUCCUUUGGCAACAACACGGGCUUUGAGACGCUCCAAGCUGCCAUCAGAUUUGAGUUUGGUUUUAAACACCCAUUUGGAACCUAUGAUAUGCAUAUCGGUGGUACGAGGUACCAAUUUCCAUGUCUGAUUUUGGUGUAAGGAUGUAAGUUCAUCCUCCAUUGCUGCUUUCCAUCCUGGAUGAGCUAGUGCAGCUCACACAGAUCGCGGUUCAUGCGGUAUUCCAGCAGAGAUGACAGAUGUUAAUGCAUACUUGGGAUUUGGUUUUAUGAUGCCAUGCUGGGACCGAGUGGUCAUGGUGCGAAGAGCUGAAGUAGAGGAAUUGGGAACAAACUCAUCUGCGGAGGCAUCACUACAAGGAGGUUGUGCAGCUUGGUGUAGCGCACGUUGUGAACGAGUAACCAUAGAGUGAGGAGCUGAAUUUGGGUGGUCUUGCUGCUGCAGAGUAGUUAAGUUCUCAGAGAGUGGUUGCUGGGAAAUAUCAGGGCAGAGAUUGUGGGCAAUCUCCUGCUGAGUGGGAGCUGCCACCUGCUGAAUAUCAUUCUCCGAACUAUGGUGUUGUAGUGAGGAAGAGGGUUCUAUAGAUGGAUCAGUGGGAGAACCAGAAUUAGAGAGAUCUGAUACGUGCAUGAAGAUACAUGCAAACCGCAACAAACCAGAAGGUGGCAGUAGCGCACGUGGUACGUGGAAGACACUUGGACGUGGAUCAUGCUUGGUCGCCAGAUUGUUAGUGGGGUUUGUUAUGGAAUUAGUCAUUCUCCAGUUAUUUUUAGUAUUAACAGUUAAUAAGGAUUCCUCGGAGGAUCCCUUGUUUGUUUCCCAUUUUCUAGAUAGUUUCCCAAAUUCUAGCAUUGUUUGUUAUUCAAUUCAUGUAUAAAAGGGCCUGGUGGCAUCCAAUAAAGGUAUCGAAAAUUAUCCAAUACUGUCUCCUCUCUUACUUCUCUGCUUCUCUUCUCACUCCCUAAAUUCAACCUAUCAGUGGUAUCAGAGCCAGGUUACACAGUUGUCAUGGAUACUCGCGGAAAAAGUAAUGCUGAAUUCCGGACUGAGGUCAAUGACGCCUUAGCUAGGCAUGAGUCUAGCUUUGAUCAGGUGAAUGCUGCCCUUCAAGCAGUAUUAACCGAACUACAAGCCAUCCGCACCCAAAAACACCCAAACACUAACCCUCCCGAAAUCAAUCCCUUUGCAUCAGAAUCAUCAUCCCAGUUACAUAGUUCUCGCAACCCAAACACCACUGGUCAAACACACUCCCACCUCAAACUCUCAUUCCCUCGUUUUGAUGGCAGUGAGCCCACAGGUUGGGUGUACAAAGCCGAACAGUACUUCGAAUUUCAGGACAUUGACUCGGCCCAGCAGGUCCAAUUGGCCUCCUUCCAUCUAGAUGGAAUUGCUCUCCAAUGGCACCGAUGGCUGACCAAGUUUCGGGGACCCCUUCUGUGGAACGAGUUCGUGCAAGCCCUUUUGCAACGAUUCGGACCCACAGACUACGAAGACCCAUCGGAAUCGCUCACUCGUCUCAGACAAACUACCUCUGUAGCAGCUUACCAAGAGGCUUUUGAGAGGCUCUCCCAUCAAGUUGAUGGACUACCGGAAGGUUUUUUAAUAGGAUGUUUUGUUGCAGGGCUGCGAGAUGAAAUUCGUAUUGAUGUCAAGAUUAAACAUCCCCACACACUGGCAGAAGCAAUUGGAGUUGCCCGACUGAUUGAGGAGCGCAAUCUACUGCAAAGGAAGACCCAUCUUCCAAUUCGGUCUUCUUCCAUGAAUUUACCCUCCAGGGCACCAGCAAAUUCAGUAGCUGGAGUGUUGGGACCACCCCCAUCACAAAGACCAAACCUAUCACCAACAUCAUUCCGGAGGAUCACCACUCAAGAAGCUCGGGAACGAAGGGAAAAAGGGGCUGUGUUUCUAUUGCGAUGAGAAAUUCAAGCCAGGCCAUCGCUGUGAACAACCACAAUUGUUUAUGAUCGAAGACAGCUCCAACACCAGCCUUGAUGAAGAAAUAACAGAUACUGAGGACAUCAUCAAUUCAGAGGACAUGCCCGAAAUCUCAUUCCAUGCUAUCGCAGGUGCUGAACACCCUCAAACCUUACGGGUGUUGGGUCAAUUGGGCAACAAAAAGGUGACCGUGCUCAUUGACGGAGGCAGCACGCAUAACUUCAUUGAUCAGGUGGUGGUAACCAAAUUUGGGAUACCCAUUAAUCGCAGCCAGCGAUUUCAGGUAAUGGUGGCUAAUAGAGAGAAAAUCACUUGUACUGGGCAAUGUCAGAGCCUCACAUUAAUCAUUCAGGGCAUAGCCAUCACUGCCAAUUACUGUGUUCUACCGGUCAUGGCUUGUCAAGUGGUACUGGGUGUGCAGUGGCUUGAGACACUGGGUCCGAUUGAAAUGGAUUUCAAAAAGCUCACUAUGAGCUACAAAACGCAUGGAGAGAAACACACCUUUUACGGGUUGAAGCACACGGGUCAUGCUGCCUUCACAGAGAAGGAGUUUCAUGGGUUACAAGGGAAUGGAUUCUUCCUUCAAAUCAUUCCCUCACAUCCCAUCAUUGACAGUAGCAGCCAUCCACCGGAGCUUAAGGCCCUUCUAUCCGAAUUCUCGCAGGUGUUUGAGGAGCCCACGGGUCUGGCUCCCCAGAGAGCCAAAGACCACCACAUACCUCUACAACCCAAUUCUGGCCCAGUAAGUGUGAGACCCUACCGCUACCCGUAUUACCAGAAAACCGAGAUAGAAAAAAUGGUGCAAGACUUGUUGAAGUCUGAAUUGAUACGCCCCAGUAAUAGCCCAUUCUCCUCUCCUGUUUUGCUAGUCAAAAAGGCGGAUGGGGCUUGGCGUUUUUGUGUGGAUUAUCGCGCUUUGAAUGAAAUCACCAUCAAAGACAAAUAUCCAAUUCCCGUAAUUGAUGAGCUCCUAGAUGAGCUGCAUGGGUCUCGUUACUAUUCCAAAUUGGACCUACGAUCCGGCUAUCACCAAAUCCGGGUACGAGACGACGACAUACCUAAAACAGCAUUCAGAACUCAUGAAGGCCAUUACGAGUUCGUUGUCAUGCCAUUUGGUCUAACCAAUGCUCCUGCAACCUUCCAAAGUCUUAUGAAUGAUCUUUUUCGUCCCCACCUCAGGAAGUUUAUUUUGGUUUUUUUUGACGAUAUUCUGGUUUAUUCCAAAUCGUGGGAAGACCAUUUAACCCAUUUGCACACUGUUUUGAAGAUUCUAGCAGAUAAUACACUCUUUGCAAAGGAGUCCAAGUGCAGAUUCGGGGUUACAUAGGUUGACUACCUAGGCCAUGCUAUUUCAAACCAAGGAGUAUCGGUGGAUCCUACCAAAAUUCAAGCAGUGGUUGAGUGGCCUACCCCUACGACAGCCAAGGGGGUCCGCGGAUUCUUGGGCCUGGCCGGCUAUUACAGAAAGUUCAUCCGCCAUUUUGGAGGAAUAGCCGCACCACUUACCCGAUUGCUGACCAAGGAUGGGUUUCAGUGGAGUGCAGAAGCUGAUUUGGCUUUUCAACGUCUGAAGGAAGCCUUAACCCAGUCCCCGGUCUUACGCAUGCCAGAUUUCUCUCAACGAUUUGUGGUCGAGUGUGAUGCCAGUGGGAUCGGAAUUGGUGCAAUACUUUCCCAACAGAAUCAACCCGUGGCAUACUUUAGUGAAGCACUAAAAGGGUCUUCUUUGACACUAUCCACUUAUGAGAAAGAAAUGUUGGCCAUCGUCAAGGCAAUUCGUAAGUGGCGACCAUAUCUGCUUGGUAAACCAUUCACAGUUCGCACGGACCAGAGGAGUCUCAAAUAUCUCCUGGAGCAGAGGAUUACUACCCCAGCACAGACACGUUGGCUUCCUAAAAUUCUCGGCUAUGACUAUGUAAUCGAGUACAAGAAAGGGAGCGAGAACCAAGGGGCAGACUCACUGUCCAGAGUAGUGGAAUUUCAGUUUUUGUCCAUCUCGUUCCCAAAGGCAGAGUGGUGGCCAACUCUGCAACAGGAGGUGCAACAGGAUCCAUUUUAUGCCAACUUCAAAUCAACGGACCCCUUCAUGGUUCAAAGAGACGGAGUGUGGUUCAAGAAGGGUAAGGUGUUUUUAAGCCCGAAUUCUACUCUUAUCCCUCUACUUUUGGCAGACUGUCAUGCCACGCCGAUUGGUGGACACUUUGGGUUCCAUAAAACACUCGCACGCAUUAAGCAAGACUUUACCUGGCCCAGAGUUCACGUCACAGUGAAGGAAUUCUUGCAGCAAUGUACCACAUGUCAACGCUUCAAAAAAGAUUGCAUGAAGCCAGCUGGGCUGCUGCAACCCCUACCUGUGCCUUCCAAAGUUUGGACUGAUAUCUUCAUGGACUUCAUCAAAGGAUUGCCUUCCUCCCAAGGGUAUACUUGUGUAAUGGUGGUAGUGGAUCGCCUGUCCAAAUAUGCCCAUCUCAUUUCGUUGAAGCAUCCCUACACAGCAAUCACGGUGGCCAAAGCCUUCAUCUCCUGCGUCGUCCGCCUGCAUGGUAUUCCAGCCUCUAUUGUGAGCGAUCGUGACAAGGUGUUUAUUAGCUCCUUCUGGCGCACCCUCUUUCAGUCCCAAGGCACUCAGCUGUGCAUGAGCUCAGCUUACCAUCCUCAGUCGGAUGGUCAGACUGAAGUUGUCAACCGCAUCCUCGAACAGUAUUUGCGGUGCUUUGCAGGUGACCAGCCACGUAAAUGGUUCGACUGGAUUCCAUGGGCAGAGUUCAGCUACAAUACCUCGCUCCACUCUGCCACUAAGAUGACGCCAUUUGAGGUGGUUUAUGGUGUUCCCCCUCCUAGUUUACUCACCUAUGUUCCCGGUACCUCAAAUGUUCAAGCCGUGGAUGAGCAUCUGCGCGAUAGAGACUGUCUCCUUCGUGAGCUGAGGAGGAAUCUGUUGAUUGCCCAGAACAGGAUGAAGAGCCAAGCUGAUCAACAUCGCAGGGAUGUCUCCUUUGACGUUGGAGAUUAUGUGUAUUUAAAGCUCCAACCUUACCGUCAAUCCUCAGUGGCAUUUCGUAGCUCAAUGAAGUUAGCCCCACGGUUCUUUGGGCCUUACCAGGUCCUAGCUAAAGUCGGAACAGUUUCCUACAAAUUAGCACUGCCACAGGAUUCCCAAAUCCAUAACGUGUUUCAUGUUAGCUUGCUACGGAAAUACUUUGGGCCCCUCCCUCCUACAUCAACAGUGGUGAGCCUUCCUCCUAUUUCAGAAUCAGCCAAUAUUCUUCCACAACCUGAGGCUGUCCUGGACCGACGAGUAGUUAACAAUGGGAAAUAUCAUCCAAAACAUGAAAUUUUGGUCAAAUGGGAUGGUGCACCAGUGGAAGAUGCUACUUGGGAGAAUGAAAGGCGUUUUAUCAAGACCUAUCCCACCUUCAUCCUUGCGGACAAGGAUUCUUAAGGGGGAAGGAUUGAUACGUGCAUGAAGAUACAUGCAAACCGCAACAAACCAGAAGGUGGCAGUAGCGCACGUGGUACGUGGAAGACACUUGGACGUGGAUCAUGCUUGGUCGCCAGAUUGUUAGUGGGGUUUGUUAUGGAAUUAGUCAUUCUCCAGUUAUUUUUAGUAUUAACAGUUAAUAAGGAUUCCUCGGAGGAUCCCUUGUUUGUUUCCCAUUUUCUAGAUAGUUUCCCAAAUUCUAGCAUUGUUUGUUAUUCAAUUCAUGUAUAAAAGGGCCUGGUGGCAUCCAAUAAAGGUAUCGAAAAUUAUCCAAUACUGUCUCCUCUCUUACUUCUCUGCUUCUCUUCUCACUCCCUAAAUUCAACCUAUCAAGAUCAUGAAGGGAUUGUACAGCCGCAGAGUUAGUGAUAUCAGGUGAAGAAGUGUGCACUGUCUCCUGCUGGAAUGUCUCCGGCUGAGUAAUUGAAGUGUCAGACUGCUGCUGAAGCUGUUGGCGGGCUGGAGUACUGUCACCAUGGAGUUGCAGAGCAACAUCAGCGGGAGAAAUAUCUGUAAAGCACACUGUCUCCUGCUGGAAUGUCUCCGGCUGAGUAAUUGAAGUGUCAUACUGCUGCUGAAGCUGUUGGCGGGCUGGAGUACUGUCACCAUGGAGUUGCAGAGCAACAUCAGCUGGAGAAAUAUCUGUAAAGCACGCUGGUGUAUCUGAGGUCAUAGUAGGAAGCAGGGGUAUGGGCAGUGAGCUGCUGCAUGGUGGCGUUGCUGGUGUUUCAGAGAUAUCUGUAGGAGAGCGUGAAGCAAGGAUAGUUAGCCAAGAAUCAAAUAUGCUAAGGACAUGAUUAGAAUGAUCAAUAUUUGUGGUGAUAUUAUUUUGUUUAUACGGAAGGAUAGAUUCACUAAAAACCACAUGUCGUGAGACAAAAAAAUUUUUGCUUGUUGGAUGAAAGCAUUUAUAUCCCUUAUGUUGAUCACUAUAUCCUACAAAAAUACAUGGAACACUUUUUGGAUCAAAUUUAUUUCGUCUUGUAUCCCAAGUGUAAGGGAAACAUCGGGAGCCAAAAAUACGAAGAGAUGAAUAAAUAGGGUGGUUACCAUGUAAGCGGAAGUAUGGAGUGUCAUAGUUAAGAGCAGAAGAGGGCAGUCUAUUAAUGAGAUAAACAGCAGUUGUGAAGGCUUCAACCCAUAAAAAUAAAGGAGUACCACUAUGGAAUAACAUUGUCAUACCUAGUUCUCUUAUAAUUCUGUGUCGCCUUUCAACCAUACCUGUUUGUUCAGGAGUGUAAGGACAAGAUACCUGGUGAACAAUUCCUGUGGAGCGAAAAUGACUUGAUAAUUUUGAGUUAAUAAAUUCUCCUCCUCCAUCUGAGUGAAAGACUUUGAUCUGUUUAUUGAAUUGCCUACUAACAUACUUUUCAAAUGCUAUAAACACUGUUAGAAAAUCAAAUUUGUUAUGAAGAGGAAUUAUCCAUGUAUAUUUAGAGAAAUCAUCUACUAGGCAAGCAUAAUAUUUGAAUUUUCCAAUAGAUAAAACAGGGGCAGGUCCCCAUAAAUCACAAUGUAUUUUUUCAAAAACAUCAGUACUUGAAUGUUCAGAAUGCGAAAAAGGUAAGUUGCUAAGUUUUCCUAAUUGACAACUAUCACAAAGGUGCUCAGUCUUCAUAGCUCCUGUGACGUCAAUCAAUCCUGUAUUUUUUAAUAGCUGCACUGCAGAAGCUUGAGGAUGUCCUAGGCGUUGAUGCCAAACUGCUGCUGAUCCAGUUUUAAAACGAUAAGAAAAAUGUAAUUCUGGCGAGUUGUGCAAGACAUAAAGAUCACCCUUACGUCUACCUGUGAUCAGAGGUUGUCCUGUUUUCCGUUCCUUAACACAAAAAUCAACGUCAGAAAACUCACAGUUCACAGGAAAUUGUUUGGUAAGCUGACUUACUGAAAGUAAAUUUUUAGUUAAUUCAGGAACAAGAAGAACAUCAUUAAUAUGUAAUUUAGUAUUGUUUUGUUUAAUAAAUGAAUCUCCAAUACCAAUAAUCGGUAGAGACGAUCCAUUUCCAAUAACCACAGAAUCAGUUCCAAAAUACUUACGAACAUCAGUUAACAUACCUGGCUUACUUGUCAUGUGAUUCGAUGCACCAGUGUCUGAUGUCCAUUCCGUGUCAACCACGGUGCUUCCCAAAUAGCGGUUGCUCUUUUGCAAUAUUAGAAGCAUGAACCACAAACAAUACUCUUUUGAAUAUUAGAAGCAUGAACCACAUUGUUCAUAAUCGACUCUUUCAUAAAUGUCAUCCUUAACAUCACCUUUUUCUAGCCUAGGAUUUUGCACACUAAGAGCCUAUUUGACGUUGCAGUUGAAUCGUUGUUUUUCCAUUUUGAAAAAAAUUAUUCUUGCUUCAAUUGUUUUUGCGUUCUUGGAUUGUUAUGAUGUGUUAAUGUUAAAAAUGAAUUAAAAAAUAUAUUUUGAUAUAUUUCCAAGUGAAAAACACUUUACAACGCAACCGCUACCACACUUUUAAACAAUCACUAAGAAGUUAUCCAGGAAUAAUUGUUCUCCAUUUGCAGUUGUUGCAUACUCAAAAAAAUAUUAUGUCAAAACAUACAUGACAGGUGGCUCCAAUAUCAAUCCACCACUUUUUAAGAUUGUGCACCAGGUUUGCUUCUGACAUAACUACAACAAGCUUUGCAGCUUUCUCAUCAACAUUCUCAAUGAUUUUGUUUUGUGCAUUUUUUCCUUACAGAUAUGCCUUUGCUUUUUACAAACAAAACAAGUUUCUUUGAACUUCUUUUUGCCGACACUAUUACCAUUAGAACUCUUGAGAGAACUUGCUUCAUAUUUAAGUUCACCAGGUUAAGAAUGUUUAGGAAUCGGGUUUGCCAUCGAGACCGCAAAGAUUACCAGGUUAAAUUAUUUUGGUUUUUUCCCCGCAUGAUAGAAUGUUUAGGAAUCGGGUUUGCCAUCGAGACCGCAAAGAUUACCAGGUUAAGAAGUACAUUGAAAUUAUUAACAAUAGAUUUAUCCAUUUAUUAUCUCAAUAACAAGAUUAACUUUAUAAUUAUAUAUCACACUUAUAUAAUCUGAAAUAAUAUUAAUUAAAAUGAAUCCCAAAAAUUUAACACACUAAUUCUGCAAAAAACAAAUUUAAUAAACAAUUUAACUUUGCAACUAUGUAUUUAUUUAUUUGUUUUUCUAUGAGACUCAAUUUUUUUUUUAAUAAUCAUCAAGAGUAUAUUGAAAAGGCCAUAAAGCCAAUAGACAGUGAAAUUUUUAACAGAAACUCAAUGUAAUUUUCAACAAAAACUAUAACAAUACAAAUAAUUACAAAUAUUUUUCUUUCAACAUCAACAUAAGAAAACAAUAUGCACUCUUCUAAAGUUAUGAUAAAAAAAAUCUGAUUGAUACUUAUGUUGUUUUAUGAUUAAAGUAACAAUAGCAUCUAAAGAGAAUGAAUUAGGUGUUGCACUAAUUAUGUCAAAAUAAUGCAAGUAAACACACUAAACACAUAUAACACAAAAACCAACAAUAUAAUUCAAGUGCUUAAAGUAAAUAUAUAAGAAAAAAGAGAUUGCAAACUCGAUUUUUAACGUGAUUCGGUAAGCUUACAUCCACAUCUCAAGUACUAAUCAUACUUAAGUAUUGUACUUUUUUACUAAUCCAAGUGAAAGAUACAUUGCCCUUGAUGAAUUCACACCAAGAAAUUACACCACUUGAUGAAUUUUUCUCUUUAAGAUUUUUCUCCUAGAAUUCCGGUUAAAUAGAAUUGCACUUAAUAUAUAUUAUUUCACCAUAAUUAUUAUCCAGAUAUGCAACUUUUUUUCUUUCCGAUCAUCUGUUUUCUUUUUUUCAUAUCAAUACAACAACAAAGGAAAAUACCAUGCAAUAUAAAAUGUAUUUCCCUGUAGAAUCAAUGCAACAAGUUUACAGACAACAGACGACAAGGAAUUUAACAUAGUCAUGGAAUUUAACUGAAGAUAUAUACACUUUACUUUCUCUAUUAAAAUUAAACUAUUUUUUUUAAUCUAUGUCAAUAUAUAAUCAAUUUGGUCUUGAAGAUAUAUAAAUAUACACAGAACAAAUAUGUUAGAAAAUAAAUUGUUUAAGAUUGUUAGAGCACCUUAAAUAGUUCAUAAAAUUAUUCUUCCCUUUUACUAUAAUGAUGAAGUACAAGGGUUGUUGAUGAUGACCUCUUGGAUGGCUACAUGAAGCUUGUUCCGUUUUAAAUUUCAAGGUUAAUCUAUUGCUAUGAGCAUACGUGUCUCAAUUUAAAACUCGAGUUGCAACUGAACUUAAAUGAAUGGUGUUGGAUUUGGGCCUUCUAUUUGUUUUAACUUCUACAGGGUUGAAAUGAUAGUGAUCUUAAAGUAGAAAAGCAGCAGACAAAAAUCAAUUAACCAUAAUGGUGCAUGGUUUCCUAGUUUCUCAGCAUAAAGUUGAAUGUUUUGUUGACCUUUCUACAUCAAAAAUCAUAUAGACAGCUACUGCUGGCACUUGCAGUGGCCAAUGCAUACUGUAGAGUAUAUAUUGCAGUGUGAGAUAAGGUUAACUCGUUGCAUUUUCAUAUAUUGAAAGGAUUUCUCUUCUUUUCUUUGUCAAUUACAGCACAUGCAUAUAAGUGUUCUUCCUCAGAGUAAAUGCUAUAGUAAUGUUUUCACGGACUCCCCUGGUUUGCAACUGAUUCACUUAUAUAUCUUGGAACAUAGCCAUAAAUGAAAGGUUCUUCUAGUUCAAGAAAAUUAACCAUGAAGCUCGUAACUAGAAUUUUUAGACAGAAGGGUGGCCAAGCGAACUCCUAUACUCCGUACGUCUGGAAUAAUACAGGGAAAGGGUGUUUAUGUAUUUUGAUGUCUUAUAUUACUUGACCAACUCUUGCUUAUCUCAUUAUUUGUUUUAAUUUUUUGCUAAUAAUUCCACACAUUUCUGAUAUGGUGUGGUUUUUGAGUUCAGGGUUCUUGCUCAUUGCUGCUAACUUCUCUAUACUUGCCUGGUCAUUAAAAAUGAAACGUAAUGAUUUGCAUAUGCUGAAUGGAGACAUUAAAGAGGCAUCUUCUGUUUUCUGGUCAGGAGGGAUUACAAGAACUCAAGAAAUUUUCCAUAUGUUUUGAGGAAAAGAUUUAUACUACCACUACCAAUCAGGUAUUUGCCUAAUGUGAGGUUUAAUAAUUACGAUAUUAUCUAGACAUUAAUAUACACACGCAUUUAUGCUUGUACAAAUGUGUGUGUAGUGUAGUGUGCCUACACUUCCUCACCGUUCAUUCUGUAUGCAAGGCUGAUUGGGAGUUCACAUUAUUUUGUUAAUUCUCUUGACAAGUGUUUUAUUUAGAGUGACCAAGUUCAAGUACAAGGGAAGAGUGCAAAAAGCAAAUAGCGAAUCAAUACAUAAAUAAUUAAAUAAAAAGAGAGGAAACAAAAGUAUAUCAUAGAGAAGAUGAAAUGAUAGAGCAUAUAUCCAUUUUCCUCCUCUUGUAACAUGGAUUGCUCUGAGAUCUGAUGUUUUGUUAUUAAUAUCUGAUUUCAGUCUGAUUAUAUAUCUACGAAAAAUAUCUCUGGAGAUGCUUUCGAUGGAGAUCAGGUCUCAAAAUGCCAUGCCCACUGUCCCCAUGGAUCCAGCAGGUAAUAAUGCACCCGAGCAUUGAAUUUCUAAACAUCUUACCUUUUGUUUUUCUUCUCACAUUGUUAUCAAACUCUUUUACAUUUUAUUGCUGUAUAUUGCUAUGUAUAUCGCCUUGCUAGAAAAAUCUCAUGAUCACCUCCACGAUGCUAAUUCUAUAAUGCAUGUGAAGUGUUUCAUCCUUAACUUGUUAAGAACAAGGACUAUGAUGCAUUGCUAUUUUAUAUUUUAUGAUUGAGAUGGUAGAUUUUAAAGAUUUUCCUGUUUAGGAGAUAAAAGUAAGAUGUCACUUUUUUGCUUUUCUUCCGAGAGAGUAUUUGAUCCUUUUUUCGUAUAAAAUAAUGCUGGCAUGCAUUGAAUUUCCAAACAGCUUAGCUUUUGUUUUGUUUGUCGCAUUGUUAUCAAACUCUUUUACAUUUUAUUGCGGUAUAUUGCUAUGUGUAGGGCAUGCUUUAAUCAAAAAGUUGAGUAAUUGAUGAAUGCUAGGCAUGAAAAUGACAUAUUAUUUUUGUUUUCUGUCUCCUCCUUUUCUUUCCCCCACCUCAAAAAUUGUCAUGUUAUUUUUGUUUUCAGCCGCCUCUUCUUCCCCAAACCUUUAAAAUUGUUUAUAUUUGCUUUGGAAGCAUGACAAACUUCAUUGCCUCUCAGCUUAAGGAGAUUGCAGCAGGUCUCGAAGCUUCUGGGCAUUAGUUUAUCUGGGUAGUUAGAAGAAACAAAAAGAGUCAAGAAGACAAGGAAGAUUGUUUACCUAAAGGAUUUGAGGAAAGAAUGGAAGGCAAAGGGCUAUUAUCAGAGGAUGGACACUCCAAGUUUUGAUUCUUGGUCAUGAAGCAAUAGGUGCAUUUGUGACUCAUUGAGGAUGGAACUCAACUCUUGAAGGCAUAAGGCAAAUAUUUGCUGAGCAAUUCUAUAAUGAGAAGUUGGUGACUGAUGUUUUAAAAAAUGGAGUUAAGGAAUGGCUUAGAGUGCAGAGAUCAUGUUAAAAGUGAAGCUGUAGAGAAGGCAAUCACUCAAAUUAUGAUGGGUGAAGAAGCAGAGGAAAUGAGAGAGAAGAAAGCUGAACAAGGGAACGCAGUAGAUGAAGAAUAUGAGUUUACUGCAUUUACUGUCAAGAAUACAAACGUGAGCACUAAAAACUAAUUUGUACAGGAUACUCUUUAUAUAUAGAGUAGUAAUUAACUUCAUCACUUAUUUCUUUCUAUGAAUACAAUAUUCCUUAUUUAUAUAUAUUGAUUUGUUUCUUAUAUGAGGUAGCUGUAGUUUCCUUCUAUGAAAGAUCUGCCAUGGCUGUAGUUUCCUUCUUUGAGAAGUAGCCGUUGGUUGAGGUAGCUGUUGAUUCCUGUGAUUUCCAUGUAUGGUUAAUUACCAUUCUGAAUAGUAGCCGUUGGAGGUGUUAAUUCAGAAUGGUUGCUGACGAGAGUGAGGAUCCUGUGGUGGUGCUGCUGCUGUCUCCUGCUGCUGCUGCAGAGGUGUGUUGUUGCUGUUAAUAAUGAGGACUAGAGCAAAGAAGCUUUCAGUGCUUUGAUUUAAUAACUGCCAAGAAUGGAAGGCUGUUGAAGAUGGUGGAUCUUCUUGCUCCAAUUUCAAUGCUUUGAUUGAAUAACUGAGGUGGGGUAGCCCUUGAAACAGAGGCAUAGAACAUUUUGUUACUACUUAGUAGUGGUUUUGGCAAUUUAUUUUCAGAUAAGUCUUGAGAGUUGAAAGAGUAAUCACAGACGAGUCAAUGACCAAUCCAAAUCAGUUCCCUUCCUAAUGGUUCAGGAAUGACAAGUCCAGCUUAUUUAUUGAGCCCAAAUAACUUUUCAAAUAAAAAGGUUGAACUUAGAGACAGUACACUACAAAUUAAGCACCUAAUAGCUAGACAUACAAGACAAACAAUCAUCACAAACUAGGAACAAUCGUCUUCCCAGUAACAAAUUCACCUUCUCAAGUUGGAGAACUUGCGAAAACUAGCCACUACAAAAUAGUAGCAAGUAUCUAUGCAGUCUUCGAUGAAGUACGACCACCUGCGUCGCCAAUAUGGAUCGAUGUAAAGAACUACUACAAUUAUCAUCACCACAACUGUGUAACAUACACCGAAAUUGAUGUAGAAAAACUCCAUGUCUAUGAAACCAUCAUCUCCUUGUUCAUCAUAAGGCACUGGCUGUGAUGGCACUGGUUGUGAUGGCACUGGCUGUGAUGGCACUGCUUCCUCACUACAAUUGUUUCGCAAUGGAGGUCCACACAAAAAAGGAUUUCCUUCGUAACAACUUUCAUCAAAGGUCCCAAACUGAUAUUUUCUCUCGGGUGUGUUACCUGACAAGUUAUUAUGCGCCACACUAAAAACUUCCAGUGUGGUAAUAUCAGUAAGUUGUGGAGGGAUGACACCAUUCAAGUUGUUGUAAGAAAGAUCCAAACUCUCAAUCUGCUUUAGGUUUGAGAAUGUUGCAGGGAUAGAUCCAGUGAGAUUGUUGUGUGAUAAGUUUAAUGACAGUAUCUUACUUAAGUCUCCAAAUUCUGGUGGGAUUGCUCCUACGAAGUUGUUAUUGGAGAGAUCAAUACCAGACAUGUAGCUGAGAGUCUUCCCCUUGUAACGAUAAUACAUAUUUUUAGUUGUAAAUUCUAUCACUUCUUCUGUAAAGUUAAGCAGAAAACCCUUUCUCAAGUUGUACAUACUCUCCACUAGUGGUGGACCCAUUGUUUCAUAAUAAGCUUUUUCUAUGGACCUUGAUAGAACAUCAGCUCCGAGAUCUGCGAGCGUUUUCUGGGAACUUUCCUUGAAAGUAAGAUUGCCCAAACAGGAGGGUAGUGGACCAGAGAGUUGGUUUUGUGAAACAUCCAAAAUGCUUAAUUGUUCUAACAAGCAUAAUUGAACAGGGAGCUCACCAUCAAAGUGAUUAGCCCUCAGAAGAAGAACACUCAAUGAUGAAAGAUUGCCAAUCCAAUUUGGAAAGGAGCCGGUGAAGUUGUUAUCUCGAAGAUCCAUCGUAACCAGGGAAGAGUUGUUAUAAAAUCCAUAUGUUAAUGGACCGCUCAAUCUAUUUUCAGAUAGAUGCACAUGGGUUAUUUGUGGUGGACUGAAACAAGAUGGUAUAUAUCCAGACAAGUUGUUCUCAGAAAGGUCCAAAUAUUCAAGCUGGUUAAGCUUACAAAAGUCUCUUAGGAUCGGACCCUUAAAAUAGUUUUUGGACAAAUCAAUUGCGAUAAGGCCUGUAGAAUUGACUAACCACCUUGGAAGCAUGCCUGAAAAUUGAUUGUCACUCAAAUCCAAUGUUGACCACAUUUUCCACCCAUAUAAUAGAAAAUCUGAUAUCUGACCCCAAAAGUUGUUACCGUGUAGGUAGAGAUAUUCUAAGGUAGAAGAAUUGAAUACUGAGGUUGGUAAUUGCCCACCCAAAUUAUUGUUUGACAGCUUGAGAAACCAUAUUGUUGUUAGUUGUUCUAGUUUUACUAUAGACAAUUGAUUGUUGGAUAAAUCUAAAAUUUUCAAAGAGCUAAUAUUUCCUAAACAAGAAGGAAUACAACCUGUGAAUCCAUUAUUGGCCAUCCUUAAGCUCCACAUAUUUGGAAAGAUCAAACAAAUAUCUUUAGGAAUUUGACCGUUCAUGUUGUUGUUGGAAAUAUCUAAUUCGGUCAUAUUCAGAUAUGGGUGAUCUUGCAACUGUAAAGUACCGACAAAGGAGUUGUUGCUUAGAUAUAGUUGCUCCAAUCGUGUAUUGUUCUUAAGCAACCAUGAUGGAAACAUUGCGGUGAUGUUGUUGUGGGAGAGAUCAAGGACUCUUAUGUCGUAUUGGUAAUAAAGGAAGUCGGGAAUUUUUACAUUUAGUGCUUCUGUUGUUUUUGACAAUCGGAAAAAUACUAGUUGGAACUUUGGAAUCAAAUUAUCAAAGGCAGCAGGUUCUGUUACUAGCUUGUUGUUCUCACUGGAGAAGAACUUGAGGCUUGAGUGGUUCAUAAAAGGCUUCAUUGAAAUGGGAACUUCAAAGAGGUUAUUUGAUAGUGAGAGGAAUUCAAGGGAUGUGAGGUUGGUAAGAGGACCGGAGGCAAUAUUUCCAGUAAACUGGUUUUCAGAAACAUCUAAUAGUUGUAGAGAUGACAAGUUCCCCAAACAAUCUGGGAGUGAACCUCCUAAAUUAUUUCCAGAGAGAUCUAACUGCCUCAGAUUCUUUAAUUCACACCAACCUGUACAAUUUAUCUUGAAACAGUCAAAACAGUGUUGAAAGAAUCUUUUAUUGAUGAUAGUUGUUAAUUUACCUUGAGCGGGUAGGGUGCCAUGGAGGUCACAUUCAGCAACAGACAAAACUUUAAGAUCAGGCAAUGCUCCAAUGUUCUGGAGAAAGUUUAUUGGGAGAGAAGUACGAUCUAGAUACAAUUCUUCAAGGGUGCUAGAAUUGAAGAAAGUCCCUGUGAAAAAGAAAGAAGAAGAGAUAUGAUGAAAAUUGUGGUCGUACAGAAUAGCCAUUCCAUUUAAUAUUAUUAAUUAAGAUUUUAAGAAACUAAACUAUGAUUAACCUUGACUUAAAUUAGUAUCCUUGAGAGAAAGGGUCUUCCUUAAACCUAUGAUGUGUAGAAUUGAAAGCAGGCAAUCAAGUAAGUAGUGAAAUUAAGUGUUAUCUUGAUCGAGUUUUUAAACCUAUGAUAAAGAACUGAUAUUGAAUAGUGAGAUGAUUUUUGGAUAGAAACAACAAAUUGCCUGAAAAAUCCAGAGAUAUUGCCUGAUAAAUUUAAAUUUAAAGACUUUACCAUUGACGGUCGUCGAUCCUAGCAACAUAUUGCCUGAUAAAUUUAAAGACUUGAGAUAAGAAAGCCCACGCAGAUGUGAUAAAAUGCUGUCGUUGAAUAUAUUAUAGCUCAGGUCCAGGUUAUCGAGUUUCUCCAAAUGUGAUGAUAUGAUCUCAAAACCUGCAAGAGAGUUGUUUCUAUAAGCAAGUCAUAAUUACAUAAUAACUUUAAUCAAACAUGAUGAAAUACUAUCGUUGAUUAUUAAAUGAAUAUAAAGUCCUCAAUUUUCAUAGAAGGAGAUAUGAGAAGGAGAAAAGAAAAUGUUUCGAAGCUAAAUAAUUAAAAGGUUACCAUAGAAGCUACCUGAUCCUGUCAAUCCAUUGCCUGAUAGAUCCAAAGACUUGAGAGUGGAAAGCCCAGUCAUGCAUGACAAAAUGCUUUUAUCAUUAUUAAAUCGGUUAUCACUUAGGUCAAGAUUCCUCAGAUUUGAUGAUAGGACUUCGAAGCCUGGAAGAGAAUCAUCAAAGCAAGAUAAUUGACAUUAAACACCAAUCAACCUUGAUUUAUUUUAUGAUUAUAAGUGCAGAAACAUUGAACUAACCUUCAUUCUCCAAGCAACCAACCAAUCCAUUAAAUCGCAAUUCGAGACUUUGCAAUUCUUUAAAAGGCAGAAACAAAGAUGCGUUGAGAACCCAAUCGCCAAAGCUCUGAUCCCUUGCUCCACUAAGAGAGAGUUCGAUCACUCGCCUUGUAGUGUUAUCACACUCGAUCCCAUCCCACUCACAACAAUUACUACUGUCCACCCAAUGUCUCAAGGAAAAGCCAUCUGGGUCGAUCAAAGAUUGGAUCUCCAAGAGACCAAUUCUCUCUUCCUCCAAACAUCCAUAACAACGACCAUACCAUUCGCCAACCAAAGUCAAUAAUAUUGCUAGCAACAUCCAAGCCCCCAUUCUUUUCAUCAUCAUCUUAGAUAAUUCUAUGUGACAUCAAGAACGUAGAAUAUUGUUGUUUGUUAUGUGCCUUUGGGCAACCAUAGAGGUCCUAUUUAUACUACACUGUGGCCAUUUCCGUGACUUUGAGAUGUUUUCUUUAUUUAAUUUCCAUGACUUUAUCUGCAUAUCUUGUGCAGGUUCGGUGUUUUGAGAUUUGAAUAUUAUUUUAUUUCUUUUUGGAAUAUUCUUGGAUUUGAAUAUUAUUUUAUUUUAUUGUUUAGCACUUAGUCUAUUUGCAUUUAAUUAUAUUUUGGUUACUAAUUAUUCAAUUUAUAAAAAAAUAAAAUAAAAAAAUUGUUGCAGUACUUCAACAUAACAUAUAUUUGUUUUUAUGGUGGGAAAGGUAUUCUUGACUUGUUUUUAUUACAUUUCAAUAUUAAAUAUAUUUUUUUCAAUCGAGUCAAAGAUAUACAAUUUAUAUUAGAAUGAGAAGACUAAUCAAUUUCUCUAGUUUUCUCCCUAAUUAUAAAAUACAUCUAAGAUAAAAGGAAUUUAUUUCUUGAAAUUAAUGCAUUAAAAAAUAUAAAAAUAUUUUUUAAAAAUUAAAAUAGUAGUAAAAGAAAAUUUAGUUUUUGAUUGAAGUGUAAACUAGUGGUCAAUGAACAAAAAGAAACUUUAUUGAUUAUCUAAUGAGUUACUUCUCCAAAAAGAAUAUAUAUAUUAUUGAAUAUCUAAAGGAAACGAUUCAUGAAACUCCGCCUAAUAUAUAUAUAUAUAACAGAGAAAUUGUCGAUAAUAGCAAUCAUUUUCUUAUCUCUUGUAUCAUUCAUAUCUUCCACAAAUCUUAAGUAAUUGAUGAGAAAGAUCGUGAACGCGGAUGCUUGACUUGUUGUGUGGCAUUUUGAUUUUUAAACACAACCAUGCAGUGAUUUCCUGGUGAUUUCCUUAUGCAUACUGGUGGUCCUUCAGAAUCUUGGAGGACCACCACAAGCCAAUCUAAAAAAAUGCUAAAAGUAAUCUUGAGGGUUGUAACUUAACUGGUCAGGUCCUGAGUUUGUUCCCCGAAGAUCACCAGUUCGAGUCCCACAAACCUCAGAGCCACUUGAGGCUUACAUGAUCAUUAACUUCAGGGCUCGUGGGAUUAGUCGAGAUGCACGCAAGCUGACCCGAACACCCACGUUAAUAAAAAAAAAUGCUAAAAGUCAAAACACACAAGCCAUAUAAAAAUCACACGACAGCCAAUUGCCUUAUCUUGUGAAAAAAAGAUCAAAAAAAAAAAAAACAUUCUCUUAGGUAUGCAAUGACUGCCUAUCUUCUCAUGGGGAGCAAAAAUCAGUAGCCUCCCAUGGAAUCCUAAUAAACCUUUCUCUGUGCUCUUCUAAGAUAUUAAAAAUGUCAAACAUACAUCAAUAAUCAAGAUUUGGGUCCUAGAUCAGACAAGUUAGCUUAUGUUGACUGGUGUUAAUCUAAAAUUGUAUCAUUUUAAGAAGAAAAAAAACUGUGUAGUUAAAAAAAAAAAACUAGUUUUUGACUGAGUUGAUUAGGUUCUUGGUUGAUUUAUCUGGUCGAUGAGGCUUGAUUGGGUCAACUCUCACUUGGUUUUUUCUAAACCUGAAUCCGGUCAGAUUCCAGAUUAAAAUGGUAGGCUUGAAUUAAAUUUAAUAACGCUGAUUAAAACCACAUUGUAGAAAAAAAAAUUGAAUUGCAUAAAAGUAAUUAACCGAAAACUUAUAUUCCUUCUUAUUGUCAAAGAACCAUCUCAACCCUUAAGCUAUUAGGUGAGGUCCCAAGAUAUGAUUUAUAUUAUUCUUUAACACACUCCCUCAAGUGAAAGCCCUUUGGGCUUGAAACUUGCAAAUGUCUACAUUACCUUGUGCUUGAUUUUUAUCAAAUUAAUGGGGGGUGAGAUUCGAACUCGUGACCGCUUGGUCAUCAAAGCUCUGAUAUUAUAUCAAAUAAUCACCUCAACCCAAAUUAAAACUUAAACUAUUAGAUGAGAUCCCAAGUUAUGAUUUAUAUUAUUCUCUAAGAACCCAUAUCAGUUUUUUUUAAGGAAAAGUAUGAAUCAAAGGUUAACGCUAGGCAGCUCACUUUGCAUGACAAUGACGGAUAUAGAAGACUUGCUACUUUCUUUAUGGAAAUAACGUGUGGAAAAUCAUGCCUUAAUGUUGAUGGUGAUGGCAAAAACAACCAGUAUCGUUGAUAAAAUGAACCACAAAUGAUAUUAUUUCUAAAAUACUUUUUUUCAUUGUCAUGACAACAAGUCUUCUUCUUUUUCUUUCUAAAGAGUCUAUUUUUUGUAACACAACCAACAAGUAAAAUGGAUAGGAAUUUGCAGUGUGAGAUGGGUCUGUGAGACUUUUGCCAUCUGCAUUUUUUCCAUGAUAUAGGCCAGUGAGAUAGUCCAUGAAACCAUUGCCCUGUAAGCAUUUAUGAGUUCGUGAGACCAUUUCCAUCUGCACAUUGGUCCCUGAAACCGUUGCCAUCAUGCAUUUUUUCCACGAGAUGGGUUCGUGGAACAUACUUUGGUUUAAUUGGGAAUGCUGUUAUUGAUUGAAAACUUUCUAAUUAAAAUAAAUUUGAUUAUUUGAUUGGAAGAAAUCCUUAAAUGUUAUUAACACAAGAAAUCAAUUUAUUUUCUUAAGAAAAAAAUAUUGUAACCAUAUAAGUAAUUUAUUUAUUUAUUUUAAUGAAAUAUAAAAUAGUUUUAAAUAAUCUUGUGGUAUAUUUCUUGUCUUUAAGAGCUAUGAACUUAUAUCUCAAAACUUGAAAACUAAUAUAAAGAUAUUAAGUGAUCAUUGAGUGUGUGUGUAUGUAUAUAAUCCUUUUCAAAACAAAAAGGAUUUUGAUGGAGAUCAGGACAUUGCAACAAAUUAUCCACGAGAUGGGUCGGUGAUACCAUUGUCAUCAUGUAAUUUUUCCCACGAGAUGGGGUCGUACGCUUGGGGCUCUAAAAGCUAUGGUUUUUAAUUUCAUCAGGUAUAUUUUAUUUCAAUUCUAAAAAUGAAAUAAAUUAGAAGAUAUUUCAUCUUGUUUAGAAUAUUAUCUCCUUACAUGCAUGAAUUUCACCUAAAUUUUGACCAGAAUAUAUCGGUUCUAUUCCGGCCAUUCUAUUAUGUCCAAAUAAUGUUUUGUUUUGCUUUUAUAUAUAUAAAAAAUAUAAUUUAUUUUUAUGAUAUCAAUUAUACCUUUCAAUUUGACUAUUAGAUUAGACUGAAAUUUUAUAAUCUCUUAAUAUGUAUUUAUAUCACAAGUUAAAAUUUUAGAGCAAUCAGAGUUUAGAAAGACUUGUGAAAUUACUGUUGAUAUUUUCAUAAUUUUAUUUAAAUUCAUAAUUUUUUUUUGAAAUGUUAUUUUUUGUGUUUUUUUAGAUUGAUUUUUUUUAAUUUUAUAAUUUAAUAAUAAAUUUAUUAAAAAUUAAAAUUCAUAAUUUAUUUUUAUUUAUUUUAUUUAAAAUUAUUAUAUUCUCAUUACUCAUAUCACGAAAAAAACCUUUGCUUUAAUUGGGAAUGCUGUUACAAGUAAUUGGACUCCGUGGGAUGGGAGACCGUUGCCAUCAUGCAUUUUUUUUCCACAGCAUGGGUCCGUAAAGUCCUCUAUAAAAGCUUAAACCUCCUUACUAUCCUCUAUAUCAAUUGAUCAGCAUUUAUAAGAUGGGGCUGUUCCUUCUGAUGCUGAUGGUUUUAGUAAUGAUGGUUUCUUGCAAGGAUGGCUGCCUCUUGGAGUAUAUUGACUUGAGAAUUAAUUGUUUUGAUAACAGUAUUUUAUUAUUUGUGGAGUUAUUUCUAUUUUUUAAAUUAUUAUAUUUAGAUUAUAAUAGAGUGAAAGAGUUAAUAGGUUUAAGAGAUUAGGAAAAAGCUAAUAUUAAUUAUAGUUAGGGACCAAACUGGAAUUUUUGCAUAUUUUUAAGGGUCAAAUUGUAAUUUUAUUAAAUUGAUGAAGGACCAAAAUGAAAAUAUCAUAUUUAUAACUAUACUGGAAUUUUGCCCAUAUUUCUUCUUUAAUUUUGCCUAGAAUCUCGGAUUAUGCUCUAGGGACCAAUCUGUAAUUUUUUUCAAAGUUUGGGGAUUAAACUGAAAUUUUCACAAAUUGAGGUACCAAGCUGAAAUUUUUUCAUCUUCAACCUCAUACCCAGAUUUUUCACAAAUCACCUAUUGAUAUAUCAAGAUUUUUAACUAGAUGAGGGUUUAGGUCAUAGAUUGGCCUAAUACUCAGAUCAAGAUUUGGAUCAAGUUAGCUUAUUGACUAGUGUUAAUAAAAAAUUGUAUUAUUUUAAGAUUUAAUUUAAUCAAAUAGAUUCAACUCCCAUGCCAUUCCACAAUUAAUUUAUUUUAUUAUGAUUUAGUGUUAUGUUAACCAGGCAACAUUUAAUUACCAUGAUAUAAAAUACAAAAAUAGUGGGAACAUAAAAAACAUGCUUUUAUAUAUUUUUUAUUUUAAAAGUACAAAUUUUACUCUAAGACUAUUGUAAAAAGAUAUUUAUUUUAAAUUUAUUUAUAUUUUUAUAAUUCAAAAAUUAAAAAUAAAACAGAAUUAAUCCAUACUCAUCUAAAAACAAUUAACUCUAACAUCAUUAUUUUAUAACAAAACUAGCAAAGAUAAUUUAUUAAUCACUAAGUUUUCUGGUUAUAAAUACAUUAGUAAUUGUCUUCGUCUCUUUUGUAUUUCUAACUAUUAACGAAUUGAAUAUAUAUAAUAAAUACCGAGUGAAAGAAUAAAUUUAGUUGUAUAAUGUACUAAAUAUUAAAUAGGUGACUUUAGAAUCACCAAGCAGUGAAUCACACGGGAAGAUUGAAAGAAUAAUUAAAGUGAUUUUAGUAACCGACAAGUUGACCCCAAGUCAAAAGUCUUUUGUGGAAAAACAUGAAUAAAAGGUUGAGGGUAAGGUCAUUGCUAUCAAGCGUUUUUUUCUACGAGAUGGGUCCGUUACACCAUUUCCGCUCAAGCUUGAGAAGUGAUGAUAUAUGCUUUAUUUUCAACUUGUAUAAAAAAUAAAUUUUAAUGUAGUGUGUUAGUGUUAAAUAAUUAUCUUAAUCUAAUAGUUUAAGCUGUUAGAUAAGGUCUCAAGAUAUGAUUUAUAUUAUUCUCUAACACACCUCUCAAGUAAAAACCCUUUGGACUUGAAACUUGUUCAGGUUCACAUUACCUUGUGUUUAAUUUUUAUCAAAUAAAUGAAGAUGGUGAGAUUCAAACUCGUAACUGUUUGGUCAUCAAGGCUCUGGUACCAUGUUAAAGAAUCAUCCCAACCCAAUAGCUUAAGCUGUUAGGUAAGGUCCCAAGAUAUAAUUUAUAUUAUUCUCUAAUACACCUCCUACUUUGUGUUUAAUUUUUAUCAAAUAAAUAGGGAUAGUGAGAUUCGAACUCGUGACCGCUUGGUCAUCAAGGCUCUGAUACCAUGUCUAAAAACUAUCUCAACCUAAUAGCUUAAACUGUUAGGUGAGGUCUUAGGAUAUGAUUUAUAUUAUUCUCUAACAAUAUUUUCUUCACUUUCUAUAUAGUUUUACCUUACACUAAUAUUGUCAGAAAAUGAUAUAUAGUUCUUGUGUUAUCCUUCAAGAUUUCAAUUGAAAAGGAGGGUCGUAAAAAAUUUAAUUUUUAUAAACAUACCCUUAACUUAAUUUGGAUGUGGAUAAUUGUUUGCAAUAUAUUUACAUCCAAUAUAAACAAUUCAUCAAUGAUCAAGUCGGCAUUGGUUAGCUAAAAUAUUGAAAAUACUUACUCUUUUUUUUUUUUUGGCCAUGCAGUUCCUAUAUAUAUAUAUAUAUAUAUAUAUAUAUAUAUAUAUAUAUAUAUUAGUUGAAAUUUCAUGAUGUCCAUUAAUCCUUUUAAAUUAAAGUCAAGUUAUUAAUUAUAUCCUAUAAAUUUCUAGAAAAACUAAUUCUCUCAAAUUUCGUCGUCUUUUUUACUAACUAUAGAAGGCGAUUGCUACAAACUAAAAUUUCAAGAUGAAAUUGAGAAAUCUGAAGGAGCAAACUGAGAAUCUACCAAAAUCUGACCAAGUCGUUUCACUAGUGGUUUCAAUUAAAAAGCUGAGAGGCAGGCAAUUUCCCAGAAACCCUCUUGGACCCCAUAAAUGAAAUAAUGACACAUGCCGGGGAACAUAGAAAAAUGAGCCUAUAAUCGAAUGAUCAAUACCGGCGAAAGAAAUCAAAUGGAGUAUAAGGUGAAGAGUAAGCCAUCGACAGCACUUUGGAGGCUAUAAUCGAAUCAGCUGCUUCUAUAUAUGCAAUGGGUCGCAUCCCAACUUGCAGACCUGAUAUGAAAUUGUUAUGAUGUUCGUUCUGUAACUAUCAAAACUCACUUAAUUCUGUAGUUUCCAUCUCUUUUUUACUUAACAUGUGAUGUUUGAGAGUGAAGGUAACUAUUGCUUUUUAAAAUAAAAUAUAAUUUAUGUGGUAUCUGAAUACAUAGGAACAAUAUCUGUGUGCCUCAUGCAUGCUUUUCAAAAUCAAGUUUGGGGUUUUUUACACCCAAAAAUCUAUUUUUCAAUUAUGUUUUCACCAAAACAAAAGCAACUAAAAAUCACUUAAUUAAAAGAUCAAAGUGAAUCUAUUUACUUUCUCAUACAAAAAUCAGUCCAAAAAUAAAAAAUAACUUAAAACCUAAAUUUUCUGAUAUCAUAUCUACUUUUUCAUGUAAUUUUAAGGUGAACACUCGAAUAAAACUACUUUUAUCUAAUGGACUAUUGACACAAAGAUUGACUAUUUUGAGGGCCAAAAUUGAUUUUAACCGAGAUUUUAUCUUUUUACCACUAGAAUUUAGCUACUCUCUUUUCUCUUUGAAACUAAAAAAAUAAAAAUAAAAAAAUGACCUUUUGAGUCAAAAUUGAAUCUUACAAAAUUAUAGGGAUUGAAGAUCUAUCAAUUGGAAGUAAGAAAAUCCAAGCUAACUUUUCGCAUUAAUUUUGAAAAAGCCACCUAGUGCCUUUGUUUUUUUCACUUUGAUCCCUUAACUCUCAAUCAUGCCCUUCAUCAAUAAAUUGAAAGAAAUUUAUUGGCGAAAUAAAUUUAUUUCGAAGCCCUUCAUCCUUUGCAAAAUUUACAAGAACAUACCUGAAAGUCCUUGUUGAGAAUCUUGGAGAUAGAGCAAAAUAGAGUGGCAAACAUUGAUACAAUGAACUGAACUUGCAGGACAAGGUCAAAAGUCAUGGCCUUGCCAGCCUUCAAGAAAGUAAACUCCAAUGCAGGCAUUAGAAACCCAUGAAGAGCUGCACCACCAAUAUUCAUGAAGAAACCCAAAAUAUAUUUUCCUUUAGACUCCCACUUGGUCUAUCUCCGUUCAUGUGAAAUACAAGAAUAAUAGACCCAAGGGUCAUCAAAAUCACCGCGUUUAUUCAGUAAUGUGUGAAGCCACUGAGCUAAAGAAUAAAUAAUCCAAGAAAAUUCCACCAAUUACCAUUAAUGUAAGGAAUUCCUGCUUCUUUUUUAGAAGAUCUUCUGGUUGUAUUUGGUUAAUAUCUCAUGCAGAAGAGACACAAAUAUAUAAAAGACAAACAAGUUUAAUUAAAGAGAUAGAAACAUAAAAUAAAUAUGUUUAUAAGAUAAUUUUAGAGUAAAUUUCUAUAUAUAUUUUCAAAUAAAAAACACAAAGAGACAUGUUCAGUACUUGUAUCAUAAGUUUUAUUAUCAUCAAACGUUUGCCUUUCACUACUUUUGCAUGUCUAUAAAGGAAUUUGAUUUCAUUCAAAACACAAUCUAAUAAUUUUGUAGAGAUAAAGAAGACAAGCACGUCGCAAACUGAUCAAUGGCCAUUGAAGUAGACAAAACAGUACUGACUAGCACCACCAGCUUUUACUUGCAUUUGGCUUGAAAGACGAGUGGACUACAUCAAGCAAAUAACAAAAAAAAGCAUGUAAAGAACUAUGAUUAAUUUAAUAAAAAGUAUCUUGCAGUAUUAGAAGGUUUCAGUGAUAUGCCUAUUAAAACAUAUUUGUCAAGUGAUUCUUUAUCCUACAUUGGUUAUAUAUUUAUUCGACGUGGUGGUACUAUUUGUCGUGAAUCCACAAAUACUAUUCAUCAUCAUAGUGUUCAUCUACAUGCAGAUCACUAUGGAUUGAAGCAGUAAUAUUUUUAAAAAAAUUUCAAUUUGGUUCUUAAAAUUUUAUUUCACAUGAUUUUAGCUCUUUUAAACCCAAAUUAUCACUCAAUUGCAUAUUUUUUUGGGAGAGAUGGUUGAAUUAAAAAACAUAGGACUGAAGUGAAAAAACAGGUGAAAUAGAUGGUGACCUUGAAAUUUCUCUUAAAAGUUCAUUUUUAUCCCCCAUAUUUUUUUUAGCUCUUAGGUGACCGGUCCCUUUAAUUUUUAAAAAUUUAAUUUUAAUAUUAAACUUUAUUUUUUUUAUUUUUCAGACUUUUUUAUGGGAGGAGAGAGAAAGUUGUCGUUGGUGAUGAUUUCAGCCAUUGAAAUAAUCAAUUUUUGUCUCAAAUAAUUCCAUCUAAAGAGAAGAGUUUGAAUUAAGUGUUUUGUUUUACCUUGAAAAUACCUAAAAAAUAGAUCCGAGCUCAAGAAGAUUUUUGAAUUCAGGUUGAUAUCAGAUUUUAAGGUGUUUUUUUUGUGUUUUUUUUAGUCCAUUAAUUGUUUAACAAGAUUUCUAAGGUAUUUUUUAGGAGUUUUAAAUAACAAAUAGAUUAAAAAUAAGUUUUUAGAUAAAAAAAUAUAAACAUCAGUUUUCCCGCUACAACAAUGGAUGGAAUCUAGAAAUCUAGAUGACACAUUAUCUUUUUUAAAAAAAAAAAACAGUGUCUGACCCCUUAGCUUAGAAAAUAAAAGCCCUUUGAUUAGCAGGCUUGUCAAUGUCUAAUCUCAUUCUUUCUUUCUUUUUUAAUUAGUACCUUUUUUAUAUAAUUUUUUAUUUUAUGUUUUACUAAUACAUCAUCUAUUGUUUUGGCUUAUUUAGAAUUUUUUAAAAUGAAAAUAGUUUAUUUAAUUAUAUUGAUUGUAUUUAAUUUUUAAAAAGGUUGAUAUGAUUUAUCUGUAAUUUUUUAUAUAAAUAUUUAUAUAUGGAUUAAAUUUACCUUUAAAAAAUUAAUUAAUUAUUUAUUAUAAUAUUUUUAAUAUGUACAGCCUUGUAUAAUAUUUUUUUCUCUCUUAUUUUAUUUAAUAAAUCUUAUAUUCUGGACAUAUCAGUAUGGUUGGUUAGGUUUGGUUUUGGGGUGAAAAAAGAAAAAUCCAACCACAUCAAAUUAAAUGUUAUGGUUUGUUUUAAUUCAAUUCAUUUUUUUAUUAAGAAACCCAAUUUCAUUCUUGGGUUUUUUAGUUGAUUUUUGUAGAUAGACUCUGAUGUAAUAGGCAUGGUUGUUUUUGAGGUUUUUUUAGUUUUUUAUUUUAAAAAAGCAAUUGUUUGGUUUCAUUCAGUUUAAUUUUUUUUAAUCUCUUAAAUCUAAAGCCAAUUUAAGAUCUUUUAAAACUUUCUAAUCGGUUUUUUUUUUAAUUUUAUAUUGGUUUUUUUUUUCAAUUAAUUUUAUGAUAAGAAUCUCGUUAUAAGAAGUAAAAGGAAAAAAAAAAAAAAACAAUUACAUGUCGCAGCCAUGUUUUCACAUGGCCUCCGUAAAGUUCGAACAUUAACAUGGUCUCUAGACAAUAAGAACCUGUUUGUAAGUUUAGCAGAAUUAUUUUUUAAAAUAUUUUCUAGUUUAAAAUAUAUUAUAAUAAUAUCUAGUUAAUUAUUUUUAACAUCAAUAUAUUAAAACGGUCUAAAAAUACUAAAUAAUUAAUUAAGUUUUUUUAUAAAAAAAAACCGGUUCAACUACGGGGCUAAGGAUGUGUUUGGAAGUAUGGUAGUAGUAAUUUUUCAAAGUGAUUGUACUUGAAAAUGUAUCAAAAUAAUAUUUUUUAUUUUUUAAAAAUUAUUUUGACAUCAGCCCAUUAAAACAAUACUCACAAAAUUGAGCAUCAACCUAAAAAUAAACACUUAUUUGAGACAAUUAUCCCUCGAAAGCAAACAAAAAGUAAUAAUGCAGUUCAUUUCCUAACCAAUUCAAUGUUAAAUGAUAAAAUCAAAAUAUUAAAAAUAAUUAAAAGACAAAAAAAACAUAUUAUAAUGGUGGGUAAACUCGUCAAACUUGUGAAUCGGGUAAGUCGAGCUAAUAUGACAAACCUGUAAAUUGGAUCAUUGACUCCAUUGGAAUUAUAAUUUGUUUUUUAAAGCUAUUUUCUUAGUUAACUAUAUGAUAAUAAAAAUAGAUAAUUACAAAAUCAAACACCAACUUAAUACCAAAAUGUUUUUAGAUCAUGAUAACCUCAUAAAAUGUGAAACAAAACCAAUUAUGAAACUAAAUUCACAAUUAAUCCAGUAUCCAAGGAUGAAAAAAAAAACUGAUUUAAAAAAGUUAAUCUUGUCAACUAGCCAAAUAUAUCCAUGGAAUUUAUAAAGUUUAAUAACAUAAUUUUUUCUAAAAAUUAUUUUUUUAACUAUAUAAGGAAAAAAUAGACUAUAAAAAAGUCAAGUUUAAUUAUAAAAAAAAAACCCCACCAAACUUGUAAACUAGGGCAACUUAGAUUACCUAGCAAACUCACAAACCAUGUUAACCUUAUAGAAAUGUAAAAUAAAAGAAACAAAUUAUAAAGUUAAAUUCUCAACCAUCUCAAUAUUAAAAGAUAAAAUUGAUAAAAAAAAAAUUUGAGAAAAAAAUCAUAACAAAAAUUAAAAAAACAAAAACAAAAAUGAAAGAAAGCAAAACAUUAUGGAUUACUAUUGUCAUUCACAAUACAAUGUGUGUGGGUGAACAAUGAUUUUCUCACACCCUUUAAUUUUUGUUAUUUUAUAAAGUUUAAUAACAUGACUUUUCUCUAAAAGUUUUUUAAUUAUAUGAGAAAAAAAUAGACUAUUAAAAAAGUCAAGUUCGAUUUUAAAAAAAAAUACAACCCACCAAACUCGUAAACCAGGGAACCCUAGGGUACUUUGGCAAACUCAUAAACUACACUAAUCCCAUAUAAAGGAAAAAAAAACAAACAAAUUACGAAACUCAUUUCUCAACCAUCUCAAUUUUAAAAAAUAAUAUUGACAAAAAUAGAUUUUAAAAAAAAUCAUAAUAAAAUUUCAAAAAAAAAGAAAAAAAAAAGCAAGACACGGUGGAUUAUUAUUGUAAUACAUAGUGUAAUGUGUGCUGGGUAAACAAUGGUUUCCCCUACAUCCUUUAAUUUUUAUUACUUCAUAAAAUUUAAUAAUAUGGUUUUUCUCUAAAAUUAUACUAUAAAAAAGCCAAGUUCAAUUAAAAAAAAACCUCACCAAAUCCAUAAACUGGGGUACCCUGAGUUACCUCGACAAAAUCGCAAACCACAUAGAAAGAAAAAAUAAAAAGAAAAAAAAUUAAAUUUAAAUUCUCAACUAUCUCAAUAUUAAAAAUGAAAUCAAUAAAAAUAAUUUUUUUUAAAAAUCAUAUAUAAGAAAAACAAUGAAAAGGAAAACAUCAUGUGUUCAAGGGAAAAAAAAAACAAAUAAUAUGAGGAAAUAUUAUAGCAAUCUAUAAUGUUUUAUGAGAAUAAUUGCAGUGCUAUCCCCAUAUAUUUUAAUUUUUCUUAUGAUAAUAAUAAUUAUAGUCUCUCAUGUCUCACAACUUUAUUUGUUUUUCUUGAAUAAGUGCUAAUGUUCUUUGAGGGGUCCAAGCACCAUAUAUUGAAAGAAAGAACUAGUUCAAAUUGAAGCACUAUUAGUUUUAGAAGCACCAUGAAGAUUCAGGCGUGUAAAGAUAUCAAAGGCUCCUGCCACAUGUCAAAAGAUUAGAGAAUGAAAUUGUUAGAAUACUGUUAGUAACUGUUAGUAUUGUUUGUCAGUUAAGAGAAUUAGUUAGCAUUGUUUCAGUGAAAUAAAAAGAGAAUAGAUAACGUGCAUAACCUUUCUACUAUAGCAUAUAUAAACAUGUCAGAUAAGAGAACUGUAAUCAAUUAAUAAAAGAAUCAGUGCUAAAGUUCUUCUUCUUCUUCUUCUCUGUUUAACAGAAUCACUCUCUGCUUUUCUUCAUCUUUAUUCUCUGUUUUUCUUCAUCUCUAUUCCUUUUCUGUGUAAAUCUUACUGUCCUCACAAGGCCCACAUCUUGCUUAUAAUACCCAAGAUCCUAGCACCUUGUAUUUAUAAACGCUAGACACAGCUGCUGUUUCAAUGAAUAAUUCUCCACGCUAUUAUUGAUAAAUAUUGUGUGCUAUAUAUACAGCAGUGUGGAAAUUCAGUUUAGGAAAAAUAUAAAUGGUAAUGCUAAAACUAUGCUAUUACAAUAUACAGCUGCAGAAUUCAAGUUUGGAAUCGGCUCCAAAUAUAGCGUUAAUGGCAGAAUCUUUGCCAUGAUUUUCGGCUACACCUUCUCUGUUUUGAUUUGAGCAGAUUCUCUGCUAGUUUCCCUGAUAGUAUUUAAAUGAAAGAAAAAGAGAAGGGCAAAAGACUGCCAUGAGGCAACCUCAAGUAUCAUACACCUCUGUUUUUGUCCUUUUCAUUUUUCACGUGUUUCUCACAAGAAGCGAACAUAAAGUGCUGGAAGGAAUUUUUUGUUGCAGCGUGAGAUAAGUUUAACUCAUUGCAUUUUCAUAAAUUAAAGGGCUUUGUCUUCUUUUCUUUGUCAAUUACAGUGCAUGUAUAAAAGUUUUAUUGCUCAGAGUAAAUGCUAUUGUAAUGUUUUCGCAGAGACUCCCCUGCUUUGCAACCAAUUCACUUAUAUAUCUUGGAGCAUAGUCAUAGCCAUAAAUGGAAGGUUCUUCCGGUUCAAGAAAAUUAACCACGAAGCUCGUAACUAGAAUUUAGAGUGACCAAGGUCUUUUUCAAGAACAAGGGAAGUGUGCAAAAUGCAAAUAACGAAUCAAUACAUAAAUAAUUAAGUAAAAAGAGAGGACACAGAAGUAUAUCCUCAGACGAUGAAAAUACAGAAAGCCUAGCAUAUUAGAAAGAGCAUUUAUCCAUUUUCCCCCUUCUCUUGUAACAUGGACUGCUAAGAAAUCUAAUGUUUUGUUAUUGAUACGUGAGUUCAGUCUGAUUAUCUGUUGUGCAUACUGGACCGAAAGCAAACACAAAUAAAACACAAACAAGCAGAUUUACGUGGUUCCCCAAAACCGGGUACGUCCACGGAGGCAGCAGAUUGUAUAUUAUUGGAGGAAUGAUACAAACACUCAACUCAACCCAGUACAAUCCCACAAAACCCAGUGUUUCACUCUUACACUCGGUGUUUCUCUCAAAUCUGCACUCUUUCACUCUCACAGUUGCACUAUUUUCUUCUGCACACUUGCACUCACACUGCACUCUCUCGUUCCUCUCUUCUAUCUUCUAUCUUUCACACACAUUUACAGGAGAAAGGAAAGCAUAAAUAUAAUGGAUGAAAAGGAGAGGGUGGUUGAAAAGGAGAGAGUGGUUGAUGGUUGUUGAGAAAAAAUAUUGACAAUUAGCAAAUGUUGACAAUUUGCUACAAAUCUCCACCUUGGCAAGAUUUUUCCAUUCAAUCCUCGUGAACAAUCAAUGCUACCUCCAAUGCGUCAUAUGACGCUGCACCCUGAAGGUGCUCAACACCGAGAGAUGUUGACCAAGUCCAAACAAUGUUGGAACUUGAUCCCUGAGACACAUUUUGUGAGCAUGUCAGCUGGAUUAUAUGCGGUACCAAUCUUCUGUAGCAGAAUAUCCCCUUCAUCCACAAUUUCUCGAACAAAAUGAAAUCGAACAUCGAUGUGCUUGGUGCGGGAAUGAUGAACCUGAUUCUUUGCAAGACAAAUAGCACUUUGACUAUCACAAUGGACAUCCACGUGCUCUUGAACAAUUCCCAAAUCUUCAAUCAACCCAUGUAACCAAAUAGCUUCCUUGAAAGCUUCCGUUACUGCCAUGUACUCUGCCUCAGUUGUUGACAAAGCUACUGUUGAUUGUAACGUUGACCUCCAACUUACAGGCCCUUUAGCAAGUGUAAACACGUAGCCUGUUGUGGAACGACGUUUGUCUAAGUCACCAGCAUAGUCCGAGUCCACAUAACCAACUAAAUUUUGCCCAAGUCUAUCAUCCCUCUCAAACUUCAAACCAAUAUCAGUUGUGCCAUGAAUGUACCGUAGAAUCCACUUAACUGCCUGCCAGUGACCCUUUCCCGGAUCAUGCAUAUACCUGCUCACCAUACUGACAGCAUGUGAAAUAUCUGGUCUCGUACAAACCAUUGCAUACAUUAAUGCACCAACUGUAUUUGCAUAAGGAAUUUGAGCCAUAUGCUUGCGCUCUUCCUCUGUGCGUGGAGACAUUGAAGCACUUAGCUUAAAAUGAGGAGCUAAAGGUGUGCUUACAGGCUUGGUCUUACCAUCUACCCCAAAUCUCUGUAGAAUUUUCUUCAAGUAUUGGGUCUGUGUCAAACAGACUGUGCCUUUUCUUCUGUCUCUCUGAAUCUCCAUGCCAAGAAUCUUCUUAGCUUCUCCAAGGUCCUUCAUUUCAAACUCAGUGCUCAGUUGAGCUUUCAGUCUAUCAAUCUCCACCUUGCUCUUCGAUGCGAUCAACAUAUCAUCCACAUAUAAGAGCAAAUAGAUGAAAGAACCAUCAAGAAGUUUGCGAAAAUAUACACAGUGAUCAAACUGACUCCGUGUGUAUCCAUGUUCUGCCAUGAACUUAUCAAAUCGCUUAUACCACUGGCGAGGAGAUUGUUUCAAUCCGUAUAAUGACUUCUUCAGUUUACAAGCCCAAUUCUCUUUCCCAGUGACUUUGAAACCAUCUGGCUGAGACAUGUAAAUUUCCUCUUCCAAAUCUCCAUGUAGGAAGGCAGUUUUCACAUCAAGUUGGGCUAACUCCAAAUCAAACUGUGCAACCAAGGCUAACAGAAUACGGAUUGAUGAAUGCUUAACAACUGGAGAGAAUACCUCAUUAUAAUCUAUCCCCUCCUUCUGAGCAUAGCCUUUUGCUACCAAUCUCGCUUUGAAUCGGAUGUUGUCUUUUCCAGGAUUACCUUCCUUCUUGGCAUAUACCCACUUGCAACCAAUUGUCUUCUUUCCUUUAGGGAGUUGUACCAAAUCCCAAGUCUGAUUCUUAUGGAGAGAUUUCAUCUCUUCAUCCAUUGCCUCUUUCCAUUUUGCACUUUCUACACUCUGUACUGCUUCUUUGUAGGUGUAGGGGAUUCCAUCAUCAAUCACCGGAAGUGCAUAAGCCACCAUGUUACAAUACCGAGCAGGUUUCUUGAUAACCCUUUUUGGUUUACUCGUUGCAAUGGAUUCUUGUUGUGUGGUUGCUGGAGUUGUUGCAUCCUCUUCAUCUGAACUUUCAUCUGAAUCUCCUUCAGUAGAGAUUGUCUGAACAGUCUUUAUAGGGAUGACUGAAGUCUCCAACUCCACCUGUUGUGCAUCACCAGACUGUUUUUCCUUCUCCUGUGAUUUCUCUUGCUGUAACAUGCCAGACUCAUCAAAAGUGACAUCUCUACUCAAGAUCACUUUCUUUGAUUCAGAACACCAGAGUCUGUAGCCUUUUACUCCUCCACUAAAGCCCAAAAAUAUAGCUUUCUUGGCUCUAGGAUCUAGCUUGGACUCAGUAACAUGAUAAUAUGCUGAGCAACCAAAUAUACGCAUAGAGUCAUAAUCAUUUGCAGGAGAGCCUGACCAUACCUCUAAGGGGGUUCUUCCAUUUAAUGCUGCUGAAGGUAACCGGUUAACAAUAUGACGAGCAUAACUUAAUGCCUCGCCCCAGAACACUUUGCUUAGUCCCGAAUGUGAUAGCAUACAUCGGACUUUCUCCACCAAUGUGCGGUUCAUGCGUUCUGCUACUCCAUUCUGUUGUGGUGUUUUGCGAACAGUAAAAUGUCGCUUGAUCCCUUCAUUCUGACAAACUUCAAAGAAAGGAUCUGAAGUGUACUCACCACCAUUAUCUGACCGAAGAGUCUUAACCCUCCUUCCAGUUUGAGUCUCCACCAUUUUCUUCCAUUUCAGAAAGAUAUCAAGGACCUCAUCCUUGUGUUUCAUCAUGUACACCCAUACUCGUCUUGAGAAAUCAUCAAUAAAAGUAACAAACCAACGAUUACCUCCAAGAGAUUCAUUCUUUGAAGGUCCCCAUACAUCUGUGUGAACAUAAUCUAGGAUCCCUUUUGUGUUGUGUACUGCAGUGCCAAACUUGACCCUUGUCUGUUUUCCAAGAACACAAUGCUCACAGAACCCAUGCUUCCCAGUCUUGGCGCCUUUUAAUAGACCUUGCUUGACUAAUCCUUGCAAAGCCUUUUCACCAGCAUGCCCUAAGCGCAUGUGCCAAAGUCUGGAAUUAUCUGCUUCAUCAUCUUCUAUACUUUUGGAAACAGCUGCUGUACCAGUAACUGUAGAUCCAUCCAGGAAAUAUAAGUUUCUUAUCCUCGUGCCUCUUAAGACAACUAAUGCACCACGAAUUGCUUUCAGGACUCCACCAUGCAUGAUAAUCUUAUAACCACUGGAUUCUAGGACUCCAAGUGAGAAGAGAUUUUUCUUCAAGUCAGGUACAUACCGUACAUCUGUUAGUGUCUUGACUACCCCAUUAUGCAUCUUCAGAUGGAUAGUCCCAAUCCCUUUGAUCUCACAAACAUCAUCAUUACCCAUCAACACAACUCCUCCAUCGAACUCCUCGAGUCUCGAGAAUAAGUGCUUGUUAGGGCACAUGUGAUAGGAACAUGCAGAAUCAAGAAUCCAUUCACCAGAAUGGUUUUCUGGUGAUGAGACCAUGAAUGCAGAGUCUCGUUCAUCCUCAUCCCGUGCAACGUUCACAGUUGGUUCAUCUUUUUCCUUGUUGCCCUUGAUUGGACAAUCUUUCUUCCAGUGCCCUUUUUUGUGACAAAAGGCACACUCAUCUUUUGCAAGAUAUCGUCUGUUUGAUGAUUCUCCUCUGGAUUUUGAGCGAGAUCUCCCUCGCCCUCGAAAUCUUCUGGGGUUUGUUCUGCCUCUAACUGUCAAUGCUUCUGACGUUGACUCCUUGUGAACAAUCUGGUCCUUCUUUCGGUACUCAUUAUUCACCAAAGCAUUGGACACAUCAAUGAAUUUAAUCUUUUCUUUACCAUACAGUAAAGUGGUGACGAGAUGUUCAUAUGUGUCAGGCAGUGAAUUCAAUAAUAGCAGAGCUUUAUCUUCAUCAUCAAUUUCCACAUCUAAAUUCUUCAAAUCAGCUAUCAUUUUAUUGAAAUCAUUUAGAUGCUCAUUCAUAGAAGUACCUUUCUUGUGCUGAAAACGGAAGAUCCUUUUCUUCAGGUAGAGACGAUUCUCUAUACUCUUCUUCAUAAACUUGUCCUCCAGUGCUUGCCAUAAUUCCUUUGCAGAGUUUUGUUCUGAAAAGGCGUACUUCUGAUCCUUUACAAGACAAAGUCGGAUGGAACUGCAGGCCAACCGAUUUAUCCUUUCCCAGCUUUUAUCAUCCAAAUCCUCCGGUUGAUCUUCUAAAGUGAAAUCCAAAUUCAUUUGGACAAGCAUAUCCAUGACUUCACAUUUCCACAUGCCAAAAUUACCUUUCCCAUCAAACUUCUCCACCUCAAAUUUGGUAUUCGAUACCGGGAUGUAUUGUGGAGGUAUACUAGCAUUCCCCGCUGAUUUUUCUUCUGGAAUAUCAGCCAUUAGGACGUCUUUGGAUUACAAAUGGACUCCUGAAAUUGUUAAAACACGCACUUUUAUGCUCAAAAGAGCCAAAACAGUAACUUCGGUGUGCUGUUUCACAAAACGGACAUCACGGUUGCGUCCGGAAUGGUUGAAAAUGCUAGGAACCAACUUGACUCGGCCAAAAAACAGGUCAAAAAUCACUGAGUUGGCCAAAAAACCAAUCUGACCGAGUUGACUCAGGGAAGGAAUAUUCUGUCUCUGAUAAAGAAUAUUCUGUCACGGGAAUAUUCUGUUACUGGUAACGGAAUAUUCUUAUUCUGUCAAGAGAAUAUUCUGUCACUGUUAGAUGACAUGUCUGAUGACGUGGCUGAUGACAGGGCGAUGUGGACCCUCUGUUGAUGACGUGGAUGAUGACUCAGCGCCUACGUGUCGGAUGACGUGGCUGUCUUCUCAGGCGAGAAUUCCGGCAAUGACUGGUUUUUCCGGCAGAUUUCCGGCGAAACUUCGGCGAGCUCUACAGGGCUCGUUUCAACUCCGAUUUCGAUGAUCUUUAUAUCGCCGGACUCGUAUGGACGAGAGGAAUCUCCUCAGCUGGUCAAAAGCAAGAUCUGAGAACUUUGAAAAUUCUGCAACUUUGAACAGAGAGCUGAAAAACGUGUUUUUUCAGUGUUCUAGCUUCCCUAAUGCUCUGAUACCAAUUUGUUGUGCAUACUGGACCGAAAGCAAACACAAAUAAAACACAAACAAGCAGAUUUACGUGGUUCCCCAAAACCGGGUACGUCCACGGAGGCAGCAGAUUGUAUAUUAUUGGAGGAAUGAUACAAACACUCAACUCAACCCAGUACAAUCCCACAAAACCCAGUGUUUCACUCUUACACUCGGUGUUUCUCUCAAAUCUGCACUCUUUCACUCUCACAGUUGCACUAUUUUCUUCUGCACACUUGCACUCACACUGCACUCUCUCGUUCCUCUCUUCUAUCUUCUAUCUUUCACACACAUUUACAGGAGAAAGGAAAGCAUAAAUAUAAUGGAUGAAAAGGAGAGGGUGGUUGAAAAGGAGAGAGUGGUUGAUGGUUGUUGAGAAAAAAUAUUGACAAUUAGCAAAUGUUGACAAUUUGCUACAUUAUCUGCGUAAAAUAUCUCUGGAGAUGCUUUCGAUGGAGAUUAGGUCUCAAAACGCUAUGCCCACUGCCCCCAUGGAUCCAGAGCGUGAAAAUGAAGCCGAGCAUUGAAUUUCUAAACAUCAUUUCCUUUUGUUUUAUAUUUCGCAUUGUUACCAAACUCUUUUACAUUUUAUUGCUGCAUAUAUUGCUAUGUAUAUACCAUGCUUUAAUCAAAACCUAUAAUGCAGGAAUAUCUGCAGAUGGCCAUUCCCAAAGGGAAAACUAAUCUUCCCUAGAAUAUUACAAAGUGCCAUUUCUACAGUGAGAAUAGCGUUUCGUUUUGGUUGUUUUGUUGAUGAUAACUAGAUCUUAAAACUAAUCCCUGUACUUUUACAUGAUGCUAUAAACUGGUCCCUUUUAUUAGUAAAAUGUUGAGCCAGUCAAUUGAUUAUUUAAAAAUCUUGAGGGAUUAAUUUGUUUGUUUCACAAAAAAAGACACUGAUUAAAUAAAAAAAUUAUCAUCAUAUGCAUGAGUGUUUACUUGUCCAACAACAGUUUGCAAGGGGCAGAUCCUUGGAUGGAUAUUAGAGGUGAGCAAAAAAACCAAUAAACAGAUUAAACAAAGAAAACAAAAAACAAAUAACCGAAAAAACCGAACCGAAAAAAAACUGAAUUAACUGAUUAAAAAAUCACAAAAAAAUUCCGGUUCGGUUUGGUUUCGGUUUCUAAAGUCUGAAACAGAUUGAACCAAACCGGUUAAACCAUGCCAGCACUUAAAAAAAAAAAGUAUAAAUAUGAUGUUUUUUCUAACACUAAACCUAAAGUAACAUUCAGUCGCGACCCCCGCCCCCCCUUCCCUUUGCUCUCUACAUCUCUUCUCUUUGAUUUUUCUUCAUGCUCCACAAUUGUUACUUGUUAAGCUCCUGCUCCAUGCUCCUAAAGGUCCUAAACCAACGCCCCCCCCCCCCCUUCUCUGCCUCUCAUCAUCUUCUCACAACCCCUCCUUUUUUCUCCCUUUUUCUCUCUGCCUCUCAUCUCUCCCCGUAGCCCCCCCUCCUUUUCUCUCUAUCUCUCAUCUCUGCAUCUUAUCUUCUCCACUUCAAGUUUGUGGGCACUGGGCAGAUAAAAAAAAGAGAUGGCUUUUUGAUGAUUAAGAUUCUAACUCCACUUCAAGUCCAUCCCUGCAUCUUGUGGGUUUUUGCUUUUUUUUUAUUAUGCUAUAAUUUGCUUGUAGUUUGUGGGCAAAUAUGUUUUUCAAAUAUGUCUUGGUCAUGUAAAUUGGAAUAAGUUUCUGAAUAACAAAAAUGAGAUUUGCUUUUCGGUUUUAUCGGUUGUCAUAACCCAAUUUUUUACCCUUUUAUUUUAAUUUUAUGAUAAAAAGAAAAAAUGAUGAAAAAAUAUAUAUAUAUAAUAAUGAUGAAAAAAAUAAAAAUGAAAUAAAUGAAGAAUGAAUUAAAAUUUGGGUUAAUGGCAACAUGAUUGGACGCUUAAAGAUUUAAUUUUUGACUUGUCUAAUUAAUCAAAUCAAUUGUUUAAUUGGAGAAUUGAUAAGUUUUGGGACUUAAUUAAGCUUGAAAUUAAUUUAAUUAAUCCAAUCAAGGGUUUAAUUGGAGAAUUGAUAAGUUUUGAGACUUAAUUAAGCUUGAAAUUAAUUUAAUUCAUCCAAUCAAGGGUUUAAUUGGAGAAUUGAUAAGUUUUAAACUUAAUUGGACUUUGGAUUUAAUUAAAUUAAUGAAAUCAGGGACUUAAUUGAAGAAAUAGCAAAGUUUGGGGUUAAUUGGGAGUCCCAAUUGUGAAAUUAAAAUCCAAGGAUUACAUUGAAAAAGGCGCGCAAAUGCAGGGGGCCAAUUACAGUUUAAACCAGGGGUUUAAUUACAAGACUUUCAAAACUGCAUGGAUCAAAACGAAAAAUGGCCGAACGACGUCGUUUUGAAGAUGUUGUUCAUCUUCUUCUCCUUUAUGCCAGUGACCGUUUCCGCAGUAAUGGAGGGAGGAACAUUGCAGCAGUAAUCGUCGUCCGUUGGCUUCAGUUAUGAGCGCCUUAAUGGUGGCCGACUGUUAGCCUACCGCCCGUUAUCAACCCGCCAAGGCCUAUAUAAACCGAGCAGCACCGAAGAGGAGCGAGGUUAGAGGGAGAGAGAGAGAGAGAAAAGAAACCGAAAAGAAGAGAAACACAACCAAAGCACACAAUUUUUAGGUUCAUCUCCAGAACUCCCAUACCAGAACUAGGCUUCCCUCACCAGUUCUGACUUAAGAAAAACGAGAGAGAAAACCGGCCGAAAGAGAGAGAGACGGUGUUCUGAAAAACAGAGCAAAAGAAACGAAGAAAAAUAAACCAAAACAGAGACGCAGGAAAGGAAUACAACAUGAAAACCAGAAGGAGUAAGAAGAAAUUCGAAGGCAGAAGCGUCGUCCUCAGCAAUCACGAACAAAUUCCCUGCAAACGAACCAGGUAAGUCUUCUGCUCUGUUUCCCUCGCUUUGCCUUAUUUCAUUUUCGACGUCCGUGUUUAAUUCAAUAACAGGGCCAUGUACGCGUGAUUUAGAUCACGCGUGCCUAGUGUGGCCCAGCCAGGUCACUGGCUUGGGCCAGUGACCGGGCUGGGCUGGCUGGGUCUAGCCCAGCCCAUGUGGGCUGAGCUGGGCACAGCCCCAAAAACAUAAAAAAUAGAAAAAUAGAAAAAUAGAAAAAAAAUAAUAAUAAUAAAAAAAUAAAAAAGUAAAAAAGGUAGAAAAAAUAAAAAAUGUGUAUGCAUAAAUAAAAAUAAUAUGAAUUUAUUGGUGUAUUCAUUGACGCCAGAGUCAGGAAUAAAAAUACCGGUUUAAAUUUAUAUUAUUUUUAUUCAUUGUAUUUUAUUUUAUUUAGCUAGAAAAUAAAAAAAUAUGUGCAUGUGUAAAAAAUAAUUUUUUUUAUGUGAAUAUUCACUUGCGCCAGAGUCAGGAAUAUUAUAAGAAAAUUAUCAUAGCAUAAACUAAUAAAUAUUUAGCAAUUUAAGACAAAACUAGCAAUGCAGUCUGCCUCAGGCAGAACGUUUAAGGGGUGAUAAUAUCUUCCCUUUUACGUAAUCAAUCCCGAGCCAUAGAAUCUCUGAUGACCAGUUAGGGUUCCUAGUGACCGUAAUACUAGGUGGCGACUCCUUAUACAAGACCUUUUCCCCUAAAAGAACAAGAUGCCAGAAAUCUGUUCUUUUUUCACAAUCUAGAAUUAUUUGUGGGCCGCCGUGAUGUCGGGUGCGACAUCGGUUUUUGAACAACAAAAGUCGAACCGAACCGAACCGAAACCAAUAAAUUUGAACCGGUUUCGGUUCGGUUUUGAUUUUAAAUUUUAAAAUUAAUAAUGUCGGUUUGGUUAAUUUUUUCAUGUAAAAAUUGAACCGAACCGAACCGAAAAUGAUCACCCCUAGGGAAUAUGUCUUCUCUUGAAUUCUUGAACCUAUCAGGGGACAAUUUCUCUGGUCUUUUACUGCCUAGAUUCAGCAAUUCCUCAAAAUUGAGAUAUGUUUAUUUGUCUAGAAAUAAAUUGCAAGGACCAAGCGCAAUAAAAUUUUAUGAUUCCUUUGAGAUAUUAGCCUUAGAUCUUUCCCAUAAUGAUUUAACUAGUAGGAUUCCAGAAUGGAUUGACAGGUUAUCUAACUUGAGAUUUCUACUUUUGAUUUAUAACAAUCUUGAAGGUAAAAUCCCAAUUCAAUUAUGCAAGUUCGACCAAUUAACCUUGAUUGAUCUAUCUCACAAUUAUCUUUCUGGUAACAUCCUCUCUUGUAUGAUAUUUACUCAUCCUUUCCCUAUUCAAUACAAUUCUCGUGAUUUUGUGUCCUUAUCACAACAACCUUUCGAGUUUACAAUGAAGAAUGUAUCUCUUUUUAAUAGAGGCAACAUUAUCUGGAAUUUCACUGGAAUUGAUGUCUUAUGCAACAAUUUCACAGGAGAGAUUCCCCGUGAAAUUGGAAGCCUCAGCAUGAUCAAGGUAUUGAAUCAUUCCCACAACAUUCUAACUGGACCAAUUCUAUCAAUAUUUUCAAACUUAAAGGAAAUAAAGAGCUUGGAUCUUUCCUACAACAAAUUGGAUGGAAAAUCCCAUCUUGACUAUAGAAUUUUUCAGUGUGGCACACAAUAAUCUGUCUAGCAAGACUCUUGCAAGAGUUGCACAAUUUGCCAUGUUGAAGAGAAUUGCUACAAGGGCAACCCUUUUCUUUGUGGAGAACCGCUACCCAAAAUAUGUGGUGCAGCUAUGCCACCAUCACCAAUGCCAACUUCAACGAACAAUGAGGAUCAUGGUGGCUUCAAUAAUCUGUUUGAAGAGAGCUGCUACAAGGACAACCCUUUUGCAUGUGAGCUUUAAGGUUGCAUAGAUCAUGGUGUUGUUGGUGAUAGGUGCAAUUCUGUACAUAAAUUCAUAUUGGUGACAAGCUUGAUUUCACUUUAUUGAGGUGAGCAUCAAUAAUUACUAUUAUUUUCUUGUGGAGAAUCUUUCCAUUUUAUCUAAGUUUGGAUUUUCAUAGCCUUUUAUCUUGAUGGUACUAAGCCUUGGUGCAUUGUUUUGGAUUUUAGUUUCAAGAUUUAAAUAAGUUUAUAUUGAUUUUCAUAUGAGUUUUGUUUUUGUUUUUAGCUUCUAUGUGAUAUAUAAUAAUCAAGUUUUUUUUUUUUUUUAAAGGUUAUCUAAGUUUUUUUAGCUGUUUUUUUUAUGCUUUUUAGGAUUUUUUUUUUUGCUUUUUUCUUUAUUUUUUUUAAUUAAUUUUUUUCGUUUAGUUUAGUUUGUUAAUGUUAAAUUUCUUUCUAUUUAGUUAUUAGACUUUCAUGACACAUAUCUCGAGUUUCACGGGUUAACCUGGUUUCACGGGUGAACCCAGUUAAUUCCGGGUUGACCCGUCAAUUUUUUAUUAUUAUUAUUUUCAUAAAUAUUUUUUUUUAAUUUAGUUUGUUAAUGUUAAUUUUUUUUUAUUUAGUUAUCAGACUUUCAUGACACAAAUACUGGGUUUAACAGAUUAACAUGGUUUGACGAGUUAACCCGAAUUUUUUUUCUUUUUAAUUAAUUUUUUUUGUUUAGUUCAGUUUGUUAAUAUUCACUUUUUUUUAUUUAGUUACCAGACAUUCAUGACACAGAUCCCGGGUUUAACGGGUUAACUUGGUUUGACGAGUUAACAUGAAUUUUAUUUUAUUUUUUGCUUUUUUUUUCUUUUUAAUUAUUUUUUUUCGUUUUGUUUUGUUUAGUUUGUUAAUGUUAAAUUUCUUUCUAUUUAGUUUUUUUUCUUCUUAGAGGUUUUUUUUCUUUUAUUUGUUAUUUUUAAUUAAUUUUAUUUAAUUAAUUUAGUUUAUUAAUAUUAAAUUUUUUUCUAAGUAGUUCUCGACUGAUGCCUUUAGUUUUUUUUUUAUGCCUUUGACUGUGAACUGCACAGUGCAGUCCACUGUGAAAAGGCUGAUGCUUUUUUUUAAUUAAUUUUUUUUGUUUAAUUUAAAUUGUUAAUGUUAAAUUUUUUUCUAUUUAGUUAUCAAACUUUCAUUACACGGAUUCUGGGUUUGACAGGUUAACCUGGUUUGACGAGUUAGCCUAGUUAAUUCUGGGUUAACCCAUUAAUUUGUUUUUUUCUUUUUAACUAUCAAGCUUUCACGAUGCAAAUUCAAUGUAUGACGGGUUAACCUGGUUUGAAGGGUUAACCCAAUUAAUUCAUUUUUUUUUUCAUUAGUUUUUUUUUCCUGUUAGUUUUUUUUUAACUAAUUUAUUAAAUUAUCACACUUUUAUGACACAACCUUGCAGCCAGACCCAUGUCCAAUGUUAUUGGGUCUGGUAUUGCAAUCCAGACAUUUUUAUGCUAAGGGUUAACCCAAGUUUAAUGUUAUUAUUAAUAUUAUAAACAUUACUCUUAGAUCAGGCGUUGCAACCAAACCUGAGACUCUUGGGUAUAACUUUGUAAAAAAACCUAAUACUUUUAGAUCUUAACUAUUUUUAAAAUGCAAAAAAUAAUUGACCUGCGGCAUCGCGCGGGGCAUGUAACUAGUAGAUUACUAAAGGGGAUCGAUUUUGAUUAUGAUUUGGUGUGGGAAAUUCUCUGCGUGCCUACAUAGAGUGUGGCUUCUUGAAACUCCAAAAAAUAUAUAUAGGUGUUUGCCUAAACCAGUAUUGGGCAGAUAAAGAUAAGCCAGGAUUGCCGAGGAAGAGGCUGUUCAGGUAGUCCGAACAGGGAUCUAUAAUCAUUAGUUAUAUAAUCAACCCUAAUCAGAAUUUCCCAAGAAAGAAUUAACUAAAGACUUCAGUUAAUGCUGAUGAACACGAGUAAAGGAUUUGCUAAAGACAAAACCAUGUAUUUAAGAACCAUUGCUAAGCUACAGGUUCUGGAGCCACAAACCACUCACAUUUACUGGGGUUGAUCCCAAAUUGAGACAAAUCUAUUUGUCCGGUUCGGAGAACCUUCAAACAAAAAGAAGAGUUAAACCUUGUAAAAUUGACUAUAUAUCAUCAAAAGGACAAGAAACACACAGGAAACCUCAUAAUUACCUCAGAAUGCACCGACGUAAAACACACAGGAAAUCCCAACACAUCAUAAGACAACAAAAGAAAACAUAUAUUUAGCAGAAUAAAAAGGUUGUACAAUUCUUUCACAGCUUACAGUACGUAUAGAAUAAGCAUUAAUAAUUACCUUCAUCUGGAUCACCCGAACUACCUGCAACAUGUAUCAUCACAUCACGCGGGCCACCCUAAGUACAACAAACAAGGAUAUGGUCACUUGCACUAUCUAAGCAGAACACACCUCCAGCACCAAUAUUACUCAGGAUUCUUUGCAAGUCUUCCAAUUUCACUGGUUCUGAUGAAGAGUUUACAUCACUCAUUACUUCUGCACCAAGGUCUGGGACAACUGAGUUUCCAGUCCUGAGAGCGAUGAGCAAAAAUCUCAUCGGAAUAAAAGAAAAUGGCCACGUAAUAUAUACCUGGCCAUUUGUUUUUGGUAACAAAAGUGCUCCUUAACCUUUUUGAAGUUAUUUUAGAAUGAAUUACAAGCAUUAAACAUUUAUAUAUAUGGACAAACACCGAGUUUAUGCAAGUCUGUGCAAGGGCAAUAUGGGGUGAAGGAUUUGACAUGGGCUAAGGUGGGUGAGAUGUUUUUGUCAAGAAAUGAUUUUGGAAAAUUUCUUGAUAUUUCAUGAAUAAAUAAGAUAUGAGUCUUUAUCAAGGAAAGAACAUAGGCUCUCCAAGAUGAUUGACCAGAAGGAGAGAAGGGAGGCUCAUUCUGCUCCACUGACUCUUAGUCUCAAAGAACAAAAAAUUACAUAGCUCUAUAUCCUUACUCUUACUUGCUAUAUCAACUCUUAGAGUUGAAGUAUCAUCUUUGACUAUGCUUCUUUGUUAUAAUAAAUAUACCUUGAUGAGAUAUUAUCUUCAAGCAUGUCUUCAAAAACUUGGAAAGGAGUAGAAGCAUCAGGCUCUUCUUCAUCAACUACACCAAAUUGUUUGCAUUUAAGAGAUCGGGGGAGGGGGGCAGAAGAUUAGACUUUGCAUUUAAAUAUAAGCCAAGAUGAUUAGGAACAAAAUAAUGACGAGUAGCAUGGCUAACAAAGGACUCAAAACACAAAAUUGUUUACCAAAUGGACGAUUAAUAUAAUAGUUGAAAGAGCUACAUAAUUGUGAAUCAUCUUUAGCUUUUGGCUCCUGCAAACAUGUUACACAAUUUUCCAAAAUCAUGCAGCUAACAGCUGAGUCAAUGUUACACAUAAGAGAGUGAAAAACGCAGAAAGUGAACCUGACCUGCACCCAAAUGAAAAACUUUCGAUCAUCUGUAUUGAAUUUCAAGAUGUAAACUCUUCCCAAAGCUUGAUUAACCUGAAUAACCCAAGGAAUUAUGAAUCUAUGAUAUUACAAUCAAUUAUUAGAGUCAAAUAUCUUCCAUCUAAGAAAAAACUAGGAGAGAAAAGUGUACCUUCUCAAAAACAGCAUCUUCAGAAAAAAAUAAUAUGAUCCUGUCAAUCAACGCGUCAAGAAAAAGCUACCAAAGUUCUCACCUCAAAAGAAUAUUAACAAAACAAACAACAGAAAAAAAAAUAAAAACCAAAGUUGGAAGGGAGAAACAAAAUCCCCAGGCUCAAAAACAUAAUAAUAACUAGGAUACAUCUUCCACAGCAUUCAAAUUCCUAUCAAGCCACUGGAAAUGAAGCAAACCCUCAUCACCCUGGAACAAUUCAAAAAUUUCGACUUCAAACAGGAAACAAGAUGCUAGAAACACUCUAUCUAGUACUUAAGAUAAACCAAAACAAUAGAAUUAACUAAAAAUCUUUACACAGACACGAACUCUAUAUAACACAAAAAAAAAAAACCAAAAGACACCAGUUUACCCUUCCAAUGCGAACAAGUCCUUUUCGAGAAUCAGGAACAAACUUUUUUCCAACGAAAACCAUUUUACCAGCACGAAACUCCAACAUAAUUUCCUACCAACAAAACAACCACAACACCAUAACAUAACCCCACCAAGAAAAACAUACUUGUACAUCCAACAAAGCAAUUACAGGCUCUAAUUAAAAAGAAACAGAGAUUUUAAGCAAAACCCACAAUUUUAAAAGUGAUUUUAUUUACCUGCAUUGCUGAAAUAUCUACAGUUGAUGAAGAACCCAUUUUUCGCAUACUUCCUCUAAAGCUUCCUUUUUUUCAACACUGCAAAAAACAAAAAACAAAAAAAAGAAGGACAAAUCAAAUACCCAAAUCAGAAACAAUAACAGAAAAAAAAUAAAAGAAAAUCCAAAGCUGGAAGUUGUAAUCAGGAGGAGAACCAGACAAUUUCAGAUAGAAUGACAUUUUAUCAAGAAUUGAACUGGGCAUUCAGUUAAUUAAAUAGGUUGUAAUCAGGUGAGAGUAGUGUCAACAACAUGUUUAGUUUUCCUCUCGGAAGUGCCAUUCUGCACAAGUCAGUGUUUUAAAAAUAUUUUUAAAAAAAUUUUAAUUUGUUUUUUUAGUGGUUUUAAUUUAUUUUCAUGUAUUAAUAUUAAAAAUAAUUUUAAAAAAUAAAAAAUAUAUUAUUUCAAUUUAUUUUAAAAUAAAAAAAACUUAAAAAAUACUGUUAACACAGUAUUAAACAAACUCUAAUCCUAUAACCAGAUGAACAACGUUAAGAUAUUUGUUUUUUGUUUUUCUUUUUUUUGAUAAUGAGACUGUCGUAAACAAUCUUGCCUAAUGAUUGUUAAGAAAUGAAAGAGGCAAUGCAUGGCUAAACCAAUGGAAGCUAAAAAGCUAAUGUUAUCCCUAGUAAGCAAUUGUUGCCGCAAUGACAUAUGCCUCGUUAGAGAUAUAUUUGAAUUUACAUAUUAUUAUUAUCAUAUAUUUUGUAUUGUCGUUUAAAAAAUAAAUAUUUUCCUUAUAUAGAGUAGAAUGUUUUUAAUUUUAUCAUUUAAAAUUUAUAUAUUUUUUAAAAAAUUAAUACAAUAUACAGUUAAUUAAACAUCUAUAAAUUAAUAUCAUUGAGAACAUGAAAUUUAUUAAUUAAUUAAGAUGUUAUUUAGUAAAUAAAUUUAUACACUUAUACAUUAAUCAAUAAAAAAUUUUCUUUUUCAAAAACAUUGAACUCAAUACAUGCAUCGUGUAUAAUAUUAUCUAAUCAUCAAAUUAUGAAUUAUCAUAAUUCUAUAUAUUUAUUUAAAUAAAACAAGUUCAAGAAUUAAUGUAAUCAAUCUUAUUAAUUAAUAAAAUUCAUGUAUGUAUUAACAUACAAGCAAAAAAUCUAUAAAAAGAAUAUACAAGUGAGCCAAACAACAAUAUAUAUUAAAAACGAACAAGAGGUCGAAUUAAUAUCCAUUAACUAAUAGUAAAAUUAAGAAGAUGAUACCAAAGAGACACAAAAUCACAAAAAAGCAUUUAACAUUUCAGAGAAAGAAGCCUGCAACACCCAUUAAGGAAAAGAGAGAAGGGAAAGAAAUGUGGAUUAAUUCAUACAGAGGCUCACCUUGUUCCAGACCAGCGCGAGACUGUAGACGAACCAAGAGCAAAAAAUGCAGGAGAGAUAAUCAUGAGAGAAACAAAUUCAUAUAUCCACGAAUAUGUACAAUAUUUGAAACCUAUAAUGCAAGAAUAGCUGCAGAUGUACAUUAAUAUUUUUAAUUUAAAGAAUCAAUUAAUUAUUUAAAAAACUUGAGGGAUUAAUUUGUUUGUUUCACAAAAAAUAGACACUGGUUAUAUAAAAUUUUACUUAAAUUUUUAUCAUCAUAUUUUAAAAGAAACCAGUUUAUGUUUUGCGCAACACGAAAAAUCAUAUAUGCUUAAGUAACUAUUUGGCAUCUUAAACUCAAUUUAGUAAAUUAAUUUUAAUUUUUUUCUAUCCGGCUCUUUUCCUAUAUCAAAUUUAAAAUUAACCAACAUAAAAAUUAUCCUCAAAUGAUACAGUCAAUAUGAUAGGUUUACAAAAAUAUAUUAAAUUGAUUCUAAUUUCAUGGCUUAACUCUUCAAACCCACUACUCGAAUAAUAGACUCCAUCUAGUUGUAAUUAUUAUUUUGUUUUUUAAUUAUUUUUUAUUGAAUAAUAUGAUAACAAUAUCAAUUCAAAAUCAACUAAAUAUUAAAGGAUAAAAUAAAAAAAAUAAAAAAAAUUCAAUAGAAAAAAAAAGGAGAAGAAUGGUAGAGUUUAAAAACAAAUAAACAAUAUGACGUCAUUGUUAGAGCACCUGAAAUUACUGUUCCUUUUUACUAUAAUGAUGAAGUUUCCACAUAAUAUAAAACAUGCUUAUAAAUUAAUAACCGAAAUAAAAAUUAAAUUGAGACGACAAUCAAUUCUUUAACUUUAAAACGAUUUAUUAACAAUAGAAUUGAGAAGGCCCGCCACAGAUCAAGAGGACAGCUUCAAUGAAGCCAUCCCAGCCAAUGCAGGUGAUUACCCGUCGGUUGAAGUCUCAUCGCGCGCCUAGCACCAGCCAAACCGCCUCAAUCUGAACAUGCACCAGACAAAGUUCAUGAAAAGACGCCAGGGAGCCUCAGCAGCUGAGAAGAAAGUGCGGGAACACCCACCGCACGAGAAGAAACGUGAAAAGCAGAGAGGGAGCGCGGUAAAGAUUGUCAAGCCACGGGAUUCACACACAGUGCACCGAGUUUUAAUGAGCACUCUUAGUUUUUUUUUAUAUAUAUAUAUAUAAAAUUCUUUUAGUUUUAGUUUUAGUUUUAGUUUGUUAGUUAUGAACAGUGAAGCAGCACCAGAAUACAGUUCUUUUAGUUUGUUAGCGAAUCUGGAAAAGAAUAAAGUCAUCUGUCAAGCUCUGUUCACUUUGGUCCGACAUUCCUCACCUCUCCCCACCUGAGCUCUCUCUCUUUCCCUCCUCCGCUUUCAGAAACCGCCGCCGCCACCACCUCAACCAAUAAGGCUUCAAAUCUCACCCAGAUGCUUCCUUUUCUAUUAUGUUUUUGUUUUUUAAAAUUUACGUCUGCUUUUUCAUUUAUUUAAUUGAAAUUACUAUCCAGAGAGAGAAAUUCGAUUUUAAUAAGUAAAUUAAAAAGAUAUAUAAUCGAACCCGAUGAAAUCGCUGCUCGUGAACGCAACUCGAAGAAAGGCGCAAUCAGCCGACUAUACUAUGGGUGGAGCAUUUAAUAUGGUCAGGGUUAUUGUGUUGUCUAUUCAAAGAAAGAUGUGCCUGUAAAUUUGUUAAGUUGAUUCUUAUCAGUCUACUCUUUAGAGUUGAUGAUAACAUGAAAUACUCGUUGUUAAUGCUCGUUGUUUUCUUCUUCUUUUUUCCUAGAUUAAAACAUCCUAGACAAUCUCUUUGGGAUGGUUUAGUAUUUCUGGCCUCUUCAUCUUCUAUUUGUGCUAUGGUUUUUAGUCUGCUGAUAUUGUUGAUAUUCAUUGGGGAUUGAAAGGCCUCGUUUUAUGACUUUGUUUUGUCUUCUUCUUAUUUCUUUAUUCUUUUGGGGAUGCGGCAUUUUCCUCUUUCAGAGAAAUAAAUAUAUACAUAAAUAACAAGAACAGGACGGGAAGGAGAGGGGGUUUUGACAAUAAGUAUUUGCUUAGAAGGGAAUGCUUCUUUGGUUUAGAAGCACCAUGAAGAUUCAGGCCCAAAUCUUUGCUUAGAAUGCCCGAAAUAAAUAUAUCACACACUUCUUUUUUUGUUUUUUGUUUUUCAUCUUUUCAUGUGUUUCUCACAAGACGUCACUUUCUUGCUUUUCUUUCGAGAGAGUAUUUGAUCCUUUUUUUGUAUAAAAUAAUGCUGCCAUUCAUUGAAUUUCCAAACAUCUUACCUUUUGUUUUGUUUGUCGCAUUGUUAUCAAACUCUUUUCCAUUUUAUUGCGGCAUAUUGCUACGUGUAUGGCAUGCUUUAAUCAAAAAGUUGAGUAAUUGAUGAAUGUUAGGCAAGAAAAUUACAGAUUAUUUUUGUUUUCUGCCUCCUCCUUCUCUUUCCCCCACCCCGAAAAUUGUCAUAUUUUUUUUUCAGCCGCCUCUUCUUCCCCCAACCCUAAAAAUUGUUUAUAUUUGCUUUGGAAGCAUGGCAAACUUCACUGCCUCUCAGCUUAAGGAGAUUGCAGCAGGUCUCGAAGCUUCUGGGCAUCAAUUUAUCCGGGUAUUUAGAAGAAGAAAAAAAAGAGUCAAGAAGACAAGGAAGAUUGUUUACCUCAAGGAUUUGAGGAAAGAAUGGAAGGCAAAGGGCUAUUAUCAGAGGAUGGACACUCCAAGUUUUGAUUCUUGAUCAUGAAGCAAUAAGUGCAUUUGUGACUCAUUGAGGAUGGAACUCAACUCUUGAAGGCAUAAGGCCAAUAUGUGCUGAGCAAUUCUAUAAUGAAAAGUUGGUGACUGAUGUUUUAAAAAAUGGAGUUAAGGAAUGGCCUAGAGUGCAUGGAGAUCAUGUUAAAAGUGAAGCUGUAGAGAAGUCAAAUUAUGAUGGGUGAAGAAGCAGAGGAAAUGAGGAGUAGAGCAAAGAAGCUAGGAGAAACGGCCAGGAAGGCUGUUGAAGAAGGUGGAUCUUCUUGCUCUGAUUUCAAUGCUUUGAUCGAAUAACUGAGGUGGGGUCGCCAUUGAAACAAAGGCAGAAGUAAGUGUUGUCACUCGUGCAUAGAAUAUUUUGUUUCUACUUAGUAGUGGUUUUGGCAAUAUAGACAAGUCUUGAGAGUUGAAAGAGUAAUCACAGCCGAGUCAAUGACCAGUCCAAAUCAGUUCCCUUCCUACUAGUUCAGGAAUGACAAGUCCAGCUUAUAUAUUUAGCCCAAAUAACUAAUCAAAUAGAAAGGCUGAGCUUAGAGGCAGUACACUACAAAAUAAGUACCCAAUGUCUUAGAGACAAACAAUCAUCACAAACUAGGAAAGACCGUCUCCCCAGUAACAAAUUCACCUUCUGAAGUUGGAGAACUUGCGAAAACUAGCCACCACAAAAUAGUAGCAAGUAUCUAAAUUAUUUCCAGAGAGAUCUAACUGCUUCAAUUCACACCAACUUGUAUAAUUUAUCUCUAAACAGUCAAAAUAGUGUUAAAAGAAUCUUUUAUUGAUGAUGUGAUUAUAUUUGUUAAUUUACCUUGAGCGGGUAAAGUGACAUAGAGGUCACAUUCACCAAUAGACAAAACUUGAAGAGCAGGCAAUGCUCCAAUGUUAUGGAAAAAGUUUAUUAGGAGAGAAGUACGAUCUAGAUACAAUUCUUCAAGGGUGCUAGAAUUGAAGAAAGUCCCUGUAAAAAAGAAACAAAAAGAAAAAAGAUAUGAUGAAAAUGGUGGUGGUACAUAAUAGGCAUUCCAUUCAAUAUUAUUAAUUAAGAUUUUAAGAAACUAAACUAUGAUUAACCUUGAUUUAAAUUAGUAUCCUUGAGAGAAAGGGUCUUCAGGGAUGGCAAUGACUGCAGGAAGUCCGGCUUCCUUAAACCUAUGAUGUGUACAAUUGAAAACAGGCAAUCAAGAAAGUAGUGAAAUUAAGUGCUAUCUUGAUUGAGUUUUUAAACCUAUGAUAAAGAACUGAUGUUGAAUAGUGAGAUGAAUUUUGGAUAGAAACAACAAAUUGCCUGAAAAAUCCAGAGAUUUCACAACUUUACCAUAGACAGUCGUCGAUCCUAGCAACAUAUCGCCUGAUAAAUUUAAAGACUUGAGAUAAGAAAAUCCACGCAGAUGUGAUAAAAUGUUGUCGUUGAAUAUAUUAUAGCUCAGGUCUAGAUUCUCGAGUUUCCUCAAAUGAUAUAUGAUCUCAAAACCUGCAAGAGAAACUAAAGAUAAUUAGAAUUGAUGAGAUGCUGUUGUUCAAUUGAUAUAUGAUUCUCAAAUUAUACAUACAUAUACACACACACACACACACACACACACAUAUAUAUAUAUAUAUAUAUAUAUAUAUAUAUAUAUAUAUAUAUAUAUAUAUAUAUAUAUAUAAUUGAUAUUUAUAAAAGCAUUAACUGUAGAGGAAUAUUUGGUACUUUGUUUCCCAAUAAAAAAUAGAUUUUUCUGCAAAGUAGCACCAAAAAAAAAACUGUUCAAAACUUAUAUAAGAAAUUAUACAGUUAGCGAGUCACAGAUGAUGAAUCUUAAAAAAAAUUGGCAAUAAUAACAGUACUCUAUUGCUAUUAAUUAACUUAAAUAUUCAAAACUUAAAAAUAGUUUUUAAAUUUAUCCAUGCCAAUUUAUCUUAAGAGAGUCGCAAUCUGUGACUAGUUAAAUUAUAUUGUUUCUGUAAAUAAAUUUUGAAUUGUGUUAUUUUUUGUUCUAGGUGCUAUUUUGCAAAAAAAAAAAAAACCUCCAAAUAAAAUAAUAAGAUUAACGUUUAAGUUGUCUAUUGUUCUUGGAUUUGUAGGUAUAACAACAGAAGAUAGCAAUCAAAAGCGAUGGUGACAUGGUAGAGCUUUGAGUUAUUGCUGUGUUCUAAUGAUGAAGAUGUAGGAAAACGAUCUCCCUUCUGCUGUCUGGAGCUGGGCUUCCUCUCCCUGUAAGAACAAUCAACAUCUUAUCUGCGUUGUUGUUAGUGGCCACUUCAUCGACCCAUUAGUGGGUGGAUUUUAAGCUUAAAAAGGAUUUUUUUUAUAAAAAAAAAAAGGGAAGAGAGAGGGGGGGCGCAUCAUCACGUGAAAGCAAGGAGCUUGCCACCCAUUAUAGAGUGUGGGGCACUCUUGCAUCUAAGAAUAAAUGAUCCUGAGGUUGUUCUGGUGAUGGGUAUUGGCCAUUACAUAAAGCUUCGACAAGCCCUUUUAGCUGCCUGUUAUUAGAAUUUGUAUAAUGAGCAUUCAAACUUAAACUUCUUUAAAUGGGAUGAAAACGAGUGAAAAUCAAGAAGUUGGAGGUGUUCAUCUCUAAUGCAUAGCUAAAGAUCCUUUGUAAGAAAAUACAGCUAAAGACAGUGUGUGUGUGUGUACCAGAGAAAUUGUCGAUAAUAGCCAUCAUUUUCUUUGUCUCUUGUGUCAUAUCUUCCAAAAAUCUUAAAGUAAUUGAUGAAAAAGUGGAUACACCUCUUUGUCUUCUUUAUAGCACUGCUGGCCACUGUGAGUUAAAGCAUUAAAAGGUCGUGAACGCGGAUGCUUGACGAGCGAGUGUUUACUUGUUAAUUUUUUUAGAAGGAAUCUGGAAAAGAAUAAAGUCAUCUAUUUCACUUUGGGACAACAUUCCUCACCUCUCCCCGCCCUCCCUCCCUCCCUCUUCCGCCUCUCGGAAACCGCCGCAUCCAAUAAGGCUUCAGAUUUCUGCCAGGUGCUUCCUUUUCUAUCAUGCUUUUGUUUUUAAAAUUUAUGGGUGUUUUCAUUUAUUUUAUUGUAAUUAUUAUUCAGAGACAGAAAUCCAUUUUAAUAAGUAAAUUAAAAAAAACAAAUAAGCGAUCCGAUGAAAUCUCUGCUAGUGAACGCAAUUCGAUUUUAAUAUGUAAAUUAAAAAAGUAUAUAAUCGGAUCCGAUGAAAUCGCUGCUCGUGAACGCAAUUCAAAGAAACGCACAAUCAGCCGAUUCUAAUAUUUUCUUUUUCAACCCCACCCUAAUUUACAUGAUAUUAUCCGAUUUUUCUCACAGUUAUUGUUGUAAUAAUCAAGCCCUGAAUUCUUGAACCCAAAUUUAUUUUAUUUUAUUUUUUAGUUUUAUUUUUAAGUGGAGAAUAGAAAUCAAUUCAAAUCUUUUAGGCUCGAUCGAUAAUUUGUUAAUUAGUUUAUGCAGCAGCUGGAGUGGAAGAGAUAUUACUGCCGGAAUGGCCGAAAAAUGAGCUGUUUGGUUGAUUCUUCUUUUUUGGAAUUUACUGAAUUCUUCAAAAUUAUUGUGUUUUUAACAACAAUACGAUAUCCUUGGGUUUCAUGCUCGCUCACACAUGGAAAAAAGAAAGAAAGAACAGAACUUUAAAUUUUAUAAUUUGGUCAAGUUAAUGCUCGUCGUUUUCUUCAUUUUCCUAGCUUAAAACAUCCUAGACAAUCUCUUUGGGAUGGGUUAUUGUUUGUGGCCUCUUCAUGUUCUAUUUGCUGGGGUAUUUAGAGUACUGCUGAUUGAAAAGCCUUGUUUUAUUGCACGUUAGAAAAGUUAAUACAUACAUAAAUAACAAGAACAGGGGCCGGGGGGGGGGGUGUUGGGGUUUGACGGUAUGUAUUUGCUUGCGAGUAAAAAUUGGUAAGCACUUGAAAAAGGUCCUGUGCUGAAUCUAAAUUGGUAAGAUGUUAUAUACUGAUAUCUAGAAAGAUAACUUAAUCUAUCUAUUGAAGUAAAGCAUUUAAAUACGUAUACAAUGUUUUUGGAAUAUUAAAUAUCUAUUUGAUCAGAAUCUGUGAACCUCUAAAACCACAAUGAAUACAAAUGCAAGUUUGUCAUUGUAAACAUUGCAUCGAUGAUGUAUCACAAGUGUUGCUAGAAAACAUCAAGUUAAAAUUGAAGCACCAUGAGUUUCUCUAUGGCUUGGUUUACCAACACUCACCAUCUGUUGGUGCGGCAAGUUAUGAACUAGCUGGCUAGUUUUUUGCUUCCUUGGUUUUAGAAGCACCAUGAAGAUUCAGGUCCAAAUCUUGCUUAUAAUACCCGAAUACCCAAGAUCCUAGCACCUUGCCUUGAAUGGUCGUGUAUAUUUGUUAUGGCUGUUCAGAUUUUAUGCAUCCAUAUUUGGGAGAAUUCUUUAAUAAAGUACAUGCUAUUAGAUGGAAGUUCUCUUUAAAUCUAUUCAAGUCUGAAUAAACUGAUAUUCCAAUUUUCAUGACUUUGAUGUGCUCUUACUCUUCUGCUGUUCCUGACUUUCUUUUUAAGGUCUAUUCUAACGUGCAAUAUUAUUUAUUUAUUUAUUUAUUGUCAUGAUAGAAGUGAUUUUUUUUGGUUGGCCAAAACCCCUUGGAUGCCAAUAAUUGGAGGUCCACUGCCCCAGGCGGAGAACAUGUCAUUGACACGGGUGAUUGGAGAAUUCAAUUGCAGCCUGACUCACGGAAAAGAAUAGUCGACAAAAUGUAAGUACGUGUUUCCUAAUAUGUGCAAGUGCUGCAAAAUAGUAAAUUUUUUAUUUAUAUGAAAGAAAAGUAGAAGGGCAAAAGGUUAAUUAAAAUUAGCUGGACUGCCAUGAGGCAACCUCAAGUAUCACACACCUCUUUUUUUUGUUUUUCAUCUUUUCGCUUGUUUCUCACAAGAAGCAAACUUGAGGGAACGUAAAGUGCUGGGAAGUGAUUUUUGUUGGAACUUCUUGUGUAACAUCUUCUUUUGACGAUGACCUCUUGGAUGGCUGCAUGAAGCUUGUUCCGCUUUAAAUUUCAAGGUUAAUCUAUUGCUAUGAGCAUUGGUGUUUCAAUUUCAACCUUGAGUUGCAACUGAACUUAAAUGAAUAGUGUUGGAUUUGGGCCUUCUAUUUGCUUUAACUUCUACAGGAUUGAAAUGAUAGUGAUCUUAAAGUAGAAAAGCAGCAGACAAAAAUCAAUUAGCCACAAUAGUGUAUGGUUUCCUAGUUUCUCAGUAUAAAGUUGAAUGUUUUGGUGAUAUCUCCACAUCCAAAAUCAUAUAGACAGCUACUGUUGGCACUUGCAGUAGCCAAUGAGCACUGUAGAGUAUAUAUAUUGCAGCGUGAGAUAAGGUUAACUCAUUGCAUUUUCAUAAAUUAAAGGGAUUUCUCUUCUUUUCUUUGUCAAUUACAGUGCAUGUAUAAAAGUUUUCUACAGUGCACUGUAGAGUAAAUGCUAUUGUAAUGUUUUCACAGAGUUCCCCUGGUUUGCAACUAAUGCACUUAUAUAUCUUGGAGCAUAGCCAUAGCCAUAAAUGAAAGGUUCUUCUGGUUCAAGAAAAUUAACCAUGAAGCUCGUAACUAGAAUUUUAGACAGAAGGUUGGCCAAGUAAACUCUUACCUCUGGAAUAAUACGGGGAAACGAAGUAAAAAUAGAUGUCUGUAUUUUGAUGCCAUUUAUUACUUUACUAACACUCGGCUAUAUCAUUAUUUGUUUUUACUUUUUGCUAAUGAUUUUGUUGUAUACAUUUCUGAUAUUAGUGUGGUGUAUGAGUUCACAGUUUUUUCUCACUACUGCUAACUUCUCUAUACCUGCCUUGUCAUUAAAAAUUAAAUGCAAUGUUUUACAUGUGCAGAAUGGAGACAUUAAAGAGGCAUCUUCCGUUUUCUGGUCAGGAGGGAUUACAAGAACUCAAGAAAAUUGCCGUACGGUUUGAGGAAAAGAUUUAUACUGCCGCCACCAAUCAGGUAUUCGGCUAAUGCUAGGUUCAAUAAUUUUGAUAUUCUCUGGACAUGAAUAUACACAUGCAUAAGUUUGUGGAUUUAUGCAUGUACACGUGUGUGUAGUGUGUCCACACUUCCUCACUGGUCAUUCUGUAGAAGUUCUUAUCUUUCCGUUAAUUCUCUUGACAAGUGUUUUAUUUAGAGUGACCAAGGUCCUUUUCAAGUACAAGGGAAGUGUGCAAAAAGCAAAUAACGAAUCAAUACAUAAAUAAUUAAAUAAAAAGAGGAGACACAGAAGUAUAUCCUCACAGAAGAUGCAAAUACAGAAAGCCUAGCAUAUUAGAAAGAGCAUAUAUCUCUUUUCCCCCUUCUCUUGUAACAUGGACUGCUCAGAGAUCUAAUGUUUUGUUAUUGAUAUCUGAUUUCAGUCUGAUUAUCUGCGUAAAAUAUCUCUGAAGAUGCUUACAAUGGAGACCAAGUCUCAAAAUACCAUACCCACUGGCAAUGGUAACAAACCCCUGGAUCCAGGAGGUAAUAAUGCAGCCAAGCAUUGAAUUUCUAAACAUCCUUACCUUUUGUUUUAUAUUUUGCAUUAUUAUCAAACUCUUUUACAUUUUAUUGCUGCAUCCUUACUCUUUUACCAUUAGGGAAAUAAUUUCUAAAAAUUACAGAUUAUUUUUGCCCCCCCCCCCCCCCCCCCCCCCCCGCCAGCCCCAAAAUUGUCAAAUGGCACUUUUAUGCUUUGAGUCAAAACCACCUUAAUUAUUUCCCUCAUAACUUUAUGUGUGAACUGUCAUUGUUUCAUUUGUUUUUCUUGUUCAAUGCCUUCUUUUUUUCCUUUGACAUGGUUAUCCUUUUUGCCUUUUAUCUUGAACAGCAUCUCAUAGUAUGCCGCCUCAAGUUCACAACCAAGGGCAGUCGCUCCCUAUCUCAUUGUCCAGUAAUCAGCCUCAAGCACGUCAGCAGUUAUCACAAAACAUGCAGAAUAGUAUGUCAUCUAAUGGAGUUCAAAGUUCUGCUGGUUUACAAUCAGCAAUGCCUUCUGUCUCCAGUUUAACCCAGACUAUCGCAAACACUGUUGGACAGAAUGCUAACAUGCAGAGUAUCUCUGGUGUUUCACAGAACCCAGUUGGGAAUUUAAUGGGACAAGGGAUUCCCUCCAAUAUGUUUGUCAAUUCUCAGAGACAAAUGCCAGGCAGGCAACAGGUUGUUCCUCCACAGCAACAGCAGCAGUCCCAAAAUCCUCAGCAGUAUCUUUAUCAGCAGCAGAUACAACAACAGCUUUUAAAGCAGAAGCUUCAACAGGGAAAUCAUCCACACUCACUUGUGCAAUCUCACAUCCACCACCAGCAGCAGCAGCAAAACUUGUUACAGCCAAAUCAGUUGCAAUCUGGUUUGCAAACAUCAACUGUUAUGCAGCCUUCAAUGAUGCAAACCGUCUCUGGCCUUCAACAGAACCAACCAUCUUCUGUUCAACAGUCAACACAACCAAUGCACCAGCAACAUCCACAAUCAGUCCUUAGGCAGCAGCAGCAACAACCUCAACAGUCUGCUGGUAUUCAUCAGCAGCAAACACCAAUGAUGCAGCAGCCACUAUUGCCUCCACAACAGCAGCUAAUGGGGCAACAAUCAAAUACCACUAACAUGUCGCAAAAUCAGUUAAUUGGACAGCAAAACAUUGUUGGGGACUUGCAGCAGCAGCAGCAGAGAUUGCUAGGGCAGCAGAAUAACCUUCAAAAUCUGCAGCAGCAGCAGCAGCAGUUAAUGGCUCAACAAAAUAACCUCUCAAGUAUGCAUCAGCAACAGUUGGGCCCUCAAAGUAAUGUCACUGGUUUACAGCAACAGCAGUUGCUUGGAGCUCAGCCUGGUAACUCAAGCAUGCAAUCUAAUCAGCACUCUCUACACAUGCUGCAACAGCCCAAGGUUACGCUGCAGCAGCAAGCACAACAAAGUGGAAGUGCUUUGUUGCCGAAUCAAGGGCAGCAGUCACACUCACAGCUGCCACAGCAGCAAUUGAUGGCACAGAUUCAAUCACAGCCUGGACAGCUGCAACAGCAAUCAAAUCCAUUACAACGUGAUCUGCAGCAAAGGCUUCAAGCAUCAGGCUCCUUGCUUCAACAGCCGAAUGUGAUUGAUCAGCAAAAGCAGUUAUAUCAACCUCAAAGAGCCCUUCCAGAAACGUCCUCAAGUAAGUUUUUGUCAUCCUUGCAGCUUUCUAGCCUUGCUCCAACUUUAAUUUUGCAGCUUUGUGCUUUCAUGUUAGAUUAUAACAUAUUUAUUUAAAUUUCUUGAAAAUACAAUAAUGGUUCAAGUCAGUAAUGCUCUUUUUGGUAGCUUUAUGAGCUACGGCUGCCACUUAUGGCAUCAGAAAUGCCACUGCUAUUGGAGCCAUUGUAAUCACACAUACAUUUGUUACGACAUCAUGCCAUCCAGUGCAUUGCACCAACUAUUCACCUCUCAUAAUGGUUCAAGUCAGCAAUGCUCUUUUGGUAGCUUUAUGUUCUACUGAUGCCACUGCUAUUGAAACCAUUGCAAUCACACUCGUUUGUUACCACAUCAUGCCCUCCAGCUCAUCGCACCAAUUGUUCACCUCUCAUUUUGAAUUUAACAGACAUGAAUUUUAAAAAUAUAUGUAUAACUGGACAAUGCAUUUGACACUAGGGUAACUAAUCAUCAGCCAAUUGAUUUUUAUGGGAAGAAAGAAAUUAGCAAGUGGACUAACUCUGAGGCACUUAAGGUUUGGUGUGCUGAUAAAUCAUUGAGCCUUUUUUUUUAAUAUAUAAUGAUCACUUGUUGGGGGGGGGGGGGGGGGGGAAGCAUUUUAAAGGGUCUCUCUGUCUAUUUGAAUGAUUACAUAACGUUGAGAUGGAGUUCCUAGUACUCCAAGUCCAAAAAGGACUUGUAUUCCUAUGUAAGAAAAUACCAAUGGUCCUAUCUGGGAUAGGGAAAACCUAUUAAAGCUCCUUAUUCUUUAGGAACAAUAAAAUACUAAAUAGAAAUAAAACCAAGACCUACAAUAUUCCAUAAUUUUCAGCAAGUGUGAAAAUUACAGAAAUACCCUUGUGUGCAGAAAACAUUCAUAAAAUACAUGAAUUCUAAUCUUUUGUUGGCUGUAUCAAAAUUUUUGUAGCAUCCCUAGAUUCUACAGCAGAGAUUGGACAUGCAAAUGGUGCUGAUUGGCAAGAGGAGAUCUACCAAAAGGUAAUUUCUGUAGUUUACUGUUCAUUAGAUGAAGUUCAUGUAUGUCAUUGUCUUGCAAGAUUUCAAUGGAAAAGGUCUCCUGGAAUUUGGUACAAGGGAGUUUUAUUCAGCUAUGGUUGUGAUUAGUUAGGAAGCAUUGUAAGUUCCAUGAUUGCAGCAACUAAGAAACGAUAAAUUACUGAUAAGAUGAUUAAAGGUAAAUAAUCAGAUUUCUAGGUCAAGAGGGUUAUUUUCUUGGUACUGACACGACAAUUUUUUCUAUUGCAAAUCUCUCCCUUUCAAUUUUUUCCCUGUAUUUCCAUACAUUUAUUGUGUGGUGAAUUAUUAUUUUAUUAUUUCCAAUAAGUCCAAUUGACAAUACUUCUUACUGUAAUAGACAGACUUGAAAACAAGAGUGAACUGUUUCUGAAUAGUCAUCGUUAUAUUUGGUUAAGUGAACAGUUAUUUUCAGGAUUACAAUCAAAUUUGUUCUGAAACAUGUGACAAUGGAAGAAAGGAAAAUAAGUGGACCUAAUCCAUUGAAUCAUGACCAUGUCCAGUAUUGUUGAAUUUUAUAGAAAACGAGGUUGAAAUUCUGAAUCGUUUAAUGGCUGUAGUUGCAAUUCAUAACUGCAUAUUUGAUGAGGUCAAUUUUUUUGUGCCUGGGAGGGUACUAAAACGGGAAUAGGAGUGGUUGUUGAUAAUUAGGAUAUAAGGGUUAUAAAUCUAAAGUUAUAAGGCUAAGAAGUGUUUACCAAAGUCGUGACAUCCAUUGACUUGAGUUAGAACAAUAGAAAACAAUGGUGAGUAGUUUGCCGUGAGACAAAGUAACUGAACUUGACCAACCCCUGAAUCUUGUCUGAAGGGGUAACUACACAAUCCUUUGCAUGCAAUCAAUAACGAUAUUCUCUUUUGAGUUUUCGGCAUUGAUUCCACUUUGCUAUUUUUAUCUCAAACAAUAUAUGCUGUCCUCUGCCAUUUUAUUUAUUUAUUUAUUUAUCAAUUCUCUCAAGUUUGCUUAUGUUUCUUUCUGACUCUGGCACGUGAAGAAAUCAAGCAUAUGAUUGAUAAUGUCUUGCUGGUUAUAUGUACUUCCUAGAUCAAAGUUAUGAAGGAAACGUAUUUGCCUGAAAUAAAUGAAAUGUACCAGAGAAUUGCUACCAAGUUACAGCAGGUAAAUUGUCUUUGUAAUUUUUUCCGAUUUAUUUGCCCACACAUAUUCAUAAACCCCCACAGUUGAGCUUUUGUAUUAAUUUGUUUUCCCCAUCAGCAUUGCUUGUCACUGUAUCAUCUGCACUAAUUACCUCCCCCACCCCCAACCACCCCACAACCAUGCAUUGACACAGAAGAAUUGGAAUAGAAACAUUUUUUUCACUUAUGUUUUACUAGUUUUGCUAGAAAGGAUCAAUGCAAUUUUUAAUUCUCGUGUAUGUUAACUUUGCUUUCCAGCAUGACCCUCUUCCGCAACAACCGAAGUCAGAACAGCUUGAAAAGCUGAAGGUAUUCAAGGUCAUGUUGGAGCGCUUGAUAACAUUCUUACAGGUCUCUAAAAACAACAUCACACCUAAUUUCAAGGAGAAAUUGGGUUUCUAUGAGAAGCAGAUUGUAGGUUUUCUAAACCCAAGCAGAUACAGGAAGCCUAUUCCUAAUCUACAGCAAGGACAACCUCCCCAACCUCGUAUUCAACCUAUGCAGCAACCCCAAUCUCAAGUUCCUCAAUUGCAGUCCCAUGAAAAUCAACUGAUUCCCCAGUUGCAAUCAAUGAAUACGCAAGGUUCUGUACCACAGAUGCAGCAGAACAAUAUGUCAAGCUUGCUGCAUAAUUCCCUUUCAACUUUAUCUGGGGAUUCGACGUCACAAUCAAACAUGAUGAAUCCAAUACAACCAGGCUCCAAUUUAGAUUCUGGACAAGGAAAUGCACUGAGCUCAUUGCAGCAGACACCUGUAGGAUCUGUACAACAGAAUCUCGUGAGCAUUUCCCAACCAACCAAAGUUAACACAUUGUCAACACAAAGUGGGGGGAGUAUGCUGCAGCCAAAUAUUCCCCUUCAGUCGAAUUCCAAUAUGAUUCAACACCAGCAUCUAAAACAGCAGCAGCAGCAGCAGCAUGAACAACAGAUGCUACAAACACAACAGCUUAAACGAUUCCAGCAACACCAGAAUUUAAUGCAGAAUCAACAGAUGCAGCAGCAGCAAUUACACCAGCAAGCUCCGUCUCCUAUGCCAGGAGAUUCUGACAAACCAGUUUCUGGUAUUUCCUCACUCUUAGAUACUGGAAAUAUUGUACACCAACCAUCUGUUGCACAAGCACUGGCUCCAUCCCUUGCAAUUGGCACUCCUGGGAUAUCUGCAUCACCUUUGCUUGCAGAGUUUACCAGUCCUGAUGGUGCUCAUGGCGGUGCUUUGACAACUGUUUCUGGCAAGUCAAAUGUUACAGAGCAAUCACUUGAGUGCUUGAUUAAAGCGGUUAGUGAUGCUCUCCUUUUGGUUUUACUCCACCCCACCCUUAUUUUGGAGGUUUCUGAAAAAGAAAGAAACUUCUUUGUGAAUGAGAUGGUGAUGCUGCAAUUUUUUUUCCCAGGUGAAAUCUCUGUCUCCCAAAGCACUUAGUGCAUCUGUCGGUGACAUUGGCUCCGUUGUCAGUAUGAUUGACAGAAUUGCUGGUUCUGCAGCUGGUAAUGGAUCUAGAGCUGCAGCUGGUGAGGAUUUGGUAGCAAUGACAGGAUGUCAUCUUCUUUCGUUUUUGUCUUUUUUAUUUUUCACGUGUUUCUCACAAGAUGGGAACUCGAGGGAAUAAAAAGUGCUGGGAAGUAAUUUUUGUUGGAACGUCUUGUGUAACAUCUUCUUUCGAUGAUGACCUUUUGGAUGGCUGCAUGAAGCUUGUUCCGCUUUAAAUUUCAAGGUUAAUCUAUUUCAAUUUGAAACUUGAGUUGCAACUGAACUUAAAUGAAAAGUGUUGGAUUUGGGCCUCUAUUUGUUUUAACUUGUACAGGGUUGAAGUGAUAGUGAUCUUAAAAGUACAAAAGCAGCAGACAAAAAUCAAUUAGCCACAAUAUAUAGUGUAUGGUUUCCUACUUUCUCAGUAUAAAGUUGAAUGUUUUGGUGAUAUAAUCUCUACAUCCAAAAUCAUAUAGACAGCUACUGCUGGCACUUGCAGUAGCCAAUGUUAACCAAAAUCAUAUAAUCUUAAAGUUGAAUGUUGUAUUUUCAUAAAUUAAAGGGAUUUCUCUUCUUUUCUUUGUCAAUUACAGUGCAUCAUAAUAAGUUUUCUUACUCAGUAAAUGCUAUUGUAAUUUUUUCACAGAGACUCCCCUGUUUUGCAACUAAUUCACUUCUGAAUAAAUCUGGGAAACAGAAAGGCAAUCAACAAAGAGUAAGGCAUCUUCUGAAGAAACAAAGAAAUUUAAUACCAUAAACUAAGCAGCACGUAGAAGGCAAAAACUGAGCACAAAUUUUCAGGAAGGGACAAACGAAAAAAACCAAAAAGAAAGCAAAGAAAAAUACAGACUCAAAUUCACAACACCCAUUUUCUUUCCAUUGGAACACUUUAAAUAGUUUAUUAAAUUUAUAAUGAUCUGAUUUCUACGCAUAUAAAAAAAUCAACUAAAUGAUCAAUUCUCUAUAAUUUCGGCAUUACUAAAAACAUCCAAACUAAUAAACAAUUAGUUAUUUUACUCAUUUUAAUAAACAUUUUAGUUAUGAAUUCACCAAACAUUUUGAACAAUUCAUAUUGAUGAAUUAACAUUUAAAUUUUAGAUUUUUUGAUUUAUUAUUUCCUUCGUGAGUUACUUCUAAAGUAUGCUAUAUAUCUUUAAGCAUUUUUAUAGAAUAUAAUUCUAUCAAAUUCACUUUUACCCAAUGCAUAAUAUAAAGUAUUCAUGGCUUUAACAUCCAUAAAAAAUAACUUUUUAUCAUUGUCCGUAUAUUCCCUUUUAGUUUUAGAAAUCUCAAUACCAUUUUUAAUUUGAUAGGUCUAGGAGAUCUAUUUUGUAUGGAUAGCCACAAAUUAAAAUCAAUAAAUUGAUAAUAAAUUAUCAUUAAACAAUUUAUUACUUGCUCUUUGGUAAUAAGAAUGUGAUUGUAAUAUUAUUUUGUAUGGAUAGUUUUAUCUAUCUAUUAUCUCAAUAACAAGAUUAACUUUGCAAUUAUAUAUCACACUUAUAUAAUCUCAAAUAAUAUUAAUUAAAAUGAAUCACAAAAAUUUAACACAGUAAUUCUGCAAAAAAAAUAAAAACAAUUUAAUAAACAAUUUAACUUUGCAAUUAUGUUUUUAUUUGUUUGUUUUUCUAUGAGACACAAUGGAAUUUUCAAUAGAAACUACAACAAUACAAAUAAUUACAAAUAUUUUUCUUUCAACAUCAACAUAAAAAAACAUUAUGCACUUUUCGAUACUUACGUAAUUCUAGGAUUAAAGAAACAAUAACAUCUAAGGGGGGUGAAUUGGGUGUUGCACUAAUUAUAUCAAAUAAUGGUGUUGCACUAAUUAUAUCAAAUAAUGCAAUAAUUAACAAUAUAAUUAAAGUGUUUAAAGUAAAUAGAUAAGGAAAUAGAUAUUACAAACUCGGUUUUUAAUGUGAUUCGGUAAGCCUACAUCUACACCUCAAGUACUAACCGUACUUGAGUAUUGUACUCUUUUACCAAUCCAAGUGAAAUAUACAAAUGCCCUUGAUAAAUCCACACCGAGAAAUUAUACCACUUGAAGUUUUUUCUCUUGGUGACAAUACAUCACUAAUGCUAGGAGUUUAUCCAAACUCACAAAUGUUUACAAUUAUAAUUUGUUUGCAACAAGAUUCACUCUCUCAUAAAGUAAAUUGUACAAUUGAAAACUAUAAUCUUUAUAACUCACUCGAUAGCACUCAAGAUGAUUGAAAGUGUGUAAAUAUAAUGAGUGUGAGACAUUAUACUCAUGUGUUAGAAUAUAAAGAUUUAAUUUAGCACAACUUAAAAGCAUGUUAUGAUUGAUGAUUUCUAAUUGAUUUUUUUUUAAAAUAACUUCUAUGUUAUAUAUGUUUGGAAUCUCUCUUUUAUUUGUUAUAUAUAUAUAUAUAAACUAAUUGUUUAUAGUUGUUGAGAUGUCUCUAACAGCUAAAGUAAUCUAUAUGCAACUUAAACAAAAGAAUUCCAAUUAAAUGGAAUUGCACUUAACAUGUAUUAUUUCAAAUGCAACAAUUGCAUAGAUAACAGACAACAAGGAAUUUAACAGAAGAUAUAUACACUUUACUUUUCCUACUAAAAUUAAACUAUUGGAAUUUAACAUAGUCAUAAUCAAUUUGUUCUUGUGAGAUUAUCUAUUACAUGUAUAACAAAUAUAUUAGAAAAUAAAUUGUUUUAAGAUUGUUAGAACACCUUAAAUAGUUCAUAAAAUUAUUGUUCCAUUUUACUAUAAUAAUCAAGUUUCCACAUAAUAUAAAUCAUGCAUAUAAAUUAAUAAUCAAAAUAAAAAUUAAAUUAAGAUAACAAUCAAUUUUUUAACUUUAAAAUAAUUUAUCAUCUAUUUUCUAAUACUAAUAGUAUGAUUGUAAUAUUAUUUUUUAAUUUAUUUAAUAAUUUAAUUUUGAUAGCACAACCAAAAAUAAAUAAUGAACCAAAAUUUAUAUGAUAUUUUUUAUAAAAAAUUUGAUAAAAAAAAUAUAAAAACAAAAAUAAUGUCUCAAUUAGAAUAAUUUUUUCAUUAAUGAGAAGGCCCACCACAGACCAAGAGGACAGCUUCAAUGAAGCCAAUGCAGGUGAUUACCCGUCGGCUAACAUCUCCUCGCGCGCCUAGCACCAGCUAAACCGCCUCAAUCUGAACAUGCACCAGACAAAGUCUAUGAAAAGACGCCAGGGAGCCUCAGCAGCCGAGAAGAAAGCACGGGAACACCCACCGCGCGAGAAGAAACGCGAAAAACAGGAGACGGAGCGCGGUAAAGACUGAAGCCACAGGAUUCACAUACAGUGAAGCACUCUUAGUUUUAUAUAUAUAUAAUUCUUUUAGUUUGUUAGUUAUGAACAGUGAAGCAGCACAAGAAUACAAUUCUCCUGUUUGUUUGCUGGAAAAUAGUUUUUUUUAGAAAGUGAAUUAUUUUCCGAUGUUUGGUAGUGUAAUGGAAAAUAAGUUAGAAAACAUUUUUCAGUGUUUGGUUAUGUCAUGGAAAAUGAGUUGGAAAAUAACUUAUUAAUAUUUUAUUUUUUUCAAUUUUAUUAAAAUAAUAAAGAAUAAAUCUUACAAAUUAAAAAGUUGAAUGAAAAUAAAAUUGAAAAAAAAUAUAAUUUCAUAAAUUAUCUUAAAUAAAAUAAAUAAUAAUCAAAAUAAUAAAAAUCAAAUCUAAAAAAUAAAAAAUUUGAUCGCUUCAUUAAUUUCUCGUUAGGAAAAUGUUGAGCUUCUCAGCAAUAUUUCCUUACCUUGUGCCGCUAACUUGACGGUAAAAUGUGAUUAAAGGAUCAAUUAAUUAUUUAAAUCAACUUGAGGGAUUAAUCUGUUUGUUUAACAAAAAUACAGACACUAGUUAAAUAGAAUUUAACUCAAAUUUUAAUCAUCAUAUGCGUGCGUGUGCGUGUGCGCACGCGUGCGAGCGAGGGUUUACUCGUUAAUUUUUUUAGAAGGAAUCUGGAAAAGAAUAAAGUCAUCUAUUUCACUUUGGUCCAACAUCCCUCAAAGGCGCAGCUGUGCAUCUAGUUAGGAAGAACAUUUUAUAACUCACCUCAAGGUCGAGCAUGGUCAGGGUUAUUGUGUUGUCUAUUCCGAGGAAGAUGUGGCGUUCAAUCCAUGUGAAUCGCACGACUUGUCCAUAUCUUUCUUAUUGAUUACAAAUAGCAUUGAGAAUUAAAGAAUAUUAUCUUAAUAAGUUCCAAUUUAUUCUACAAAACUAUAUAUAAAGAUGUGACAAAAAGAUGUAUACAAAUUAGUUAUUUAUUGUUUGUAAGUAUUAUUGUAUUGCAAAGACAAAAAUAAGAUGCAACUUAUGGCGUGGUCGUCCAACCUGGUUCUGGUUUUGAUCCUGUUCAAAAUCUAUUUUGUUGAAUUGUUGAUCUACUUGUGAGUUAUUGGGUUAACUAGAUCAAUUUUUUAAACAAAACAAUGCCAUUUUAAAAAAAAAAUUGGUUCUGACAUAGAAAUAUAAUAUUAGAAACUUAAACCUUAUUGAUUAGCAAAAACUCAAUGGGAAAUUUAGUUUUGAAAUAGAUUGUUGUAAAAUCAAAUAUGAAUUGAUAACCAGAAAGUUUGCUUAAAAUUGCAAUAACCUUAUAGAAGAAAGCAAACAUAAAUAGAAUUAUUAAAUUCAAUGGAGUUCAUAUAACCAGGAUCACGAGUUUAGCGAGUUAAGCCAUGAAACCCUAAUCGAUCAAAUAUGUCGCCGUUUCAAUUAAAAAAAAUACAUCUUAAAAAGAAUUAAGCUAAACCACGUUUCUACCUAUUAUCUGGGUUGUCUUUAGACUUGUCAAGUCGACUGAGCCAUAUUAGGACAACUUCCAUAUAAUUAAAUUUGAAACUCGAGCUAGAUAAGAAAUCAGGUCAGGAAAUUUUAAUAUUGAUUUGUUGAAUCGGAUUUAAUAACAAUGCCAAAGAUCUGAAUAUUUAUUUUUUACUCAAUUUUUUUUAGGUCCUGUUUGUUUGAUGGAAACAGUUUUUUUUUAGAAAGUGAAUUCCUGUAAAGUGAAUUAUUUUCUGAUGUUUGGUAGUGUGAUGGAAAAUAAAUUAGAAAAUAUUUUCCAGUGUUUGGUUAUGUUAUGAAAAAUGAGUUGAAAAAUAGCUUAUUAAUAUUUUAUUUUUUUUCAAGUUUAUUAAAAAAACGAGGAAUAAAUCUUACAAAUUAAAAAGUUGAAUGAGAAUGAAAUUGAAAAAAAUAAUCUAAUUUUAUAAAUUAUUUCAAAUAAAAUAAAUAAUAAUCAAAAUAAUAGAGAUCAAAUCUAACAAAUAAAAAAAUUGAAAGAUGAUGAAAUUAAAAUAAUAAUAAUUACAAUUUCAUAAAUUAUUUCAAAUAAAAUAAAUAACAAUUAAAAGAAUAAGGACCAAAUUUGAUAGAUAAAAAAUUUCAAUUAAAAAAAUGAUAAGACAAAAGCAAAUAACAAUCAUAAAAAUAAGGACCACAGUUAAUAUAAAAAUCAAAUUAAAUCAAAUUUUAAGGAAGGAAAUUAAAAAAAAAGAUUCAAACAAAAUAUAUAUCAAUUAAAAGUUUGAAGACUAAAUUUGAUAUAAUCAGCAAAUAAUAUGAUAUUUCUAAAUUUUUCACAACUUCUGGAAAAUGUUUUCCGUCCAAAAUAAAAGGAAAAUACUUUCCUGAAAAUCGAGUUAAAUUUUUCUUUGACUGUAAAGUGUUUUCCAUUGACCAACUUUUUUAAUGACAAACAAACACAUGAAUGUUUGGAAAGUGGUUUCUAGAAAAUUAUUUUCCAGGCAAACAAACACCCCCUUAAUUCAAUCACUAAAGAGUUAUCCAAGAAUAAUUAUUCUCCACUAGCAGUUGUUGCAUACUAAAUUUUUUUUGUCAAAACAUACAUGAUAGGUGGCUUCAAUAUCAAUCCACCAUUUUUUAGGAUUUUCCAUGAAGUUUACUUCUAAUAUAACUACAACAAGCUUAGUAGCUUUCUCAUCAACAUUCUCAAUCAUAUGCUAAGAAAUCAUGGUUUUGUUGAGCUUUGUUAUCAUCAUAGGCUUGAUGAUGGAAGGAUUAUUGCUUCAUCAUGCUUUAUAUUUAAGUUCACGCCACUCAAAUUAUUUUGGUUUUUUCCCCACAUGAAGAAUGUUUAGGAAUCGGGUUUGCCAUCUAAACCACAAAGAUUACUAGGUUAACAAGUACAUCGAAAUCAUUAACAAUAGUUUUAUCCAUCUAUUAUCUCAAUAAUAAAAUUAACUUUGCAAUUAUAUAUCACGCUUAUAUAAUCUCAAAUAAUAUUAAUUAAAAUGAAUCACAAAAAUUUAACACACUAAUUGUGCAAAAAAACAAUUUAAUAAACAAUUUAACUUUGCAAUUGUGUAUUUAUUUAUUUGUUUUUCUAUAAGACACAAUGUAAUUUUCAAUAGAAACUAUAACAAUACAAAUAAUUAUAAAUAUUUGUCUUUUGACAUCAACAUAAGAAAACAUUAUGCACUUUUUUAAAGUUACGAUAAAAACAAAUCUGAUUGAUACUUAUGAUAUUCUAGGAUUAAAGCAAUAAUAACAUCUAAUAGAGAUAAAUUAGGUGUCAAACUAAUUAUGUCAAAUAAUACAAAUAAACAUGCUAAACACAUAUAAUAUAAUAAUCAACAAUAUAAUUAAAAUGCUUAAAAUAAAUAGAUAAGAAAAGAGAGAUUACAAACUCGGUUUUUAACAUGGUUCAGUAAGUCUACAACCACAUCUCAAGUACUAAUCGUAAUUGAGUAUUGUAUUCUUUUACUAACCAAUAAUAUAUUAUUUCACCAGUAAUUAUUAUCCAAUAUGCAACUUUUUUUUCCAAUCUUCUGUUUUUUUUUUCCAUAUCAAUCCAACAAUAAAGAAAAUAACAUGUAACAUAAAAUUUCUUUCCCCGUAGAAUCAAUGCAACAAGUAUACAGAUACCACACAACAAACAAUUUAACAAGUCAUGUAAUUUAACAGAAGAUAUAUUUACUUUGCUUUUCCUACUAAAUUUAAACAACUUUUUUGUAAUCUAUGUCAACAUAUAAAACAUAUAUAUAAAUCAAUAAAAAAAAUAAAAAAUAGGUAGAGGUAAUGAUUAAUUUUUUAGCUUUAAAAUUUUUUAUCAUCGCCUCUUUAUGCUAGUAAUGUAAUUGCAAUAUUAUUUUAAAUUAAUUUAAUAUUUUAUUUUUGAUAACAUAACCAAAAAUAAACAGCGAACCAGAAUUUAUAUAGAGUUUCCUAUAAAAAUUUUGAUAAAAAAAAAUAUAAUAGAAAUAAGUUUAUAAAAACAAAAACAAUGUCUCAGUUAGAAUAAUUUUUUCAUUAAUGAGAAGGCCUGCCACAGACCAAGAGGAGAGCUUCAAUGAAGCCAUCCCAGCCGAUGCAGGUGAUUACUCAUCGGCUGACAUCUCCUCGCAUGCCUAGCACCAGCCAAACCGCCUCAAUCUGACAUGCACCAGACAAAGUCGAUGAAAAGACGCCAGGGAGCCUCAGCAGGCGAGAAGAAAGCGCGGGAACACCCACCGCGCGAGAAGAAACACGAAAAACAGAGACGGAGCGCGGUAAAGAUUGUGAAGCCACAGGAUUCACACAUAGUGCACCGUGUUUUAAUGAGUUAUAUGUAUAUAUAUAUAUAUAAUUAUUUUAGUUUAGUUUUAGUUUGUUAGUUAUGAACAGUGAAGCAGCACCAGAAUACAAUUCUUUUAGUUUGUUAGCGAAUUUGGAAAGAAUAAAGUCAUCUGUCAAGCUCUGUUCACUUUGGUCCGACAUUCUUCACCUCUCCCCACCUGAGCUCUCUCUCUUUCCCUCCUCCGCUCUAGGAAGCCGCCACCACCUCAACCAAUAAGGCUUCAAAUCUCCACCAGGUGCUUCCUUUUCUAUCAUGUUUUUUAUUUUUAAAAUUUACAUCUGUGUUUUCAUUUAUUUAACUGAAAUUCUUAUCCAGAGAGAUAAAUUCGAUUUUAAUAAGUAAAUUAAAAAGAUAUAUAAUCGGAUCGAUGAAAUCGUUGUUCGUGAACGCAACUCGAAGAAAGGCGUAAUCAGCCGAUUCUACUGUGGGUGGAGCAUUUAGUAUGGUCAGGGUUAUUGUGUUGUUUAUUCAAAGAAAGACAUGCCUGUAAAUUUGUUAAGUUGAUUCUUAUCAGUCUGCUCUUUAGAGUUAAUGAUAACAUGAAAUAUUCAUUGUUAAUGCUCGUUGUUUUCUUCGUCUUUUUCCUAGACUAAAACAUCCUAGACAGUCUCUUUGGGAUGGGUUAGUGUUUCUGGCCUCUUCAUCUUCAAUUUGUGCUGUGGUGAAAGGCCUCGUUUUAUGACUUUGUUUUGUAUUCUUCUUAUUUCUUUAUUCUUUUGGGGAUGUGGUGUUUUCCUCUUUCUAUUACACUAUUUACUCCCUACAAUAUUUAUUUUUUCAGAGAAGUAAAUAUAUGCAUAAAUAACAAAAACAGGAGGGGAAGGGGAAUGGGGUUUGAUAGUAAGUAUUUGCUUAGAAGGGAAUGCUUCUUCGGUUUAGAAGCACCAUGAAGAUUCUUUGCUUUGAAUGGCCGAAUACCCAGGAUCCUAGCACCUAGGCCUGAAUGUUUGUGUAUAUUUGUUAUGCAUCCAUAUUUGGCUGAAUUCUUUAAUAAAGUACAUGAUAUUAGACGGAAGUUCUUUUUAAAUCUAUUCAAGUCUGAAUAAACUGAUAUUCCAUUUUUCAUGUUCUUGAUGUGCUUUUGCUCUUCUUGUCGUUCCUGACUUUCUUUUAAGGGUCUAUUCUAACAUGCAAUAUGAUUUUUUUUUUCUUUUUGGUUGGCCAACUGUCCUAGGCGGAGAACCUAUCAUAGACACGGGUGAUUGGAGAAUUCAAUUGCAGCCUGACUCAUGGAAAAGAAUAAGCGACAAAAUGUAUGUGCAAGUGCUGCAAAAUAGUAAAUUUUUUUAUUUAUAUGAAAGAAAAGGAGAAUGGCAAAGGGUUAAUUAAAAUCAACAAGAUAGCCAUGAGGCAACCUCAAGUAUCACACACCUUUUUUUUUUUUCAUCUUUUAAUGUGUUUCUCACGAGAAGAAAACUUGAGGGAACAUAAAGUGAUGGGAAGUAAUUUUUGUUGGAAUUUCUUGUGUAAUCUCUUCUUUUGAUGAUGACCUCUUGGAUGGCUGCAUGAAGCUUGUUCCGCUUUUAAUUUCAAUUUAAAACUCGAGUUGCAAUUGAACUUAAAUGAAUGGUGUUGGAUUUAGGCCUUCUAUUUGUUUUAACUUCUACAGGGUUGAAAUGAUAGUGAUCUUAAAGUUGAAAAGCAACAGACAAAAAUCAAUUAGCCACAGUGGUGCAUGGUUUCGUAGUUUCUCAGCAUAAAGUUGAAUGUUUUGUUGACCUCUCUACAUCCAAAAUCAUAUAGACAGCUACUUCUGGCACUUGCAUUGGUCAAUGAAUACUGUAAAGUAUAUAUUGCAGUGUGAGAUAAGGUUAACUCGUUGCAUUUUCAUAUAUUGAAAAGAUUUGUCUUCUUUUCUUUGUCAAUUACAGCAAAUGUGUAGAAGUUACUCAGAGUAAAUGCUAUUGUAAUGUUUUCACAUACUCCCCUGCUUUGCAACUAAGUCACUAAUAUAUGAAGCUCGUAGCUAGAAUUUUUAGAUAGAAGGGUGGCCAAGUAAACUCCUAUAAUAUGUACCUCUGGAAUAAUACAGGGAAAAGAUGUCUAUGUAUUUUGAUGUCUUAUAAUACUUGACCAACUCUUGCUUAUCUUGUUGUUACCCAUUUUUUAGUUCACAUAAAAAUGAGAAAAUACAAAAAACAAAUAUCAAAAGAAAUCCAAAAAAUAAUAGGAGCGAGAAAAGGAUUGCUGGAAUGCCGAAAAAAAAAUGCCAAAAUUGGUUGAGGAGAUUCAAAAAUGCAAAAGGUUGAAAUUUGACAGUGAGAGUCCUGUUGAUGAGGAAAAUUCAAUUUGAGAAAGAAAAGUCCAAAAUCAGAUGUUUAUGGACUCAAUUAAAUUUUAUCCAAGGUUUAAUUGAAUUUAUAGAGGGUUUGAUUGCAAGAAAAUUGAUUUUGUAAGUCAAUUUAGGCUUUUAUCGGAAGAAAUUAAAGUUCUGGGGUCCAAUUAUAAUUUUAAAGAGUUGAUUUGGUCAAAUCAGGGGCUUAAUUGCAUAAUUAUUGAAGUUUGAUGGCCAAUUAGGGACUUAAUUGAAAUAAUUUGAGACCAAGGAUCAAACCAGAAAAGGCGCUAACAUUAAGGGAUCCAAUUACAAUUUUGUCAGGGGGGUUUGAUUAUAAAACAGCGAAAACUUCAAGGGCCAAAUUAGAAGAACCCAAGCGGCGCCGUUUCCACCAUUAAUGGUCUUCAAACAGCUGUGAAUCGGUGACGAUAAUGGAAGGAGACGUUAGCAGCAAUUAUGGAAAAUAUUCUCAAUUCAAUGGGGCUGGUAUCGCGGCUGACAUCCCUCGUCACCGUGAUGGGCGCCGGCUUACCAAUAUUGCUGGCGUCCUCUGGCUAUAAAAGCCAGAGGAAGAGCUGCACCAAAAAUAAAAGGAGGUGAGAGAGAGGAGAGGCUACAGUGAAGAAAAAAAAAGGGGAGUGAGACAGUUUAUGAGAACGUAAGAAAAGUGAGAGGGUGGAGAAAUAGCGAGCAAGCAUAAGGGAGAGAAGAGGAAGGAGAGAAAGAAGCAAACCGAACGGGAACAGAGGACACGGUGAAGCAGAGAACCCAGCACCACCAUCGUCUUCGUCUUCUCAAAAUCAGGUAUGUUCGAUGCCCUUCUCCGUUUCCUUGCAAAAUGAGAUGAUGCAUGUUAGUAUGUAAAAUACAGAAAGAAAAUAUAAGGAAACCGACACCAGAAAUCGCCAGUUACAAUGCUCUGUUUUGUUUUCCUUUUUCAUUCUCGCACUGCAACAAAGAUGGUUAACAGAGCGAAGGUAAUUUAAUUACCUUCGCCCUGUUCAUACAAGCCUAAAUAUAUUAUGGUGCCAUUAGAUAAAAAUAUGCCUUGCAGUCUAGAUGGUCAGCUUACCUGGCUCUCAUCCGAGAGACCCGGUUUCAAGUCCCAACAAGGGAAUUCCUUUUUGAAGGUGGUCACUGGCAUGGGCCAGUGACCAUGCUGGGCUAGCUGAAUCCAGCCCAGCUACGCAGGUUGGCUGGGGUCCAGCCCAGCCAUAUGGGCCGGGUUGGGCCCAGCAAUAAAAAAUAAAAGAAUAAAAAUAAAUAAAAAUUCAAAAAAAUUAUUUAAAUAUCUGUGAUUUUCCGUCAAUUUUUACUGCAUUUUAAUUAAUACGGUUUGUAUUUUUAUACUGUAAAGAUACAAAUCCGGUAUUAAAAUACCAUAUUUUGGUCCAAACAUUAAAAAAGAAGUUUUGUUUUCAUACAUACGGCUAAGUCUCUCAAAAAUAAAAAAUCAUAUUGUAUUUUCAUACAACAAAGAAAAUUUCAAAAAAUAUGUAUUAGCAUGCAUUUUGGCUUUAAUAACCAGUUUAUUAAAGUCACGAGAACUAGGCCAAUAUUUCAAAAAUUCUAAAAAAUUUAUUUUGUUUUCUUUUAAUAUCGGGGGCCGGGUUAUGAUCUUAUACGUAAGACGUGUUCCAGAUAUUAAAUUUUCUUUGUUGGCAUUAGACCGGUUAGGUUUUACCCGAUAAGAUAAGGAUCUCUUUACCGAAGAGAACUUUUCUUAAACCAUAAACGGACCAACAAAUAGAAAGCACAACAUGACCUUAGAUUUUAUCAGACAAUAAAACAAUGCAGCUUACCUUAGGUAGGGCGUAUUUGGGGUGCUAAUACCUUCCCUUUACGCAACCAAUCCUCGUACCCGAUCUCUGAGACCAGUUAGGGUUCCUAGUGACCAAAAUACUAGGUGACGACUUUCAUUCUAUUUUUUCACUGAUAAAAGACAAGAAUACCUUGUCUCCACACAUUUGCCACAUUUUUAGAUAAGAUAAGAUAGAAUUCGAGGGUGGAUGUUUUCGCCGCGACGCCGCACACGUGCGACAUAUCUCAUUAUUUGUUUUUACUUUUUGCUAAUGAUUCCACACAUUUCUGAAAUUGGUGUGGUUUAUGAGUUCAGGGUUCUUGCUUGCUGCUGCUAACUUCUCUAUACUUGCCUGGUCAUUAAAAAUGAAACGUAAUGAUUUGCAUGUGCAGAAUGGAGACAUUAAAGAGGGAUCUUCUGUUUUCUAGUCAGAAGGGAUUACAAGAACUCAAGAAAUAUGCCAUACGUUUUGAGGAAAAGAUUUAUAUUACCGCCACGAAUCAGGGUUCAAUAAUUAUGAUAUUCUCUUGACAUGAAUAUACACAUGCAUUUAUGCAUGUACAAAUGUGUGUGUAGUGUGCCUCCACUUCCUCACCGUGCAUUCUGUAUGCAAGGCUGAUUGGGAGUUCGCAUGUUUUUGUUAAUUCUCUUGACAAGUGUUUUAUCUAGAGUGACCAAGUUCAAGUACAAGGGAAGUGUGCAAAAAGAAAAUAGCAAAUCAAUACAUAAAUAAUUAAAUAAAAAGAGAGGAAACAGAAGUAUAUCCUCACAAACGAUGAAAUGAUAGAGCAUAUAUCCAUUUUCCUCCUCUUGUAACAUGGAUUGCUCUGAGAUCUAAUGUUUUGUUAUUAAUAUAUGAUUUCAGUAUGAUUAUCUGCGUAAAAUAUCUCUGGAGAUGCUUUCAAUGGAGAUCAGGUCUCAAAAUACCAUGCCCACUGCCCCCAUGGAUCCAGCAGGUUAUAAUGCAGCCGAGCAUUGAAUUUGUAAACAUCUUACCUUUUGUUUUGUUUGUCGCAUUGUAAUCAAACUCUUUUACAUUUUAUUGCGGCAUAUUGCUAUGUGUUUAGCAUGCUUUAAUCAAAAAGUUGAGUAAUUGAUGAAUGUUAGGCAAGAAUAUUACAGAUUGUUUUUGUUUUCUGCCUCCUCCUUUUCUUUCCUCCACCUUGAAAAUUGUCAUAUUAUUUUUGUUUUCAGUCGCCUCUUCUUCCCCCAUCCCUGAAAAUUGUCAGAGGACAUUUUUAUGCUUUGAAUCAAAUCCAUCCUAAUUUUUUCGCUCAUAACUUUAUGUGUGAACUGCAUAUGUUUCAUUUGUCUUCCUUGUUCAGUGCCUUCUUUUUUUCUGUGACAUGGUUUUCCCUUUUGCCUUUUAUCUUGAACAGCAUCCCAUAGUAUGCGCCCUGAAGUUCAGAAUCAAGGGCUGUUUCUCCCUAUCCUAUUGUCCACUGAUCAGUCUCAAGCAUGUCAGCAGUUGGUAUCACAGAACAUGCAGAAUUGCAUGGCAUCUAAUGGAGUUCAAAGUUAUGCUGGUUUACAAGCGGCACUGCCUCCUGUCUCUGGUGUAACCCUGACUAACCCCAACACUGUUGUCCAGAAUCCUAACAUGCAGAGUAUCCCUGGUGUUUCACAGAACUCAGUGGGGAAUUCAAUGGGACAAGGGAUUCCCUACACUAUGUUUGCCAAUUCUCAGAGACAAAUGCCAGGUAAUGCUCUUUUUGGUAGCUUUAUGUGCCACUGCUUCCCUUUAUGGCAUUAGAAAUGCCACUGCUAUUGGAACUAUUGCAAUCACACAUGCAUUUGUAACCACACGAUGCCCUACAGUGCGGUGCACCAACUGUUCACCUCUCAUAAUGGUUCAAGUCAGCAAUGCUCUUUUAGGUAGCUUUAUGUGCCACUGCUGCCACUUGUGGCAUUAGUAAUGCCAUUGCUAUUGAAACCAUUGCAAUCACACACGUAUUUGUUACCACAUCAUACCCUCCAGUGCAUUGCACCAGCUAUUCGCCCUCUCAUUCUGCAUUUAUAUGAUCACAUAACAUUUAUAUGAAGUUCUUAAUACAAAAAGGACUUGUAUUCCUAUAUAGGAAAAUACUAAUAGUCCUAUCUAGAAUAGAAAAAACCUAAUGAAGCUCGCUAUACUUUGGGAAUAAUUAAAUACUAAAUGGAAAAUAAAACUGAGACUCGUAAUAUUUCAUAAUUUUCAGCAAGCGUUAAAAUUAUAGAAAUACCCUUGUAUAUGGAAAACACACAAAAAUACAUGAAUUCUAAUAUUUUGUUGUCCGCAUUGAAAUUUUUGUAGCAUCCCUAUAUUCUACAGCACAGACUGGACAUGCAAAAGGCGCUGAUUGGCAAGAGGAGAUCUAUCAGAAGGUAAUUUCUGUGAUUUACUGUUCAUUAGAUGGAGUUCAUGUUUGCCAUAGUCUUGCAAGAUUUCAAUGGAAAAAGGUCUCAAGAAAAUAAGUGGGACUUAUUCCAUUGAAUCAUGACCACAUCCAGUAUUGUUGAAUUUUACAGAAAAUGAGGUUGAAAUUCUGAAUGUCUCAAGUCAUAGCUGCAUGUUUAAUAAGGAGAUUUUUUUUUUGUGCUUAGGAGAGUUUUAAAACGGGAAUAAGAAUGGUUGUUGAUAAGGACAAUUUUUUUUGUGCUGAGGAGACCAAUAUUUGCUGAGCAAUUCUAUAAUGAAAAGUUGGCGACUGAUGUUUUAAAAAUUGGAGUUAAGGAAUGGCUUAGAGUGCAUGGAGAUCAUGUUAAAAGUGAAGCUGUAGAGAAGGCAAUCACUCAAAUUAUGAUGGGUGAAGAAGCAGAGGAAAUGAGUAGCAGAGCAAAGAAACGGCCAGGAAGGCUGUUGAAGAAGGUGGAUCUUCUUGCUCCGAUUUCAAUGCUUUGAUUGAAUAACUGAGGUGGGGUCGCCCUUGAAACAAAGACAUAGAACAUUUUGUUUAUACUUUAGUAGUGGUUGUGGCAAUUUAUUUUCGGACAAGUCUUGAGAGUUGAAAGAGUAAUCACACCCGAGUCAAUGACCAAUCCAAAUCAGUUUCCUUCCUAAUGAUUCAGGAAUGAGAAGUCCAGCUUAUAUAUUUAACCCAAAUAACUAAUCAAAUAGAAAGGCUGAGCUUAGAGAUAGUACACUACAUAUUGCCAAUAACUAGAUAAACAAUCAUCACAAACUAGGAACGACCGUCUCCCCAAUAACAAAUUCACCUUCUGAAGUUAGAGAACUUGCGAAAACUAGCCACCACAAAAUAGUAGCAAGUAUCUAUGCAGUCUUCGAUGAAGUACAACCACCUGCGUCGCCAAUAUGGAUUGAUGUAGAGAACUGCUGCAAUCGUCAUCACCACAACUGUGUAACAUACACCGAAACUGAUGUAGAAAAACUCCAUAUCUAUGAAACCAUCAUCUCCUUGUUCAUCAUUAGGCACUGGCUGUGACACCACUGCCUUCUCACUACAAUUGUUUGGCAAUGGAGGUCCACACAAGAAAGGAUUUCCUUCGUAACAGCUUUCAUCGAAGGUCCCAAACUGAUAUAUUCUCUCGGGUGUCUUGCCUGACAAGUUAUUGUGCGCCACACUAAAAACUUCCAGUGUGGUAACUUCAGUAAAUUGUGGAGGGAUGGCACCAUUCAAGUUGUUGUAAGAAAGAUCCAAACUCUCAAUAUGCAUUAGGUUUGAGAAUGUUGCAGGGAUAGAUCCAGUGAGAUUGUUGUGUGAUAAGUUUACUGACAGUAUCUUACUUAAGUUUCCAAAUUCUGGUGGGAUUGCUCCGAUGAAGUUGUUAUUGGAGAGAUCAAUACCAAACAUGUAGUUGAGAACUUUCCCCUUGUACCCAUAAUACAUAUUUUUAGUUGUAAAUUCUGUCACUUCUUCUGUAAAGUUAAACAAAAAAAAAUUUCUCAAGUUGUCCACACUAUCCACUAGUGGUGGGCCCAUUAUUUCAUAAUAAGCUUUUUCUAUGGACUCUGAUAUAAAACCAUAUGCGACUUCCAAUAUCGCUUUCUUGUCACUUUUCUUGAAAGUAAGAUUGCCUAAACAGGAGGGUAGUGGACCAGAGAGCUGGUUGUGUGAAACAUCCAAAAUGCUUAAUUGUUCUAACAAGCAUAACUGAAUAGGGAGCUCACCAUCAAAGUGAUUAGCCCUCAGAAGAAGAACACUCAAUGAUGAAAGAUUGCCAAUCCAAUUUGGAAUGGAGCCGGUGAAGCUGUUUUCUCGAAGAUCCAUCGUAACCAGGUAAGAGCUGUUAAAAAAUGCAUAUGUUAAUGGACCGCUCAGUCUAUUUUUCGAUAGAUGCACAUGGGUUAUUUGUGGUGGACUAAAACAAGAUGGUAUAUAUCCAGACAAGUUGUUCUCAGAAAGGUCCAAAUAUUCAAGCUGGUCAAACUUACAAAAAUCUCUUGGGAUCGGACCCUUAAAAUGGUUUCCGGACAAAUCAAUUACUCCAAGGAUCGAAAAAUUAACGAAGCUCCUUGGAAGCAUGCCCGAAAAUUGAUUGUUACUCAAAUCUAAUACAUUCCAUACAUUCCACCUAUAUAAUGGAAAAUCUGAUAUCUGACCCCAAAAGUUGUUACCAUUUAGGUAAAGAAAAUUCAGGCGAGAAGAAUUGAACACCGAGGUCGGUAUUUUCCCACCCAAAUUGUUGUUUGACAGCUUGAGAACCCAUAUUGUUGUUAGUUGUUCUAGUUUUACUGUAGACAAUUGAUUGUUGGAUAAAUCUAAAAAUGAAAGAGAGCUAAUAUUUCCUAAACAGGAAGGAAUACAACCUGUGAAUCCAUUCUUAGCCAUCCUUAAGGUGUGUAGAUUUGGAAAGAUCAAACAAAUAUCUUUUGGAAUUUGACCGUUCAUGUUGUUGUUGGAUAUAUCUAAAUUGGUCAUAUUCGGAUGGAGGUGAUCUUGCAACUGCAAAGCACCAAUAAAGGAGUUGUCGCUCAGAUAUAGUUGUUCCAAUCGUGUAUUGUUCUUAAGCAACCACGAUGGAAACAUUCCAGUGAUGUUGUUGUGGGAGAGAUCAAGGGCUCUUAAGUCUAAUUGGUAAUAGAGGAAGUCGGGAAUUACAUUGAGUGCUUCCGAUGUUGGACUACUUGACAAGCGGAAAAAGACUAGUUGGAACUUUGGAAUCAAAUUAUCAAAGGCAGCAGGUUCUGUUACUAGCUUGUUGUUCUCACUGGAGAAGAACUUGAGGCUUGAGUGGUUCAUAAAAGGCUUUAUUGAAAUGGGAACUUCAAAGAGGUUAUUUGAUAGUGAGAGGAAUUCAAGGGAUAUGAGGUUGGUAAGAGGACCGAAAGCAAUAUUUCCAGUAAACUGGUUUUCAGAAACAUCUAAUAGUUGUAAAGAUGACAUGUUCCCCAAACAAUCUGGGAGUGAACCUCCUAAAUUAUUUCUAGAGAGAUGUAACUGCUUCAGAUUCUUCAAUUCACACCAACCUGUACAAUUUAUCUUGAAAUAGUCAAAAUAGUGUUGGAAGAAUCUUUUGUUGAUGAUGUAAUUAUAGGCGGAUGGAGAGUUGUUAAUUUACCUUGAGCAGGUAGGGUGCCAUGGAGGUCACAUUCACCAACAGACAAAACUUUAAGAGCAGGCAAUGCUCCAAUGUUCUGGAGAAAGUUUAUUGGGAGAGAAGUAUUAUCUAGAUGCAAUUCUUCAAGGGUGCUCGAAUUGAACAAAGUCCCUAUGAAAAAGAAAGAAGAAGAGAUAUGAUGAAAAUAGUGGUGGUACAGAAUAUAUAGCCAUUCCAUUCAAUAUUAUUAAUUAAGAUUUUAAGAAACUAAACUAUUAACCUUGACUUAAAUUAGUAUCCUUGAGAGAAAGGGUCUUCAGGGAUGGCAAUGAACACAAUGACUGUAGGAAGUCCAGCUUCCUUGAACCUAUGAUGUGUAGAAUUGAAAACAGGCAAUCAAGUAAGUAGUGAAAUUAAGUGUUAUCUUGAUCGAGUUCUUAAAGCUAUGAUAAAGAACUGGUACUUUUGUAGUGAGAUGAUUUUUUGAUAGAAACAACAAAUUGCCCAAAUAAUAGAAGAUGCCAAGAGAUAUUCACAACUUUACCAUUGACAGCCGUCGAUCCUAGCAACAUAUUGCCUGAUAAAUUUAAAGACUUGAGGGAUGAAAGUCCACUCGGAUGUGAUAAAAUGCUGUCGUUGAAUAUAUUAUAGCUCAGGUCCAGGUUCUCGAGUUUCCCCAAAUGUGAUGAUAUGAUCUCAAAACCUGCAAGGAGUUGUUUCUAAGAGUAAGUCAUAAUUAUGAGCUCACGAUAUGCAUAAUAUAUAGAAACUAAAGAUAAUUAGAAUUGAUGAGAUGUUGUUCAAUUGAUAUAUGAUUCUCAAAUUAUACAUAAAAAGAAUGAUAUAUGAACGCAUAUUUAAUUAUAUAAUAGAUUAAGAAAUAAUUUAUGGAUAAGAUCAAAGCUCCAUAGAUAUUAAUCUUCAUAGAUGAAAUUAAAGCGCAAUCAAACAUGAUGAAAUGCUAUCGUUGAUUUUUAAAUAUAUAUAAAGUCCUCAAUUUUCUUGAUAAACAGAAUGCAACUUACUAUUGAUAGAUCCUGUCAGCUGAUUGUUUGACAGAUCCAAAGACUUGAGAGAUGAAAACCCAGUUAGAGAUGGAAAAAUGCUAUCGUUGUAUUGAUUCCGUCUUAGAUGAAGGUUCUCAAGCUUUUUCAACCUUGAUGACAAGACUUUGAGACCUGCAUGAUGUUCCUCAAAAGCAUAGAAAUGAUACAUGAACGCAUAUUUAAUUAUAAAAUAGGUUGUGCACGCUUCUAAGAUUAAGAUACAAUUUUUAAAUAUCAUUCUAAUUUUGAUCAUUGGAAAAAAAAAAACAAUUUACGGUUAUAAAGUCGCUAAAGAUGGAAGCUAAGUUAUGAUAGACUUACAAAACAAAAUAAAGAAACUUAUAAUUAAGAUCUCAUCGGUAAUUAAAACAAGAAUAAUAAUCGAUCCAUGUAAGUUCAAAUAUUGCCUAAUUUUGAAAAACUAAUUAAUUAGUUAUGAUAGUUUCAAAAACUAACUGCCUCUGUAAGAUGCUAAAUGCCUCUCUCGUUGGCUGUCUAGUGAUUUGUAUUGGAUAGUUUUUUUUUGAAUUGAUGUUAAGAUCCAAGUUUUAAUAAUUACAAUUUUCUUAAUUAUAUAUAAUAUUAUAGGAGAGAGCUUCUUAUUAUGUUAUUCAAAACCCAUUCAAACUCAAAUUCAUAAAAAAAAAUACUUAGAGUUGUGUUCGACUAAGGAUCUCAAGACAGAAAAAACAUAUAUAAAAAUAUAUUUAUUUAAAAAGAUAAAUAUAAAAUAUAUAUUUAUAGGAGAGUUUUGAAGUGAACUUCUGAUUGCUAAUUUAAUCUAAAUAUUACAACACUUUUGGCAUAAAAGGGCCAAAAUAAGAAUAAAAUAUAUGCCUCUUUACGUAGAUAUAAAGUUCUCAUUUUUGUUGAUAAAGAAACAAUAUAAUUAAGAGAAUGUCAUGUGAAGCAUUUAGGUAGAAACUGUGUAUUAUACCUGAUCCUGUCAACUCAUUGUACGACAGAUCCAAAGACUUGAGGGAUGAAAAUCCAGUAAGAGAUGGAAAAAUGCUAUCGUUGCAAUGAUUCCAACUUAGAAGAAGGUUCUCCAGCUUUUUCAACCUUGAGGACAAGACUUUGAGACCUAAAUAGCAGCUACCUCCUGAUCAUUUAAAUGCGUAGAAAAAAAUGAUAUGAGAAGGAGAAAAGAAAAGGUUUCGAAGCUAAAUAAUUAAAAGGUUACCAUAGAAGCUACCUCCUGAUCCAGCUGUCAACCCAUUCUCUGAUAGAUCCAAAGACUUGAGAGUGGAAAGGUUACCAUUGAAACAUGACAAAAUGCUUUUAUCAUUAUUAAAUCCGUUAUAACUUAGGUCAAGUUUCCUCAGUUUUGAUGAUAGGACUUCGAAGCCUGGAAAGAGCAAGAUAAUUGACAUUAAACACCAACCAACCUUCAUUUAUUUUAUGAUUAUAUUUAAGUGCACAAACAUUGAACUAACCUUCAUUCUCCAAGCAACCAACCAAUCCAUUACCUUCCAAUUCAAGACUUUGCAAUUCUUUAAAAGGCUGAAACAAAGAUGCGUUGAGAACCCAAUCGCCCAAGCUCUCGUCCCUUGAUCCUCUAAGAGAGAGUUGGAUCACUCGCCUUGUAGUGUUAUCACACUCGAUCCUAUGCCACUCACAACAAUUACUACCGUCCACCCAAUCUCUCAAGGAAACGCCAUCUGGGUCGAUCGAAGAUUGGAUCUCCAAGAGACCAAUCCUCUCUUCCUCCAAACACCCAUAACAACGACCAUACCAUUCGCCAACCAAAGUCAAUAAUGCUAGCAACAUCCAACUCCCCAUUCUUUUCAUCAUCAUCUACGUAGAAUAUUGUUGUUUGUUAUGUGUCUUUGGGCAACCAUAGAGGUCCUAUUUAUACUACAAUUUUGGCCAUUUCCAUGAUUUUAUCUGCAUAUCUUAUGCAGGUUCUAUGUUUUGAGAUUUGAAUAUUAUUUUAUUUCCUUUUGGAAUAUUCUUGGAUUCGAAUAUUAUUUUAUUUUACUGUUUAGCACUUAGUCUAUUUGCAUUUAAUUAUAUUUUGGUUACUAAUUAUCCAAUUUUAAAAAAAUAAAAAAUAAAAAUUGUUGCAACAUUUCAAUUUUUUUAUCGACAUUCAUGUGUGAUUUCACGUAAGAUCUUUUUAAAUUUAUAAUUGUACUUUUCUCGUUAUAAUUUAGAAUUAUUUAGGAGCCUACUUGCAUGGUGUCAUCACUAUUAUAUAUAAUUAAAUACAUAAAUUAUCAAUAAUAAUAAAUUCGGAAUAAUUAUAAAUCUUAUCCCUGUGGAUUGUGUGGCUACAGUAUGAUAUACAAAAACUUCAAAUAUAUAUAAAUAAAAGAAUGCUAAAAGUGACAUUCUCUUGGGUGACCACCACAAGCCCAUCUAAAACACACAAGCCAUAUAAAAAUCACACGACAGCCAAUUACCUUAUCUUGUGAGAAAAAAGAUUAAAAAAAAAAAAAGCAUUUUCUUGGGUGUGCAAUGACUGCCAAUCUUUCUCGUUAUGACAUUCAAUGCUCUGUAAGAAGUUGCAUGAUGCUCUUCUCAUGGGGAGCAAAAAUCAGUAGCCUCCCAUGGAAUCCUCAUAAACCUUUCUCUAUGCUCUUCUAAGAUAUUAAAAAUGUCAAACAUACAUAAAUAAUAAGAAAAACAAUAAAAAAAGAAAGCUAUACAAAUAGAGCUUCCAACAAAAAGACUAGGAAGUUGUUUACUGAAAAUUGAGAUUCAUAAUUUGUUUUGAUUUGUUUUGAUUUGUUUUGAGUUAUUAUGGUCUCAUGACCCGGGUCACAGAUUUAAAGGUUAAUCUAGAUUGACCCGGGUCGAUUAAUCCAAUAUGUUGUUGUUUCGAUAUACUUUUUUUAAAAAAAUAUGUCAUCUUGAUUUUUUUCAAGUGAAACUAUAUUUUUACCAGUCGUCCAGACAAUCUUUGAGCCCAUCGAAUCGAUCGGGUUAUAUCAAUUUAACUCUUAUUUUUUUAUUUAUAUUUGAAAUUUAAAUUGCAUAAUUUUUUACUUAUUUUUUUAUAUAGGUGGUUAUGAGUUACAAAAAUUAAGCAAUUUCGAGUAUAUUGACAUGAGAAUUAAUGGUUUCGAUAACAAUAUUCUAUCAUUUGUAGAGGGAUUUUCAUCUUUUAAAUCACUAUAUUUAGAUUAUAAUAGACUGGAAGGGUUAAUAGAUUUAAAAUGUUAGUUUUUUUAUAUACUUAUUUUUUCUCUAUUAAAUUUAAUUUCAAAAGAACACAAUUUUCGAUAACAGUAUUCUAUCAUGCAAUUUUUGUUUUGUUUCAAAAGAACACAAUCGCCCAAGCGGAAAUCCCUUGCAUAGAAAAGAGAGAGUUGGAUCACUCGCCUUGUACGUAGUGUUAUCACACUCGAUCCUAGGCCACUCACAACAAUUACUACUGUCCACCCAAUCUCUCAAGAAAAAGCCAUCUGGGUCGAUCAAAGCUUUGAUCUCCAAGAGACCAAUCCUCUCUUCCUCCAAACACCCAUAACAACGACCAUGCCAUUCGCCAACCAAAGUCAAUAAUGCUAGCAACAUCCAACCCCCCAUUCUUUUCAUCAUCAUCUACGUAAAAUAUUGUUGUUUGUUAUGUGCUUUUGGGCAACCAUAGAGGUCCUAUUUAGACUACAAUUUUGGCCAUUUCCAUGAUUUUAUCUGCAUAUCUUAUGCAGGUUCUAUGUUUUGAGAUUUGAAUAUUAUUUUAUUUCUUUUUGGAAUAUUCUUGGAUUUGAAUAUUAUUAUUAUUUUAUUGUUUAGCACUUAGUCUAUUUGUAUUUAAUUAUAUUUUGGUUACUAAUUAUCCAAUUUAUAAAAAAAAAUAAAAAAUAAAAUAAUUGUUGCAGUACUUCAGCAUUGUUAUCGACAUUCGUGUGUGAUUCCGUAUAAGAUCUUUUUAAUUUAAUUGUACUUCUCUCGUCAUAAUUUAGAAUCAUUUAGAACCCUAUUUGUGUUAUGACUAUCAUAUAUAUAAUUAAAUACAUAAAUUAUCAAUAAUAGUAAACUCAGAAUAAUUAUAAAUCUUAUCCCAGUGGAUUGUGUGGCUACAGUAUUUUAUACUUCAAAAUAUAUAUAUAUAUAUAAAAGUUAGAGCUGCUUUUGUUUUUAUGUUCGGAAAGGUAUUCUUGACUUGUUUUUAUUACAUUUCAAUAUUAUUAUUUUUUUUCAAUCGAGUCAAAGAUAUACCAUUUAUAUUAGAAUGAGAAGACUAAUCAAUUUCUCUAGUUUUCUCCCUAUUUAUAAAAUACAUCUGGUUUUUGAAGUCCAGAUUUUAGGAUAAAAGGAAUUUAUUUCUUGAAAUUAAUGCAUUAAACAAUAUAAAGAUAUUUUUUAAAAAUUAAAAUAGUAGUAAAAGUAAAUUUAGUUUUUGAUUGAAGUGUAAACUAGUGGUAAAUGAACAAAAAAAAAAAACUUUCUUGAUUAUCUAAUGGAAACUCCGCCUAAUAUAUAUAUAAUAGCAAUCAUUUUCUUAUCUCUUGUAUCAUUCAUAUCUUCCACAAAUCUUAAGUAAUUGAUGAGAAAGUGGAUAUUGCCAAGAAAGGUCGUGAACGCGGAUGCUUGACUUGCUGCGUGGCAUUUUGAUUUUUAAACACAACACUACUUUCUUUGUGGAAAUAACGCUACUUUGCAUGAAGAUGAUGGAUAUAGAAGACUUGCUACUUGUUUUAUGGAAAUAACGUAUGGAAAAUUAUGCUUUAAUUUUAAUGAUGAUAGCAAAAUCAAACAGUAUUGUUGAUAAAAUGAGCCAUAAAUAAUAUUAUUUCUAUUGUCAUGACAAUAAGUUUUUUUUUUUUUUUUUCUAAAGAGUCUAUUUUUCCUCUAGGAGAGGCCGCGAGACGUCCUCUUCCAACCAUCAUGCAUUUUUUCUACGAGAUGGGUUCAUGGAAAUACUUUGGUUUAAUUGGGAAUGCUGUUAUUGAUUGAAAUAUUUUUAAUUAAAAUAAAUUUGAUUAUUUGAUUGGAAAAAAAAUAUUGUAACCAAGUAAUUUAUUUAUUUAUUUUAAUGAAAUAUAAAAUAGUUUUAAAUCUUGUGGUAUAUUUCUUGUCUUUAAGAGCUAUGAACUUAUAUCUCAAAACUUGAAAACUAAUAUAAAGAUAUUAAGUGAUCAUUGAGUGUGUGUGUGUGUAUAAUCCUUUUCAAAACAAAAAGGAUUUUGAUGGAGAUUAGGACAUUGCAACAAAUUAUCCACCACUAGAUGGGUCAAUGAUACCAUUGUCAUCAUGCAAUUUUUCCCACGAGAUGGGGCCGUACGCUUGGGGCUCUAAAAGCUAUGGUUUUAAUUUCAUUAUGUCACAUCUAGAAUGGCAGGUAUAUUUUAUUUCAAUUUAAACAAUGGAAUAAAUUAGAAGAUAUUUCAUCUCGCUUAAAAUCUUAUCUUCUUAUAUGAUUUCACCUAAAUUCUGGCUGGAAUGUUUAAGUUAUAUUCUAGCUAUUCUGUUAUGGCCAAAUGAUAUUUUGUUUUACUUUUAUAAAAAAUUAAAAUAUAGUUUAGUUUUUGUAUUUAUUUUCUGGUUAUAUUUAAUUUGUCAUCAAUAUUCAUAACGUAAAUUGCUAUGCAUUUCGAAUCUUGAAAGGAUUGAAAGAUGGAAAACAGAAAAGAAAGAGAGACCCCCAGUUCAAAAGAAAAAGAAAAAAAAACAAUAGUAAAAGAAAGAGAAGAGAACAAAAGUGAAGCAGUUUUUACUAACUAUAUAAAUUUUAUAAUUAUUAAUAUUAAAUUCAAAAUAUGUACAUAAUGCAAAUAUGUAAACAUAUCAUGUGGUUUAAAGAAAUGAUUUUUAUAAAGAUAUAUGUCUUAACAAUAUUAAUCAACUCUUAAUAUUUUUCAUUUUAUAAAUAUUAAAAGUAAAUAUUAAAACCUAUUAUAUUAAUUUGUGAAGGUAUUUACUCGGAUGCGAAUUAUAUUUCUAAUUUUUUAUUAAAAAAAAAUUCUACAUACUACAACUAGCCUAAGAAAGUCAUUUUCAUCUAAAAAAAAGUAGAAAAAAUUGAAUUGCAUAAAAGCAUCACUAUAAAUGUUAUACUCCGAAAAUAUCUUCUUUCCUUGAUAAAAUUCCCUAAACUACUGUAUGUCUCUAACAGUGAAAAUAUCACUAUAAUUUACAGUCACCUUAUUUAAUCGAAAGAAAACUUUAAAGAUGCACCUCCAUCUAGUGUAUUUAAAAAGAUUUAACAAAUUACUUUACACGUGCUAUGCUACAAGUUACAUAUUUUUUCAAUGUAAACAAAAAUUAUAUAGGUAUUUUUAACAUUUUUCUAUUAAAAAAAACUAAAACAUAUAAAAAUUAACCAAUUUAUAAUUAAUUAAUUAAUUGAGAAUUUGAGCUCCUUAGAAAAGUUGUUUAUGGACUUUUGUUUUCCGGAGAAAGCUCCUUUAAAACCCUUGAGCACCACCUUCUUUAAAACUUCUAUCUUUGCCAUAACUGAGGGGCUCUGUAUUUUUUUUAAGGUGAAUUAACAAGUUACAACUCAACUCUGUAUUUUUUUUUUUAGUUUAAUGUGGGUGUCUGGGUCAACUUACGCGUACCUCGACUAAUUCCACGGGCCCUGAAAUUAAUGACCAUAUAAACCUACAGUGGCCAUCAUAUGAACAAUCACAGGACUAGGGCUCGAACUUGAGACAAAAAAAAAAAGCAAAUUUUUUAAUCUUAAAUUCUUACCACUGGAUCACUAUCUAAAUUGUUACCUUGUAUCUAAUCUAGAUGUGUCUGUGACUGUGCUUGAUGUUCUCAUAACCAUUAAGAUGGUUCGAACCCAAAUAAAUAGAAACAAAUUUAUUUUCUGUUAUUCUCCGAAUUCCUAGAUAGAAUUUGCUUGGAAAUGAUGAGCUACCACUCCCUUUUGACUUUGCUGGCCUCCCAAAUAAAUAAAGAAUUCCGCUUGAUAGAAUUUUCUUGGAAAUGAUGAGAAUAUUUUAUAAUUUUCUGGUUGACGCCAGCUGUCAACAACUGUCUUACAUUCCCUUGGCAUCGUGUUCCAUGCCCUUGCAAAAUAUUAAAGGCUCCAAUGCCUCUCUCGCAAUAAGAUUAUUUUUUUUAUUUGUCCCCGAAUACAUGUGUCAUUUAUCGAAAUAAUUAAUUUAAUCACACACAUAAAAAAAAAAAAAAAUUUAAAUAGGCGGCUUUAGAAUCAGCAAGCAGUGAAUCACACGGGAAGAUUGAAAGAAUAAUUAAAGUGAUUUUACUAACAUUGUAAAAAAAAUUGAAUUGCAUAAGAGUAAUUAACCGACAGGUUGACCCAAAGUCAAAGUCUUCUGUGGAAAAACAUGAAUAGAAGAUUGAUGGGCGUUGCGUGAUAGCAAAAGAUUUGAGAUCUGCACAGCAGGUUUUGAAUUCGAGUCAGGGCGUGCAUCUCUUGUAAAAGCUUGGGAUAGCCGGGAUUUUACUGUCUCAUCUGGGCCCAUAAAGUGCGCUUUCCAAGGAAAUGAGGUUCCCUCGAAUCCAUAAAAAAAAAAAAAGUAAUACCAUUGCUAUCAAGCGUUUUUUCUACGAGAUGGUCCGUUCCCCCAUUUCCCCUCAAGCUUGAGAAGGGAUGAUAUAUAUAUGCUUUAAUUUCAACUUGUAUAAAAAAUAAAUCUUAAUGUAGUGUGUUAGAAUGCAACCACCGAUUCAUUAUUUUUAAUGGCUGGUCAUUUAAACUUGGGUGUUUUUUCGGUAUUAAUAUAUAUAUUCCUCAAUUAUCAUAAAAAAAUUAAGAAAAAACUAAUAAUAAGAUUAAAAAUAAAUGUUUUAUUUAUCGAAAUAAUUAUUAAAAGUAAGGUAUACUCAAGGUAUAUGUGGGACGAUAAAAAAAUAACAAAAAAAUCAAUUUACAAAAAAAAUCAUAGAUUUAGUUUUCCUAAAUUUUAAAUGUAGUGCAACAUUAGCCUUUCAAGAAAUAGAUAAUCUUCCUCUUUGAAGGAAUUAAUUAGUGGGUUGGAAAAAUGUCGUCUUUUGCUCUAAUAUUUUCUUCGCUUUCUCUAUAGUUUUACCAUACACUAAUAUUGUCAGAAAAUGAUACAUACUUCUUGUGUUAUCCUUCAAGAAUUCAAUUGAAAAGGAGGGUUGUAAAAAAUUUAAUUUUUAUAAACAUACCCUUAACUUAAUUUGGAUGUGGAUAAUUGUUUGCAAUAUAUUUACAUCCAAUAUAAACAAUUCAUCAAUGAUCAAGUAGGCAGUGGUUAGCUAAAAUAUUGAAAAUACUUACUCUCUUUGUUUUUUAGUCAUGCAGUUCCACUAUUGUAUGUUAUUUUUGUUUAGCUAAAAAUAUCAAAAAAUAUUAAUUUGGAGUAAAAAAAAAAAAAAAAUUUAAUUUUUUUAAAAAUAUUUUUGAAACAUAAAAACAAACAGUGCUAAAAGACAUAGAAACAGUUACCCAAAUCAAUUUAUUUUUUUAAAAAAUAAAAAUAGAAUACUAUACAAAUGGAGCUUCCAACAAAAAGAUAUGGGAAGUUCGAGGGAAAAAAUGAUUAGUUAAUUCAAAACACCAGGAGUAAGUAAUAAUUACAAAACACGAUACCGAAACCAAAUUGAAAAGUGAGCAAAAUACAAAACUGGUUACAUGUAUCGAAAGGAACUGGAACCAAUUUCUCCACCACUGGAUGUCCCUUUUGUUCAGUCUAUGUUUGGUGCAAUCACCUAAAGCUAGAAACAAAAACAGCGCCUUAGUCUAUGUUUGGUGCAUUUUUUCCACGAGAUGGGUUCGUGGAAAAACUUUGGUUUAAUUGGGAAUGCUGUUAUUGGUUAGAAACUUUUUAAUUAAAAUAAAUUUGAUUAUUUGAUUGGAAAAAUCCUUAAAUGUUAUUAACACAUGAAAUCAAUUUAUUCUCUUAAGAAAAAAAUAGUUUUACAUCUUGUGGUAUAUAUGUCAAGCAUUUUUUUUCCCUCAAGAUGGGUUCGACAGACAAUCACCAUCAUGCAUUUAUGAGUCCAUGAGACCAUUGUCAUCUGCACAUUGGUCCCCUAUAGCGUUGCUUUUCCUCAAGACCAUUUCCAUCAUGCAUUUAUGAGUUAGUGAGACCAUUUCCAACUGCACAUUGGUCCCUGAAACCGUUGCCAUCAUGCAUUUUUCCUCGAUGAGAGGUCGUGAGACGUCCACUUCCAACCAUCAUGCAUUUUUUUCACGAGAUGAGGCCGUACGUUUGGGGCUCUAAAAGCUAUAUAUAUUAGAAAUAUUAUUUGAAAAUAAAUUAUUUUUUAUUUUUAAAAAUAAAAUUCUUCUAUACAAAAGAUUUUUAUAAGUAUAAUUUAAUUUAUUCAGUUUUUUAAAUAAAGUUAAUCUAUCGCAAGAGUACACGAAAUAAGUAUUUUUCCGUCAUGCAUUUUUUUUCCUCAAGACCAUUUCCAUCAUGCAUUUAUGAGUCUGGGAGACCAUUUCCAUCAUGCAUUUAUGAGUUGCUGAGACCAUUUCCAUCUGCACAUUAGUCUCUGAGACCGUUGCCAUCAUGCAUUUUUCCUCGAGGAGAGGCCGUGAGACUUCCUCUUCCAACCAUCAUGCAUUUUUUCCACGAGAUGGGUUCGUGGAAAAACUUUGGUUUAAUUAGGAAUGCUGUUAUUGAUUGGAAACUUUUUAAUUAAAAUAAAUUUGAUUAUUUGAUUGGAAAAAUCCUUAAAUGUUAUUAACACAUGAAAUCAACUUAUUCUCUUAAGAAAAAAACAGUUUUAAAUCUUGUUGCCGUCAUGCAUUUUUUUUUCCUCAAGAUGGGUUCGACAGACAAUCACCAUCAUGCAUUUAUAAGUCCAUGAGACCAUUGUCAUCUGCACUUUGGUCCCCUAUAGCGUUGCUUUUCCUCAAGACCAUUUCCAUCAUGCAUUUAUGAGUCCAGGAGACCAUUUCCAACUGCACAUUGGUCCCUGAGACCGUUGCCAUCAUGCAUUUUUUCCACGAGAUGGGUUCGUGGAAAUAAUUUGGUUUAAUUGGGAAUGCUUUACUGUAUUUGUUUUCUGGUUAUAUUUAAUUUUUCAUCAAUAUUCCUAAGCACGUAUUUUGAAUCAUGAAAAGCACGUGGAAAAGAGAGGGAUGGUGAAAAUGACAUGUAAAGGGACUGUUUGGCAGUGCGCAUAGAAAAGGGAAAGUGUCAUUGCCAUUUUGAGUGGUGUGUUUGCAUUUGAUUUGUUAAUUUCGAGUUUUGUCAAAGAGUGAUUACUAGUCAUCAAGCAUUUUAUUAAUUUAAUUUAUCCUGUCAAGUGAAGGGCCAAACCUGUCAUUCAUUGCCAGUCACAGUCACAAGUCUUGGUCUUACCAUUUUACUAUCUAUUAAUUAAUUAAUUGUUUGAUUAAUCAACGAAACUGUGCGUUUCUCUUGUGAUUUCUCGAAGACGGCCAUGAAUAUAUAUAUAUAUAUAUACAACUUUUCAAAACAAAAAGGAUUUUGAUGGAGAGGACAUUGAAACAAAUUAUCCUCGUGAUACCAUUGUCAUCAUUCAAUUUUUUCCACGAGAUCAGGCCGUAUGCUUGGGGCUCUAAAAGAUAUUAUUUCUAAUUUUAUUAUAUCACAUCUAGAAUAACAAGUAUAUUUUAUUUCAAUUUAAAAAAUAGAAUAAAUUAAAAGAUAUUUCAUUUUUAAAAUUUUAUUUUGUUUUAUGAAUUUCACCUAAAUUCUGACUAGAAUAUUUUGAUUAUAUUCCAGCCAUUUUAUUAUGAUAAAAUAAUAUUUUGUUUUGCUUUUAUAAAAAAAAUAUAAUCUAAUUUUACAGUAUCAAUCAUAUCUUUCAAUUCGACUGCUGGAUUGGACUAAAAUUUUACGAGGAAUCUCCUAACAUAUAUUUAUAUCGCAAAUUAAAAUUUUAAGGCAAUCAGAGUUUAGAAAAAUUUUGCGAAAUUACCGAUGAUAUUUUCAUAAUUUUAUUUAAAUUCAUAAUUUUGUUAGGAAAUAUUAUUUUUUGUUUCUUUUUUAGAUUGAAUUAUUUCUAAAGUACUUCUUGUCAUUGUCAUGACAAUAAAUCUUCUUCUUUUUCUUUUUAAAAAGUCUAUUUUUUGUAACACAACCAACAUGUAAGAUGGAUGGGAAUUUGCAGUGUGAGAUGGGUUUGUGAGACUUUGGCCAUCUCCAAUUUUUUCCACGCCAUUGAGAUGGUCUAUAAGACCAUUGCCCCGUAAGCAUUUAUGAGUUCGUGAGACCAUUUCCAUUUGCACAUUGGUCCCUGAGACCGUUGCCAUCAUGCAUUUUUUACACGAGAUGGGUUCGUGGAAAUACUUUGGUUCAAUUGGGAAUGUUGUUAUUGAUUGGAAACUUUUUAAUUAAAAUAAAUUUGAUUAUUUGAUUGGAAGAAAUCCUUAAAUGUUAUUAACAAUAGAAAUCAAUUUAUUUUCUUAAGAAAAAAAUAUUGUAACCAUAUAAGUAAUUUAUUUAUUUAUUUUAAUGAAAAAUAAAAUAGUUUUAAAUCUUGUGGUAUAUUUCUUGUCUUUAAGAGCUAUGAACUUAUAUCUCAAAACUUGAAAACUAAUAUAAAGAUAUUAAGUGAUCAUUAAGCGUGUGUGUGUGUAUAAUGCUUUUCAAAACAAGAAGGAUUUUGAUGGAGAGGACAUUGCAACAAAUUAUCCACCACGAGAUGGGGCUGUACGCUUGGGGCUCUAAAAAACUAUGGUUUUUAAUUUUAUUAUGUCACAUCUAGAAUGGCAGGUAUAUUUUAUUUCAAUUUAAACAAUGAAAUAAAUUAGAAGAUAUUUCAUCUCGUUUAGAAUGUUAUCUCAUUUCAUGAAUUUCACCUAAAUUCUGGCCGGAAUAUUUUGGUUCUAUUCCAGCCAUUCUAUUAUGAUCAAAUAAUGUUUUGUUUUGCUUUUAUAAAAAAAAAAUAUAUAGUUUAGUUUUAUGGUAUUAAUUAUAUCUCUCAAUGCAAUUAUUGGAUUAGACUAAAAUUUUACAAGGAAUCUCUUAACAUAUAUUUAUAUCGCAAGUUAAAAUUUUAGAACAAUUAGAGUUUAAAAAGACUUUGUGAGAUUGCCGAUGACAUUUUUAUAAUUUUAUUUAAAUUCAUAAUUUUGUUUCAUAAGGUCAUUUUUUGUGUCUUUUUUUAGAUUGAUUUUUUUUUUUCAAUUUCAUAAUUCAACAAUAGAUUUAUUAAAAAUUAAGAUUCAUAAUUUGUUUUUAUUUGGGAUUAUUAUGGUCUCAUAAUCUGGGUUACGGAUUUAAAAGAUUAACCUAGAUUAACCUGGUUCGAUCUAAUAUGUUGUUGUUUCAAUAUUUUUAACAAAUAUAAUUUUAAUUGAUAUUUAAAAAUAAACUAACUUGAAAUUAUAUAAUUUAAAUUUCAAAUAUAAGUAAAAAUAAAGAGUUAAAUCAAUAUGACCCAAUUGAUUUGAUGAGUCCAAAAUAUAUAUAAAACAAUCCAAACGACACGUCAAAAUACUCAAAAAUCAAAAUAUAUUGUUACAAUUAAAAAAAUAAAACACCAAUUAAAAUGGAAUUGACGACCUUGCUUGAUAUAAGCCUAAACUCCUCGCUGCCAUUUGCAAGAGAUAGUUACUUAUACCAGUAGCAAUUUAAUAAUGAUUGGUCAAAUUUUAUAUUAAGAUGGGGCUAUUAAUUCAAAUGUUGAUGGCGUUAGUAGCAAUGAUUUUCUUGGAAGCAUGGUUGCCUCUUGGCUGCUUGAAAAUAUAUGGUUUUUUUAAUGUCGCAUGUGUGCUGCGUCAUGAAAAAAAAAUUCACUCUCAAAUCCUAAAUAUUGGUAUCCUGGAAAAAUUGGGAAAAAUAAGGAGACAAGAAAUUCUUGUCUUUUAUUAGUGGAAAAAUAAAAUGGGAGUCGCCACUUAGUAUUUUAAUCACUAGGAACCCUGAUUGGUCUCAGAGAUUGGGUACGGAGACUGGUUGCGUAAAGGGAAGGUAUUAGCACCCCAAAUACGCCCUACCUAAGGUAAGUUGCAUUGUUUUAUUGUUUGAUAAAAUCUAAGGUCUUGUCGUGUUUUCUAGUUAUUGGUCCGUCUAUGAUUUAAGAAAAGUCUUCAUCGAUAAAGAGAUCCUUAUCUUUUCGGGUAAAACCUAACCGUUCUAACGUAAACAAAAGAAUUUAAUAUCCGGAAUACAUCUUACGUAUAAGGUCGUAACCCCAGAUACUAAAAGAAAAUUUUUUUUUUGGAAUUUUUUAAAUAUUGGCCUAGUUCUUGUGACUUUAAUAAACUGGUUUUUAAAACCAAAAUGCAUGUUAAUACAUAUUUUUGUUGUAUGAAAAUAUGAUAUGAUUUUUUUCUUUGAGAUACUUGGCCGUAUGCAUGAAAAUAAUUUUUUUUUUAAUUUUUCAAUGUUUUGACGAAAACUAGGUAUUUUAAUACCAGAUUUGUAUCUUUACAGUAUAAAAAUACAAACCAAUACUAAGAAAAAUUUAGUAGAAAAAUAUAUGGGAAAAUUAUAGAUUUUUUGAAAUGAUUAUUUUUGAAGAAUUGUUUUUUACUGGGCCGGACCCGACCCAACCAUUUUGGGCGGGCCGGCACUGUCCGGGCUGGAAAACUAAAACAAACAAUGGAGAGACUCUCCACUGUUCACAUGCAACGUGAACAGUGGAGCGGCCUGGAGAAGACAAAGAAGAAGAGGAGGAAGAGGAAGAAGCAGACCUGCGGCCUAGCGGUGCUGCUAGUGGCGGUGGACGGUGUUGCGGUUGCGGAGUGUUAGAAAUAAUGUUCAGGACUGCUGAGCUGGAAUUUUAUUCUUUCUUAAUUUUUGAUUUAGUCAAUUCUGUUCCUAUUCUCUUGUUCUUGUUGCUACUUCGCAGCUCUGUUAUUUCCAUUAUCAAUUGAUCAUGGCUUGAAUGUAGUACCAUGAUCGUAGGAGUUUGUUAUGUAUCAGCUCUAUAAAUUGAGCUGCAGUUAUGAAUAAAGUAUUCAAGCUUUUCAUUCAUCAAUCUCUUCUUAAACACAAGCAUUAUCCUUUGUUAUUUUUGUUGUUCAGAAUCACUGCAACAACGACAAUUGGUAUCAGAGCAUCUUGAUUUAAAGGGAUCUGUGUUGUAACCCAUGGAGACAGAAGUAAGAUUCUCAUCAAUUGCUCCACCAGUGUUCAAUGGUGACAAUUACCAGUUUUGGGCAGUACGGAUGGAGACAUACUUAGAGGCUCUGGAUUUGUGGGAGGCAGUGAAAGAAGAUUAUGAAAUCCCUGCACUUCCAAAUAAUCCCACCAUGGCGCAGGUCAAAUCACAGAAGGAGAAGAAGACAAAAAAAUCAAAGGCAAAGGCGUGCUUGUUUGCUGCAGUAGCAUCCACCAUUUUCACUCGAAUCAUGUCUCUGAAAACAGCAAAGGAGAUAUGGGAGUUUAUCAAGACUGAGUAUGAAGGGGAUGAAAGAAUUCAAGGUAUGCAAGUGUUGAACUUGAUGCGUGAUUUCGAGUUGCAGAAGAUGAAGAAAACUGAAUCCAUCAAAGAGUACUCUGACAGGCUGCUUAAUAUUGCAAGCCGAAUCAGUUUACUUGGCUCGUCCCUGCCUGAGUCAAGAAUUGUUCAAAAAAUUCUUGUAACAAUUCCUGAAAUCUUUGAGGCUACAAUUACAUCCUUGGAAAAUACCAAGGAUAUGUCAAAAAUUACUUUGACAGAAAUGCUAAAUGCAUUACAAGCUCAGGAGCAAAGGAGGAUCAUGAGACAAGAAGAUGAGAUUGAAGGAGCUCUAUUCGUCAAGCAUAGAGAAAAAGGAAAGAAUUACAAGAAGAAUGGAAGCAGUCAAGCAUCAUCAGGUGAUUCCAGGAAUUUCAACAGGAGCAACACUGGAAACAAAAAAGGACCUUUUCCUCCAUGCCAGCAUUGUAAAAGGAGAUCACAUCCACAUUUUAAGUGUUGGAGAAGACCAGAAGCUAAGUGCAACAAAUGCAAUCAAAUGGGCCACGAGGCUGUCAUCUGCAAAAACAAAAUUCAACAGCAUGGUGAAGAAGCUCAAAUUGCUGAUCAAGAAGAAGAAGAUCAAUUGUUUGUGGCCACUUGCAUUUCCAGAAAUGACUCAAGUGAAAGCUGGCUCAUUGAUAGUGGUUGCACCAACCACAUGACACAUGACAGAAACAUAUUCAAGGAGCUGAAACAAACAACUUCAAAGGUUCGAAUUGGAAAUGGAGAAUACCUUGCUGUUGAAGGAAAGGGAACCGUGGCAAUCUUGACUUGCUCAGGUACUAAGUUCAUCUCUGAUGUAUUGUAUGUCCCUGGUAUAAAUCAAAAUUUAUUCAGUGUUGGUCAGCUUAUUGAGAAGGGUUAUAAAGUAGUGUUUGAAAACAAUUGCUGCUUGAUCAAAGAUGUGAAUGGUCAUGAUAUUUUCAAAAUAAUCAUGAAAGGGAAGAGUUUUGCUUUAAAUCCAUUAGAGGAGGAGCAUAUUGCUUUCCCAAUUAAAGAAAAUAUCACAGAUAUUUGGCACAAGAGGCUCGGGCACUAUCAUCAUAGAGGGCUGAUGCUUAUGAAAUCCAAGAUGAUGGCUAAGGAUUUCCCAGCACUUGAUGAUCACAUAUCCAGCUGCAGAACUUGUCACACUGGCAAGCUAAACAGGAAGCCCUUUCCAGAAGCCACAUGGAGAGCAACAAGGAAGCUGCAAUUGAUUCAUACUGACAUUGCAGGACCAUAAAGGACACCCUCUCUAAAUGGGAGUCUGUAUUAUGCUGUCUUCAUUGACGAUUACAGCCGAAUGUGCUGGAUUUUCUUCUUGAAGCACAAGUCAGAGGUAGCACAGGUGUUCUGGAAUUUCAAGGCCAAAGUUGAAAAUGAAAGUGGCUGCAAAAUUCAAGCCCUCAGAUCAGACAAUGGCAAGGAAUACACUUCCAAUGCCUUCAACAUUUUUUGUGAGGAGGCAGGCAUUCAUCAUCAGCUAACAACUCCGUAUACUCCUCAACAAAACGGAGUUAGUGAGAGGCGAAACAAGUUCAUAUUGGAAAUGACAAGAUGCUUGCUACAUGAGAAGAAUUUACCAAAGAAAUUCUGGGCAGAGGCUGCAAACACUGCUGUGUUCUUGCAAAACCGACUGCAUACAAGAGCCUUGAAGGAUCAAACACCCUUUGAGGCAUGGUAUGGUUACAAACCAUCUCUGAAUUUUCUUAAGGUAUUUGGAUGUUUGUGCUUCACCCUUGUUCCACAGGUCAAGAGGGAUAAACUUGACAAGAAAGCACUUCCAGGCAUUUUUGUUGGCUACAGCUUAGUUUCAAAGGCUUAUAAGAUUUUCCAACCACAAACUGGAAAAAUCAUUAUAAGCAGAGAUGUCCAAUUCCUGGAAGAUGAAGAAUGGGACUGGAACGAUGCAAUCAAAGAAGAUUCAACCUCUCCAAAAGGCAAUUAUCUUGUUUCAGACACAGAUGAUCAAAGCAUGGAAGAUUGGGACAUCAACAUGACAGAUGACACUCCUGUUACAGGCACACGGUCACUCCUUGAUGUGUAUCAAAGGCGCAACAUUGCUGUGUGUGAACCAGCAGACUUUGAAGAAGCCAAGCUAGAUCAAAAUUGGCUUGCUGCGAUGAAGGAGAAGCUUCUCAUGAUCAAGAGAAACAACACGUGGGAGUUGGUUGACAGACCUCAAAACAGAAAUGUAAUCGGUGUAAAAUGGGUGUAUCGAACAAAACUCAACGCUGAUGGCUCAAUCAAUAAGCUCAAAGCCAGGCUAGUGGUGAAGGGUUAUGCACAAAUCUUUGGCGUGGACUACUCAGACACGUUUGCACCGGUAGCAAGACUUGACACUAUCAGGCUGCUACUUGCCAUUGCAGCACAACUGAAUUGGAAGGUGUAUCAAAUGGACGUCAAGUCAGCAUUUUUAAAUGGUGUUUUGCAGGAGGAGAUCUAUACUGAGCAACCAGAAGGCUUUGCAAAUGAAGGAGAGGAGGACAAAGUCUGUCUUCUUAAGAAGGCACUAUAUGGAUUGAAGCAAGCUCCAAGAGCUUGGUACAGCCGAAUCGAUGAACAUUUGCAGCACUUGGGAUUCACUAAAAGCCUCUCUGAAUCGACUCUUUACAUCAAGCAAAAUGGUGAUAACAUCCUUAUCAUCUCACUUUACGUUGAUGAUUUGCUUGUAACAGGAAAUAACAACAAUAAUGUGGAGAUAUUCAAGCAAGAGAUGAUGAGUGUAUUUGAGAUGACAAAUUUGGGUUUGAUGUCCUUUUUUCUUGGAAUGGAAGUUAAGCAAGUUGAACAUGAAGUGUUCAUAUGUCAGAAGAAGUAUGCCAAAGAAAUCCUCAAAAAGUUCAAACUUGAAGAUUGCAAAGCAGUAAGCACUCCUAUGAAUCAAAAGGAGAAGCUAUGUAAAGAAGAUGGAGCCGAGAAGGUUGAUCAAGCACAAUUCAGAAAAAUUGUUGGAUGCUUGAUGUAUCUCACUGCAACUAGGCCUGAUAUUUUGAAUGCUGUGAGUAUCUUGUCUAGAUUCAUGCAUUGUGCUAGUGAAUUGCAUUUCAAGGCUGCUAAAAGAGUGAUAAGAUAUGUCAAAGGAACCUGCAAUUUUGGCAUAAGAUACACAAGAAGUAGAGAGUUCAAACUGGUCGGGUACUCUGACAGUGAUUGGGGAGGCUCAAUUGAUGACUUGAAGAGCACAUCAGGCUACUGUUUCUCUUUAGGUUCUGGUGUGUUUUCAUGGAAUUCAAAAAAGCAAGAAACCGUAGCCCAAUCCACUGCUGAAGCUGAGUUUGUGGCUGCAACAGCUGCUGUCAAUCAAGCUUUGUGGCUGAGGAAAAUUUUAUCUGAUCUUAACCUGGAGCAAAAGGAAAGCACAGAAAUUCUAGUUGACAAUCAAGCUGCCAUUUCCAUCUCUAAUAAUCCUGUGUUUCACGGGAAAACCAAGCACUUCAACAUCAAAUUAUUCUUUUUGAGAGAGGUGCAGAAAGAUGGGAGUAUCAUUCUUAUUUACUGCAAAACUGAAGAACAAGCAGCUGAUAUUUUCACCAAACCACUGCCAGUCAACAAAUUCGAAUUUCUGAGAACAAAGUUGGGAGUUUGCAGCUCCUAAACAAGGAGGAGUGUUAGAAAUAAUGUUCAGGACUGCUGAGCUGGAAUUUUAUUCUUUCUUAAUUUUUGAUUUAGUCAAUUUUGUUCCUAUUCUCUUGUUCUUGCUGCUACUUCGCAGCUCUGUUAUUUCCAUUAUCAAUUGAUCAUGGCUUGAAUGUAGGACCAUGAUCGUAGGAGUUUGUUAUGUAUCAGCUCUAUAAAUUGAGCUACAGUUAUGAAUAAAGUAUUCAAGCUUUUCAUUCAUCAAUCUCUUCUUAAACACAAGCAUUAUCCUUUGUUAUUUUUGUUGUUCAGAAUCACUGCAACAACGACACGGACCGUGGCGCUGACUGGCGGGUGGUUCUUCUUUCUUUCUCUGCGUUUCCCUUCUGCUUUUUUUCUAUUCUGCUCUGUUCUUCCUCUUGUUCCCUGUUUUAUUCUUUCUCUCCCUCUCUGGUCCUCUCAAACGUCCCUUGGAGCUGCUGCCUGAAGAUGAAGACGAAGUUGAGGGUGAUCAGUGCUCUGAUCGGGCGACGUUUCUUUCUUUCUUCUGCUACUGUUUUCGUUUCUGAUUCUCCUCGUUCAAUUCUUAUUUGCACUCUUCUUCUUCUUCGUCUCUGGUUUUUGAAAUGACGAAGACGAUGGCAACGCUGGUUCUAAUCUCAACGAUUUCCUCUUCUUACAUUCUUUCCUUUUGCUCGUUUCUGUCUCCCUCUCGUGCUGCUCCCCACUUUCUCUCUUGUCCUGCUCGCUCUCCCUCCCUGUCUCCUCUUCUUUUUUUUUUGUUGUCCGUCUCUCCUCUAGCUUUUUAUAGCCAGAGGAUGCAUGCUUUUCGGGAUUUAUUGCAGGAAGGUUGUAACGGCCGGCGUGCAUCAUGGUGGAGAGGGAUAUCAGCCGUGAGACGUGCUCCCCUGAUUGAAGCAGCUCCACCACUAACGUCUUCACUUCCUUUUACUGUAGAAACCGUUGUUGAUGAAGAAGGUAAUGAACAGUUGUCAAGGAAAUGGUACCGUUUUAAAAUUCAAAAUGAAUAUUUCCGAUUUGGUCAUUGGAUUUUUUGCAAUUUUGUAAUCAAGCCCCCGAAUAAAUUGUAAUUGGAUCUCUGGAUUUUAGCCCCAUUUACAAGACAAUCUUUGGUUCUGGAUUCAUGCGAUUUGACUCUCAAUUGAUCAAUAAACUUCUAAUUUCUUUAAUUUAGCCCCUGACUUGGUCAAUUGCAGCCCUUAUAUUUACACGCCUUUUCCGGUUUGAUCCUUGGUUUCGGAUUUUUUCAAUCAAGUCCCUAAUUGCCCAUAAAACUUUAAUAAUUAUGCAAUUAAGCCCCUGAUUUGACCAAAUCAACUCUUCAAAAUUAUAAUUGGACCUUAGAACUUUAAUUUCUUCGAAUAAAAGCCUAAAUAGACAUAAAACUCAAUUUUUCUUUCAAUCAAACCCUCCAUAAAUUCAAUUAAACCUUUAAUAAAAUUUAAUUGAGUCCAUAAACAUCUGAUUUUAGAUAUAUUUUUUUAAAAUUGAAUUUUCUUUGUCAACAGGGCUCUCAUUAGUCAACGAUAUACUGUCAAAUUUCAAUCUUUAUAUUUUUUAACCUCCUCAACCAAUUUUUGGCCAUUUUGAGCAGUCCGACAGCUUUCACUGUGACAUAUAUAUUUUUUUAUUUAUAUUAUUUAAUUAAUUUAUUAUUAUUUAUUUAUUUAAUUUUUUUCAACUCUUACUUUUUGUAUUUUCUUCUUUUUUGUGUGGGGUCCCAAAAAUGGAUAACAACACUUAAGUUCAAAUCUAUUAAUAAAAAUAUAGUUUUAUUGACUUUUUUAUAUACUUUUAUUAGAGAAAUCAAUGUAAACAAAUUUAUGGACAAACAUUAGUUUAUCAAGUACUUAAAUAGAAAAAUAAAAUCAAUUAGAGUACUUGAAUAAAAAAAAUAUAAAUUAUAAGCAUUUUAUAUAUCUUUAUUGUUCAUAAAUUAAAAAUAAAAUAAAAUCAAUCCAGACUAAUCUAAAAAGAGUUAACUAUGACAUCAUCAUUUUGAUAGUAAAACUAAUGAAGAUAUUUUAUUGAUUAAAUUCCGUGAAUAUAAGUAUUCAAAUUGAAAAAAAAAAACAUUGAUACAAGAUUUUAAAUAAAAAAAUUAUAAAAUACAUAUAAUUUGUACUUCUCAUUGUCUCUUUUGCAUUGCUAACACUUAACAAAUUGAAUAUAUAAUUCUCAUGUCAAUAACGUCAGAAUAAAUUUAGCUACAUGACAUAAUAAUACCUGUUUAUUUUUGUAUUUUAAAAAUAUUUUAAAAACAUUAAAUUGUUUUAAAUAGAUAACUUUUGAAUCAUCAAGUAGUGAAACACAGGAAAAGCGAAGAAAGUGAAGAAUAAUCAAAGUGGUGCGUGUCCACAUCAAUUUUUGUCCAUGUUUUUGGUAUUAAUCUCUUCAUCUAUUUACAGCUGGAGAAAAGAACAUCACCUACUACUUUUCUUGUCUCUUCUUACUUGGAAGAUCAGGUAUGUGAAUCUUUGAGUGCCACUUAUUUUAGUACAUAGACUUAGUUAUUUGACCACAACUUCACCACAAGUUAAAUUGUUUUAAUUAAAAAAAUUUAUAUAAAGAUUUCUUCAAUAAAUUUUUUAUUUAAAAAAUUUCUAAGUGAAAAUUAAAAAACUUAUACACAAAUAUAGUUAAAUAAAUCAAGAAUUAUGUGUGUUAAUAAGUGAAAAAAACCAUAAAUGAUGACUCAAAAUAAAAACUGAAAAAAUCAACUGAUAAAUGUAGAUCAAAAUAUUUAAUUUCACAAGACGUGAUAUUAAUGCAGUUGUGUUUUCUAAAAUUUUUAAUUAAAAUAAUUUUUUAAUUUGAUCAAACGAUAAUAAAAAUAGACACACAUAUUAUAAAUUGAUUGAAUAAAAUAAAAAAUAAUAAUAAUAUGCUAGGCUUUAUAUAUUGGAAAUAUUAUUUAAAAAUAAUUUUUUUUAUUUUAAAAAAUAAAAUUUAUCUAUUAAAAAAAUUUAUAUAUUAAAUUCAAAAUAAAUAAACUUUAAAAUAAUUUGCAAGGCUGCACAUAACCCCUUUAAAAGGAAAGUGAUAUAACAAACGUGGAACAAUUUUUAUUAACUAAAUAAACUUAAUAACUAUUAAUAUUAAAUUCGAAAUAUAUAUUAAAACCUAUUAUAUUAAUUUUUGAAUUUAUCAAUUCAGAUGUGAAUUAUAUUUCUAAAAUGUUAUAAGAAAUUUCUAUAUACGACAACUAGCUUAAGAAAGUGAUGUUCAUCAAAACCAUAGAGUACAGAAAAAGAAUUGAAUUGCAUAAAAUUAAGUAAUUAACGGAAACUUAUAUUCCUUCUUAAAACGUUGACCCCAAGUCAAGUUUAUUUAUUAUUAUUUUUUUUGAAAAAAACAUGAAUAAAAGUUAAUGCUAGGCACAUGGGAUAUAGAAGACUUGCAACUUUCUUUAUAGAAAUUACGUGUGUAAAAUUUAGGCCUUGAAAAAAAAUUAAAAAUAAAAUACUAUUAAUCGUGUUGAUAAAAAUUAAUAUAGAGACUUUAUUGAUAAAAAUUCAUAAGAGCAAGUAUUCAAAUUACAAAAAAUAAAAAUAUUUCUUCAAAUUUUCAAUAAAAUUUAUUUCUUGAAAUUAAUGCAUUAAACAAAAUUAAAAUAGUAGUAAAAGUAAAUUUAGUUUUUGAUUGAAGUGUAAACUAGUGGUAAAUGAACAAAAAGAAACUUUAUUGAUUUCUCCAAAAACAAUAUAUAUAUUAUUGAAUAUCUAAUGGAAAGGAUUAUGAAACUCCGCCUAAUAUAUAUAUAUAUAUAACAGAGAAAUUGUCGAUAAUAGCUAUGAUCUAAGUAACUGGACCACGACGAAGACAUAUACAAGAAACAAAAAAAAGAUACUUCACUAACAAUUGGGGUUCUUCAUAAGCUUCAAUAGAAUUGAUAGAGGGUCGAAACAAAAAAGAGAUGAAGAGAGAGGAGGGAAUGGAAAGAAGGGAAAAGAGAACUCUUGCGAUCUGUUGAAUAAGACUCAGUAUAUAUAUAUAUAUAUAAAAUAAAAAAAACUCAAGUUAGCGCAUCAAAUCUUCGACUUGGAUUAUGAGAUCGGGAUAAGAAAACUUAAUAUUUAAAAAUAAAAUUAAAGAAAAAAACUAUAAAAACAUAUAUGGUUUAACAAUAUUAAUCAAUUAUUAAAAUCUUUCAUUUUAUAUAUAUUAAAAAUAAAUAUUAAUAACUAUUAUAUCAAUUUGUGAAUGUUUCAAUUAGGAUGCGAAUAAAUGUUUUAUAUAUGACAUUUUUCUUAAGAAACCAAAGUUAUUAAGCAUGUUUAGAUUUAAUUACCAAAUGAGAGUGAGGGUUGAGGUUAUAGAUUGACCUAAUUAAUACUCAGAUCAAGAUUUAGGUCCUAGAUCGGACAAAUUAGCUUAUUGACUAGUGUUAAUAAAAAAUUGUAUCAUUUUAUGAUUUUUGUUAUAGAAAAAAUCAAAAUGGUGUUGUUAAAAAAAGUAAAACUAGGUUUUAACUGAGUUGACUAGGUUGUGGGUUGAUUUAUCUGGUCAACUAGGCUCAAUUGAGUCAACUCUCACUUGGUUUUUUCUAAACCUAAAUAGGGUUAGGUUCCAGAUUAAAAUGUAAGGCUUGAAUUAAAUUUAAUAACAUUGAUUAAAACCACAAUGUAGGAAAAAAAAUUGAAUUCAUAAAAGUAAUUAACCGAAAACUUGAAUUCCUUCUUAUAAAGUUGAACCCAUGUCGGUUUUUUUAAAGGAAAAGUAUGAAUCAAAGGUUAACGCUAGGCUGCUCACUUUGCAUCACAAUGACAGAUAUGGAAGGCUUGCUACUUUCUUUAUGGAAAUAACGUGUGGAAAAUCAUGCAUUAAUUUUGAUGUUGAUGGCAAAAUCAAACAAUAUCGUUGAUAAAAUGAAUGACAAAUGAUAUUAUUUUUAAAAUACUUCUUGUCAUUGUCAUGACAACAAGUCUUCUUUUUUUUCUUUCUAAAGUACUUGUCAGUCUAUUUUUAUGUAACCCAAUCAACAAGUAAGAUGGAUAGAAAUUUGCAGUGUAAAAUGGGUCUGUGAGACUAUGUAUCGCCAUCUGCAUUUUUCCACGAUCUAGGCCAGUGGGAUGGUACAUGAGACCAUUGCUAUCAAGCGUUUUUUCUACGAGAUGGGUCCAUGAGACCAUUGCCCUGUAAGCUUGGGAAUGGAUAAUUAAUAUGCUUUAAUGUCUAUUUAGUUUGCAAAAAAAAUAAUUAAAUGCUUAUGAAUAAAAAAUAAAUCUCAAGUGUUAAAAUGCAACCACCGAUUAAUUAAUGGACAAUGGACCUUAGAUUAAUACAUGACGCAACUUUCAAUGGAAUUAUAUUUGUGGAGGUAUUUACUCGGAUGCGAAUUAUAUUUCUAUUUUUUUAUUUAAAAAAAUUCUAUACUACAACGAGCUUAAGAAAGUCAUGUUCAGGGGCGGAGCUAUAAUUAUUUGUUAGGAAGAUCAAAAUUAAUAUAAUAAGAUAUAAAAUUUAUUUUAAUUUAUUAUACAUGAGUUCUAAAACAAAACCUGUAUAAUUUAGUUUUAUUCAAAUAACUUACUACAAACAUAUAAUAACCUUUGUGAAGUAUAUUGGGACUGCUCAACCAUAACUUUAACAUUACACAUUGGAGUUGGUUCACUAGGCUGUGAGUUAUCAAUAUUUUUUAUUUUUCUUUUUCAAAAAAAAAUCAAUUCUUCUUAUUUUGUUCAUGGUUCAACCUAAAAUCAAAACAUAUAUCGUAAGAAAAAAUUGAUAAUUUAGUGACUCUGCUAAAAAUAAAACAUAAAACAAAUCCAAGCAUAAUCAAAACAAAACCAAUAAAAUAUAUCUAAUUAAUUAGAAAAAAAAUCAUUAUAAUAAGAAUUCAAAAAAAAAUGGUAAAACUAGCAGAUCUGAGAAAAAAAAAGAGCAAAAAUGAUAGAAAUAUAAAAAAAAUCUCAUCAAAUUAUUAACAAACAUCUCAAAACAAAACAAAUAUAGAUUUUAAAUUUAAGUUACUUUGUUUUGUUUGAUGAAAGAUAAAUUAAUUGGUGGCUCUGCUUCAAUCUUUUUGUAGAAACAUUUUGCUCACAAUUUGUAUUUUUAUUUCUUUGUUUGAUCGGCUGCAGGAUUUAUAUUAGGGUAAAUUAAUGGUUUUGUUUUUUAUUUCACAAAGUAAUGCCUUAAUAUUGUUUUCUUCCAUCUAGGUCAAGAGUAAAUUAAAAGGAAAUCAAAAGUAAAGUCAAUAAUAACCCAAAGUAAUGCCUUAAUUAUUUGAUGUCACAAAGUAAUGCUUUAAUAACCCAAUAAUAAAAAAACAAAAUGUCUUGAGGGGGGCUCGGGCCCCUGCUUGCCCCCUACUUCCACCCUUGGUCAUGUUCAUCGAAAAAAAAAAUUAUAUUUACUCGGAUGUGUUUUUUCUACGAGAUGGGUCCAUGAGAACAUUUCCAUCUGCAUAUUGGUUCUUGAGACCGUUACCAUCAGGGGCGGAGACAGAGGGGCUGGCAGGGGCCCCGGCCCCGGCAAGGAAAAAGUUUUUCCAGCCCCUCCCUUAACAAUAUUUAUAUUUUUAGUUUAAAUAAUAAAACAAUUAAUAUUUUGAUCCCCUUUAAUUUUAUUUUCUGGUUCUGCCCCUGGUUGCCAUCAUGCAUUUUUCCUCGAGGAGAGGCCAUGAGACGUCCUCUUCCAACCAUCAUGCAUUUUUUCCACGAGAUGGGUUCGUGGAGAAACUUUGGUUUAAUUGGGAAUGCUGUUAUUGAUUGGAAACUUUUUAAUUAAAAUAAAUUUGAUUAUUUGAUUGGAAAAAAUCCUUAAAUGUUAUUAACACAAGAAAUGAAUUUAUUUUCUUAAGAAAAAAAUAUUGUAACCAUAUAAGUAAUUUAUUUAUUUAUUUUAAUGAAAUAUAAAAUAGUUUUAAAUCUUGUGGUAUAUUUCUUGUCUUUAAGAGCUAUGAACUUAUAUCGCAAACCUUGAAAACUAAUAUAAAGAUAUUAAGUGAUCAUUAAGUGUGUGUGUAUGUAUAUAAUCUUUUUCAAAACAAAAAGGAUUUUGAUGGAGAUCAGGACAUUGCAACAAAUUAUCCACCACGAGAUGGGUCACUGAUACCAUUGUCAUCAUGCAAUUUUUUCCCACGAGAUGGGGCCGUACGCUUGGGGCUCUAAAACGCUAUGGUUUUUAAUUUCAUUAUGUCACAUCUAGAAUGGCAGGUAUAUUUUAUUUCAAUUUAAACAAUGGAAUAAAUUAGAAGAUAUUUCAUCUCGUUUGGAAUCUUAUCUCAUUUCAUGAAUUUCACCUAAAUUCUGGCCGGAAUAUUUUGGUUCUAUUCCAGCCAUUCUAUUAUGAUCAAAUAAUGUUUUGUUUUGCUUUUAUAAAAAAAAAAAUAUAGUCUAGUUUUACGGUAUCAAUUAUAUCUCUCAAUUCAACUGUUGAAUUAUACUAAAAUUUUACAAGGAAUCUCCUAACAUAUAUUUAUAUCGCAAGUUAAAAUUUUAGAACAAUUAGAGUUUAGAAAGACUUUGUGAGAUUGCCGAUGACAUUUUCAUAAUUUUAUUUAAAUUCAUAAUUUGGUUUCGUAAGGUCAUUUUUUGUGUCUUCUUUUAGAUUGUUUUGUUUUUCCAAUUUCAUAAUUCAACAAUAAGUUUAUUAAAAAUUGAGAUUCAUAAUUUGUUUUUAUUUUGGAUUAUUAUGGUCUCAUAAUCUGGGUCACGGAUUUAAAAGAUUAACUUAGAUUAACCCGAGUCUAUCCAAUAUGUCGUUGUCUCAAUAUUUUUAACAAACAUAAUUUUAAUUGACAUUUAAAAAUAAACUAACUUAAAAUUAUACAAUUUAAAUUUCAAAUAUAAGUAAAAAUAAAGAGUUAAAUCGAUAUGACCCAUUUGAUUUGAUGAGUCCAAAGUAUAUAUAGAACAAUCCAAAAUGACACAUCAAAAUACUCAAAAACAAAAAUAUAUUGUUACAAUUAAAAAAAUAAAACACCAAUUAAAAUGGAAUUAACAUCCUUGCUUCAUAGAAGCCUAAACUCCUCGCUACCAUUUGCAAGAGAUAGUUAUACCAAUAGCAAUUUAGUAAUGUUGGUCAGAAUUUAAUAUCCUUCUCGAUAAGAAGAUCCUUAUCUUAUCGGAUAAAACCUAAUUGUUCUAACGUCAACAAAAGAAUUUAAUAUUCGGAAUACAUCUUACGUAUAAGGUCGUAACCCAAAUACUAAAAGAAAAAAAAUAAUAUUUUUGGAAUUUUUGAAAUAUUGGUCUAGUUCUCGUGACUUUAAUAAACUGGUUAUUAAAACCAAAAUGCAUGUUAAUACAUAUUUUUGAAUUUUUGUUGUAUGAAAAUAUGAUAUGAUUUUUUUUCUUUGAGAUACUUGGCCAUAUGCAUGAAAAUAAAAACAUGUUUUUUUUUUAAUUUUUCAAUGUUUCGACGAAAACUGGGUAUUUUAAUUCCAGAUUUGUAUCUUUACAGUAUAAAAAUACAAAUCAAUACUAAGAAAAAAUCAAUAGAAAAAUACGCGGUAAAAUCACAGAUUUUUUAAAAUGAUUUUUUUUUGACCGGGUAGGCGUUGUUCGGGUCAGAAAACUAAAACAAACAGUGGAGAGACUCUCUGCUGUUCACAUGCAACGUGAACAGUGGAGCGGCCUGGAGAAGACUAAGAAGAGGAGGAGGAAGAGGAAGAAGCAGACCUGCAGCCUAGCGGUGCUGCCAGUGGCGGUGGACGGUGUUGCGGUUGCGGACCGUGGUGCUGACUGGUUGGUGGUUCUUCUUUCUUUCUCUGCGUUUCCCUUCUGCUUUUUUUCUGUUCUACUCUAUUCUUCCUCUUGUUCCCUGUUUUAUUCUCUCUCCCUCUCUGGUCCUCUCAAACGUCCCCUGGAGCUGCUGCCUGAAGAUGAAGAUGAAGUUGAGGGUGAUCAGUGCUCUGAUCGAGCAACGUUUCUUUCUUUCCUUCUGCUACUGUUUUCGUUUCUGAUUCUCCUUUUUGUUCAAUUCUUAUUUGCACUCUUCUUCUUCUUCGUCGUCUCUGGUUUUUGAAAUGACGAAGACGAUGGCAACGCUGGUUCUGGUCUCAACGAUUUCCUCUCCUUACAUUCUUUCCUUCUGCUCAUUUCCGUCUCCCUCUCGUGCUACUCCCCACUUUCUCUCUUGUCCUGCUGGCUCUCCCUCCUUGUCUCCUCCUUUUUUUUUUUCCUGUCCGUCUCUCCUCUGGCUUUAUAUAGCGAGAGGAUGCAUGCUUUUCGGGAUUUAUUGCAGGAAGGUUGUAACAGCCGGAGUGUAUCAUGGUGGAGAAGGAUAUCAGCCGUGAGACAUGCUCCCCUGAUUGAAGCAGCUCCACCGCUAACAUCUUCACUACCUUUUACUGUAGAAACCGUUGUUGAUGAAGAAGGUAAUGAACAGUUGUCAAGGAAAUGGUACCGUUUUAAAAUUCAAAAUGAAUAUUUCCGAUUUGGUCAUUGGAUUUUUUGCAAUUUUGUAAUCAAGCCCCCGAAUAAAUUGUAAAUGGAUCUCUGGAUUUUAGCCCCAUUUACAAGACAAUUUUUUGUUCUGGAUUCAUGCAAUUUGACCCUCAAUUGAUCAAUAAACUUCUAAUUUCUUCAAUUUAACCCCUGAGUUGGUCAAUUGCAGCCUCUCUAUUUACGUGUCUUUUCCGAUUUGGUCCUUGGUUUCGUAUUUUUUCAAUCAAGUCCCUAAUUGCCCAUAAAACUUUAAUAAUUAUGCAAUUAAGCUCCUGAUUUGACCAAAUCAACUCUUCAAAAUUAUAAUUGUACCCUAGAACUUUAAUUUCUUCCAAUAAAAGCCUAAAUCGACAUAAAACUUAAUUUUUCUUUCAAUCAAACCCUCCAUAAAUUCAAUUAAACCCUCAAUAAAAUUUAAUUUAGUCCAUAAACAUCUGAUUUUGGAUAUAUUUUUUUUAAAAAUGAAUUUUCUUUGUCAACAGGGCUCUCAUUAGUCAACGAUAUACUAUCAAAUUUCAAUCUUUGUAUUUUUUAACCUCCUCAACCAAUUUUUAGCUAUUUUGGGCGGUCCAACAGCUUUCUCACUACGACAUAUAUUUUUAUUUAUUUAUUUAUUAUUAUUAUUUAUUUACUUUUUUUCGACUCUUACUUUUUGUAUUUUCUUCUUUUUUGUGUGAGGUCCUAAAAAUGGGUAACAAUACUUAAGUUCAAAUCUAUUAAUAAAAUAUAGUUUUAUUGAAUUUUUUUAUAUACUUUUAUUAGAGAAAUCAAUGUAAACAAAUUUACGGAAAAACAUUAGUUUAUCAAGUACUUAAAUAGAAAAAUAAAAUCAAUUAGAGUACUUGAAUAAAAAAAAUAUAAAUUAUAAGCAUUUUAUAUAUCUUUAUCGUUCAUACAUUAAGAUAUUUUAUUGAUUAAAUUUUGUGAAUAUAAGUAUUCAAAUUGAAAAAAAAAACAUUGAUGCAAGCUUUUAAAUAAAAAAAAUUAUAAAAUACAUAUAAUUUGCACUUCUCAUUGUCUCUUUCGCAUUGCUAACACUUAACAAAUUGAAUAUAUAAUUCUCGUGUGAAUAACGUCAGAAUAAAUUUAGUUAUAUGACAUUAUAAUACCUUUUUAUUUUUAUAUUUUAAAAAUAUUUUAAAAAAAUUAAAUUGUUUUAAAUAGAUAACUUUUGAAUCAUCAAGUAGUGAAACACAAGAAAAGCGAAGAAAGUGAAGAAUAAUCAAAGUGGUGCGGGUCCACAUCAAUUUUUGUCCAUGUUUUUGGUAUUAAUCUCUUCAUCUAUUUACAGCCGGAGAAAAGAACAUCACCUACUACUUUUCUUGUCUCUUCUUGCUUGGAAGAUAAGGCAUGUGAACCUUUGAGUGCCACUCAUUUUAGUACAUAGACUUGGUUAUUUGACCACAGCUUCACCACAAGUUAAAUUGUUUUAAUUAAAAAAAAUUAUAUAUAGAUUUCUUCAAUAAAUUUUUUAUUUAAAAUUUUUUUAAGUGAAAAUUGAAAAACUUAUACACAAAUAUUGUUAAAUAAAUCAAGAAUUUUGUGUAUUAAUAAGUGAAAAAAACCAUAAAUGAUGACUUAAAAUAAAAACUGGAAAAAUCAAUAAACAAAUGUAGAUCAAAAUAUUUAAUUUCACAAAACGUGAUAUUACAGUUGUGUUUUCUAAAUUUUCUAAUUAAAAUAAUUUUUUAAUUCGAUCAAACGAUAAUAAAAAUAGACACACAUAUUAUAAAUUGAUUGAAUAAAAUAAAAAAUAAUAAUAAUAUGUCAGGCUUCAUAUAUUGGAAAUAUUUUUUGAAAAUAUUUUUUUUAUUUUUAAAAAUAUAGUUUAUCUAUUAAAAAAAUUAUAUAUUAAAUUCAAAAUAAAUAAACUUUAAAAUAAUUUGCAAGGCUGCACAUAAGCCCUUUAAAAGGAAAGUGAUAUAACAAAAGUGGAACAAUUUUUAUUAACUAAAUAAACUCUAUAACUAUUAAUAUUAAAUUCAAAAUAUAUAUUAAAAAUAAAUAUUAAAACCUAUUAUAUUAAUUUGUGAAUUUAUCAAUUGAGAUGUGAAUUAUAUUUCUAAAAUGUUAUAAGAAAUUUCUAUAUACUACAACUAGCUUAAGAAAAUCAAGUUCAUCGAAACCGUAGAGUACAGAAAAAAAAUGAAUUGCAUGAUUAACCAAAACUUAUAUUUCUUCUUAAAACGUUGACCCCAAGUCAAGUUUUUUUUUUUUUUUGAAAAAAACAUGAAUACAAGGUUAAUGCUAGGCACAUGACGAUGAUGGAUAUACAAGACCUGCUCCUUUCUUUAUGGAAAUUACGUGUGGAAAAUUUAGGCCUUGAAAAAAAUUAAAAAAAAAAUACUAUUAAUCAUGUUAUUUGCAUUAUGGCAAAUAUAGAGACUUGAUUGAUAAAAAUUUAUAAGAGCAAGUAUUCAAAUUUUAAAAUAAAUAAAUAAAUCAAUUCAAGUUUUUAAUUAGAAAAAACAAGAUACAAAUACUCUGUGUAAGUGCCACUAACUCUUUGUAUUUUCUAACUAUUAAAGAAUUGAAUAUAUAAUACACGGGUGAUAAACAUCAAAAUAAAUCCAAUUGUAUAAUUUACUAAGAUUUUAAAAACUAACACUACAUAGAAAAAAAAAUCUUAAAAUAAAUAACAGAAAACUUGUAUUCCUUCGAGGGGUGUUUGAGAGUGUGGUAGCGGUUGCUUUUCAAAGUUUUUUCCCUUAAAAAUGCAUCAAAAUAAAUUUUUUUGAUUUUUUAAAAAUUAUUUUUAACAUCAUUAUAUCAAAAUGAUCUAAAAAUAUUAAAAAUAUAUUAAUUUAAAGCAAAAAAUAUAAAAAAAAUUAAAAAAUUUUAAUAAUACUUUUAAAAUACUAAAACAAACAAGAUAUUAAAAAAUAUACUACAAGUCAAAGUCUUUUUGAAAAAAAACAUUAAUAAAAGGUUAAUGGCAGGUAGCUUAUUUUCUGCCCUAAUAAAGCUCAAGGUCUGUUCAGAAAACUAAGUACGUAGGCAUACACCCAAUCCAAGCACCAUCAAAUCAUUUUUUAUACAUAGGGAUAGGAACGCUAGCUUCACAUGAUAGAUAAAAAAAAUUAAAAGAUAAUAAAAUUAAAAAAAUAAUUAUAAUCUUAUAUAUUAUUUUAAAUAAAAUAAAUAUUGAUUAAAAAAACCAAAUAUAAUAAAUUAAAAUAUUUAAUUUAAAAAAGAUAAGAGAAAAGUAAAUGAGAAUUAAAGUUGAUAUAAAAAUUAAAUUAUAAAAUAUAAAAUUCAAAAAAAAAAUAAAACCAAUUUUUUUUUUCUAAAAGAUAAUAUUCAGAUUAAAAGCAUUAUAAAAAGAAUAGCUCCUUGUUUCUUCCUUGUUUCAAUUUCAAGAUAUUAAGAUUAAAACCCAAUCGUAUAGCUGGUUGGGUUGAGAAGAAAGGUUUGCUUUUGUAUUACAAAUUAUUUAGAUUAGUUUUUUUUUAAAAUUAAUCAAAUUAGUAUCAUUUUGGUUCUCCAUCGAAGAAAAUAGAAAACAUAUUUAGUAAUAAGGUGUUGUUUAAUUCCUUAUAUUAUUAAUAUAAUCAUGGCAUCAUCACUGUAACAAUAAGUCCUCUUACUUGUAUUUUCACCGUCCCAACCUCUUUACAUGGCGUCACCGUAGCAAUUAUAUAUCUCUUGAUCAAUCAUAAUUAAAUUACUGUAAUAAUAUCUUUUUUUAUUCUUUUAUAUGAAGUCUUAAUUUAUUUUUUUAUAUAGGUAGUUAUGAAUUACAGAAAUUGAACAAUUUAGAGAUCUUUGACUUAGAAUCUAAUUGUUUCGAUAACAGUAUUAUAUUAUAGAGGGAUUUUUAUCCCUUAAAUUAUUAUAUUUAGAUUAAAAAAUAAAAACUAAUUAGGAGUCAAUUAAAUAAAUAAAUAAAAACCCUCAAAAGAUAAAAGAAGAAAACAUAAAAAGUACACUACCCAACCAAUAAUUGACCUGAAUCACAUGUUGUCCACUGCCAGAACUUAUUAGCAAUCUGCUUACAACAGCAAAUUGAUCAAUAAGAAAGACUUAAAUUCCAAAUUUAAAAACCAACUCAAUUGAGAUCCUUAUUAUUCAUUCAAUUAGUUGCUUCUUGCUAACUCUUUUAUUUCCUUUAUAAUUUUAAUUCAUUUUAAUAUAAUUUCUUGAUUGUGGCAAGCUUCCUUUAUCUCAAGAACUUGGAAUACUUGGAUUUCCCAAGAAAAAAUUAACUUAAGACUUUAGUUAAUGCUAUGAACACGAGUAAAUGAUAUGCUAAAGAAAAAACCAUGUAUUUAAGAACCAUUGCUAAGCUACAGGUUCAGGAGCCAUAAACCACUCACAUUUAGUGGGGUUGAUCUCAAAUUCAGACAAAUCUACUUGUCCAGUUCGGAGAACCUUCAAACAAAAAGAAGAAUGAAACCUUGUAAAAUUGGCUAUCAUCAAAAGGACAAGAAACAGUACAAGAAGGAUCAGCCUCGCAUUUCUUGCAUAAGUAAAAGAAUCCACUUGUUAAUGGAAAGGAGGACUCUGCAACAAGUCUAAAAUAUCCUCUGGAGUUCAGUGACCCUACAACCUUAUAUUUACCUCAGAAUGCACCCACGUAAAGCACACAGGAAAUCCCAACACAUAAGACAACAAAAGAAAACAUAUAAUUAGCAGAAAAAAAAAGGUUGUACAAUUCUUUCAUAGCUUACAGUACGUAUAGAAUAAGCAUUAUCAAAUCAGGCUAACAUACCUCAGGUAAGUGAGAUGUUAAUCCUUCUUCAAGCGGCAAUGUCUCAAUCAAUGACAUUAUCAAAUCAGGCUUCAGUAUAUCCCCUAAUCCCAAGCCUAGGACAACAAAAGAAAACAUCAUGAAAAAAAAUGAUUUUACAGUAAUGCACCCAGUGCCAGAGCAUAUAAUUAGCAGAAAUAAAGGUUGUACAAUUCUUUCACAGCUUACAAUACGUAUAGAAUAGGCAUUAAUAAUUACCUUCAUCUGGAUCGGCCAAACUACCUGCAACAUCUAUCAUCACAUCACGGCGCGGGCCACCCUAAGUACAGCAAACAAGGAUAUGGUCAAUUGCACUAUCUGAGCAUAACACAGAUAUUACUCAGGAUUCUUUGCAAGUCUUCCAAUUUCACUGGUUCUGAUGAAGAGUUUACAUCAUUCAUUACUUCUGCACCAAGGUCUGGGACAACUAAGUUUCCAGUCCUGAGAGCUAUGAGCAAAAAUCUCAUCAGAAUAAAAGAAAAUGGCAACGUAAUACUGGGCCAUUUCUUUUUUGUAAUAAAAGUGCUCCUUAACCUUUUUGAAGUUAUUUUACAAUGAAUUACAAGCAUUAAACUUGUAUAUACAUGGACAAACACCAAGUUAUGAUUCUAAAUUUCCAUAUAAAAGAUGCCCCAAGUUUUAAAAUUUACCCCGAGGGCAAGUCUGUGCAAGAGCAUAAGGGGAUGAAGGAUUUGACAUGGACUAAGGUGGGUGAGAUGUUUUUGUCAAGAAAUGAUUUUGGAAAAUUUCUUGAUAUUUCUUGAAUAAAUAAGAUAGGAGUCUUCAUCAAGGCAAGAACAUAGGCUCUCCAAGAUAAUUGACCAGAAGGAGAGAAGGGAGGCUCAUCCUGCUCCACAGACUCUUAGUCUCAAAGAACAAAAAAUUACUUGGCUCUAUAUCCUUACUCUUACUUGCUAUAUCAACUCUUAGAGUUGAAGUAUCUGAAAGGGUUUAUUUUUAGUAUUUGAAUAAGUCCAUGAGUCCCUAGUCUUCAGGAAGAUAUACAUGGUCAAGAUUAAAUUAAGGAUUUUAGUUGCUUAUUUUUCGUUAUUUCAUGUGCCACGUUACUGUGAACGUGAGCUAUUUUUCAGUCUUAUUAUUAUUCCUGUAAGGCUAUUUAUUAGCCAUUUCCAUUCAGUAAAAGCAAUUCAUUCAAUUCAAAUACUGUGCACUUUUGUUCUUAUUCUUUACAAUUGGUAUCAGAGCUAUUACAUCUGACCUGUUACGAAGAAAUAGAUACAAAAGGAAGACAUAUUUUUGAGUGACUUCAAACUUAGAGUGAGUGAGUGCUUGAGUGCUUUUAAACACAGAGUGAGUGAGUUUGAGUGUUUUUUAAACACAGAGUGAGAAAGAGAGUUCUUGAGGGUCAAUUUCAACAAUGGCAGCAGAGUCCAGCAAUUUUGUAUCACCUUGCAUCCCGAAAUUUGAUGGAGACUACGAGCAUUGGAACAUGCUAAUGGAGAAUCUCUUGCAUUCCAAAGAGUAUUGGAACGUUAUUGAGACAGGAUAUGUCGAGCCUGCAUCAGGGGAAAUUCUGAAUAAUGCACAGAAAAAGACAUUGGAGGAGACAAAGCUGAAAGAUUUAAAGGUUAAAAAUUACCUUUUUCAGUCCAUCGACAAAUCCAUUCUGAAGACUAUUACUCAAAAAGACACAGCAAAACAGUUGUGGGAUUCCAUGAAGAUCAAAUACCAAGGAAAUACAAGGGUUCGGCGUGCUCAACUUCAAAUCUUUCGCAGGAAUUUUGAAGUGCUGGAAAUGAAACAAGGAGAAACUGUCACAAGUUAUUUUGGAAGAGUUAUGCUGGUGGCAAAUGACAUGCGAAAUCUGGGAGAAAGCAUACCUGAUGAGAAGAUUGUAGAGAAGAUUUUACGCACACUUACUGAGAAGUACAAUUACAUAGUGUGCUCCAUUGAGGAGUCUAAAGAUAUUAAUCAUCUUUCAGUUGAUGAGCUGUAGAGUUCAUUACUUGUUCAUGAACAGAAAUUCAAAAGGCAUGACACAGAUGAUCAUGCCCUGAGAAUCUAUGAUGACAGAUUCUGUGGCAGAGGUCGUGGCAGAAACAAUUACAGAAGCCGAGGCCGUGGGGGCAGAACACAAACAUUCAAUAGAGACAUGGUGGAAUGUUUCAGGUGUCACAAACUUGGACACUUCCAAUACGAGUGUCCAACCAUGAACAAGGCAGCUAAUUAUGUGGAGCUAGAUGAUGAAGAUGAGAUGCUGCUAAUGUCCUAUGUUACAUUAGCUAAGACAACACGGAAUGAUGCAUGGUUCCUGGAUUCAGGAUGUUCUAAUCAUAUGUGUGGUUAUAGAGGUAUGUUCUCCUACUUGGAUGAAAAUUUUCAGCAUUCAGUCAAACUUGGAAACAAUAGCAGAAUGGCAGUAGUUAGCAAAGGCAGAGUAAAAUUACUAAUCAAUGGUAUUAAGCAUGUUGUUAAUGAUGUCUAUUAUGUACCAGAGCUUAAAAAUAAUUUACUGAGCAUAGGUCAACUACAAGAAAGGGGCUUAGCAAUUUUAAUUAAGAAUGGAGUUUGUAAGAUUUACCAUCCUGAGAAGGGUUUGAUCAUUCAAACCAAGAUGAGUGCAAAUUGGAUGUUCAUCCUACUUGCACAGACUCAAGCUCCCGUACAUGCACAGACUCAGAAUCAAGAGAAUUGUCUUCUCACCGGUUCUCAAAAUCCCUCAGUGCUAUGGCACAGACGGUUCGGUCACUUAAGCUACAAAGGCUUAAGAACCUUACAAUGGAGACAUAUGGUACAUGGACUGCCCACCUUCUCGACUCCCACCAUCACCUGCACAGAUUGCCUCAAUGGCAAGCAACACAGAGAGGUCAUGCCCAAACACAGCAAAUGGAGAGCAAAUCAGAAAUUGGAAUUAAUUCAUGCAGACAUUUGCGGUCCUAUUUCCCCCGAAUCCAAUAGUGGCAAAAGGUACAUAUUAUGUUUCAUUGAUGAUUUCAGCCGAAACUAUGGGCAUUUCUUUUAGCUACAAAAUCCGAAGCUUUCAUUUAUUUUAAGAAAUUCAAAGCUAUGGUGGAAAAAGAAACCCUAUUGCAUGUGAAGUGUCUAAGGACUGACAGGGGAGGAGAAUUUACCUCAAGUGAAUUCAACGAAUUCUGCAGCCAACAAGGUAUCAAACGGCAGCUCACCACGGCGUACACUCCACAGCAAAAUGGAGUUGCAGAGAGAAAAAAUCGAACCGUGAUGAACAUGGUCCGAUCAAUCCUCUCUGGUAAAGGGAUUCCAAAACCCUUCUGGCCAAAGGUAGUGAACUGGGCCUUCUAUGUGCUCAAUCGGUGCCCAACUUAUGCUUUGACAGACAUCACUCCUCAUGAGGCAUGGAGCGGAACUAAACCAUCAGUAGACCAUUUCAGGGUCUUUGGGUGCUUGGCCCAUGUUCACGUUCCAGAUGUGAAACGGAGUAAGCUUGAUAACAAAAGCUUUGUGUGUGUACUGUUGGGUAUGAGUGAGGAGUCAAAGGGGUACAAGUUGUUUGAUCCUUUAAACAAAAAAAUCGUGGUUAGCAAAGAUGUGAUCUUUGAGGAGGACAAACAGUGGGAUUGGGAUGUUGCUUAUGAAGAACAAAUCUUGACAGAUUUGGUUUGGGGUGACAGAGAAGGAACACGUGAAGAUGGUGAUAAUAGUGAUGACAAUCACGGGGAUGAGAGUGGUGAACGUGAGGCUGAAAUCAAUGGGGAAGAAGGGGAAGAAAACGAAGAACACAGACACAUUGUCUGUGAAGAUGAUGAAAAUGCUGAGAGAGAAGAAGAAGAAGCUGAGUUAAAUGAUCUUACGGUGUGUAUGCUGCCAGUUGGAAGAAUAGGUGAGCAGGUCAAUCCUACGGCAUGAACGCGGCCAAGUGAACAAAGGGAGAUGACAGAUGGCAAAAUAGAUGUUAAUCCAACGGUGAGAAUUCAGUCUGACAGGGAGAGUGAUUAGAUGACAUGUGGCGUACAUCCAACGGCACAAAACAUGGCAGACGGAGAGAAUGAGCUGCUGACAAGUGGAGACAAUCCAACGACUGACAUGCAAUCUGACGGGGAGAGUGGCCUGCUGACAAGUGGAAGAAGAGAAAGGGGUCCUCCGGUGUGGAUGCAAGAUUAUGUUACAGGGGAGGAUUUAUCUGAAUAUGAGUCCAAUAUGGCACUAAUUAUGUCUUCUGAUCCCAUUUAUUUUGAAGAUGCUGUGAAAGUUAACACUGGAGACUUGCUAUGGACAGUGAAAUUAAUGCAAUAGAGAAGAACAAUACCUGGACGCUCAACGAGUUGCCGGAGGGAGCAAAAAAAAUUGGAGUCAAAUGGGUCUACAAAACAAAGUACAACGAACAUGGGGAUGUUGAUAAAUACAAGGCAAGGCUAGUUGCCAAAGGGUACUCGCAACAACACGGAAUUGACUAUACAGAAGUCUUUGCACCAGUGGCAAGGAUGGAUACAGUAAGGAUGAUUAUUGCUCUCGCCGCUCAAAAAAACUGGAUUGUUUAUCAGUUGGAUGUCAAAUCGGCUUUUCUGCAUGGGGAAUUGCAUGAAGAUGUUUAUGUUGAUCAACCAAAAGGGUAUGAAAAGAAGGCUAGCGAACAUCUAGUUUACAAGCUGCAUAAAGCGUUGUACGGGUUAAAACAAGCUCCAAGAGCUUGGUUCAGUCGAAUCGAGGGUCAUUUUUUCAAUGAAGGCUUUCUACGGUGUGAAAGUGAGCAAACUUUAUUCACAAAGAGAAGCAGGGAAGGAAAGAUUAUCAUUGUAAGUGUUUACGUUGAUGAUCUAAUAUUUACUGGCGAUGAUACACAUAUGUUGUCUGAAUUCAAAAACUCCAUGAUGAGGGAGUUUGACAUGUCAGAUUUGGGGAAGAUGCGGUAUUUCUUGGGAAUCAAAGUAUUACAGCAUUCAGGUGGCACCUACAUAUGUCAGAAGAAAUAUGCACUAGAGGUGUUGAAGAGGUUUGGUAUGAUGGAAUGCAAUGCGGUGAAAAAUCCAAUAGUUCCCGGAUGCAGAGUCAACAAAGAUGAAGGCGAAGCUAAAGUAGAUGAAACAUAUUAUAAGCAGUUAGUGGGCAGCCUAAUGUAUCUCAUAGCAACAAGACCAGACAUGAUGUUUGUUACUUGUCUCAUCAGCAGAUACAUGGCCAAACCUACGGAACUUCAUCUACAAGUAGCAAAAAGGGCACUUAGAUAUCUAAGAGGGACAAUAAAUUUUGGAAUUUAUUACAAGAAAGGGGGAAGUGAUGAACUACUCUCAUUUACGGAUAGUGAUUAUGCUGGAGAUAUGGAGGAUAGAAAGAGUACAAGUGGAUAUGUUUUUUUGUUAAGCUCAGGAGCAGUCUCAUGGAGUUCGAAGAAGCAACCAAUAGUGACUCUUUCUACAACUGAAGCAGAAUUUGUAGCAGCCGCAAUGUGUGUAUGUCAAGCUCUUUGGAUAAAAAGAGUCUUGAAGGAAUUGGGACACUCAAAUAAUGAGUGCACACAAGUGAAAUGUGAUAACAGCUCAACUAUUAAAUUGUCCAAAAAUCCAGUGAUGCAUGGACGCAGUAAGCAUAUCGAUGUAAGAUAUCACUUUCUGAGAAAUCUUACUAAAGAAGGUACAAUUGCAUUAGUUCAUUACGGAAGUCAGGAUCAGGUGGCAGAUUUAAUGACCAAGCCUUUAAAGCUUGAUGCAUUUCUGAAACUAAGAACACUGUUGGGAGUCCAAGAAAUUACUGAUGUAAACUAACUGCAUACUGCAGUAAGUUUAAGGGAAGGAAUGAAAGGGUUUAUUUUUAGUAUUUGAAUAAGUCCACGAGUCCCUAGUCUUCAGGAAGAUAUACAUGGUCAAGAUUAAAUUAAGGAUUUUAGUUGCUUAUUUUUCGUUAUUUCAUGUGCCACGUUACUGUGAACGUGAGCUAUUUUUCAGUCUUAUUAUUAUUCCUGUAAGGCUAUUUAUUAGCCAUUUCCAUUCAGUAAAAGCAAUUCAUUCAAUUCAAAUACUGUGCACUUUUGUUCUUAUUCUUUACAGUAUCAUCUUUGAGUAUGCUUAUUUGUUAUAAUAAAUAUACCUUGAUGAGAUAUUAUCUUUAAGCAUGUCUUCAAAAACUUGGAAAGGAGUAGAAGCAUCAGGCUCUUCUUCAUCAAGGAACUCUGCCAGGCAAUAAGAUAAAGUAGCGACGUUGCUGAUGGAAAAACUUCACUCUUGAAUGAGUGCUGAAGUUAUAAGCCAGGUCAUUAGUUUGAAGGAGUAAAACUGGUUAGUAAAAUUUUAGGAAAACCAAUUCACACAUACGGAGUGUGUAACUAAAAUAAAUAAACAGGAAGUAGAAAACAGGAAAUCCAAUUAGUCUAAUAUGAUAUUUCUGUGAAAUAGAGGUUUUCUUUAUGAAAUUGUGGAGAUGAGAGGAGAUAAAUGCAGAUGCAAGAUAAAAAAAAACAAUAAAAAAAAACACAAAAGUAGCAUGGCUAGCAAAGGACUCAAAACACAAAAGUAUUUACCAAAUGGACGAUUAAUAUAAUAGUUGAUAGAGCUACACAAUUGUGAAUCAUCUUUAGCUUUUGGCUCCUGCAAACAUGUUACACAAUUUUCCAAAAUCAUGCAACUAACAGCCGAGUCAAUGUUACACAUAAGAGAGUGAAAAACACAGAAAAUGAACCUGACCUGCAUCCAAAUGAAAAACUUUCAAUCAUCUGUAUUGAAUUUCAAGAUGUAAACUCUUCCCAAAGCUUGAUUAACCUGAAUAACCCAAAGAAUUAUGAAUCUAUGAUAUUACAAUCAAUUAUUAGAGUCAAAUAUCUCCCAUCUAAGAAAAAACUAAGAGAGAAAAGUGUACCUUCUCAAAAACAGCCUCUUCAGAAAAAAAAAUCUGAUCCUGUCAAUCAACACGUCAAGAAAAAGCUACCAAGUUCUUACCUCAAAAGAAUAUUAACAAAACAAACAACAGAAAAAGAAAUAAAAACCAAUGUUGGAAGAGAGAAACAAAAUCCCCAGGCUAAAAAACAUAAUAAUAACUAGGACACAUCUUCCACAGCAUUCAAAUUCCUAUCAAGCCACUGGAAAUGAAGCAAACCCUCGUCACCCUGGAACAAUUCAAAAAUUUCGACUUCAAACAGGAAACAAGAUGCUAGAAACACUCUAUCUAGUACUUAAGAUAAACCAAAACAACAGAAGUAACUAAAAAUCUUUACACAGGUACGAACUCUGUAUAACACAAAAAAACCAAAAGACACCAGUUUACCCUUCCAAUGCGAACAAGUCCUUUUCGAGAAUCAGGAACAAACUUUUUUCCAUCAAAAACCAUUUUACCAGCACGAAACUCCAACAUAAUUUCCUACCAACAAAACAACCACAACAUCAUAACAUAACCCCAUCAAGAAAAACAUACUUAUACAUCCAAAAAAGCAAUUACAGGCUCUAAUUAAUAAGAUACAAGAUUUUAAGCAAAACCCACAAUUUUAAAAGUGAUUUUAUUUACCUGCAUUGCUGAAAUAUCUACAGCUGAUGAAGAACCCAUUUUUCGCAUACUUCCUCUAAAGCUUCCUUUUUUCCAACACUGCAAAAAAAAAAAAAGAAGAACAAAUCAAAUACCCAAAUCAGAAACAAUAACAGAAAAAAAAUAAAAGAAAAUCCAAUGCUGGAAGUUGUAAUCAGGAGGAGAACCAUACAAUUUCUGAUGGAAUGACAUUUUAUCAAGAAUUGAACUAGGCAUUCAGUUAAUUAAAUAGGUUGUAAACUUGUAAUCAGGUGAGAGUAGUGUCAACAUGUUUAGUUUUCCUCUCGGAAGUGUCAUUCUGCACAAAUCAGUGUUUUAAAAAUAUUAAAAAAAAAAUUUAAUUUGUUUUUAAAUUUGUUUUUUAGUGGUUUUCAUUUAUUUUCGUGUAUUAAUAUUAAAAAUAAUUUUUAAAAAAUAAAAAAUAUAUUAUUUCAAUUUAUUUUAAAAUAAAAAAAAAACUUAAAAAAAAUACUGUUAACACAGUAUUAAACAAACUCGAAUCCUAUAACCAGAUGAACAACGUUAAGAUAUUUGUUUUUUGUUUUUUGUUUUUUUUGAUAAUGAGGAUGUCCUAAACAAUCUUGCCUAAUGAUUGUUAAGAAAUGAAAGAGGCAAUGCAUGGCUAAACCAAUGGAAGCUAAAAAGCUAAUGAUGCCCCUAGCUAGUAAGCAAUUGUUGCCGCAAUGACAUAUGCCUCAUUAGAGAUAGAUUUGAAUUUACAUAUUAUUAUUAUCAUAUAUUUUGUAUUCUCGUUUAAAAAAAUAAAUAUUUUCCUUAUAUGGAGUAGAGUGUUUUUAAUUUUAUCAUGUAAAAUUUAUAUAUAUUUUAAAAAUUAAUACAAUAUACAGUUAAACAUCUAUAAAUUAAUAUCAUUGAGACCAUGAAAUUUAUUAAUUAAUCAAGAUAUUAUUUAGUAAAUAAAUUUAUACACUUAUCCAUUAAUCACAAAAAAAUUUCUUUUUCAAAAACAUUGAACUCAAUACAUGCAUUGUGUAUUCUGAUUAUAUGAAUAUUAUCUAAUUAUCAAAUUAUGAAUUAUCAUAGUUCUAUAUAUUUAUUUAAAUAAAACAAGUUUAAGAAUUAAUGUAAUCGAUCUUAUUAAUUAAUAAAAGUCAUGUAUGUAUCUAUUUUUGCAAAUUGGAUGCAUACUUAAUUAAUAUUAAGUCAAGAACAAAACCAAAAAAAGGAAUAUACAAGUGAGCCAAACAACAAUAUUAAAAACGAAUAAGAGGUUGAAUUAAUAUUCAUUAACUAAUAAUAAAAUUAAGAAGAUGAUACCAAAGGACACAAAAUCACAAAAAUUCGUGAAACUACAUAAGGCGGUUUGUUCAAUACCAAGAAAUUAAAUAUUUAAAAAAAAACUAAAUGAAUUGUUUAAAAAGUUAAAAGAAAAUAAAUGCACUUUUGUCCACGUCAACAACAACUAUAACAAAAUGCUGGGCUGUAGAAGAUUUUCCACAGCAACCUGAAAAAAUCAUAUAUGCUCAAGUAACUAUUUGGUAGAGCGUAUUUGGAGUGCUAAUAUCUUUUCUUUAUGGAAUCAGUCCUCGUACUCGAUCUCUGAAACCAGUUAAGGUUCUUAGUGACCAAAAUACUAGGUAGCGACUCUCAUUCCAUUUUUCCACUAAUAAAAGACAAGAAUUCCUUGUCUCCCCAUAGAUGCCUGAUAGAUAAUACAUUUUGAGAGUGGAUAUUUUCACCGCAACAUCGUAUACGUGCGACAUUAUGUAUACAGGUAUUUCACGAGAUGAUGCGGAGUGUUAAAUAUAAGCUUUGUGUUUAAAUCUGUUUUUUUAUGUAAUAUCUUUUGUUUUAUAUGUAAUUUGUAUUAUAUGUAGAUUUUAAUAUAUGAAUCCUAAAGAUAUUUGCUUUUGGUAUUUAUACAUUUAGAAUGUAUGAGUAAGGAACUAAUAUUAGUAAACUAUUUGAAAAGAAUACUUAAUAAUUAUAAUUAUGCAUGUUUAAAAGAUGGAUGCAUGUUAACGUAAUAAUUAGUUCAAUAUGAAUCCUUUGAGUUUAUAUUUGUAUGCAGUUAAUGUUUUAUUUUAAGAGAAUAUAAUUGCUAUGUUUUAUUUUUUUAUGAUGUAAGGUUGAGAAAGCACAACAAAGUAUUGCUAUGUGAAAUAUUGUAUGAUGAGAUGGGAUAUGAUCCAGGAUGGUUGAAUUGAAAUAGAAGAUUGAGUAUUGUGAUUGAAUGAAGUCUAGUCGAUAACUUGGUAACAUAAAAAAACAAAAGAAACUCUGCCGAAUUUUCUGUAGAAAAUUAGAUUUAUAUAAUAACUAUUACUUUGAUGAUAUAACUUUGAGAGUGAUACAUCAAAUGUGAGAUAUGUUAGACAAUAACCGCAAGACAAUAACGGUUCAAGACGUAGACAAUAACAAUUCAAAUUUCGGUAGUCCUCAUAUGAAUACCAUAUAUAUAUAUAUAUAACUUUACUCUGUUUUUCAGUUGCAUGAUAUUGUUAUUUUAUCCCGAUUGAGGGGGUGUUAUAAUUAUGGUCUUAUGAUCCGAGUCACUGAUUUAAAAGGUUAACCUAGAUUGACCCGGGUCGAUCCAAUAUGUUGUUAUCUCAAUAUUUUUUAAAAAAAUAUUAUCUUGAAUUUUUUGAAGUAAAACUAUAUGUUUAUCAGUCGUCCAGACUAUCUUUGGACUCAUUGAAUCGAUUGGGUCAUAUCGAUUCAACUCUUUUUUUUUAGUUAUAUUUGAAAUUUAAAUUGUAUAAUUUCAAAUUGGUUUGUUUUUAAAUGUCAAUUAAUAUAUAUAUAUAUAUAUAUAUAUAUAACAAUCCAAAAUGACAGGUUAAAAUACUAAAAAACCAAAACAUAUUGUUACAAUUAAAAAAAUAAAAUACCAAUUAAAACGGAAUUAAUUGACAACUUGCUUGGUAGAAGCAUGAAACUCCUCGCUGACAUUUGCAAGAGAUAGUUACUUAUACCAGUAGCAAUUUAGUAAUGAUUGAUCAGCAUUUAUAGUAAGAUGGGGCUAUUAAUUCAAAUGUUGAUGGCAUUAGUAACAAUGAUUUUCUUGGAAGGAUUGCUUCCUCUUGGUUGCUUGAAAAUAUACGGUUUUUUUUUAGUUCAAAUCUAUUAAUAUAAAUAUAGUUUUAUUGAAUAUUUUUUAUAUAAUCUUAUUAGAGAAAUCAAUGUAAACAAAUUUAUGGACAAACACUAGAUUAUCAAGUAUUUAAAUAGAAAAAUAAAACAUUGAUACAAGCUUUUAAAUAAAAAACAUUUAUAAUAAAUAUAAUUUGUACUUGUCAUUAUCUCUUUUUCAUUGCUAACACUUAACGAAUUGAAUAUAUAAUUCUCAUGUGAAUAACGUCAAAAUAAAUUUAGUUGCAUGACAUAAUAAUACCUAUUUGUUUUUUGUAUUUUAAAAAUAUUUAAAAAAAUUAAAUUUUUUUAAAUAAAUAACUUUUGAAUCAUCAAGUAGUGAAACACAGGAAAAGUGAAGAAAGUGAAGAAUAAUCAAAGUGGUGUGGGUCCACAUCAACUUUUGUCCAUGUUUUUGGUAUUAAUCUCUUCAUCCAUUUACAGCCGGAGAAAAGAGCAUCACUCAGUGCUUUCCUUGUCUCUUCUUGCUUAGAAGAUAAGGUAUGAGAACCUUCGAGUGCCACUCAUUUUAGUACAUAGACUAGAUAUUUGACCAUAACUUAACUGUUAGUUAAUUGUUUUUUCAAUUAAAAAAAUUUAUAUAUAGAUUUCUUCAACGUAUUGUUUAUUUAAAAAAUCUUAAGUGAAAAUUAAGAAAUUUAUACACAAAUAUAGUCAAAUAAAUUGAGAAUUAUAUGUGUUAAUAAGUGAAAAAAAAACCAUAAACGAUGACUCAAAAUAAAAACUGGAAAAAUUGAGAGACAGGUGCUGAUCAAGAUAUUUAAUUUCACAAGACGUGACAUUUAUGCAGUUGUGUUUUUAAAAUUUUCUAAUUAAAAUAAUUUUUUAUUCAAUCAAACGAUAAUAAAAACAGACACACAUUAUAAAUUGAUUGAAUAAAAUAAAAGGAGAAAAAAUAAUAUGCAAGCCUACACAUAUUAAAAAUAUUAUUUGAAAAUACAUUUAUUUUUAUUUUCAAAAAUAAAAUUCAUCUAUACAAAAGAUUUUUAAAAAAUAUAGAUUAAUCACAAAAACCUCCUCAAAAAUUAAAUGCAUAAUUAAAAAAUAAUUAUCAUUUCAAAUAGGCUUUCUAAAUAAUAUAAAAGAGAGAAGGGAUAUAAAUAUAAAUAUAAAUAAGAUUAAGAUUAAGAUUAAUUUAAAAAAAUACAAACAAAAAAAAAGAAAAUAUUUUUUCUUAAACAAAAAAAAGUGAACAAUGUCGUUCACAGUAAAACUUGUGGGGUGAACUCGAACUCAACCGAGUUUAAUAUUUUUCCUCUUAAAUUUAUAACAAACCUAAAAAAAGUAAACAAUGUCGUCCAUUGUAAAACAUGAGGAGGUGAAUAGUGCAACUACACAGUGUUCACCUUAUAUAUUUUUCCUCUUAAAUUUAUACCAAAACCGUAAUAAAAAAAGGUGACCAAUGUUGUCCAUAGUAAAACGUGAGGGGGUGAACAACGCAUCUUCAUAGUGUUCACCCCGCACACCUUAGCUUAUUUAGGGUGAACCUGAAUCAUGAACUCAAUCGGGUUUAAUAUUUUCCCCUCUUAAAUUUAUAGCAAACCUAAAAAAAAGGUAAACAAUAUAGUCUAUAAUAAAAUAUGAGGGGAUGAACAAUACAGAUGCACAAUGUUCACCUCACAUAUUUUUUUCCUUAAAUUUAUAGCAAAACCUAAUAAAACAAAUAGUGAAUAGUAUAUUCAUUGUAAAACGUGAGAGGGUGAACAAUGUGGCUAUAUAAUAUUCACCCCACAUGCUUUAGAUUAAACGUGAGAUGGUUAUUUUUUAAAAUAAAAAAAAAUUAAUAAGCAGGCUAUUACAAUGCGCUUUUUAAUGAUGACGAUAUUUGUAGCAAAAAUUUCAAAGGAUUUAAUACAAAUCCAAGCCAAAAUAUUUCACUAGAUUACUAUUUUACGAUCUUCUUAAAACUUGGGUUCGAGCUUGUCAUGUUGAAUCAUCUCUUCUAGAAUCCUUUUUACCGUCUAAUGACUGCCGCUUAUGUUUGUGCAAUUUCUUGUUUACUAGUAAAAUUGUACAGACGUGGGCUUGAAGCUGUUAACUUUCCCUGGACUGGUUAUGUAAUAUAUUUAUAGGUCUAACUGUAUACUAUCACUUGGUCCAAGAGGCAAUAUUGCAAGAUUCCAACGAAAUCUACUGUAAUCUACUGUCCUGGGACAAGAGUUCCAAAAACAUCUACUCCAAAUUUUGUUCUUUUUGAAUCUUUAGUUAUUUUUAUUUUUUCUCAUCAUUUUUUAAAAUAAAAAAUAUAAAUAAAUUACUACAAAAUGAAUAAAACAAAACCAGAAUAAAAAAGUAACAUUAAACAGCAGCCAUUUCAUCAGCUUUAAUUUUAGUAUAACACAAUAAUAUGAACCAACCUUGAUUCUCGAAGGCACCCAACUAAUUCAUUAGCCUUCAAAUUGCCAUCACCUAAUUUCACGAUCCAUGACCGACAUAUAAACAAGGGUCCUCUCCAAGUUCCCAUACAUAUACGAAUCCAAAUAUACAUAGAAACUUAUCUUUUAAAUAAGUCAAUUAGAGUUCAACACAAUAUUAAUAACAAAAUUAAUUAAAUAAGUCAAUCAGAGUUCAACAUAACAUUAAUAACAAAAUUAACUUCAUAAUAUAAUUUGAUUGUCUUAAUACAAAAAUUAAUACAAAGUUCGUAGUUGUGGAGCACUAUCUAGACAUAAAAAAAAUCAUAACAAAAACAACAAGGGAGGGGGUUUGAUAGUAUGUAAUACAACAACUAGAAAUAUAUAUAUAAUUAUGGCUUUAGGUUUUUAUAAAAACGUUUUUUAAAUAGAUCAUAUAAGAACAACGGAGGAGGGGGUUUAACGGUAUGUAUUUGCCUGCUAGUAAAAAUUGGUUAGCACCUAAACAAGGUCCUGUGCUAAAUCUAAAUUGGUAAGAUGUGAUAUGCUAAUAUCUAGAAAGAUAACUUAAUCUAUCCAUUGAAGUAAAGCAUUUAAAUGCGUAUACAAUGUUUUUGGAACAUUAAAUAUCUAUUUGAUCAGAAUCUGAUGGGGCAAUAGGUGAUGCAGGCAUAAACUAGAAAGACAACAAACAAACACAAAGAAAAAAGAUUUGUUAAGCAAACAGGGUUGCAAACUUAAACACUAAAUUCGCAAUUUAUUAUUCUGAAAAAAGUCUAAUGAUGUUUGCCUCUCAAAGAGGUUUCUAAAACAUUUAAAUAUGCUAAAAAACCUAUCUCUAUUGGAAAAAAAAAAUUCAGAAUCCAAAAGAAUAAACAAAAACUACAUAAAAUCUGAAAUAAAACAAUAAAUAUGAAAAAAAUCAAGGAAAAAUAGCUAAAUUGGCUCAAAACAGGAUCUUAUGAACCUAAUUUCAGGGGAUCCGAACAUCAAAUGAUCAACAAAGUAUGUUUCCAAUUGAGAUGGGCCUUAGAAAUCUCCUAUAAAAAUUGAGAUCUAAGCAAAUUAAGUGAUAUUUGUUUGAGACUUCGCUAACUACAUAUAAAGGAAUUAAAAAUAAAUUAUGAUGAUCAAUUCAAAAUCAACAAAAUAUUAAAGUGAAAUUGGAAGCAAAAACAGGGCAAAAAUCAUUAAAUCAAAAGAAGAAAAAAUUAGAAGAUAGAAUUUAUUUAUUUUUUUUAAAAAAGGGGGGAGGAUAUGAAUAGUGAAGUAGGAGGGAAAAACCUAAUUUUUUUAGUAUAAUAAAUAAUUUUUAAUUAAAUUAAAAUCUUCAUCUCAUACAAUUAGACCCAAAAAGAGUUAAAUAAAAAAGGGAAGAAAAUUUCUAAAGAUAUAAGGACCAAUUUAAAAAAAUAAAAGGAAAAAAAAAUGAAAAAACACCAAAUCAAGAAACGAAAAAAUAUAAGGACCAAUUUAAAAAAACAAUAAAAAAUAUAAAGAGUGAAGGAGGUAGAGAAACAUAAGUUUUUUAGUAUAGUAGUUUAUUUCUAGUUAAAUUAAAAACUUUAUCUCAUAUAAUUAGGCCAAAAACAAUUUUUUAAAAAAAAUAAGGACUAAUUUGUAAAAAAAGAAGAGAAAAAAACAGAAUCAAAUCAAAAGGGAAAAAAAACUAAUUUAAAAAUAAAAAUAAAAUGCUUCAUUAUUCAUGUAAAAACAAAACAUCAUUAUAGUAUCCAACUAGACAAGUGACCUACACUACGGGCUAUCCUAAUUUUUUUAAAGCAAAAUUUUUUUUUAGCAUUAUUAGAUGUGAGAAAAUAUUUUUUAAAAAACAUACAUGUGUACAAGAUAGGAGAGAUUUGGUUUGAGAAUGCAUGCUAAAAAUCUAAACAUGAACUAAAACAAAGUGGAAUUAAAAAAAAAAAAAAAACUUAAAAGAGAUCAGUGAUUCAUUAUAGACUGUGAGGUAAAACACUGUAGAUUAGCAUAAUAUAUUUAUUUUUUGACCUUCUCUACGUAAAAUAAUUGCCUUGCUAACAGGGUAAAGUUGUUAUUUUCAAUGGAUCUAAAGGUUAUUUGUAAAUUGAUUGGGAAUAAUUUAGUAGGUUAGCUAUUUUAUUUGCGUAGUAAAAUGACGUCAAUACCCUUGAGAGUUCAAAAAUAUUGACCUUGACAAAGGCAUUUUUUAGUCUUUUCCAUGUUUUGUAUACUGUAAAAUGACAAAGUUAACCUUAGAAUAAAAAAAUCUAAAGCUGGUCUGGGAUAGCAUUUUCAUCUUUGCAAUAUAGCUUUUUUGUAAUAUUUAGAUGCUCUUAUGAGCUAUUUAGCAAUUUAAAGUAUUGAAAUAUUAAUAAAUCAAUAAACAAAGGCUGACAUGUGUGUAGCACGUGUCAACACGUGAUAGUCCACCACGUCAUUUGGGAGGCGUGUGAUAGUCCAACAUGUAAUAUGGAGGUGUAGUUGAUGACGUGGCGUGUCGUCAUAUUUGUAGUGGUUUAAUGGUGAUAAAAAAAUUUUCCCGUCCCCCUCUUUUCUCUCUCUAAGGCUUUAGUAUUCACGCCGAUGCUUUAAAAUUUCACUUGUAUCCUUUGGAUUGUAUUUAUAUUAAGUUUGAUUCUUAUUAUUUUAAUUUCUAUUUAUUUUGAUUUUAGUGUUUUUUAAAGAAAAAAAUUUCAAUUUCAUUCCUCAACAUUUUAUUUCAUUUAAUUUUUAUAUUAAACUUGGUCCUCAUUCUUUUAAUUACUAUUUUCUAUCCUUUACUUAAUUUUUUUAAUUUUAUUUCUUAUUAUUUUAUUUUAUUUUAUUUUGUUUGCAAUUGCAGUUCUUUUUUUUUUUUAUCCCUAGUAAGCAAUUGUUGCCGCAAUGACAUAUGCCUAGCAAGAGGAAAAAAAAAAAAAAAAAGAGACGCUUGAAGGUUAGAGAAGGCACCUCUGAGUGGAAGGAGGCUGAGGUGCGCUAUUUUUGAAGUAUGUGAAAAUCAUAUGUUUCAAUGCUACUUCUUGCAAGAGUCUCCUUAACCAACCUAGAGUGUUAUAUUAGACUGCUAACGUAUUUUAUAAAAAUAUUGAUAAAAAUAUUUUUGGAUAAUUUUUUUUAUUUUAUUUGAAUUUAUUUCUUAAAUAAUUUAAAUUAAUAAGAUAAUUACAUAAAAGAUAAUGUUAGUCAAGUUAUCUUUUUACCAACCAUAAAAAGAUUUUUACUAAUCCAAGCCAACAAAAUAACAAUUACAUGUAUAAAUUGUCAUAUGUUGGAAAAAGGAGUUAGCUCAUAUUUUAGGGAUUAUAUUAAAGUGUUAGCAUCUUGCCUGGUUAGAAAUAGAAUUGAAUUUACAUAUUAGUAUUAUCAUAUAUUUUGUAUUGUCGUUUAAAAAAAUAAAUAUUUUCCUUAUAUGGAGUUAAGUGUUUUUAUUUUUAUCAUGUAAAAUUUAUAUAUUUUUUAAAAUUAAUUUUUCUAAUCAUCAAAUUAUUUUUAUUUUUUAAAAUUUAUAUAUUUUUUAAAAUUAUUUCUUAAAAAUAAAUUUAUUUUUCUAAAAAAUUGAACUUAAUACAUGCAUAUUAUCUAAUCAUCAAAUUAUGAACUAUCAUAAUUCUAUAUAUUUAUUUAAAUAAAACAAGUUCAAGAAUUAAUGUAGAUCAAUCUUAUUGAUUAAUAAAAUUCAUGUAUGUAUCUAUUUUUGCAAAUUGGAUGCAUACUUAAUUAAUAUUAAAUCAAGCAAAAAAUCUAUAAAAAGAAUAUACAAGUGAGCCAAACAACAAUAUUAAAAACGAACAAGAGGUCGAAUUAAUAUCCAUUAACUAAUAGUAAAAUUAAGAAGAUGAUACCAAAGGACACAAAAUCACAAAAAAGCAUUUAACAUUCAGAGAAAGAAGCCUGCAACACCCAUUAAGGAAAAGAGAGAAGGGAAAGAAAUGUAGAUUAAUUGAUACAGAGGAUCACCUUGUUCCAGACCAGCGCGAGACUGUAGAAGAAUCCAGACGAACCAAGAGCAAAAAAUGCAGGAGAGAUAAUCAUGAGAGAAACAAAUUCAUAUAUCCACGAAUACGUACAACAUUUGAAACCUAUAAUGCAAGAAUAGCUGCAGAUGUACAUUAAUAUUUUUAAUUUAAAGAAUCAAUUAAUUAUUUAAAAAACUUGAGGGAUUAAUUUGUUUGUUUCACAUAAAACAGACACUAAUUAUAUAAAGUUUUACUCAAAAAACAGACACUAAUAAUCAUAUGCGUGAGUGUUUACUUGUAAAUAUUUUGGAAGGAACUGGUUUAUGUUUUGCGCAUCAUGAAAAAAUCAUAUAUGCUUAAGUAACUAUUUGGCAUCAAUCUAGUAAAUUAAUCUUAAAUUCCUUUUAUCCAACUCUUGCCGUUUUAAAAUUAAUCAAUGUAAAAGUUAACCAAACAUGAUAAAAUCAAUAUAAUGGGUUUACGAAUACAUAUUAAAUUAAUCUUGGUUUUAUAGCUUAAUUUUCUAAACUCACUACUCAAAUAAUGAACUACAUCUAGUUUUAAUUUUUUUUAUUUAAUAUUAUAAUAACAAUACCAUUUCAAAAUUAACCAAAUAUAUAUAUAUAUAUAUAUAUAUAUAUAUAUAUAUAUAUAUAUAUAAUAGAGUUUAAAAACAAAUGAACAAUAUGAUAUUGUUCCAUUUUACUAUAAUGAUGAAGUUUUCACAAAAUAUAAAACUUAAAUUAAAUUAAGGCAACAAUCAAUUCUUUAGCUUUAAAACGAUUUAUUAUUUGCUUUCUAGUGGUAGUAGUAGGAUGAUUGGAAUAAUUUUUUUUCCAUUAACAAUAGAAUUGAGAAGGCCCGCCACAGACCAAGAGGACAGCUUCAAUGAAGCCAUCCCAGCCGAUGCAGGUGAUUACCCGUCGGCUGACAUCUCCUCGCGCGCAUAGCACCAGCCAAACCACCUCAAUCUGAAAAUGCACCAGACAAAGUCAAUGGAAAGACGCCAGGGAGCCUCAGCAGCCGAGAAGAAAGCGAGGGAACACCCACCGCGCGAGAAACACGAAAAACAUAGAGGGAGCGCGGUAAAGACUGUGAAGCCACAGAAUUCACACAUUGUGCACCGUGUUUUAAUGAGCACUCUUAGUUUAUUUUAUAUAUAAUUCUUUUAGUUUUAGUUUUAGUUUGUUGUGUUAUGAACAGUAAAGCAGCACAAGAAUACGUCUGCGUCAAGCUCUGUUCACUUUGGUCCGACAUUCCUCACCUCUCCCCACCUUAGCUCUCUCUCUUUCCCUCCUCUGCUUUUAGAAACCGCCGCUGCCACCUCAACCAAUAAGGCUUCAAAUCUCACCCAGGUGCUUCCUUUUCUAUUAUGUUUUUGUUUUUUAAAAAAGAUUUACGUCCGCGUUUUCAUUUAUUUAAUUGAAGUUACUAUCCAAAGAGAGAAAUUCGAUUUUAAUAAGUAAAUUAAAAAGAUAUAUAAUCGGAUCCAAUGAAAUCGCUGCUCGUGAACGCAACUCGAAGAAAGGCGCAAUCAGUCGAUUCUACUGUGGGUGGAGCAUUUAGUAUGGUCAGGGUUAUUGUGUUGUCUAUUCAAAGAAAGAUGUGCCUGUAAAUUUAUUAAGUUGAUUCUUAUCAGUCUGCUCUUUAGAGUUGAUGAUAACAUGAAAUAUUCAUUGUUGAUGCUUGUCGUUUUCUUCUUCAUUUUCCUAGCUUAAAACAUCCUAGACAAUCUCUUUGGGAUGGUUUAGUGUUUCUGGCCUCUUCAUCUUCUAUUUGUGCUGUGGUAUUUAGUUUGCUGAUAUUCAUUGGGGAUUGAAAGGCCUCGUUUUAUGACUUUGUUUUCUUCUUAUUUCUUUAUUCUUUUGGGGAUGUGAUAUUUUCCUCUUUCUAUUUACACUAUUGGCUCCCUACAAUAUUUUUUCCUUCAGAGAAGUAAAUAUAUACAUAAAUAACAAGAACAGGAGGGGAAGGGGAGGGGGGUUUGACAAUAAGUAUUUGCUUAGAAGGGAAUGCUUCUUUGGUUUAGAAGCACCAUGAAGAUUCAGGCCCAUAUUUGGCUGGUUUCUUUAAUAAAGUACAUGAUAUUCCAUUUUUCAUGUCCUUGAUGUGCUUUUACUCUUCUUGCCGUUCCUGACUUUCUUUUUAGGGUAUAUUCUAACAUGCAAUAUGUUUUUUUUUUGUUGGCCCACUGUCCCAGGCGGAGAACCUGUCAUGGACAUGGGUGAUUGCAGAAUUCAAUUGCAGCCUGACUCACGGAAAAGAAUAGUCAAAAAUUUUUUUUAUUUAUAUGAAAGAAAAGGAGAAGGGCAGAAGGUUAAUUAAAAUCAGCAGGAUUGCCAUGAGGCAACCUCAAGUAUCACGCACCUCUUUUUUUUUUCAUCUUUUCAUGUGUUUCUCACAAGAAGCAAACUUGAGGGAACAUAAAGUGCUGGGAAGUAAUUUUUGUUGGAAUUUCUUGUCUAAUCUCUUCUUUUGAUGAUGACCUCUUGGAUGGCUGCAUGAAGCUUGUUCCGCUUUAAAUUUCAAGGUUAAUCUAUUGCUAUGAGCAUACGUGUUUCAAUUUAAAACUCGAGUUGCAACUGAACUUAAAUAAAUGGUGUUGGAUUUGUGCUUUCUAUUUGUUUUAACUUCUACAGGGUUGAAAUGAUAGUGAUCUUAAACUAGAAAAGCAGCAGACAAAAAUCAAUUAGCCACAAUGGUGUAUGGUUUCUCAGCAUAAAGUUGAAAUGAUAGUGAUCUUAAACUAGAAAAGCAGCAGACAAAAAUCAAUUAGCCACAAUGGUGUAUGGUUUCUCAGCAUAAAGUUGAAUGUUUUGUUGACCUCUUUACAUCCAAAAUCAUAUAGACAGCUACUGCUAGCACUUGCAGUGGUCAAUGAAUACUGUAGAGUAUAUAUUGCAGUGUGAGAUAAGGUUAACUCAUUGCAUUUUCAGAUAUUGAAAGGAUUUCUCUUCUUUUCUUUGUCAAUUACAGGACAUGCAUCGAAGUGUUCUUACUGAGAGUAAAUGCUAUUGUAAUGUUUUCACAGAGACUCCCCUGCUUUGCAACUAAGUCACUAAUAUAUCUUGGAACAUAGCCAUAAAUGAAAGGUUCUUCCAGAUCAAGAAAAUUAACCAUGAAGCUCGUAGCUAGAAUUUUUAGACAGAAAGGUGGCCAAGUACGCUGUACCUCUGGAAUAAUACAGGGAAAGGAUGUCUAUGUAUUUUGAUGUCUUAUAUUACUUGACCAACUCUUGCUUAUCUCAUUAUUUGUUUUUACUUUUUGCUAAUGAUUCCACACAUUUCUGAUAUUGGUGUGGUUUAUGAGUUUAGGGUUCUCGUUGCUGCUAACUUCUCUAUACUUUGCCUGGUCAUUAAAAAUCAAACGUAAUGAUUUGCAUAUGCAGAAUGGAGACAUUAAAAAGACAUCUUCUAUUUUCUGGUGAGGAGGGAUUUCAGGAACUCAAGAAAUUUUCCAUACGUUUUGAGGAAAAGAUUUAUACUACCGCUAACAAUCAGGUAUUUGCCUAAUGCGAGGUUCAAUAAUUAUGAUAUUAUCUAGACAUGAAUAUACACACGCAUUUAUGCUUGUACAAAUGUGUGUGUAGUGUGCCUACACUUCCUCACCGUUCAUUCUGUAUGCAAGGUUGAUUGGGAGUUCACAUCAUUUUGUUAAUUCUCUUGACAAGUGUUUUAUUUAGAGUGACCAAGUUCAAGUACAAGGGAAGAAUGCAAAAAGCAAAUAACGAAUCAAUACAUAAAUAAUUAAAUAAAAAGAGAGGUAACAGAAGUAUAUCCUCAUAGAAGAUGAAAUGAUAGAGUAUAUAUCUAUUUUCCUCCUCUGGUAACAUGGAUUGCUCUGAGAUCUACUGUUUUGUUAUUAAUAUCUGAUUUCAAUCUGAUUAUUUGCAUAAAAUAUCUCUGGAGAUGCUUUCGAUGGAGACCAGGUCUCAAAAUGCCAUGCUCACUACACCUAUGGAUCCAGCAGGUAAUAAUGCAGCCGAGCAUUGAAUUUCUAAAUAUCUUACCUUUUGUUUUUCUUCUCGCAUUGCUAUCAAACUCUUUUACAUUUUAUUGCUGCAUAUUGCUAUGUAUAUCGCCUUGCUGGAAAAAUCUCAUGAUCACCUCCACGAUGAUAAUUUUGUAAUGCAUGUGAAGUGUUUCAUCCUUAACUUGUUAAGGAACAAGGACUGUGAUGCAUGGUAUUUUAUAUUUUAUGAUUGAGAUGGUAGAUUUUAAAGAUUUUCAUGUUAAGGAGAUAAGACGUCACUUUCUUGCUUUUCUUCCGAGAGAGUAUUUGAUCCUUUUUUCAUAUAAAAUAAUGCUGGCAUGCAUUGAAUUUCCAAACAUCUUACCUUUUGUUUUGUUUGUCGCAUUGUUAUCAAACUCUUUUACAUUUUGUUGCGGCAUAUUGCUAUGUGUAUGGCAUGCUUUAAUCAAAAAGUUGAGUAAUUGAUGAAUGUUAGGCAAGAAAAUUACAGAUUAUUUUUAUUUUCUACCUCCUCCUUCUCUUUCCCCCACCCCGAAAAUGGUCAUAUUAUUUUUUUUUUCAGCCACCUCUUCUUCCCCCAACCUUGAAAAUUGUUUAUAUUUGCUUUGGAAGCAUGGCAAACUUCACUGCCUCUCAGCUUAAGGAGAUUGCAGCAGGUCUCGAAGCUUCUGGGCAUCAGUUUAUUUGGGUAGUUAGAAGAAACAAAAAGAGUCAAGAAGACAAGGAAGAUUGUUUACCUCAAGGAUUUGAGGAAAGAAUGGAAGGCAAAAGGCUAUUAUCAGAGGAUGGGCACUCCAAGUUUUGAUUCUUGAUCAUGAAGCAAAAGGUGCAUUUGUGACUCAUUGAGGAUGGAACUCAACUCUUAAAGGCGUAAGGCAAAUAUUUGAUGAGCAAUUCUAUAAUGAAAAGUUGGUGACUGAUGUUUUAAAAACUGGAGUUAAGGAAUGGCUUAGAGUGCAUGGAGAUCAUGUUAAAAGUGAAGCUGUAGAGAACGCAAUCACUCAAAUUAUGAUGGGUGAAGAAGCAGAGGAAAUGAGGAGCAGAGCAAAGAAGCUUUCAGUGCUUUGAUUUAAUAACUGCAAAAAAUGAAAGGUUGUUGAAGAUGGUGGAUCUUCUUGCUCCGAUUUCAAUGCUUUGAUUGAAUAACUGAGGUGGGGUAGCCUUUGAAACAGAGGCAUAGAAUAUAUAUAUAUAUAUAUUUUAGCUUUUUUAGUUUAACGUGGGUGUUCGGGCCAGCUUGCGCGCACCUCGACUAAUCCCACGGGCCCUGAAGUUAACGACCAUGUAAGUCUCCAGUGGCCAUCAUAUGAGCAACCACAGGGCUCGAACCUGAGACCACAGAGGGAGCAAACCUUUUAGUCCCAAGCUCUUACCACUGGGCCACCACCUAGAUGGUUAAGGCAUAGAAUAUUUUGUUUCUACUUAGUAGUGGUUUUGGUAAUUUAUUUUCAGACAAGUCUUGAGAGUUGAAAGAGUAAUCACAGCCGAGUCAAUGACCAAUCCAAAUAAGUUCCCUUCCUAAUGGUUCAGGAAUGACAAGUCCAGCAUAUAUAUUUAGCCCAAAUAACUUUUCAAAUAAAAUGGCUGAGCUUAGAGACAGUACACUACAAAUUAAGCACCCAUUAGCUAGACAUACAGGACAAACAAUCAUCACAAACUAGAAACGACUGUCUUCCCAGUAACAAACUCACCUUCUCAAGUUGGAGAACUUGCGAAAACUAGCUACUACAAUAUAGUAGCAAGUAUCUAUGCAGUCUUCGAUGAAGUACGACCACCUGCGUCGCCAAUAUGGAUUGAUGUAAAGAACUGCUACAAUCAUAAUCACCACGACUGUGUAACUUACACCGAAAUUGAUGUAGAAAAACUCCAUGUCUAUGAAACCAUCAUCUCCUUGUUCAUCAUUAGGCACUGGUUGUGAUGGCAUUGGCUGUGAUGGCACUGGCUGUGAUGGCACUGCUUCUUCACUACAAUUGUUUUGCAAUGGAGGUCCACACAAGAAAGGAUUUCCUUCGUAACAGCUUUCAUCGAAGGUCCCAAACUGAUAUUUUCUCUCGGGUGUCUUACAUGACAAGUUAUUGUACGCCACACUAAAAACUUCCAGUGUGGUAAUUUCAGUAAGUUGUGGAGGGAUGACACCAUUCAAGUUGUUGUAAGAAAGAUCCAAACUCUCAAUCUGUUUUAGGUUUGAGAAUGUUGCUGGGAUAGAUCCAGUGAGAUUGUUGUGUGAUAAGUUUAAUGACAAUAUCUUACUUAAGUUUCCAAAUUCCGGUGGGAUUGCUCCUACGAAGUUGUUAUUGGAGAGAUCAAUACCAGACAUGUAGUUGAGAGUCUUCCCCUUGUAACCAUAAUACAUAUUUUUAGUUGUAAAUUCUAUCACUUCUUCUGUAAAGUUAAGCAGAAAACCCUUUCUCAAGUUGUACAUACUCUCCACUAGUGGUGGACCCAUUGUUUCAUAAUAAGCUUUUUCUAUGGACCUUGAUAGAACACCAGCUCCGAGAUCCGUGAAUGCUUUCUGGGAACUUUCCUUGAAAGUAAGAUUGCCCAAACAGGAGGGUAGUGGACUAGAGAGCUGGUUUUGUGAAACAUCCAAAAUGCUUAAAUGUUCUAACAAGCAUAAUUGAACAGGGAGCUCACCAUCAAAGUGAUUAGCCCUCAGAAGAAGAACACUCAAUGAUGAAAGAUUGCCAAUCCAAUUUGGAAUGGAGCCGGUGAAGCUGUUAUCUUGAAGAUCCAUCGUAACUAAGAAAGAGCUGUUAUAAAAUCUAUAUGUUAAUGGACCGCUCAAUCUAUUUUCGGAUAGAUGCAUAUGGAUUAGAGUUGAUGGACUGAAACAAGAUGGUAUAUAUCCAGACAAGUUGUUCUCUGAAAGGUUCAAAUAUUCAAGUUGAUCAAGCUUACAAAAGUCUCUUGGGAUCGGACCCUUAAAAUGGUUUUUGGACAAAUCAAUUGCUGCAAGAAUCGUAGAAUUAAGAAAGCUCCUUGGAAGCAUGCCUGAAAAUUGAUUGUUACUCAAAUCCAAUACAAUCCACAUUUUCCACCUAUAUAAUGAAAAAUCUGAUAUCUGACCCCAAAAGUUGUUACCACCUAGAUAGAGAUAUUCUAAGGUAGAAGAAUUGAACAACGAGGUCGGUAAUUGCCCACCCAAAUUGUUGUUUGACAGCUUGAGAAACCAUAUUGUUGUUAGUUGUUCUAGUUUUACUGUGGACAAUUGAUUGUUGGAUAAAUCUAAAAUUCCCAAAGAGCUAAUAUUUCCUAAACAAGAAGGAAUACAACCUGUGAAUCCAUUCUUAGCCAUCCUUAAGCUCUUCAGAUUUUGAAAGAUCAAACAAAUAUCCUUUGGAAUUUGACCGCUCAUGUUGUUGUUGGAUAUAUCUAAUUCGGUCAUAUUUAGAUAUGGGUGAUUUGGCAACUGCAAAGUACCAACAAAGGAGUUCUCACUCAAAUAUAGUUGCUCCAAUCGUGUAUUGUUCUUAAGCAACCACGAUGGAAACAUUCCGGUGAUGUUGUUGUGGGAGAGAUCAAGGACUCUUAAGUCGUAUUGGUAAUAGAGGAAGUUGGGAAUCUCUACAUUGACUGCUUCUAUUGUUUUUGACAAACUAAAAAAGACUAGUUGGAACUUUGGAAUCAAAUGAUCAAAGGCAGCAGGUUCUGUUACUAGUCUAUUGUUCUCAUUGCAGAAGAACUUGAGGCUUGAGUGGUUCAUAAAAGGCUUCAUUGAAAUGGGAACUUCAAAGAGGUUAUUUGAUAGUGAGAGGAAUUCAAGAGAUGUGAGGUUGGUAAGAGGACCAGAGGCAAUAUUUCCAGUAAACUGGUUUUUAGAAACAUCUAAUAGUUGUAGAGAUGACAAGUUUCCUAAACAAUCUGGGAGUGAACCUUCUAAAUUAUUUCCAAAGAGAUCUAACUGCUUCAGAUUCUUCAAUUCACACCAACCUGUAUAAUUUAUCUCGAAACAGUCAAAAUAGCUAAAUAAUUAAAAGAUUACCAUAGAAGAGGAUGGAGUGUUGUUAAUUUACCUUGAGCGGGUAGGGUGCCAUGGAGGUCACAUCCACCAACAGACAAAACCUUAAGAGCAGGCAAUGCUCCAAUGUUCUGGAGAAAGUUUACUGGGAGAGAAGUACGAUCUAGAUUCAAUUCUUCAAGAGUGCUAGAAUUGAAGAAAGUCCCUGUGAAAAAGAAAGAAGAAGAGAUAUGAAGAAAAUAAUGGUGGUACAGAAUAGCCAUUCCAUUCAAUAUUAUUAAUUAAUAUUUUAAGAAACUAAACUAUGAUUAACCUUGACUUAAAUUAGUAUCCUUGAGAGAAAGGGUCUUCAGGGAUGGCAAUGACUGCAGGAAGUCCAGCUUCCUUAAACCUAUGAUGUGUAGAAUUGAAAACAGGCAAUCAAGUAAGUAGUGAAAUUAAGCGUUAUCUUGAUCGAGUUUUUAAACCUAUGAUAAAAAACUGAUAUUGAAUAUACUUUUAUAAUGAUAUGAUUUUUGGAUAGAAACAACAAAUUGCCUGAAAAAUCCAGAGAUUUCAAAAGGUAUUGUUAAAAAAUGAAGUAAAUAAUAUUCACAACUUUACCAUUGACAGUCGUCGAUCCUAGCAACAUAUUGCCUGAUAAAUUUAAAGACUUGAGAUAAGAAAAUCCACGCAGAUGUGAUAAAAUGCUGUCGUUGAAUAUAUUAUAGCUCAAGUCCAGGUUCUCGAGUUUCCCUAAAUGUGAUGAUAUGAUCUCAAAACCUGCAAGAGUAAGUCAUCAUGAGCUCACGAUAUGCAUAAUAUAUAGAAACUAAAGAUAAUUAGAAUUGAUGAGAUGCUGUUGUUCAAUUGAUAUAUGAUUCUCAAAUUAUACAUAAAAAUAAUGAUACAUGAACGCAUAUGUCAUUAUAUAACAGGUUGUGCACACUUCAAAGAUUAAGAAACAAUUUUUAAUCAUUCUAAUUUUGAUCUUAUUGGAAAAAAAAAAAAAAUUUAUGGAUAUAAAGUCGUUAAAGAUGGAAACUAAGUCAAACAUGAUAAAUGCUAUCAUUAAAUUGAUCAUUACAUAGAUAUAAAGUACUUAUUUUUUAUGAUAAUGCAUGUAACGAGUAUUAUUGAUUAUUGUUCUUGUUUUAAUUACCGAUGAGAAAUUUUGAACAAUCAUUUGAUUUUAUUAGUUUUGAAUAAUAUAAUAUUUUUGAAGAUUAUAAAAUGUUAUGUAUUUUUAAAUAACUUGUUUUUUUGAUAUGUUUGUUAUGAGGCUUAGCGUAGGUGGGGUGUCCUUUCGAUACAGCUCCUGCGUUGCCAGUAAUAAACUUGAGACUCGAGUGGUGACAAAAUUGAUCUUUACAUGGAUAUAAAGUUCUCAUUUUUGUUGAUAAAGAAACAAUAUAAUUAAGAGAAUGUCAUGUGAAGCAUUUAGGUAGAAACUGUGUAUUAUACCUGAUCCUGUCAGCUGAUUGCCUGAUAGAUCCAAAGACUUGAGGGAUGAAAAUCCAGUUAGAGAUGGAAAAAUGCUGCUGUUCAACUUAUUAAACGAUAGAUCCAAAGACUUGAUCAGGGAUGAAAGCCCACUCAGAAUUGAUAAGAUGCUGCUGUUCAAUUGAUUGAAACUCAGGUCAAGGUUCUCUAACUUUCCCAGCCUCAUCGGUUGGAGUUGAAAACCUACAAGAUAUACAUAAAAAAAAAUAUACAGUGCAUAGAUUAAGGAAGAAGAUAGAUUGCAAGUAUCCAUUCUAUACAUGUAAUUUUUAAUCAUCCUAGUUUUGAUCAAGUUGUGUCUUAUUAGAAAAACAAUUUAUGGAUAAGAUCAAAGCCCCAUAGAUAUAAAUCUUCAUUGAUGAAAGCUAGCGCAAUCAAACAUGAUGAAAUGCUAUCGUUGAUUAAUUAUUAAAUAAAUAUAAAGUCCUCAAUUUUCUUGAUAAAGAAACCGUAUAAAAGAAUGUCACGUAAAGCAGUUAGGUAGAAAUUAUAUAUAACUUACUAUUGAUACCAGCAGAUCCUGUCAACUCAUUAUAUGAUAGAUCCAAAGACUUGAGAGAUGAAAAUCCAGUUAGAGAUAGAAAAAUGCUAUCGUUGUAUUGAUUCCCACUCAGAUAUAGUUUCUCCAGCUUUUUCAACCUUGAUGACAAGACUUUGAAACCUGCAUGAUUUUUCUCAAAAAACAUAGAAAUGAUAUGAGAAGGAGAAAAGAAAAGGUUUUGAAGCUAAAUAAUUAUAAGGUUACCAUAGAAGCUACCUCCUGAUCCAGCUGUCAACCCAUUGUCUGAUAGAUCUAAAGACUUGAGAGCGGAAAGCCCAUUGAAACAUGACAAAAUGCUUUUAUCAUUAUUAAAUCGGUUUUCACUUAGGUCAAGUUUCCUCAGUUUUGAUGAUAGGACUCCGAAGCCUGGAAGAGAAACAUCAAAGCAAGAUAAUUGACAUUAAACACCAACCAACCAACCUUCAUUUAUUUUAUUAUUAUAAUUAAGUGCACAAACAUUGAACUAACCUUCAUUCUCCAAGCAACCAACCAAUCCAUUAUAUCCCAAAUCAAGACUUUGCAAUUCUUUGAAAGGCUGAAACAAAGAUGCGUUGAGAACCCAAUCGCCCAAGCUCUCAUCCCUUUCUCCACUAAGAGAGAGUUGGAUCACUCGCCUUGUAGUGUGAUCACACUCGAUCUCAGGCCACUCACAACAAUUACUACUGUCCACCCAAUGUCUCAAGGAAAUGCCAUCUGGGUCGAUCAAAGAUUGGAUCUCCAAGAGACCAAUUCUCUCUUCCUCCAAACACCCAUAACAACGACCAGACCAUUCGCCAACCAAAGUGAAUAAUGCUAGCAACAUCCAAGCCCCCAUUCUUUUCAACAUCAUCGUAGAUAAUUCUAUGAACUACUACGUAGAAUAUUAUUGUUUGUUAUGUGCCUUUGGGCAACCAUAGAGGUCCUAUUUAUACUACACUGGCCAUUUCCAUGACUUUGAGAUGUUUUCUUUAUUUAAUUUCCACGACUUUAUCUGCAUAUCUUGUGCAGGUUCCGUGUUUUGAGAUUUGAAUAUUAUUUUAUUUCUUUUUGGAAUGUUCUUGGAUUUAAAUAUUAUUUUAUUUUAUUAUUUAGCACUUAUUCUAUUUGCAUUUAAUUAUAUUUUGGUUACUAAUUAUUCAAUUUAUAAAAAAAAUAAAAUAAAAAAAUUGUUGCAGUACUUCAACAUCGACAUUCGUGUGUGAUUCCACAUAAGAUCUUUUCAACUUUAUAAUUGUACUUCUCUCGUUAAAUACAUAAAUUAUCAAUAAUAAUAAACUCGAAAUAAUUAUAAAUCUUAUCCCUGUGGAUUGUGUGGGUACAGUAUUAUAUACAAAAACUUCAAAUACAUAAUAUAUAUAAGUCAGAAAUAUUUUUGUUUUUAUGGACUUGUUUUUAUUACAUUUCAAUAUUAAAUAUAUUUUUUUCAAUCGAGUCAAAGAUAUACCAUUUAUAUUAGAAUGAGAAGACUAAUCAAUUUCUCUAAUUUCUCUAGUUUUCUCCCUAAUUAUAAAAUACAUCUGGUUUUUCAAGUCCAGAUUUUAAGAUAAAAGGAAUUUAUUUCUUGAAAGUAAUGCAUUAAACAAUAUAAAAAAAAUUUAAAAAAUUUAAAAUAGUAGUAAAAGUAGUUUUUGAUUGAAGUGUAAACUAGUGGUAAAUGAACAAAAAGAAACUUUAUUGAUUAUCUAAUGAGUUACUUCUCCAGAAAGAAUAUAUACAAUAUUAUUGAUUAUCUAAUGGAAACUCCGCCUAACACACACACACACACACACACACACACACACACAUAUAUAUAUAUAUAUAUAUAUAUAUAUAUAUAUAUAUAAGUUAGAGACACUUUUUGUUUUUAUGUUCGGAAAAGUGUUCUUUACUUGUUUUUAUUACAUUUCAAUAUUAAAUAUAUUUUUUUCAAUCGAGUCAAAGAUAUACCAUUUAUAUUAGAUUGAGAAGACUAAUCAAUUUCUCUAGUUUUCUCCCUAAUGUAUAAAUUUCUCUAGUUUUCUCCCUAAUUAUAAAAUACAUCUGGUUUUUCAAGUCCAGAUUUUAGGAUAAAAAGAAUUUAUUUCUUGAAAUUAAUGCAUAAAACAAUAUAAAAAUAUUUUUAAUAAAUUAAAAUAGUAGUAAAAGUAAAUUUAGUUUUUGAUUGAAGUGUAAACUAGUGGUAAAUGAACAAAAAGAAACUUUAUUGAUUAUCUAAUGAGUUACUUCUCCAAAAAGAAUAUAUAUAUUAUUGAAUAUCUAAUGGAAAGGAUUCAUGAAACUCCGCCAUAUAUAUAUAUAAAAGAGAAAUUGUCGAUAAUAGCAAUCAUUUUCUUAUCUCUUGUAUCAUUCAUAUCUUCCACAAAUCUUAAGUAAUUGAUGAGACAGUGGAUAUUGCCAAGAAAGGUCGUGAACGCGGAUGCUUGACGAUUAUGAUUUUUAAACACAACCAUAUAGUGAUUUCCUUAUGCAUACUGGUGAUCCUCCAGAAUCUUGUAGGAACACCACAAGCCAAUCUAAAAGAAUGCUAAAAGUCAAAACACACAAGCCAUAUAAAAAUCACACGACAGCCAAUUACCUUAUCUUUUGAAAGAAAGAUAAUAAUAAUAAUAAUAAUAAUAAUAAUAAUAAUAAAAGCAUUCUCCUGGGUGUGCAAUGACCGCCAAUCUUUCUCAUUAUGACAUUCAAUGCUCAGUUAGAAGUUGCACGAUGCUCUUCUCAUGGGGAGCAAAAAUCAGUAGCCUCCCAUGGAAUCCUCAUAAACCUUUCUCUAUGCUCUUCUAAGAUAUUAAAAAUGUCAAACAUACAUCAAUAAUAAAAAGACAUUAAAAAUGUCAAACAUACAUCUAAGAUAUUACGCAAAACGAGGUUUUUUUCUGCAAAAAAAUAAAAAUAGAAUGUUAUACAAAUGGAGCUUCCAACAAAAAAGAUAUGGGAAGUUCGAGGAAAAAAAUGAUUAGUUAAUUCAAAACACCAGCAGUAAGUAAUAAUUACAAAACACGAUACCGAAACCAAAUUGAAAAGUGAGCAAGAAUACAAAAAUGGUUACAUGUAUCAAAAGGAACUGGUACCAAUUUCUCCACCACUGUAUGUCCCUUUUGUUCAGUCUAUGUUUGGUGCAAUCACCUAAAGCUAGAAACAAAAACAGCGCCUUACUCUACAAGUAGCUCAUCAAAGUAUAUGUUGUAAAUUGCAAACACGUGCUAACAAUAAAUUGUGGCCAGAGGAUUUGCUUCGAUCCCAGAGGCCAUUGAGGAUAUUCGUCAAGGAAAGGCUCAUGCACCCUCUUGAUUUGAUGAUUCUUUGCAUUUAGUUAUUGUUGUUGAUGAUGAACAAAUUAAGAGAAAAUGAGGGGGGCCUUAUAAUGGCAGCGUCAAAGGCAACACCAGAAGCUAUGGCAUUUAUUGUCAAGCAUGGGACUGGUAUAGUGUGUGUGAGCUUCCAUUAAUGGUAACUCAUAAGGAGAAUGAGGAAAACUGUGCACUGCAUUUACUGUAUCAGUGGUACGUCAUUAACUUCUCCAUUUAUAUUAUCUAAUGGAUAUGAUCUUUUCAAGAAACCUUUAUCUUGGUUUGAUUUUAAAGUGCUAAUUUAAUUGCGGAUUCUGUCCCAGAUGAGGUCCGGUUUCCUGAAAUCAAAGAUGUCUACACUGUCCCGUGGACUUAUAGUUCAGUUGCUCAAUCAGAACUGAUGACAUCUGCACAUUCGGCGACUCCAGCAUUAAUUGUGGCCUUGACAGAUUGUGAGAGGCCAGAUGGGAUGGAUUAGAUGCGUCUGAGUUUGUUGGAGAGGAAGACUUGCAGAAUAAUUUUGAGGGAGUGGGUGGCAGUUCGAUGGAGCGGUUCCUGUUGGUGCAACGCCGAACACAUGCCACGCAGGAUAUAUAGAAAUGCUAGUCAGCUUAUGAAAUCCGAGGUUGAUACGAUACUUAUCUUCAUAGAUUGUGAAUGUUGUUCUUUUUUCUACAAACGAUCCGUUAUGCAAAGCAAAUUCCAAGACCAGAAAAAUAAUGUUUAGAGUUAAAAGACAAUGUCUUAGCAGCAAGGACCUAUUCCAUCAGGAGAUAUGUGAAUUCUCAAGCCUUUGCAAUGCUUUUAAAUUAAUGAAGGAUCAAAAUGAAAAUGUUAUAUUCAUAACUAUACUGCAAUUUUGCCCAUAAUUCUUCUUUAAUUCUGUCCAGAAUCUUGGAUUAUGCUCCAGGGACCAAUCUGGAAUUUUAGUAGAUUUUUAAGGGUCAAAUUGUAAUUUUAUCAAAUUGAAGGACCAAAAUAAAAAUGUCAUAGAUUCAUAACUAUACUGGAAUUUUGCUUGUAAUUCAUCUUUAGUUCUGUCCAGAAUCUAGGAUUAUGCUUCAGGGAUCAAUCUGUAAUUUUUUCAAAGUUUGGGGAUUAACUUAAAUUUUCACAAAUUGAGGGACCAAAUUGAAAUUUUAUUAUCUUCAACCUCAAACCCAGAUUUUUCAUAGAUCACCUACUGAUAUAUCAAGAUUUCGAACUCAAAUUCAUCAUUUAAACAAACUAUAACUCAAAAUCAUCAUUUUUACCUAAAAUUUUCAAAAAUCAACUAAAUAACUCAUUACCCAUAACAGUCAUUCCGCUAAAUUAUUUCUACUUCUGCUUCUUCUUCUUCUUUUUUAUAAUACUCGAGUAUUAUUAUAGAAAGAUGCUUGAGCCAAAAUUAGAGGCUAUCUAGCAUAAAAGAAAAACAGAGGUAUAUACAGGACAGAGAGGAAGUAAUAACAUUAUAUAUAUAUAUAUAUAUAUAUAUAAAACUUGAGUUAACCCGUCAAGUCUAUGACCUGGAUUAUGAGAUCGGGAUAAGCAAACUCAAUAUUAAAAAAUAAAAUUGAAAAAAAAACAAUAAAAACAUAUAUGGUUUAACAAUAUUAAUCAAUUAUUAAAAUAUUUCAUUUUAUAUAUAUUAAAAAUAUAUAUUAAUAACUAUUAUAUCAGUUUGUGAAUGUUUCAAUUUGGAUGCAAAUAGAUGUUUAAUUAUCUAUGACAUUUUUUUUAAGAAACCAAAGUUAUUAAAUAUGGUUAGAUUUAAUACCUAGAUAAGGGUUUAGGUCAUAGAUUGGCUUAAUACUCGGAUCAAGAUUUGAAUUAUAGAUCGAACAAGUUAGCUUAUUGAUUGAUGUUAAUAAAAAAUUGUAUCAUUUUAAGAUUAUUUUUUAGUAAAAACCAAAAUCAAGUAGUUAAAAAAAGUGAAAGUAGUUUUUGAUAGGGUUGACUAGGUUGUAAGUUGAUUUAUCUAGUCGAUUAGGCUUGAUUGAGUCAACUCUCACUUGGUUUUUUUUAAAUCUAAAUCGGGUCAGGUUCCAGAUUAAAAUGUUAGGCUUGAAUUAAAUUUAAUAACGCUGAUUAAAAUCACAUUGUAGAAAAAAAAUGAAUUGCAUAAAAGUAAUUAACCAAAAACUUGUAUUCCUUCUUAUAAAGUUGAACCCAUGUCAGUUUCUUUUUUGGAAAAAUAUAAAUCAAAGGUUAACGCUACUUUCAUGACGAUGACGGAUAAAGAAGACUUGCUCCUUUCUUUAUGGAAAUAACGUGUGGAAAAUCAUGCCUUAAUUUUGAUGGUGAUGGCCAAAUCAAACAGUAUCGUUGAUAAAAUGAACCACAAAUGAUAUUAUUUCUACAAGACUUCUUGUCAUUGUCAUGACAAUAAGUCUUCUCCUUUUUCUUUCUAAAGAGUCUAUUUUUUGUAACACAAUCAACAAGUAAGAUGGAUAGAAAUUUGCAGUGUGAGAUGGGUCUGUGAGACUAUAUAUUGCCAUUUGUAUUUUUUUCAUGAUAAAGGCUAAUUGGAUGGUCCUAUCAAGCGUUUUUUUUACGAGAUGGGUCCAUAAAAACAUUUCCAUCUACACAUUGAUCCCUGAAACCUUUGCCAUAAUGCAUUUUUUCCACGAGAUGGGUUCGUGGAAAUACUUUGGUUUAAUAGGGAAUGCUGUUAUUGAUUGGAAACUUUUUAAUUAAAAUAAAUUUGAUUAUUUGAUUGGAAGAAAUCCUUAAAUGUUAUUAACACAAAGAAAUCAAUUUAUUUUCUUAAGAAAAAAAUAUUGUAACCAUAUAAGUAAUUUAUUUAUUUAUUUUAAUGAAAUAUAAAAUAGUUUUAAAUCUUGUGGUAUAUUUCUUGUCUUUAAGAGCUAUGAACUUAUAUCUCAAAACUUGAAAACUAAUAUAAAGAUAUUAAGUGAUCAUUGAGUGUAUGUGUGUGUGUAUAAUCUUUUUCAAAACAAAAAGGAUUUUGAUGGAGAGGACAUUGCAGCAAAUUAUCCACGAGAUGGGUCGGUGAUACCAUUGUCAUCAUGUAAUUUUUCCCACGAGAUGGGGCCGUACGCUUGGGGCUCUAAAAGCUAUGGUUUUUAAUUUCAUUAUGUUACAUAUCUAGAAUGGGAGGUAUAUUUUAUUUCAAUUCUAAAAAUGAAAUAAAUUAGAAGAUAUUUCAUCUUGUUUAGAAUAUUAUCUCCUUACAUGCAUGAAUUUCACAUAAAUUUUGACCAGAAUAUUUCGGUUCUAUUCCGGCCAUUCUAUUAUGUCCAAAUAAUGUUUUGUUUUGCUUUUAUAUAUAUAAAAAAUAUAAUUUAUUUUUAUGAUAUCAAUUAUACAUUUCAAUUCGACUAUUGGAUUAAACUGAAAUUUUAUAAUCUCCUAAUAUGUAUUAUAUCACAAGUUAAAAUUUUAGAUCAAUCAGAGUUUAGAAAGACUUUGUGAAAUUACUGUUGAUAUAUUUUCAUAAUUUUAUUUAAAUUCAUAAUUUUAUUUUGAAAUGUUUUAUUUUUUGUGGUUUUUUAGAUUGAUUUUUUUUCAUUUUAUAAUUUAACAAUAAAUUUAUUAAAAAUUAAAAUUCAUAAUUUAUUUUUAUUUAUUUUAUUUAAAAUUAUUAUAUUAUCAUUACUCAGAUCACGAAAAAAAAACCUUUGCUUUAAUUGGGAAUGCUGUUACAAGUAAUUGGACUCCGUGGGAUGGGAGACCGUUGCCAUCAUGCAUGUUUUUUCCACGGCAUGGGUCCGUAAAGUCCUCUAUAAAAGCUUAAACCUCCUUACUAUCCUCUAUAUCAAUUGAUCAGCAUUUAUAAGAUGGGGCUGUCUGUUCCUUCUGAUGUUGAUGGUUUUAGUAAUGAUGGUUUCUUGCAAGGAUGGCUGCCUCUUGGAGUAUAUUGACUUGAGAAUUAAUUGUUUUGAUAACAGUAUUUUAUUAUUUGUGGAGUUAUUUCUAUUUUUUAAAUUAUUAUAUUUAGAUUAUAAUAGAGUGAAAGAGUUAAUAGGUUUAAGAGAUUAGGAAAAAGCUACUAUUAAUUAUAGUUAGGGACCAAACUGGAAUUUUUGCACAUUUUUAAGGGUCAAAUUGUAAUUUUAUUAAAUUGAUGAAGGACCAAAAUGAAAAUAUCAUAUUUAUAACUAUACUGUAAUUUUGCCCAUAUUUCUUCUGUAAUUUUGCCUAGAAUCUCGGAUUAUGCUCUAGGGACCAAUCUGUAAUUUUUUUCAAAGUUUGGGGAUUAAACUGAAAUUUUCAUAAAUUGAGGUACCAAACUGAAAUUUUUUCAUCUUCAACAUCAAACCCAGAUUUUUCACAAAUCACCUAUUGAUAUAUCAAGAUUUUUAACUAGAUGAGGGUUUAGGUCAUAGAUUGGCCUAAUACUCGGAUCAAGAUUUGAGUCAAGUUAGCUUAUUGACUAGUGUUAAUAAAAAAUUAUAUUAUUUUAAGAUUUAAUUUAAUUAAAUAGAUCCAACUACCAUGCAAUUCCACAAUUAAUUUAUUUUAUUAUGAUUUAGUGUUAUGUUAACCAGGCAACAUUUAAUUACCAUGAUAUAAAAUACAAAAAUAGUGGGAACAUAAAAAAACAUGCUUUUAUAUAUUUUUUAUUUUAAAAGUAUAAAUUUUACUUUAAGACUAUUGUAAAAAGAUAUUUAUUUUAAAUUUAUUUAUAUUUUUAUAAUUCAAAAAUUAAAAAUAAAACAGAAUUAAUCCAUACUCAUCUAAAAACAAUUAACUCUAACAUCAUUAUUUUAUAACAAAACUAGCAAAGAUAAUUUAUUAAUCACUAAGUUUUCUGGUUAUAAAUACAUUAGUAAGUGUCUUUGUCUCUUUUGUAUUUCUAACUAUUAACGAAUUGAAAGAAUAAAUUUAGAAUCACCAAUUAAGCAGUGAAUCACACGGGAAGAUUGAAAGAAUAAUUAAAGUGAUUAUACUAACCGACAAGUCGACCCCAAGUCAAAGUCUUCUGUGGAAAAACAUGAAUAAAAGGUGGACGCUGGGCAGCUCACUUUCCAUGAAGAUGAUGGAUACAGAGCCCUCCCUUCUAUCUUUAUGGAAAUCACGUCUAGAAAAUCAUGCUUUAAUUUUAAGCUUGAGAGGGGAUGAUAUAUAUAUAUAUAUAUAUAUAUAUAUAUAUAUAUAUAUAUAUAUAUAUAUAUAUAUGCUUUAAUUUCAACUUGUAUAAAAAAUAAAUCUUAAUGACUGGUGAUUUAAACUUGGGUGUUUUUUCGGUAUUAAUAUAUAUAUUCCUCAAUUAUCAUAAAGAAUUAAGAAAAAACUAAUAAUAAGAUUAAAAUAAAUGUUUUAUAUAUCGAAAUAAUUAAAAGUAAGGUUUACUUAAGGUAUAUAUGGGAUUAAUUUAAAAUAACAAUAAAAUCAAUUUAUUAAAAAAAAUCAUAAAUUUAGUUUUCCUAAAUUUUAAAUGUAGUGUGAAUGCAUUCCGCAAGAAAAAAACAGUGCAAAAUUAGCCUUUCAAGAAAUAGAGAAUCUUCCUCUUUGAAGGAAUUAAUUAGUGGGUUGGAAAAAUGUCGUCUUCUGCUCUAAUAUUUUCUUCACUUUCUCUAUAGUUUUACCUUACACCAAUAUUGUCAGAAAAUGAUACAAUAUACUUCUUGUGUUAUCCUUCAAGAUUUCAAUUGAAAAUUAAGGAGGGUCGUAAAAAAUUUAAUUUUUAUAAACAUAUCCUUAACUCUGUAUCUUCUCUAGAUAUGUCUGUGACUGAGCUCCAUAAAGAAUUCCUAUUUAACAUUAAUCUGUCCAUCAAGUUUUUGAUCCCCGAUUAAGGCCAUCUUGAUAAAUGAGAUUUUACUCUGUAAUUUUAAUGUAUAGCUGUCAAUGACCUGAAACAUGCAAAUUAAAAUUCAAAGUGUGAGCAUUGAAUUUCUUGUCAGUUUACACCCUUCUGUGGUGUUUCCUCUUUCCAUUGAUUGAAGAGCGUCCAAGAGGAAAAACUGAAAAGGCAAAAGUUCUAUUGUACAGUGAAAAAGAGCAUGAGAAAUACACAGAAGCAGAGAUGCAUGAAUCCUUCUCCACUAGCAGCUCUCGUCCAUAGGAUCAUUGUGGUUUCAAGAUUGAUGCCCAAUCAUUUCCCUCUUUGUUCGAUUCCUCAGACCUUUUGGAAACUGUACAUUCCGGGGGAAAGUCUGUGCAAGGGCAAAAGGCGACGGUGGACUUGACAAAGGGCUGAGGGGUGGGUGAGAUGUUAUGUCAAGAAAUGAUUUUGGAAAAUUUCUUCAUAUGUGUUGAAUAACUAAGAUAAGAUAGGAGUCUUGAACAAGGCAAAAGCAUAGGCUCUCCAAGACGAUUGACCAGAAGGAGAGAAGGAAGGCUCUAUAUCCUUAGCACGUCAAACACUCCUUUGCACAUUAGAGAAAUUGUCGAGUUAUUCCUGCUUCUUCUUCUUCUUCCUUUUUUUUUUUUUUAUUUAUAAUAGUCCAGUAUUAUUAUAGAAAGGUGCUCGAGCCAAAAUUAGAGACUAGCUAGCAUAAAAGAAAAACAUAGGACAAUAUAUACAAGACAGGGGAGGAAGUAAUAACAUAACAUAAUAUAUAUAUAUAUAUAUAUAUAUAUAUAUAUAUAUAUAUAUAUAUAUAUAUAUAUUAAAAAAAACUUGAGUUAACGCAUCAACUCAACGACCCGAAUCAUGAGAUCAGGAUAAGCAAACUCAAUAUUAAAAGAUGAAAUUUAAAAAAAAAACCUUAAAAACAUAUAUGGUUUAACAAUAUUAAUUAAUUAUUAAAAUCUUUCAUUUUAUAUAUAUUAAAAAUAAAUAUUAAUAACUAUUAUAUCAAUUUGUGAAUGUUUCAAUUUGAAUGCGAACAAAUGUUUUAUAUAUGACAUUUUUCUUAAGAAUGUCUCUUUCAUUAAAACCAAAAUUAUUUAACAUGAUUAGAUUUAAUACCCUGAGAGUUUAGGUCAUAGAUUGGCCUAAUACUCGGAUAAGAUUGAGAUCAUAUAUCAGACAAGUUAGCUUAUGUUGAAUGGUGUUAAUCUAAAAUUGUAUUAUUUUAAGAUUUUUUUUAGAAAAAAUCAAAAUUGCGUAGUUAAAAAAAAUAAAACUAGUUUUUGACUGAAUUAACUAGGUUGUGGGUUGAUUUAUUUAGUCGAUUAGGCUUGGUUGGGUCAGCUCUCACUUAGUUUUUUCUAAACCUGAAUUGGGUUAGGUUCCAGAUUAAAAUGUUAGGCUUGAAUUAAAUUUAAUAAUGCUGAUUAAAACCACAUUGUAGAAAAAAAAUUAAAUUGCAUAAAAGUAAUUAACCGAAAACUUGUAUUCCUUCUUGUAAAGCUGAACCCGUGUCAGUUUUAUUGAAGGAAAACUAUGAACCAAAGGUUAAUGCUACUUUCAUGACGAGAAGACUUGCUACUUUCUUUAUGGAAAUAACGUGUGGAAAAUCAUGCCUUAAUUUUGAUGGCGAUGGUAAAAUCAAAGAGUAUCGUUGAUAAUUAAAUGCUUAUGCAUAAAAAAUAAAUCUCAAGUGUUAGAAUGCAACCACUGAUUAAUUAAUGGACAACGGACCUUGGAUUAAUACAUGACGCAACUUUCAAUGGAAUUAUAUUUGUGGAGGUAUUUACUCGGAUGUGAAUUAUAUUUUUAUUUUUUUAUUUUAAAAAAAAUUCUAUAUACUACAACUAGCUUAAGAAAGUCAAAAAAAUUUAAGUGAAAAAAAAUAUAUAUAUAUUUAUAUACACUCACGCACACACAAAAAUAUAGUCAAAUAAAUCAAGAACUAUGUGUGUUAAUAAGUGGAAAAAAAAACCUUAAACGAUAACUCAAAAUAAAAACUAGAAAAAUCAAGAGACAAGUGUAUAUCAAGAUAUUUAAUUUCACAUGACGUGACAUUUUUUUUUUUGGAUUCGACGAAACCUCACCCCUCCGAAAAGCACACUUUGUGGGCCCAGGUGAGGGAGUAAAACCCCGGCUGUCCCAGGCUCUUACAAAAGGUGCACGCCCUGACUCGAACUCGAGACCUGCUGUGCAGAUCUCAAACCCUUUGCCAUCACGCUACGCCCCUUGGGGACAACGUGACAUUUACGCAGUAUUGUUUUCUAAAUUUUCUAAUUAAAAUAAUUUUUUAUUUGAUCAAACGAUAAUAUAAACAGACACACACAUUCUAAAUUGAUUGAAUAAAAAAAAAAUAUAUGCAAAGCUGUAUAUAUUAAAAAUAUUAUUUGAAAAUAAUUUGUUUUUCAAAAAUAAAGUUCAUCUAUGUAAAAGAUUUUAAAAAAAUAUAGAUUAAUCAAAAAAACCUCUUUAAAAAUUAAAUUCAUGAUUAAAAAAUAAUCAUCAUUUCAAAUAGGCUUUUUAAAUAACUAAAAAGAGAGAAGGGAUAUUAAUAUAAAUAUAAAUAUAACUAAAAUUAAGAUUAUUUUAAAAAAAUAGAUAAAAAAAAUUUUAAGCGAAAAAAAGUGAACAGACACGGUGAACUUAACUCAUAAACUCAACUGAAUUUAAUAUUUUUUUCGUUAAAUUUAUUAUAAAUAUAAAAAAAAACAAAAUUAAUAUCAUUCACGGUAAAACAUAAAUAAAAAACAGUACAACCGCAUAGUAUUCACCUCAGGCAUUUUCUUUUAAAUUUAUAGCCAAACCUUAAAAAUAAACUUUUGUGCUCAGUAUCUUUUUAAGGUGAAUUAACAAGUUUCAACUCAUCUCUGUAUCUUCUCUAGAUACAGAGAAUUCCUAUUUAACAUUAAUCUGUCCAUCAAGUUUUUGAUUCCCAAUUAAGACCAUCUUGAUAAAUGAGAAUUUACUCCGUAAUUUUAUUGUAUAGCUGUCAAUGACCUGAAACAUGCAAAUUAAAAUUCAAAGUGUGAGCAUUCAAUUUCUUGUCAGUUUACACCUUUCUGUGGUGUUCCCUCUUUCCAUUGAUUGAAGAGCGUCUAAGAGGAAAAACUGAAAAGGCAAAAGUUAUGUUGUACAGUGAAAAAGAGCAUGAUCAGAAAUACACAAAAACAGAGAUGAAUGAAUCCUUCUCCACUAGCGCUCUCGUCCAUCGGAUCAUUGUGGUUUCAAGACCGAUGCCCAAUCAUUGCCCUCUUUGUUCGAUUCCUCAGACCUUUUGGAAACUGUACAUUCCGGGGGAAAGUCUGUGCAAGGGCAAAAGGGGACGGUGGACUUGACAAAGGGCUGAGGGGUGGGUGAGAUGUUAUGUCAAGAAAUGAUUUUGGAAAAUUUCUUCAUAUGUGUUGAAUAACUAAGAUAAGAUAGGAGUCUUGAACAAGGCAAGAACAUAGGCUCUCCAAGACAAUUGACCAGAAGGAGAGAAGGAAGGCUCUAUAUCCUUAGCACGUCAAACACUCCUUUGCACAUUAGGGAAAUUGUCGAGUUAUUUCUGCUUCUGCUUCUGCUUCUUCUUCUUUUUAUAAUAGUCGAGUAUUAUUAUAGAAAGGUGCUAGAGCCAAAAUUAGAGGCUAGCUAGCAUAAAAGAAAAACAAUGAUUAAUUGCAAGAGAUGGUUACUUAUACCAGUAGCAAUUUAGUAAUGAUUAAUUAGCAUUUAUAUUAAGAUGUGGCUAUUAAUUCAAAUGUUAACAAUGAUUUUCUUGGAAGGAUGAUUGCCUCUUGGUUACUUUAAAAUAUACGGUUUUUUUAGUUCAAAUCUAUUAAUAAAAAUAUAGUUUUAUUGAAUUUUUUUAUAUACUUUUAUUAGAGAAAUUAAUUUAAACACAUUUAUAUACAGACACUAGUUUAUCAAGUACUUCAAUAGAAAAAUAAAAUCAAUUAGAGUACUUAAAUAAAAAAAAAUAUAAAUUAUAAGCAUUUUACAUAUCUUUAUUGUUUAUAAAUUAAAAAUAAAAUAAUAUCAAUCCAGACUAAUCUAAAAAAAAAUUAACUAUGACAUCAUCAUUCUAAUAAUAAAACUAAUAAAGAUGUUUUAUUGAUUAAAUUUCGUGAUACAGGGUUGAAACAAAAAAGAGAUGAAGAGAGAGGAGGGAAUGGAAAGAAGGGAAAAAAGAACUCAUGCGAUCUGUUGUUUGUAAGUUUUUUACAUAAUAUAUAGGAAGGUAUUUUAAUUAUUUUGUUCAAAUUAAAAAUUUUCAUUGACUAAAAAGCGUAAUUAUCUAAAACAUAAAAGCAAAGUAAAAAACUCAAAUGCUUCAUUAAAAAACUCAAUUGAUUCGGUGCUUUAUUAGUUUCUAUAGUAUGGUGUCUUAUGCAUUUUGUUCUAAUCAUAUAUGGGAAAGUGUUUGGUUGAUUAACGUAUAUCAUGACUUUGUAUGGGUCCUACCACAAACUCUCUCUUUUGAAAUAUUAAUUAAGAAAAAGCUAUAAUUUAUAGUUUUUUUAAAUUUAUUUUUUCAAAUUACAAUCAUAUAAACUACUAUAAUAUCAAAUACAUAUUUGAAUAAGACUCAGUAAAAAUUUUCUUCUUCUAAAUACAAAGUGGAAAUGAGUUACUUUCUCCAAAAAGAAUAUAUACAAUAUUAUCGAUUAUCUAAUGCAAACUCCGUCUAACAUACACAGAGAAAGAGAGAGAACCUUAACUAUGUUUAUUUUAUGCACUUUAAUUAAAAAUAAAUUUUGGAUUGUACGAGAGACUUUAAUUAAAUUUCAAUAUUAAAUUUAUGCACUUUAAUUAACAUACACAGAUCAACUAUUAAUAUAUCAAGACUUUUAACUCAAAUUCAUUAUUUAAACAAACCAUAACUUAAAAUUAUUAUCUUUAUCUAAAAUCUUUAAAAAUCAAUGAAAUAACUCAUUAUUCAUAAUAAUUAACCUGCUAAGUUAUUUCUGCUUCUUCCUUUUUAUAAUAGUCGAGAAUUAUAUAUUAUAGAAAGGUGCUAGAGUUAAAAUUAGAGGCUAGCUAGCAUAAAAGAAAAACAGAGGUAUAUACAAGACAGGGGAGGAAGUGUGCGUGCGUGCGUGUGUGUGUGUGUGUGUGUGAUCCCUUCUCAAGCUUAAAAGUAAAGCAUGAUUUUCUAGACGUGAUUUCCAUAAAGAUAGAAGGGAGGGCUCUGUAUCCAUCAUCUUCAAGGAAAGUGAGCUGGCCAUCGUCAACCAUUUAUUUAUGUUUUCAACCAUUUAUUUAUGUUUUUCCACAAAAGACUUUGACUUGGGGUCAACUUGUCGGUUAAUUACUUUUAUGCAAUUCAAUUUUUUAAAAAUAUAUAUAUAUAUGCUUUAAUUUCAACUUAAGUUAUAUACGGGACGAUAAAAAAAUAACAAUAAAAUCAAUUUAUAAAAAAAAUCAUAGAUUUAGUUUUCCUAAAUUUUAAAUGUAGUGUGAAAGCAUUCCGCAAGAAAAAAACAGUGCAAAAUUAGCCAUGACAAUAAGUCUUUUUCUUUCUAAAGAGUUUAUUUUUUGUAACACAAUCAAUAAGUAAGAUGGAUGGGAAUUUGCAGUGUGAGAUGGGUUUGUGAGACUAUAUAUUGCCAUCAGCAUUUUUUCCAUGAUAUAGGCUUGUAGGAUGGUCCAUGAGACCAUUGCUAUAUAUCAAGCGUUUUUUCUACGAGAUGGGUCCAUGAGACCAUUACCUCGUAAGCUUGGGAAUGGAUAACAUGAUUUAAUGUUUAUUUAGUUUAAAAAAAAAUUAAAUGCUUAUGCAUAAAAAAUAAAUCUCAAGUGUUAGAAUGCAACCACUGAUUAAUUAAUGGAUAAUGAACCUUGGAUUAAUACAUGACGCAACUUUCAAUGGAAUUAUAUUUGUGGAGGUAUUUACUCGGAUGUGAAUUAUAUAUAUAUAUAUAUAUAUAUAUAUAUAUAUAUAUAUAUAUAUAUAUAUAUAUAGGGGCACACACAAAUAUAGUCAAAUAAAUCAAGAAUUAUAUGUGUUAAUAAGUGAAAAAAAAAAUAUUAAACUAUAACUCAAAAUAAAAACUAGAAAAACCAAGAGACAAAUGUAUAUAAAGAUAUUUAAUUUCACAAGACGUGAUAUUUACGCAGUAUUGUUUUCUAAAUUUUCUAAUUAAAAUAAUUUUUUAUUCGAUCAAACGAUAAUAAAAAUAGACACAUACAUUAUAAAUUGAUUGAAUAAAAUAAAAGGAGAAAAAAUAAUAUGCAAGGCUGUACAUAUUAGAAAUAUUAUUUGAAAAUAAAUUUCUUUUUAUUUUCAAAAAUAAAGUUCAUCCAUGUAAAAUAUUUUUAAAAAAUAUAGAUUAAUCAAAAAAAUCUCUUUAAAAAUUAAAUGCAUGAUUAAAAAAUAAUCAUCAUUUUAAAUAGGCUUUUUAAAUAACUAAAAAGAGAGAAGGGAUAUUAAUAUAAACAUAAAUAUAACUAAAAUUAAGAUUAUUUAAAAAAAAUAGAUAAAAAAAUUUUAAGCAAAAAAAAGUGAACAGACAACUUAUAAACUCAACUGGAUUUAAUAUUUUUCCUGUUAAAUUUAUUAUAAAUAUAAAAAAACAAAAUUAAUAUCAUUCAUGGUAAAACAUAAAUAAAUAAAUAAAUAAAACAGUACAACCGCAUGUUAUUCACCUCAGGCAUUUUCUUUUAAAUUUAUAGCCGAACCUUAAAAACAAACUUUUGUGCUCUGUAUGUUUUUAAGGUGAAUUAACAAUUUUCAACUCAACUCGGUACCUUCUCUAGAUAGAUCUGUGACUAUGCCUUGGAUUUUCUCAAAACUACUAAGUGUGUGCUUGAGAGGGUGAUUAUAGUUGUUUUUUAAAGUGUUUUUCACUCAGAAAAACAUGUCAAUAAUAUUUUUUUAUAUUUUAAAAUUUAUUUUCGAAAUCAGCACAUCAAAAUGAUUUAAAAACAUCAAAAAUAUAUUAAUUUAAAGUAAAAAAAAAAUUCAAAUUUUUGCGGAAGUGCUUUUGAAAAGCACUCCCAAACACUCCCAUGGUUGGAUACCAAGUAAAUAGAGAUAAAUUUAUUUCCUGUUAUUCUCCGAUAGUAUCUUCGUCCCUUGAUAGAACUUUCUUGGAGAUGAUGAGCUACCACUCCCUUUUGACUUUGCUGGCCUCCCAAAUAUAAAUAAAGAAUUCCUCUUGAUAGAAUUUUCUUCGAAAUGAUGAGAAUAUUUUAGAAUAUUCUGGUUGACGCCAGCUGUCAACAACUAUCUUACAUUCCCAACGCAUGCCUUUGCAAGAUGUUAAAGGCUCAUCUAAAAACAAUUAACUCUGAUAUCGUUAUUUUAUAACAAAUUAGCAAAGAUAAUUUAUUAAUCACUAAGUUUUCUGGUUAUAAAUACAUUUGUAAUUGUCUUUAUCUCUUUUGUAUUUCUAACAAUUAACGAAUUGAAUAUAUAAUAAAUACCGACUGAAAGAAUAAAUUUAGUUUAAAUGUGCUAAAGUUUAAAUAGGCGACUUUAGAAUCACCAAGAAGGCAGUGAAUCACACGGGAAGAUUGAAAGAAUAAUUAAAGUGAUUUUACUAACAUUGUAAAAGUAAUUAACCGAAAAGUUGACCCCAAGUCAAAGUCUUCUGUGGAAAAACAUGAAUAAAAGGUUGACGCUGGGCAGCUCACUUUCCAUGAAGAUGAUGGAUACAGAGCCCCCCCUUCUAUCUUCAUGGAAAUCACGUCUAGAAAAUCAAACAUUAUUAUUGCCAUCUGCGUUUUUUCUUAGAGAUGGGUCCGUUCCACCAUUUCCCCUCAAGCUUGAGAUAUAUAUACGUGACACGAUUUAAUUUCAAAUCUUAAUGUAGUGUGUUAGAAUGCAACCACCGAUUGAUUAAAUUUAAUGGCUGGUCAUUUAAACUUGGGUGUUUUUUCGGUAUUAAUAUAUAUAUAUAUAUAUAUAUAUUCCUCAAUUAUCAUAAAAAAUUAAGAAAAAACUAAUAAUAAGAUUAAAAAUAAAUGUUUUAUUUAUCGAAAUAAUUAAAAGUAAGGUUUACUUAAGGUAUAUAUGGGAUGGUAAAAAAAUAACAAUAAAAUCAAUUUAUAAAAAAAAAUCAUAGAUUUAGUUUUCCUAAAUUUUAAAUGUAGUGUUUAUAAUUAAUUAAUUAAUUGAGAAUUUGAGCUCUUCUAAAAGUUGUUUAUGGACUUUUGUUUUCCGGAGAAAACUCCCUUAAAACCUUUGAGCACUUCCUUCUCUAAAAUAUAUGUUUUUGCCAUAACUCAGGGGCUCUGUAUCUUUUAAGGUGAAUUAGGCUUUAUAUCUUUUUAAGGUGAAUUAACAAGUUUCAACUCAUCUCUGUAGAUACAUAGAAUUCCUAUUUAACAUUAAUCUGUCCAUCAAGUUUUUGAUCCCCAAUUAAGACCAUCUUGAUAAAUGAGAUUUUACUCUGUAAUUUUAAUGUAUAGCUGUCAAUGACCUGAAACAUGCAAAUCAAAAUUCAAAGUGUGAGCAUUGAAUUUCUUGUCCGUUUACACCUUUCUGUGGCGUUUCCUCUUUCCAUUGAUUGAAGAGCGUCUAAGAGGAAAAACUGAAAAGGCAAUCACUAGCGGCCCUCGUCCAUCGGAUCAUUGUGGUUUCAAGAUUGAUGCCCAAUCAUUGCCCUCUUUGUUCGAUUCCUCAGACCUUUAGGAAACUGUAUAUGAGAUGUUACAGAGUGACGGAGGACUUGACAAAGGGCUGAGGGGUGGGUGAGAUGUUAUGUCAAGAAAUGAUUUUGGAAAAUUUCUUCAUAUUUGUUGAAUAACUAAGAUAGGAGUCUUGAACAAGGCAAGAACAUAGGCUCUCCAAGACGAUUGACAGAAGGAGAGAAGGAAAGCUCUAUAUCCUUAGCACGUCAAACACUCCUUUGCACAUUAGAGAAAUUGUCGAGUUAUUUCUGCUUCUGCUUCUGCUUCUGCUUCUUCUUCUUUUUAUAAUAGUAGAGUAUUAUUAUAGAAAGGUGCUAGAGCCAAAAUUAGAGGCUAGCUAGCAUAAAAGAAAAAGAAAAACAGAGGACAGUAUAUACAACUAUACAAGACAGGGGGAGGAAGUAAUAACAUAAUAUUAAUAACUAUAUAUAUAUUAAAAAAACUCGAGUUAACCCAUCAAGUUUACGACCCGGAUUAUGAGAUCGGGAUAAGCAAACUCAAUGUUAAGAAAUGAAAUUAAAGAAAAAAACCAUAAAAACAUAUAUGGCGUAGUGUCUUAUCGAUUAAGUUUGAUUGGGUCAACUCUCACUUGGUUUUUUCUAAACCUAAAUUGGGUUAGAUUCUAGAUUAAAAUAUUAGGCUUGAAUUAAAUUUAAUAACACUGAUUAAAACCACAUUGUAGAAAAAAAAAAUGAAUCGCGUAAAAGUAAUUAACCGAAAACUUGUAUUUCUUCUUAUAAAGUUGAACUCAUGUCAGUUGUUUUUUAAGGAAAAAUAUGAAUCAAAGGUUAAAGCUAGGCAGCUCACUUUGCACGACAAUGACGGAUAUAGAAGACAUAACGUGUGGAAAAAUCAUGCCUUAAUUUUGAUGGUGAUGGCAAAAUCAAACAGUAUCGUUGAUAAAAUGAACCACAAAUAAUAUUAUUUCUAAAACACUUCUUGUCAUUGUGAUGACAAUAAGUCUUCUUCUUUGCAGUGUGAGAUGGGUUUGCAUUUUUAUUUUCCACGAUAAUUAAUUAAUUAAUUGAGAAGUUGAGCUCCUUAAGAAAAGUUGUUUAUGGACCUUUGUUUUCCGGAGAAAACUCCCUUAAAACCCUUGAGCACCACCUUCUCUAAAACAUCUAUCUUUGCCAUAACUGAGAGGCUCUGUAUCUUUUUAAGGUGAAUUAACAAGUUACAACUCAACUCUGUAUCUUUUUUAGAUAUGUAUGUGACUGUACCUUGAUGUUCUCACAACCAUUAAGAUGGAGACAAAUUUUCUUUUCUGUUAUUCUCCGAAAAUAUCUUCGUUCCUUGAUAGAAUUUUCUUGGAAAUGAUGAGCUUCCACUCCCUUUUGACUUUGCUGGCCUCCGAAAUAAUUAAAGAAUUCCUCUUGAUAGAAUUUCCUUGGAAAUGAUGAGAAUAUCUCACAUUCCCUUGGCAUCGUGUUCCAUGCCUUUGCAAAUUAUUAAAGGCUCCAAUGCAUGUGUCCUUUUAUUCAUGUUUUUCCACAAAAGACUUUUGACUUGGGGUCAACUUGUCGGUUAGUAAAAUCACUUUAAUUAUUCUUUCAAUCUUCCCGUGUGAUUCACUGCUUAAUUGGUGAUUCUAAAUUUAUUCUUUCAAUUCGUUAAUAGUUAGAAAUACAAAAGAGACAAAGACAAUUACUAAUGUAUUUAUAACCAGAAAACUUAGUGAUUAAUAAAUUAUCUUUGCUAGUUUUGUUAUAAAAUAAUGAUGUUAGAGUUAAUUGUUUUUAGAUGAGUUUGGAUUAAUUCUGUUAAUUUUAUUUUUAAUUUUUGAACUAUAAAAAUAUAGAUAAAUUUAAAAUAAAUAUCUUUUUACAAUAGUUUUUUAGUAAAAUUAGAGUAAAAUUUGUACUUUUAAAAUAAAAAUAUAUAAAAACAUGUAUUUUAUGUUCCCAUUAUUUUUGUAUUUUAUAUCAUGGUAAUUAAAUGUUGCCCGGUUAACAUAACACUAAAUCAUAAUAAAAAAAUAAUAAUUAUGGAAUGGCAUGGUAGUUGGAUCUAAUUUUUUUAUGGAAUGGCAUGGUAGUUGGAUCAUAAUAAGAGUAUUCAAAUUAAGAAUAUUUAAAUGAGUGUUAAUUGGGUUUAAAAGACUUACAAGCAAAAUAUAAGUUGUUUGUUAGAAUUCUUAUGGAUCCGAUAGAAAAUUAAUACUUCAUUCAUAUACAUUACAUGAGCAUAUAUAUAUUUCUUUUAUCAACAUAAUGAUAUGUUUAUUUAUGUAACAGGUCCAUCAAAUAUCCAUGGAGAUCAUUAGUUUAGGGCUCUACUUUGUCAAGCUUAUGUAAAUAUUUAACUUAAGCAAAAGGGAAUUAACGCAUUUAUGUAGUAUGCUUUUGUAUAAACCUUGAUGUAUUUAUAAAAGUUCAGCUUAGCAUGUAGUACUUUAGUUAUCUUGUAAUUAACCCUUCUGAAAUAUUUAAAAACACUUAUUAUGUUGUAAAUGCUUUAUUUACAUGUUAGUAUUCCUUUUUCUUUUAAUUUUAUGAUAUGAUAUAUGGGCUAUGUUCAUAUUGAACUUGCUCAUAGGAUAUAUAUAAAUAUAUAUUGUGUGGAUUAUAUGAGGUGUUGAAUUAUGAUGAUUAAUAUAAGGUUCGGAAUUAUGGGACCUUGUGAUGAUGGAUUGAUUGUGUAAAUUAAUAGUAGUCGAUAACUUGGGAUGUUCUAAAUACAAACAAAACUCUGCUGAAUUUUUGGUAGAUUUAAAAAAAAAAAUUACCCUCAAAUUAAAAGCAUAUGUUGAGAUCUUUUAACAUUGAUCAAGUCGUAUAGUUGGUUCUGUUACAUGUUAGGUAUACAAUGUCUCUGUGAUAUGGACAUAAUGAUUUUUGAUGUGUCAAAUUCUUACUAUUUCACUCUUAAGAGUAGAAAGAUCUACUUCGUUGGACAACCACCAAGGCUUAACAACAAUAAUGAGAAAAUAAGCAUGUGAAAGGAAAAAGACUUAAUCUUAUAAGCCCAAAUGAUUUUGAGAAUCAGGUUCAUGAAGAGUUUGUUGCAUUUGCUUUAGUGGCUAAGAAAGUUUUAGAGAAAGCACUCGAAGAAAUAAGUGUAGUUUUGAAAGAAUUUCAAGAUGUUUUUCCUCUCAAAGUUCAUAAUUCCUUACCCCAUUAUACGUGACAUUCAACACGUAAUAUUUUAUCCCUAGUUACCUCUUGGUUUCAAGCAAGAAACACACUUCAAUAUCAUUAUGCGUUACUGUAUUCCUAAUAGAUGCCCUCUUAGCAGACAUACCCAACCCACAACUAUUCCAGAAUAAAAUCUUCAUUGAUAAAUGAUUUUAAACCUUACCAAGUUAUACUGCAAAAUGGAAUUAUUCCCAAAACCCAAAGCAAAUAACAUCCUCUGCGCCUCAUCUUCAACAAUACAUUCUGCUGUUGCAGCAGAACUGUAAGUUAUCAUAUAACGAAGAUUCCCUUUUCUGAUUCUAGAAUCCAGUGAACCUGGUGAUUCCACCUCACGUUCAUCCUCCACCCGCUGAAGACUACCAUUGAAAGAGAAAAGCUCCACCUUUGGGUGUAAACUGGAUUGAUUGCAUCCCAUCUGAAUCACGUGGGCUUAAUGGAAGGAACGAACAAUUGUCGGUUUUAAAAGUUUGGUUUGUAACAAUCAUUGUAAUUCCAAAUUUCCAUACUCCUUCCAUUUAAGCAAUUAAUAAUAACAGAGAAUAUGUAUAAAUCUCAAUGUUGUUUUAAAUUUUAUGUAAGAUAGUACAGUUUCAUUCAAAAAAUGAGAAAGAACAAUAAAAAUCCUCAAAUUCUACCACCUUCAAUUCUCAUUCAUCAACAACAGCAUACAUUCAAACAAGUGAUCAAUAGUGUUGAUGAAAAAUAAAUCAUUAGCGAUCAAGUGACGAGGACUAUAGUAAGAUUGGCGCCAUUGUAAGCUUGACAAGCUUUGCCUACUCUAAUUAACAGCAACGAAAGAUUCAGUGCCUAAUCUCUGGACGGAGAAGGGGACGCCUUUGUUAUGUACAUGGUUGCCCUAAAUGGUUCGAUGAUGCUCAUUUUAAACAUUUUUUGUCAAGGUUGUCAAUUUUGCUCCGUUUAGUGUUUCAUUUUUUUAAUUGAAACGGUAUGUUUUGGUUUCGGAGCAUUUCAGUGUGUUGUUUCAGGAUUAUAUAUAUAUUAACUCAAUUAAACAUAAUUUAAAUUUAAAUUUAAAGAUAAAUUAACUUGAAAUUAUGCAAUUUAAAUUUCAAACACAAGUAAAAAAGUGAGAGACUGAUAUGACUUGAUCGACUAGAUGGGUCCAAAGACAACCUUUACGACUGGUAAGAAUAUAGUUUGACUCAAAAAAAUUUAAGAUGAUAUUUUUUAAAAAAUAUAUUGAGAUGACAACAUAUUAAAUCAACCUGGGUCAACUCGAUCGGAUUAACUUUCUAAAUUCGUAAUCCAGGUUAUGAGACCAUAAUAACCUAAAAUAAAGCAAAUCAAAACAAAUUAUAAAGCUGAAUUCUCAAUAAACAUGUUAUUGAAUGGUUAAAUUGGAAAAAUUUUAAUAUAAAAAAAGACACAAAAAAAUGACCUUCAGAGACUAUUGUCGUCACCAGAAUGUUUUGCCCGCCACACAAGCUUCACAUAUCUUUUGCAACUCAGAUUUGGAAACUUUAGAGUACCUUUUUAUAUACUGUAACUUUUCUAGGAGUGUUUGGAUGAAAGUUUUGGAUUAGUGGGGUAUCUAAUGUUGUUGUCGAGCACUUUAGACUCGCUACUUCUACAACAACAUGGAAUGGUGCAGGGUAAAUUCCAAAGAUUAGCUUGGAGACUAAUCUCUAGUAGUAUUACUCGGGGUAUUUGGUUGUUGAGGAACAAAAUUGUUUGUGAGGAGAGAACUAUAAGUUUGUUUGAUUGUUUCUCUAUCAUCCUUUAUCAGGUUGCUAUUUAGUUGUAUACUCUGUAUUCAAACUUUACUUAUACAGGAAAUGAUCUCUUAAGAUCUUUUGAUGAUAUCAAAUUGUGGUGUAAUAAGAAAUCUUAGGUAGUUUCUUUGUUUUUUUGUUGUAGCAAAUCAGUUUUGUUUUCUUUUUUUCCCCCUUUUUUCUUUUUUUUUUUGUCCUAUGAGACUAUUGUCAUCUGCAUUUUUUCCAUGAUAUAGGCCAGUGGGAUGGUCCAUGAGACCAUUGCUAUCAAGCGUUUUUUGUACGAGAUGGGUCCACGAGACCAUUGCCCUGUAAGCUUGGGAAUGGAUAAUAUGCUUUAAUUUCAAUUUAGUUUACAAAAAAAUUAAAUUAAAUGCUUAAGCAUAAAAAAUAAAUCUCAAGUGUUAGAAUGCAAUUACCGAUUAAUUAAUGGACAACGGACCUUAGAUUAAUUAAUAUAUGAUGCAUCUUUCAAUGGAAAUGUAAAUGCUUUACUAGAAUAUUAUUUUUUUUUGUAUUUGUUUUCUGGUUAUAUUUAAUUUUCAUCAAUAUUCCUAACAUAAAUUGCUACGUAUUUUGAAUCUUGAAGGAUUGAAAGAUAGAAAACAGAAAAGAAAAGGAGACAAGGCAGUUCAAAAGAAGAAGAAAAAAGUACGAUAGUGAAAGAAAGAGAAGAGAAUAAAAGUGGAGCAGUUUUUAUUAACUAUAUAAAUUUUAUAAUUACUAAUAUUAAAUUCAAAAUAUGUACAUAUUACAAAUAUGUAAACAUAUCAUAUGGUUUAAAAGAAAUGGCUUUUAUAAACAUAUAUGGCUUAACAAUAUUAAUCAACUCCUAAUAUUUUCAUUUUAUAUAUAUUAAUUAAAGUAAAUAUUAAAACCUAUUAUAUUAAUCUGUGAAGGUAUUUACUCGGAUGCAAAUUAUAUUUCUAAUUUAUUAUUAAAAAAAAUUCUAUAUACUACAACUAGCUUAAGAAAGUCAUGUUUAUCAGGAUCAUAGAGUAAAAAAAAGAAAAAAUUGAAUUGCAUAAAAGUAUCACUAGCUUAAGAAAGUUAUGUCAUCUGCAUCUUUCCUCGAGGAGAGGCAGUGAGACGUCCUCUUCCAACCAUCAUGCAUUUUUUCCAUGAGAUGGGUUCGUGGAAAAACUUUGGUUUAAUUGGGAAUGCUGUUAUUGAUUGGAAAAUUUUUAAUUAAAAUAAAUUUGAUUUUUUGAUUGGAAAAAAAUCCUUAAAUGACAUUAACACAUGACUCCACUUUAUUUUCUUAAGAAAAAAAAUAUUGUAACCAUAUAAGUUUCAAGUUUAAAGGGUUUUCAUUUGAAGGGGUGUGUUAGAGAAUAAUAUAAAUCAUAUCUUAGAAUCUAACCUAAUAGCUUAAGCUUUUGGGUUGAAUCGGUUCUUUGACAUGGUAGCGGAGCCUUGAUGACCAAGCGAUCACGAGUUCGAAUCUCAUCAUCCCCAUUUAUUAGAUAAAAAUUAAACACAAGGUAAUGUGGAUCUGUACAAGUUUCAAGCCCUUCUAUUGGGUUAAGAUGGUAUCUUGAGGUCUCACCUAACAACUUAAACUAUUGGGUUGAGAUGGUUCUUCGACAGGCUACCAGAUGGUGCGGCGCUACACCUCUGUUCUUGCUUUUCUCUGCUUGUUUUCUCUUCUUUUUUUAUUUCUCUUGUUCCCUUUGUCUCUCUCUGUAUUAUCUAUGUUUGUUCAUUUUUCGUCUAUGUCUUUUUGUAUUAUCUGUCUGUGGUUCUCCCCUUCUAUGUGGCUUUUCUUUGUUUGUCUUGAUUUCUCUGGGUUUGUAUUUGGUUGGUUCAACAACCUACGGUGAGGGGAAGUUGAAUAUUAAAGGCUCCCAUGCCUCUCUAGCAAUAAUAUUAUUUUUUAUUUAUCCCCAAAUACAUGUGUCAUUUAUCAAAAUAAUUAAUUUAAUCACCAAAAAAAAACAAAUAGAUCCAACAACCAUGCCAUUCCACAGUUAAUUUUUUUUAUAUUAUGAUUUAGUGCUAUGUUAACCGGGCAACCUUUAAUUACCAUGAUAUAAAAUAAAAAAAUAAUGGGAACAUAAAAUAAAUGUUUUUAUAUAUUUUUUAUUUUAAAAGGAAAAAUUUUACUCUAAUUUUACUCAAAAACUAUUGCAAAAGGAUAUUUAUUUUAAAUUUAUCUAUAUUUUUAUAGUUCAAAUAUUAAAAAUAAAAUAGAAUUAAUCACUAAGUUUUCUGGUUACAAAUACAUUUGUAAUUGUCUUUAUCUCCCUUGUAUUUCUAACCAUUAACGAAUUGAAUAUAUAAUAAAUACUAAUUAACAAAAGAAUAAAUUUAGCUGUAUAAUGUACUAAAGUUUAAAUAGGUGACUUUAGAAUCACCAAGAAGGCAGUGAAUCACACGGGAAGAUUGAAAGAAUAAUUAAAGUGAUUUUACUAACCGACAAGUUGACCCCAAGUCAAAAGUCUUUUGUGGAAAAACAUGAAUAAAAGGUUGACGUAAGACCAUUGCUAUCAAGCGUUUUUUCUAAGAGAUGGGUCCGUUCCACCAUAUAUAUGCUUUAAUUUCAACCACCAUAAAAAAUAAAUCUUAAUGUAGUGUGUUAGAAUGCAACCACCGAUUGAUUAAUUUUAAUGGCCGGUCAUUUAAACUUGGGUGUUUUUUCAGUAUAUAUAUAUAUAUAUAUUCCUCAAUUAUCAUAAAAAAAUAAGAAAAAACUAAUAAUAAGAUUAAAAAUAAAUGUUUUAUUUAUCGAAAUAAUUAAAAGUAAGGUUUACUGAAGGUAUAUACGGGAUUAAUAAAAAAUAACAAUAAAAUCAAUUUAUAAAAAAAUAAAUCAUAGAUUUAGUUUUCCUAAAUUUUAAAUGUAGUGUGAAUGCAUUCCGCAAGAAAAAAAACAGUGCAAGAUUAGCCUUUCAAGAAAUAGAGAAUCUUCCUCUUUGAAGGAAUUAAUUAGUGGGUUGGAAAAAUGUCGUCUUUUGCUCUAAUAUUUUCUUCACUUGGUCUAUAGUUUUACCUUACACUAAUAUUUUCAAGAUUUCAAUUGAAAAGGAGGGUCGUAAAAAAUUUAAUUUUUAUAAACAUACCCUUAAUUAACUUAAUUUGGAUGUGGAUAAUUGUUUGCAAUAUAUUUACAUCCAAUAUAAACAAUUCAUCAAUGAUCAAGUCGGCCUUGGUUAGCUAAAAUAUUGAAAAUACUUGCUCUCUCCUUUUUUCUUUUUUGGCCAUGCAGUUCCUAUAUAUAUAUAUUAGUUGAAAUUUUAUGAUGUCUAUUAAUCCUUUUAAAUUAAAGUCAAGUUAUUAAUUAUAUCCUAUAGAUUUCUAGAAAAACUAAUUCUCUCAAAUUUCGUACAUUUUACUUACAAACUAUAAAAGGUGAUUGCUACAAACUAAAAUUUCAAACAAGGAAGCUUAAAUCUCUUUUAUCUACAUUUGAAAUUUACAAAAAAUAAAAUUAUAUUGGAUUAAGCCUAAACACUAUAUAAAAUUCUUGAACAACACAUUAAAAACAAAUCAAAGAUACUUUUCAAAAUAUCAAAUCAUUAAAUCUUACAUAUCAAAUAAAUCAAGUUAUCAUAUAUCAAAUUAAAAGGAAGAAUUAAAUGAUUGUUUUAUUUUUUAUAAAAAUAUUUUAAAUAGAAAUUAUAAUGUGGAUCAUAUGGCUCAAUGCAAAUUAAGGUCUCACAUAUAGCCAGCUAUAGCAUGGGAUAGCCAGCGGUCAUUCCAUCAGGAGAUUUGUGAAUUCUGAAGCCUUUGCAAUGUGCAUGGCAUGUGUCCAAGAACCCACCAGGAACUCCAUUUUGACUGGGAAACCUUUGACGAACUGUAUUAUAUGUGAUUUGCUCCUGGUAUUAUAAAUUAGAAAGUGUAAAUUGUAAAUCCCAACCAAUAAGAUAUCUACAUAAGAGUCUGUAAAUGUUACAGAUGAUUUAAGUUUGUUUAGCAAAUUUUUCAAGAACAUGUUUGUCUUUGAUAGCUUAUUGUCAUAGCUGUGAACUCUGAAGAAAAUUGAUGUAAGAAACCAAAGUCCAUUUUGUUCUAGAUUGUAGAUGGAUAUAAGCUUGGUGAUUCCCGAUUCUUUUAUUAAUUUCAUUUUAUACAUUCCCUGUGAUGUGUUCUUAAUUUAUAUACCACACCGAUGUCUGUUAGGUUCUGAUUCAAUCGAAUUGGAGCCGAUCAAAAUUGUAAUGACUCAGUUUCUUUUAUGACCUGGAUUGGGCUUCACAUGCCCUUGAUUAUGCCCAAGAAGAAAACUAAAUAAAUAGUAGAUGAGUAGUGUACUGAAAAUAAAUAUUUUCAGCAUAUUACAUAGAUCUAAAACAAUAGCACACAGGAAUUAAAAAAGAGGAGGGAUCGCUAGGGAUACAAGAUUUGCAGCCAAAACUAUGACCUGACAUGUUCAGGAAACAGAAGGGAACUAUGACCUGACAUGUUCAGGAAACAGAAGGGAGGUGUUUCUUUUAAACACAAGGCAGAUUUUUAUGAUCUUAUUCCUUUUGGUCAUUAAAUUUUCUUAAAAGGAGCUUUGGUUUGAUUCCUACAAGCUGGGGGCAAAUCUUCAGCGUUUCGACAGUCAGCCUCAUGAGCAAAAGAAAGACAAUGUGCGACCACUCCAAGCUUCUCGUUGCUCCCCUGUUCCGAUUAGAAAUGGAGAUUCAAGAAGCUAUGCUACUGUCCUGAGACAAGAGUUCCAACGAAAUCUACUGUAAGUUCCCAAGACACUCUUUUAUAACACUUUGGUCAUUUCCAUGACUUUAUCUGCAUAUCUUGUGCAGGCCAGUUCCAUGUUUUGAGAUUUGAAUAUUAUUUUAUUUUAUUGUUUAGCACUUAGUCUAUUCGCCAGGUUGGGAAAAAUAUUCAAAUUAGUUUUGUUGGCAUGUAACCUCACCAAACAAUUUAAGACUUCACUAAACAAUUUGCGUAGACCGUAUUGACUGGGAGUCAACUAUUGUCGUAGUGCUUUUUUGCACUAUCUGUGUGCGUGAAUGGAAAGAAAAGCAGGGUGGCAACUGGGGUGAGAAAAUGAAUAGAAAACUCCAACAAGGGUGUGAAAAUGAGUUACUUCUCCAAAAAGAAUAUAUAAAUUAUUGAAUAUCUAAUGGAAACUGUCGUGAACGCGGAUGCUUGACUUGCUGUGUACCAUUUUGAUUUUUAAACACAACCAUGCCGUAAUUUCCUGGUGAUUUCCUUAUGCAUACUGGUGGUCUUCCAGAAUCUUUUUCCAAACAAUCCUCGUUAGACCCUGCUCGGGGAUUAACCUGGAGUAAGAUUUGUAUCAUGGUUUUUUAUCAUGUUCCAGGUCAACUUGGAUCAACUAAAUUUUAUGAGUAUGUCAAAACGACAUUGUUUUUUAUAUAUAAACAUAAAUAUGAAUCUUGAGCUCUUUUAUAAUCUUAAGACGAAGUAUAUUAAUAGUUGAACCAUUAUCCACCAAGAUACAAUUCAUCAUCUUUUCAUCGAUAUAUCUUUUAAUAAAAAAAUAUCGUUUAUGGAGUUUUGAUUCAAGCAACAGGUCUUCAUCGUUAAAGAAUAUCUAUGUAGUGUAUACACCUUGAGACAAGUCGAAAGAGUUAGUCAUGACAGGUUUAGUAGGAGUUUUCUUUAUAGUUUUCUCAUUUUUUAUGUUAAAUUAGGAAGAGAUCAAUAAGAAACUGAACUUGAAGAUGGACUAUAUCAUUGUUAACUUCUUGAUCCGAAUACUCCAACAUGAUGGUUAGUGCAAAUUUUUUUUUUUUUAAAAAUAGCAAAAACAAAGUAAUUAAACAAGACAGACUUAGGAUUCCACAGAUAAAUAUAUGGCCAUAUUUGUUUCCCGGAAUUCACUUUCCGGGAAGCCACUUUCCAAACUUUCCUGUGUUUGUCUGCCAUUAGAAAAGUUGGUCAACGGAAAACACUUUCCAGUCAAAGGAAAAUUUAGCUUGGUUUCCAGGAAAGUGUUUUCCUUGAAAAUUUAUGCGGAAAACACUUUCUGAAAGUUGUGAAAAAUUUAAAAAUGUCAUAUUAUUUGCUGAUUAUAUCAAAUUUGGUCCUCAAACUUUUGAUUGCUAUAUAUAUAUAUAUUUUUGUUUUGAAUAUUUAUUUUUCAAUUUCAUCUCUUAAAAUUUAAUUUUUAUAUUAACUUUGGUCCUCAUUUUUAUAAUUGUUAUUUGCUUUUCCCUUAUCAUUUUCUUAUUGAAAUUUUUUAUCUAUCAAAUUUGGUUCUCAUUCUUUUGAUUGUUACUUAUUUUAUUUGAAAUAAUUUAUGAAAUGUUAAUUAUUAUUAUUAUUUUAAUUUCUUCAUCUUUCAUUUUUAUUUUAUUUUUUAGAUUUGAUUUUUAUUAUUUUGAUUAUUAUUAUUUAUUUGAGAUAAUUUAUGAAAUUAUAUUUUUUUUCAAUUUCAUUCUCAUUCAACUUUUUAAUUUGUAAGAUUUGUUCAUCAUUAUUUUAAUAAACUUGAGAAAAUAAAAUAUUAAUAAGUUAUUUUCCAGUUCAUUUUCCAUGACAUAACCAAACACUGAAAAAUAUUUUCCAACUUAUUUUUCAUUACACUACCAAACAUCGAAAAAUAAUUCACUUUCCUGGAAUUCACUUUAAAAAAAAAACUACUUUCCAGCAAGCAAACGGGCCAGUUUCAACACUUCUCUAUUGAAACGUUCAACAAUAAGGCUAAGCUAUGAGGUCAACCCACUAAAAAGCACCCAUUAGCUGGACACAUUCAAGAAAAUUGCCGACAAGUUUCGAACUAACACAAUUUUGGGCCGAGAAUGCAAGAAGCAAACCACUGAUUCCCCCACCAGCAACCACAACAAAUUCAGUGCUCCCAUGCUAAGAUCCUCUGAUGUUGGAGAACUAGCGAAAUUUAAUACAAGGCUUCAACACUCCGAAGCCUGCUAGAGAAAUAUUAAAGCAAAAUAAGUAGUAGCAUUAAACAACAGCCAUUUCAUCAGUUUUAAUUUUAGUAUAACACAAUAAUAUGAACCAACCUUGAUUCUCAAAGGCACCCAACUAAUUCAUAGCCUUCAAAUCAAGACUUUGCAAUUCUUUAAAAGGCAGAAACAAAGAUGCGUUGAGAACCCACUCCCCUAACCCCCAAUCCCCAGCACCCCCAAGAGAGAGUUGGAUCACUCGCCUUUCGGUGGUAUCGCACACGAUCCUAGACCACUCACAACAAUUAUUGCCCAGGUAUUUCAACAGUUAUGGCUUGUGUGGGUUUUGGUUCACGAUGGAGAUGAUGGAUACAAUAAUGUAUUUCGACAACAAAACUUUCAAUGCUUGUGAAUGGCUCUCCAACUAAAGAGUUCUUUAUCGAAAAGGGAUUGCGACAAGGGGACUCUUUAUCAACAUCUCUUUUCAAUAUAGCAACUGAGGGUCUUAGUAGAAUGCUAAGAAGAGAUGUGGUUUGGGACUUAUAAAAGGUAUUUGUUUUGGUCACUUUCAAGUUUGUAGAUGAUACACUCAUCUUCAGUUCAUAUGAUUUUCCAUCUCUUCAAAACAUCAAAAUAACCAUGUGAUGUUUUGAGUUGAUUUCUAGGCUGAAGGUUAAUUUCCACAAGAGCUCAAUCACGAGAACUAUUGUUAUUUCUUCAACUGCUAGCAAUCUAAUAUGUAGUAUGGAGGGGAUGCCAUUUAAGUAUUUGGGCCUGCCUAUUUGUGCAUCUUCAUCUCAUGUGGAAAACUAUUGUUAAUAGAAUCAAUAGCAAGUUGGCACUUACCUAUUGGUGAGAGAGUGUGCUUGCUUAAAUCAAUUAUAAAUAAUCUUCCUAUCUACAACCUUUCUUUAUUUCCUAUCACAUCCAUUGUUGCUACCAAAAUUGAGAAACAUAUCAUAUCUUUCUUUGGUUCUUAGGAGGAAGGAGGGAAAAAACUAUGCAAUGUUAAAUGGGCAUCGGUGGUUCCUCCAAAAAAAAACAAAAAGGGCUGGGUAUAGACUACAUUAUUGAUAAAAAUCAUGGGUUACUAACACUUCCAUAGCAAAGAGAUAUGUAUUUUCCCUAUUAAUUUCUCAAGUUACCAUAAUGAGAGUGUGAUGUGACUCCAAUAAAUGUAGGAUAUGUUAAUUAGGUAUACAAUGUCUAUGUGAUAUGGACAUAAUCAUUUUUGGUAUGUCAAAUUCUUACUAUUUCACUCUUAAGAGUAGAAAGAUCUAGUUAGUUGGACUGCAUUCCGAUCUGCAAUCUUCCUAUAUAUCCCAAUUGUUGUAUUUGCUUUAGUGGCUAAGCAAGUUUUAGAGAAACCACUUGAAGAAGUAAGUGCGGUUUUGAAAGAGUUUCAAGAUGUUUGUAAUAGAUUUGAUCCCUAGUGUUAUAUUGACCUCUUGGUUUCAAGCAAGAAACACACUUCAAUAUCAUUAUGCGUAAUUGUAUUCCUAAUAGAGUUAUGAUGUAAGUUAUGAUGUAACGAAGACUCCCUUUUCUCAUUCUAGAAUCCGGUGAUUCCACCUCACGUUCAUCCUCCACCCGCUGAAGACUUAUACCAUUGAAAGAGAAAAGCUCCAGCUUUGGGUGUAAACUGGAUUGAUUGCAUCCCAUCUGAAUCACGUGGGCUUAAUUAAUGGAAGGAACGAACAAUUGUCGGUUUUAAAAGUUUGGUUUGUAACAAUCAUUGUAAUUUCAAAUCUCCAUACUCCUUCCAUUUAAGCAAGUAAUAAUAACAGAGAAUAUGUAUAAAUCUCAGUGUUGUUUUACAUUUUAUAUAAGAUAUUACAGUUUCAUUCAAAAAAUGAGAAAUAACAUUAAAAAUCCUCAAAUUCUACCACCUUCAAUUCUCAUUCAUCAACAACAGCAUACAUUCAAACAAGUGAUCAAUAGUGAUCAAGUGAUGAGGACUAGAGUAAGAUUCGCACCAUUGUAAGCUUGACAAGCUUCGCCUACUCUAACUGUAACGAAAGAUUCAGUGCCUAAUCUCUGGACGGAGAAGGGGACGCCCUUGUUAUGUACACGGUUGCUCUAAAUGGUUCGAUGAUGCUCAUUUUAAACAUAUCAUGUCAGGUUGUCAAUUUCGUUCUGGUUAGUGUAACGGACCCGACUGUACGACUUGAUCAAUGUUAAAAGAUCCCAAUAUAUUCUCUUAGCCUGAGGAUAAUUUUUUUUUUAAUCUAUCAAAAAUUCAGCAGAGUUUUGUUUGUAUUUAGGACAUCCCAAGUUAUCGACCACUAUCAAUUUACUCAAUCAACCCAUCAUCACAAGGUCCCAUAAAUCCGGACCUUAGAUUAAUCAUCAUAAUUCAACACCUUACCCAAUCCACACAAUAUAUAUCCUACGAGUAAGUUCAAUAUCAACAUAACCCACAUAUCAUAUUAUAAAAUUUAAAAGAAAAGGAAAUACUAACAUGCAAAGAAAGCAUUACAACAUAAUAAGUGUUCUUAACCAUAUCAAAAGGGUUAAUUACAAGAUAACUAAAAUACUACAUGCUAAGCUGAACUUUUAUAAAUACAUCAAGGUUUACACAAAAGUAUACUACAUAAACACGUUAUUUCUCUUUUGUUUAAGUUAAAUAUUUACAUAAGCUUGACAAAGUAGAGUCCUAAAUUAGUGAUCUCUCUGGAUAUUUGAUGGACCUGUUAUAUAAAUAAACAUGUCAUUAUGUUGAUAAAAGAAAUAUAUAUAAGCUCAUGUAAUGUAUCCGAAUGAAGUAUUAAUUUCUAUUGGAUCCAUAAGGAUUCUAACAGACAUCUUAUAUUUUGCUUGUAAAUCUUUUAAACCCAAUUUACACUCAUUUGCAUAUUCUUAAUUUGAAUACUCUUAUUUAUUUGCAUGAACCGGGUGACCUUGCAAAGUCUAUUCUUGUAAUCCAUUUCCCAGCAAUCAUAUCACGAAUACCAUUAGCCGAAGCAAAUCUUGUAAUUCAUCUCCCGGCAAUCAUAUCACGGAUGACAUUAGCCGAAGCUAAUCUUGAGAUUCAUCUCCCUGCACUCCUAUCACGGAUGCCAUUAGCCGAAGCUAAUCUUGCAAUCACGGAUGUCAUUAGCCGAAGCUAAUCUUGUAAUUCAUUUCUCAGCACUCCAAUCACGGAUGCCAUUAGCCGAAGUUAAUCUUGUAAUUCAUUUCCCGGCACUCCUAUCACGGAUGCCAUUAGUUGAAGCUAAUCUUAUAAAUACACUAGACUUUAUUUACAUUGAACACGAUAUUUAUUAUAAUUGCAUUCACUAGAGGAAUUUUAAAUUGUAUAAGUACAAAUAGGAGGGAAAAAUCACGCACCUGCUUCGCCUGUUUCGUGACCUCCUCUAACAGAAGAUCCAAUCCUGGUUGCUCCUCCUGAAUCACAAGGAAGUUUUUGGUUAUGAUUCCUUCAAGCUGAUAUUAUAGAGGCUCCAUAUUCAUUCAUUACUCAUAUGUUACUUUCUAUGCAUGUUCAUUUCCUUAUAAUAACAAACAUACAUAAAUCAAGUAUAUUUUCAAAGUUAGUAUCUCAAUGUGCAAGUGUUCGUAUGACUCAAUUCUUUUAUAUUCUUACAUAUAAUAUUCACGUGAAAGUCUACUAUUACUAUCUAACUUUGAACUGUUACUGUCCAACGGUUGCUGUCCAACAGUUGCUGUUUGAACAGUUGCUGUUUGAACUCUUAUCAGAUUUUUAACUAUAUCUAGAGUUCUAGAACUCCAUUUUAAGUGAGAUUGAUCUUGUUGGAAAGCUAAGACACGAGGCUACAAGUUCUCUAAAGGAAGGAGAACCCAGUUCUGCCUCCAGGAUAGUCAAAAUUGCUCAUCAACCCAUCAAUCCUACUGCUCUACAAAAUCAGUCACGACUCAGUCUUGGUUGGUAACCCAUAACUGGAGUUAUACAUCUCCAAAUUGAGCAAGAUUAAUUUCCUUGGUUAGCUAACAUCCAAAUCUACAAUUUCUAUAAAGGAAUCUGAUCCUAAUUCCCUCAUCCUCCUACCCGAAAUCUCACCAAAAGUUAGGAGACAAGUUUGUCCAGAUUCGUUUGCCCCUCCCCUUCACACAAUACUUUCAUAAACUACACACCACACACAUGAAUUAACUUAAUCUUAAUAAUAAGUACUUUUUCUCCAAUUCAUGUCUAAGAACCCUAACCUAUGAUUCAAUAUCAAGGCAUCAAUUCAUUAUCGAUUUGAAAUGAAUUUUUUUAAUAUCAUGUUUAGAACACCUUACCCAGUACAAAUUAAGAUUUUGAUCUCCAACCAGUUGAAGAUUUUCAACUCCCUCCUUUCUUUUCUUCUUGUUUAAUUUCUUGGUAAUCCCUUGCUCUCAAGUGUUUAUCCCAUCUAUAAACCCUUAAUCUUGGAUGGGUUCUCGAAAUUUUAGUGUUUCUCUCUUGAUUUCGCAAGAAUGGGUAUAAAACUCCUUAUUUUCUCUCAUUAUCGUUCCUGCAGAUUUUUGGUGAGGAGAGAGUAUUUAUACUCUAUAGUUUCCCUUAUUUGUAUUUAGGCCCCAUUUCCUUUAAAUUUCUGAAUUCUUGUCUUUUAUUUAACCAUACGCAUGAAUUUCUUGACUUUUAUUUCUCAUAUAGUUAGUUUUCAAUUUAAGCAACCUUUAUUUUUUUAUUUUUUUUCUGAGGUUUACAGUUAGUGUUUCAUUAUUUAAUUGAAAUGGUAUGUUUUGGUUUCGGAGCAUUUCGGCGUGCUAUUUCAGGAUUAUACUGUUCAUACUAUUCAUAUAUAUAUAUAUAUAUAUACAUACUCAAUAAACAUAAUUUUGAUUCAAAUUUAAAGAUAAACUAACUUGAAAUUAUGCAAUUAAAAUUUCAAACACAAGUAAAAAAAGUGAGAGUUGAACCAAUAUGACCCGAUCGACUAGAUAGGCCCAAAGACUACCUGAAUGACUGGUAAGAAUAGAGUUUGACUCAAAAAAAUUUAAGAUGACAUAGUUUUUUAAAAAAUAUUGAGAUGACAACAUAUUAGAUCGACCGGGUUCAACUCAGGUUAACCUUUUAAAUCCGUAAUCCAGGUCAUGAGACUAUAAUAACUCUAAAUAAAACAAAUCAAAACAAAUUAUAAAGCUCAAUUCUUAAUAAACCUAUUAUUUAAUAGUUAAAUUGAAAAAAAAUAAUCUAAAAAAAGGACACAAAAAAAAUGACAUUUCAAAACAAAAUUAUGAAAAUGUCACUAGCAGUCUCGCAAGGCCUUUCUAAACUCCAAUUGCUCUAUAAUUUUAACCUGAGAUAUAACAAUAUGUUAGGAAAAUCUUCAUAAGAUUUCAGUCUGAUCCACCAAUCGAAUUGAAAGAUAUGAUUGAUAUCGUAAAACUAGCUAAUAUUGUUUUAGAAAAAAAAAACAUUAUUUGGCCGGAAUGGAACCGGAACAUUCGAGCCAGAAUUUUGGCGGAAUUUAUGGAACGGGCUAAGACUCUGAGCAAGAUGAAAUUUGUUUCAGUUUGUUUUAUUUUUUAAAUUGGAAAGAGAUAUACCAGUCAUUUUGAAUGGAACAUAACAAAAUUGACAACCUUGUAUCAUGGUUGAUUAGAGUUUUUUUUUUUUUGUCUUUUUUUUCAAAAAUUUUUCCAACAUUGAGUUGAUUGGUAAUCGAGCUUCAUAAUUUAUAUGUUAACAUGCCAAAUUCAUGACCUGAGUCAUGAGACUAUAAUAACCUCAUAAAAGUAUAUUGAACAAAUUACAAAGCAUAAUUCUCAACCACCAGUGUUUAAAAAUGAAAUUGAAAAAAUAACAUAAAAAAUGACUCAAGUCAACUCAAGAACCUGCCAAAUCCGUGAUCCAGGUCACAAGACCUAGAUAACCUCAUAGAAAGCAAACUGAAAAAAUAAUUCGGGUCAACCUAGGUUACCCUGCCAAACACGCAACUCAGGUCAUAAAACUAGGAUAAUGCUAUAUAAAGCAAAUAGCAACAAAUUUUAAAGCAUAAAUCUCAAUCAACUUAUUUUAAAGCAUAAAUCCCAAUCAACUUAUUACAAUUCACUCGCAUUGUUCACUUUAGUGAACAGUGCUACAGUGGAGCCAUGCUCCACUGUUGAGGUUUCUCCCAGACGAGAAGCAAUAAAACGUUUAAGGAAAUAAAUGUUGCUUCUCCAAAACCUGCGGUGCCAUAUGGGUCCUACGUGCUGAAAGCACUUUUAUUUUCUUAACCAAACGUUUAUUAGCGUGGCUGCGGGUGAACCUCACCCGCAACCACGUUACCAAACGAGCACUUAGUCUCAAAGAAGAAACAAUUACUUGGUUCUAUAUCCUUAGCACGUCAAACAUGAGGGUAUGAACAGUAACCAUUGUGUCCACUAUAAAAUAUAAGGGGGUGAACAGUGCGGCUACAAAGUAUUCACCCCACACACUUUAUAUUAUAAGUAACUAGUUUUUGUAUUGGCACUCCGCGGCGGGGUGGUUAUUUUUUUAAGUAAAAAAAUAAUAAUAAGCAGGCUCUUACAAUGCACUUUUUAAUAUAAUUUUUUUUCAAUCACAAAUCAAAAUGCCUAUACAUAUAUUUAGUAAUUAGAUCGAUAUUUGAUAAAUAGGUAACUAAGAUUAAGAUAUUUGAUAUCACGACAUGAAUCAUGUGCUUAGUUGUGUUUAACAAUUAUGUUUCCUAGAGUUUUUUUUUAUGAACCAACCAUAUAUUCCGAUAAAAGGUAACAAAAAAUUCAUACCAAUAUUGAAUGAAGAAACUAAAAAAAAAAACCAAUAAAAAAAAGACUGUAUAAAUACACUAAUUUAUUGACCAUAUUGACAAAACAAGUCAAAACUGUAUAAAUACACUAAUUUAUUGACCAUAAGUAAAUGAUUGAGAUAAUAAUACGAAAAGAAAAACUUUUUACCGGACAAUGAUCAAUCCUGGUGAUGUCCAAAGUGUAAAUCAAACAUUUUAUAUCUUGCCAUGAGAAACAAAUAUAUCACAACUUGUUUUUAUUGUAUUCUAUUAUGACUUGUUUUGUGCCUUACAUUAUUUAAUAUAUUAAAAUAAAUUUAAUAAAUUAUACUGAAGCAAGAUCUAAUAUUAGAAAGUUAACGGAAAUAAUAAAUAUAUUUUUAAAUAUAUUUACAGUUCGGUCCCUUAAUUAACUUUUUGUUUGUAAAAUGUGGAGCUGUCAGCAAUAUUUCCUUAGUUUGUGUCGCUAACUGUGAUUAAAGGAUCAAUUAAUUAUUUAUUUAAAUCAACCAGAGGGAUUAAUCUGUUUGUUUAACAAAAAUACAGACACUAAUUAAAUAGAAUUUAACUCAAAUUUUAAUAAUCAAUAUUUUUAGAUGGAAUCUUGGUAGAAAAUUUAAUCAUCAUAUCCUGGGUAUUUUGGAAACAAAAUUGGAAACUUUGAAUGAUUUCACUAUUACUGCUAUAUGGGGUCGUCAUCCUAGGGCUUGGUAUGCAGUUCCCUCAUUAGGCCUUUCGGGGGGAUAUUAUGUAUAUGGAAUCCGAAUCUUUUUUGUGUCUCUAGCUGUUCUGUUGCUAUGAAUGGCUGUAUUUUGCAUAUUGAAGGCACCUUCACUCGGUCCAAUCUAGAUUGCCUAGUCUCUUUUGUAUAUGCUCCGAAUGUUGGGAACCUGAAGAAUGAGCUGUGGACUUAUCUUGUUACAUUCAGGGAUAGUGUUAGCAUGUCGUGGUGUCUUGCAGGUGAUUUUAAUGAAACCUUAUUCCCAUCAGAUAGGAAAGGCGGCUCACAAAUAACAUCUUCCAUGACAAGAUUUCAAAAUUGCAUUGAUGGUUGUAAUCUUAUGGAGCUCCCCUUAAAUGGGAGAAAAUUUACAUGGUCUCGAGGUAAUGCGGCGAGCCGUAUUGAUAGAAUAUUUUUAUUGGGGGAUUGGUUGCAGGCUUUCCCGUCCUCUACUUUAUUCGGUCUCUCAAAAUAUUCAUCUGAUCAUAGGCCUCUGCAUCUGUUGCUAGACUCUACAAAUUGGGGCCCGAAACCUUUUCGCUUCAUGAAUUGCUGGUGGCUUGCGUCUGAUUUCAGGAUUAUGAUUCAGAGCUUUUGGAGAUCACUCACGGUUUCAAAAUCUGGCAUAAGGAAAAUGGUCCCAGCUCUAAAGAUGUUGAAAGAGAGAUGUCGGCAGUGGAGUAAAGCUACUGUGGGAAACAUGAAUAACAGAAUUGAAGAACUGGAACUUGAAGCUGACUCAAUGGAUCAUCAAAAUGAGUGCAGGGUUUUGACUGCUGAUGAACUGAUUAGAAGUAAUUCCAUUGCCUCCCGGCUCAAAAUCCUGUAUAGAGCUCAAGAGUCUGCCUAGCAUUAGAAGUCAAGAAUUCAGUGGUGUAAGCUUGGAGAUAAAAAUACCCGAUUCUUUCAUUUAGCUGCAACAACAAGACAGAAAAAGAAUCAGCUUGCAUGCCUAGAGGUUGAUGGACAGAUCCUAUCUAAACCAAGCGAUGUGAAUCUAGCUGUCUUUCACUUUUUCCGCAACCUAUACUCCCAUCAGAACAGACCUAGAGCUUCAUGUUCAAACCUGGAAUUCUCAAGGCUGAAGCAUUCAUCCUCGGCUGCUCUUGAAUUGCCAUUUUCUGCAGAAGAGAUUACAGCAGCUGUGUGGGAUUGUGAUGGAAAUAAAGCUCCAGGUCCUGAUGGUAUUAACUUCCUUUUCAUCAAGAAAGCAUGGAACAUUAUAGGUGAGGACAUUAUCCAGAUGGUUGAUGAAUUCUAUCGGACUAAUCUCCUUCCUGCAGGUAUCAAUAGCACCUUUGUUACUCUUAUUCCGAAGAUUAAAGGUGCUAACAAGCUAUCAGAUUUCAGACCUAUUAGUUUGGUGGGCAGCCUAUACAAGAUCUUCUCAAAGAUUCUAGCAACUAGGUUGAAACAUGUUAUGCCAGAGGUCAUCUCUCAUCAUCAAAAUGCUUUCAUCAAAGGGAGGCAAAUUUUAGACAGCGUCUUGAUUGCAAAUGAGGUUCUUUCUUUCAUCAAGAAGAAAAAGGGUAAAGCUUAUCUUUUCAAAUUAGAUUUUCAUAAAGCCUUUGAUUCGGUGUUAUGGGAAUAUAUUAAUGAAAUCAUGGCUAGUAUGGGCUUUGACCUGGUUUAUGCAAUGCAUAUCAACGGCAAAAAUGUCUGUGCUUGUUAAUGGGUCUCCCACGGAGGAAUUCUGCUUAGCAAAAGGCCUACGCCAAGGAGACCCUCUCUCUCCGUUUCUCUUCAACAUUGCAGUCCAGGGCUUGAGUUGUAUGUUGCAGCGUGGCUGUGAUUUGGGUUUGACUUCGGGUAUAAACAUCGGCAAUACAGGGCUUGUCAUAUCUCACUUACAGUUUGCGGACGACACCCUUAUGUUCAGUUCAGACUCUUUACAUAGCAUGCAGAACAUUAAACGUAUCCUAUUAUGCUUUGAACUUGUCUCGGGGCUGAAGGUCAAUUUUUAUAAAAGCAGCAUUGUGGGUGUGGGUGUAGCAGCUCAUACAUGUAACUUCACGGCUCAGCUUCUCAGAUGCAAGCAGGAUCAGCUGCCUCUCAUGUAUCUUGGGCUCCCCAUUGGUGGAAACUUGGGCAGAGCUACAAUGUGGAAUCCUAUUUUGCGCAAUAUCAGUUGCCGAUUGGCUUCGUGGAAAGGCAGGUUCUUAUAUAUUGGGGGCUGUUUGUGCUUGAUUAAAUCUGUGCUCAGUAAUCUCCCCAUCUACUACCUAUCUAUGUUCCCCAUGCCUGUUACGGUAGCCUCCAAAAUUGAUCAGAAACUUCGAUCCUUCCUCUGGUCAGGAAAUGAGGAAAGGCACAAAAUAUGCAAUGUCAGCUGGGCCACUGUUACUCUUCCAAAACAUGCGGGGGGUCUUGGGAUUGGUUCCUUAAGGGACAAAAACACAGCUCUGCUAUUUAAAUGGUUAUGGAGGUUUGGGUUAGAGGAAUCAAGUAUGUGGAAGGAUGUGAUCAAAAGCAUCCACAACACCAAUUGCUCUAAACUGCUGCUGCAAGCUCCUAUUCCAGGAGCUGCAACUACAUGGUCCCGGAUUGUUAAUCAUUGUGUGAGAAAUAAUAAGCUGCAGGAUAUUGUGAAUGAGCAAUCUCUGGUUCUUAUCGGAAAUGGCAAGAAGACUAUGUUUUGGCUUGAUUGCUGGCUUAAUAACCACUGUUUAGCAGAGCACUUCCCUACUCUUUUCCAAUUAUCCAAUGACAAAGCUGCCAGCAUUGCUAAGAUGGGAAUAUGGGAAGGGUAUAAGUGGAUUUGGGUUUUUUCCUGGAUACGUCCACUACGGGGGCGAAACAUUGGCUUGCUCGAUCAACUAUAUGCAAUCCUAUCGACAGUAUUGGUAAGCCAUGGCCAUCUUCUUGGUAUGUUCUCUGUUCCAGUUGGUAUUUUAGACUCUAAUAUUGCUGAGUUAAGGGCUAUUGUCAAAGCCAUUGAACUAUCAGCAUCUAAUUGUCUCCUCCACCAUCAACACCUCAUCAUAGAAUCUGACUCUGUCAAUGUUAUUAGCUAGAUGAAUAAGCCUCACAGCCGUCCCUGGAAGCAUCAUAAUUUGUUCUCCUUUGUUAAUAGACUGAAACCAUAUUUUGGUUCAAUCACCUUCUCCCAUAUCUUUCAUGAAAGUAAUUGCAUGACAGAUUGCAUGGCUAAACAAGGAGUGCGGAGAUCAAGUGAAUUUGUUGCCUGGCUUUGACUCCACCAUUUUUCUGUGGCCUUGCUCUUGUGUCUUCUGCCAUUAUGUCUUUGAGUUAUUUCUGUUAUGUUUUGUAGAGGAAUGUUUAGCUUUGAGCUCAUUCGGAUGGAUAUUCUAUGGUUUUCUUUGCUUUUGUUUAUCUUAGUCUGCGCUUUAUCCUAUAUAUGGCUUUUUGCCAUAGUAAGAUAAUGUGUAGCUUCUGUACUACUCCCGCCAGACUUUGGCGUUUAAUAAUAUACGCAUCUUUCAAAAAAAAUCCAUGUGAAUCGCACGACUUGUCCAUAUCUUUCUUAUUGAUUACAAAUAGCAUUGAGAAUUAAAGAAUAUUAUCUUAAUAAGUUCCAAUUUAUUCUACAAAAACUAUAUAUAAAGAUGUAUACAAAUUAGUUAUUUAUUGUUUGUAAGUAUUAUUGUAUUGCAAAGACAAAAAUAAGAUGCAACUUAUGGCGUGGUCGUCCAACCUGGUUCAGGUUUUGAUCCUGUUAAAAAUCUAUUUUGUUGAAUUGUUAUCUACUUGUGAGUUAUUGGGUUAACUAGAUCAAUUUUUUAAACAAAACAAUAUCAUUUAAAAAAAAAAAAUUGGUUCUGACUUAGAAAUAUAAUAUUAGAAACUUAAAUCUUAUUAUUAUAAAAGACUCAAUGGUAAAUUUAGUUUUGAAAUAGAUUUUUGUAAAAUCAAAUAUCAACUAAGCACCUGGAAAUUUAUUUGAAAUUACAAUAACCUUGUAGAAAACAAACAUAAAUAGAAUUAUUAAAUUCAAUGGAGUCCAUGACCUGAAUUACGGGUUCAACGGGUUAAGCCACGAAGCUCUGAUCGAUUUAAAAUAUUGUCGUCUUAAUAUAAAAAAAAAAUACAUCUUAAAAAAAAUAAAUUAAGCUAGACUACGUUUUUACCUAUUAUCUGGGUUGUUUUUAGGUUCAUCAUUUCGACUGAGUUAUAUUAGGACAACUACUACAUAAUUUAAUUUAAAAUUAAAGCUAAACAAGAAAUUAGGUAAAGAGAUUUUAAGAUUGAUUUGUUGGAUUGGAUUUAAUAACAAUACAAAAAAUCUAAAUAUUUCUUUUUUAUUAAAAAAAAAUUCAAUCCAACUCUCAUCGUAACGCAGUAUAGUAAGAUAAAUAGAUAUAAAUAUUUUGAUGGAUACUCGGGAUAAAAGAUUGUUUGAGGACAUUUUGCUAAUUUCUUUUGUUAUCUAAUCAAUCAAGCUCAUAGUGAAUAAGUAUAUUAAUAUAUACAAUUAAAUUAAAUAACAUAUAAGAGAAAAAUGGUCGCAAGCUAAAGCUAAAGUGAUGCGACGUUGAGCCACUAGUCGAUAGUUGUAACGUCAGUUUGUUGGUUCGUCGUUCGUUUCUCGGGCGAGUUUGGUUGUGCUAAACACAAUGAACCAAUAGAGUGCUUUGCUUUCUUACUUGGAGAUUCUGGAGCCUUGGAUUUUUUGAUAUUUAGGUUAUCUGUUUCUAGAAAAGAAAGAAAGAAAUAUUUAUAUUAUCAAUGCAAUGCAAUGAAACGACUAAAUAACAUUUAAUUAUUAUCAUAGCUUUGUCCUCGUACCUAAGGAAGUAUACUACGUCUUUUUCUCCAUUGUUUGAGUUUGAAAUUAUAUCUGUGAACCCAUUAAUUUAUCUAGAAAAAACAUUUAUUGGGUAAUUGGAUCAAUCAUUGAGGUCGUCAUAUCAUAUAUAAACCAAUUAUUUUAAUUAAAACAAUAUCAUUUUAUUUAAAAUUAAAUUUAUAAUACUAACUGAAUCCCUAAAAACACAAUUAGACCAAUCAAGUUUUAGCAAGUUAAUUUUUUUUUUUAAUUUUUUCAUAUUUAACUUGAAAUUCAAUCCAAAUUAAAUUAUAAAUUAUGGGUUUCUUAAAUUAACACAUGUUGGGUCAGGUCUACCAAUUAUGAUUGGAAUCCAGGGUUAAUAUCUAGAAGAAUUUAUUAAAUUUCUGUAUAAUUAGUCAAUCGAUGAGGGAAUUUAGUUUUGAUUGAUGGAGAAAUUAAUUUAAAGAUACCAUGCAAGAUAUAUAUAUAUAUAUAAACAUUUAAAGGGAAACGGACCCACCAUCAAUUAUUGUUAUUCGUUUAAUUAUAAAUAGAAUGAAGAGAAUGAUGCUCGCUGCACUUUUAUCAGCGACUGAUAAACCCCAGAAGGAGAACACUCUACAGAAUUAUUCCAUACUUUUUCGUAAAUUAUAAAUUAAAAAGAAAUUGGUUAUAACAUGGUUAACGAACACAGCACAAAAAUAAACAGGUGUAUUUCUUACAUAAAUUCUUAUUGUUUUGUUUUUCCAUUGGUUUCAUGAAAUUCUCUCAACAAUUGAACAAAAAACACUACAUCAUAGCUCACAAACAUACAUUUUAUAAGUCAAUUAAACCUCUUGUUUUUCUUAUGUGUCUUUUUAUUGUAAUCUCUGCAAGGUGACACCUGACAGAGCAAUCUGUUGAUAGGUCCAAUUCUGCUUUAUGUUGUGUUUCUUGCUGAGCAAAUAAAGGUCAUGGGUUUUCUUUCUUUCUUUUUCCCUUAUAAAAAUGGUCAUGCGGCCACAGACAGUUGCGAAAAAAAAGAAGCACUUAAUUAUCACUUAUUUGGUAAGUAGCGUACUUAUCAGAUGACCCUCAACCAUCAGUACCCAUUAUAAAUUAAUGUCGACAAGAGUAAAAUUAGGAGUUACCGUGACUUUCCAACAUCUAUCAUUAUAAAUUAAGUAUCAACAACGAUUAAGACUAAUUGUUUUACCAAGAUUCUCAACCAUUGUAAAAAUAGAUUUGAAAAAAAAAUCAUAGCAAAAAUUCAAAAAAAUAAAAAUUGCAUUGCUUUCCAUAUAUAUUUUAGUUUUUCUUAUAAUAAUAAUAAUAAUUAUAGUCUCUCGUGUCUCACAACUGUAUGUGUUUUUUCUUGAAUAAGCGCUAAUGUUCUUUGAGGGGUCCAAGCACCAUAUACUGAAAGAAAGAACUAGUUCAAAUUGAAGCACCAUGAGUUUCUCUACGGCUUGGUUCACCACCUGCUGGUGCGGCAAGUUAUGAACUAGCUGGCUAGUUUUUUGCUUCCUUGGUUUUAGAAGCACCAUGUGUUCAAAGAAUAGUCAACAAAGAAAAAGAAAAAGAAAAAGAGAAGGGCAAAAGGUUAAUUAAAAUCAGCAGGACUGCCAUGAGGCAACCUCAAGUAGUGAACUUGAAGGAAUAAAAAGUGCUGGGAAGUAAUUUUUGCUGAAACUUCUUGUGUAACAUCUUCUUUUGAUGAUGACCUCUUGGAUGGCUGCAUGAAGCUUGUUCCGUUUUAAAUUUCAAGGUUAAUCUAUUUCUAUGAGCAUUGGUGUUUCAAUUUCAACCUUAAGUUGCAACUGAACUUAAAUGAAUAGUGUUGGAUUUGGGCCUUCUAUUUGCUUUAACUUCUACAGGAUUGAAAUGAUAGUGAUCUUAAAGUACAAAAGCAGCAGACAAAAAUCAAUUAGCCACAAUAUAUAGUGUAUGGUUUCCUAGUUUCUCAGUAUAAAGUUGAAUGUUUUGGUGAUAUCUCUACAUCCAAAAUCAUAUAGACAGCUACUGCUGGCACUUGCAGUGGUCAAUGAAUACUAUAGAGUACAUAUUGCAGUUUGAGAUAAGGUUAACUCGUUGCAUUUUCAUAUAUUGAAAGGAUUUCUCUUCUUUUCUUUGUCAGUUACAGAACAUGCAUAGAAGUGUUCUUAUUCAGAGUAAAUGCUAUUGUAAUGUUUUCACGGACUCCCUUGCUUUGCAACUAAGUCACUAAUUAUCUUGGAACAUAGCCAUAAAUAAAAGGUUCUUCCAGUUCAAGAAAAUUAACCAUGAAGCUAGUAGCUAGAAUUUUUAGACAGAAUGGUGGCCAAGUAAACUCCUAUACUCUGUACCUCUGGAAUAAUGCAGGGAAAGGAUGUCUAUGUAUUUUGAUGUCUUAUAUUACUUGACCAACUCUUGCUUAUCUCAUUAUUUGUUUUUACUUUUUGCUAAUGAUUCCACACAUUUUUGAUAUUGGUGUGGUUUAUGACUUCAGGGUUCUUACUCGCUACUGCAACUUCUCUAUACUUGCUUGGUCAUUAAAUAUGAAACGUGAUGAUUUGCAUAUGCAGAAUGGAGACAUUAAAGAGGCAUCUUCUGUUUUCUAGUUAGGAGGGAUUACCAGAACUCAAGAAAUUUGUCGUACAUUUUGAGGAAAAGAUUUAUACCACCGCUACCAAUCAGGUAUUUGCCUAAUGCGAGGUUCAAUAAUUACGAUAUUAUCUAGACAUGAAUAUACACACGCAUUUAUGCUUGUACAAAUGUGUGUGUAGUGUGCCUACAUUUCCACACCUUUCAUUCUGUAUGCAAGGCUGAUUAAGAGUUCGCAUCUUUUUGUUAAUUCUCUUGACAAGUGUUUUAUUUAGAGUGACCAAGUUCAAGUACAUGGGAAGUGUGCAAAAAGCAAAUAGCGAAUCAAUACAUAAAUAAGUAAAUAAAAAGAGAGGAAACAGAAGUCUAUCCUCACAAAAGAUGAAAUGAUAGAGCAUAUAUCCAUUUUCCUCCUCUUGUAACAUGGAUUGCUCUGAGAUCUAAUGUUUUGUUAUUAAUAUCUUAUUUUAGUCUGAUUAUCUGCAUAAAAUAUCUCUGGUGAUGCUUUUGAUGAAGAUCAGGUCUCAAAAUGCCAUGCCCACUGCCCCCAUGGAUCCAGCAGGUAAUAAUGCAUUCGAGCAUCGAAUUUCUAAACAUCUUACCUUUUGUUUUUCUUCUCGCAUUGUUAUCAAACUUUUUUACAUUUUAUUGUUCCAUAUUGCUAUGUAUAUCGCCUUGCUGGCAAAAUGUCAUGAUCACCUCCACAAUACUAAUUCUGUAAUGCGUGUGAAGUGUUUCAUCCUUAACUUGUUAAUGAACGAGGACUAUGAUGCAUGGCUAUUUUAUAUUUUAUGAUUGAGAUGGUAGAUUUUAAAGAUUUUCCUUUUUAGGAGAUAAGACGUCACUUUCUUGCUUUUCUUCCGAGAGUAUUCGAUCCUUUUUUCGUACAAAAUAAUGAUGCCAUGCAUUGAAUUCCCAAACAUAUUACCUUAUGUUUUGUUUGGUCGCAUUGUUAUCAAACUCUUUUACAUUUUAUUGCGGCAUAUUGCUAUGUGUAUGGCAUGCUUUAAUCAAAAAUUUGAUUAAUUGAUGAAUGUUAGGCAAGAAAAUUACAGAAUAUUUUUGUUUUUUGCCUCCUCCUUUUCUUUCCCCCACUCCGAAAAUUGUCAUAUUAUUUUUGUUUUCAACCGCCUCUUCUUCCCCCAACCCUGAAAAUUGUUUAUAUUUGCUUUGGAAGCAUGGCAAACUUCACUGCCUCUCAGCUUAAGGAGAUUGCAGCAGGUCUCGAAGCUUCUGGGCAUCAAUUUAUCCGGGUAGUUAGAAGAAACAAAAAGAGUCAAGAAGACAAGGAAGAUUGUUUACCCGAAGGAUUUGAGGAAAGAAUGGAAGGCAAAAGGAUGGAUACUCCAAGUUUUGAUUCUUGAUUAUAAAGCAAUAGGUGCAUUUGUGACUCAUUGAGGAUGGAACUCAACUCUUGAAGGCAUAAGGCCAAUAUUUGCUGAGCAAUUCUAUAAUGAAAAGUUGGUGACUGAUGUUUUAAAAGUUGGUGCUGUCGUUGAAUAUAUUAUAGCUGUCAAGGUUCUUGAGUUUUCCCAAAUGUGAUGAUAUGAUCUCAAAACCUGCAAGAGAGUUGUUUGUAAGAGUAAGUCAUGAUGAGCUCACGAUAUGCAAAACAGAUAGAAACAAAAGAUAAUUAGAAUUGAUGAGAUGCUGUUGUUCAAUUGAUGUAUGAUUCUCAAAUUAUACAUACAUAUAUAUAUAUAUAUAUAUAUAUAUAUAUAUAUAUAUAUAUAUAUAUAUAUAUAUAUAUAAUUGAUAUUUAUAAAAGCAUUAACUGUAGCUGAUAUAGUUUUAGAGGAAUAUUUGGUACUUUGUUUCCCAAAAAAAAAAAUAGAUUUUUCUGCGAAGUAGGAAAAAAAAAAAAAAAAACUGUUCAAAACUUAUUCAAGAAAUUAUACAGUUAGCGAGUCACAGAUGAUGAAUCUUAAAAAAAAUUGGCAAUAAUAACAGUACUCUAUUACUAUUAAUUAACUUAAAUAUUCAAAACUUAAAAAUAUUUUUUAAAUUUAUCCAUGCCAAUUUAUCUUAAGAGAGUCGCAAUCUGUGACUAGUUAAAUUAUAUUAUUUCUUUAAAUAAAUUUUGCAUUGUGUUAUUUUUUGUUCUAGGUGCUAUUUUGCAAAAAAAGAAAAGAAAAGAAAGAUUAACGUUUCAGUUAUUCAUUGUUCUUGGAUUUGUAGGUAUAACAACUGAAGAUAGCAAUCAAAAGCGAUGGUGACAUGGUAGAGCUUUGAGUUAUUGCUGUGUUCUAAUGAUGAAGAUGUAGGAAAACGAUCUCCCUUCUGCUGUCUGGAGCUGGGCUUCCUCUCCCUGUAAGAACAAGCAACAUCUUAUCUGCGUUGUUGUUAGUGGCCACUUCAUCGACCCAUUAGUGGGUGGAUUUUAAGCUUAAAAAGGAUUUUUUUUAAAAAAAAAAUAAAGGAAGAAAGAAAGGAGAGGGGGGGCAUCAUCACGUGAAAAGCAAGGAGGUUGCCACCCAUUAUAGAGUGUGGGGCACUCUUGCAUCUAAGAAUAUAUGAUCCUGAGGUUGUUCUGGUGAUGGGUAUUGGCCAUUACAUAAAGCUUCGACAAGCCCUUUUAGCUGCCUGUUAUUAGAAUUUGUAUAAUGAGCAUUCAAACUUAAACUUCUUUAAAUGGGAUGAAAACGAGUGAAAAUCAAGAAGUUGGAGGUGUUCAUCUCUAAUGCAUAGCUGAAGAUCCUUUGUAAGAAAAUACAGCUAAAGACAAAGUGUGUGUGUGUAACAGAGAAAUUGUCGAUAAUAGCAAUCAUGUUCUUUGUCUCUUGUGUCAUAUCUUCCAAAAAUCUUAAAGUAAUUGAUGAAAAAGUGGAUAUACCACUUUGUCUUCUUUAUAGCACUACUGGCCAAUAUGAGUUAAAAGCAUUAAAAGGUCGUGAACGCGGAUGCUUGACGAGCGAGUGUUUACUUGUUAAUUUUUUUAGAAGGAAUCUGGAAAAGAAUAAAGUCAUCUAUUUCACUUUGGGACAACAUUCCUCACCUCUCCCCGCCCGAGCUCUCUCCCUCCCUCCCUCCCUCCCUCGCUCGCUCCCUCUUCCGCCUCUCGGAAACCGCCGCAUCCAUUAAGGCUUCAGAUUUCUGCCAGGUGCUUCCUUUUCUAUCAUGCUUUUGUUUUUAAAAUUUAUGGGUGUUUUCAUUUAUUUUAUUGUAAUUAUUAUUCAGAGACAGAAAUCCAUUUUAAUAAGUAAAUUAAAAAAAAACAAAUAAUCGAUCCGAUGAAAUCUCUGCUAGUGAACGCAAUUCGAUUUUAAUAAGUAAAUUAAAAAAGUAUAUAAUCGGAUCCGAUGAAAUCGCUGCUCGUGAACGCAAUUCAAAGAAACGCACAAUCAGCCGAUUCUAAUAUUUUCUUUUGCAACCCCACCCUAAUUUACAUGAUAUUAUUCGAUUUUUCUCACAGUUAUUGUUGUAAUAAUCAAGCCCUGAAUUCUUGAACCCAAAUUUAUCUUAUUUUAUUUUAUUUUUUAGUUUUAUUUUUAAGUGGAGAAUAGAAAUCAAUUCAAAUCUUUUAGGCUCGAUCGAUAAUUUGUUAAUUAGUUUAUGCAGCAGCUGGAGUGGAAGGGAUAUUACUGCCGGAAUGGCCGAAAAAUGAGCUGUUUGGUUGAUUCUUCUUUUUUGGAAUUUACUGAAUUCUUCAAAAUUAUUGUGUUUUUAACAACAAUACGAUAUCCUUGGGUUUCAUGCUCGCUCACAAAUGGAAAAAAGAAAGAAAGAAAAGAACUUUAAAUUUUAUAAUUUGGUCAUGUUAAUGCUCGUCGUUUUCUUCUUCAUUUUCCUAGCUUAAAACAUCCUAGACAAUCUCUUUGGGAUGGGUUAUUGUUUUUGGCCUCUUCAUCUUCUAUUUGUGCUGUGGUAUUUAGUCUGCUGAUAUUCUUUGGGGAUUAAAAUGCCUCGUUUUAUGACUUUGUUUUGUUUUCUUCUUCUUUCUUUAUUCUUUUGGGGAUGUGGUAUUCUCCUCUUUCUAUUUACACUCUUUGCUCCCUACAACAUUUAUUCUUUCAGAAAAGUAAAUACAUACAUAAAUAACAACAGGAGAGGAGGGGGAGGGGGAGGGGGUUUGACGGUAUGUAUUUGGAUGCAUGAUAUCUAAAUUGGUAAGCACCUGAAAAAGGUCCUGAAUCUAAAUUGGUAAGAUGUGAUAUACUGAUAUCUAGAGAGAUAACUUAAUCUAUCUAUUGAAGUAAAGCAUUUAAAUGCGUAUACAAUGUUUUUGGAUCAUUAAAUAUCUAUUUGAUCAGAAUCUGUGAACCUAAAGCCACAAUGAAUACAAAUGCAAGUUUGUCAUUGUAAACAUUGCAUCGAUGAUGCAUCACAGGUGUUGCUAGAAAACAUCAAGUUAAAAUUGAAGCACCAUGAGUUUCUCUAUGGCUUGGUUUACCAACACUCACCAUCAGUUGGUGCGGCAAGUUAUGAACUAGCUGGCUAGUUUUUCGCUUCCUUGGUUUUAGAAGCACCAUGAAGAUUCAGGCCCAAAUCUUGCUUACAAUACUCAAAUACCCAAGAUCCUAGCACCUUGCCCUGAAUGGUCGUGUAUAUUUGUUAUGGCUGUUCAGAUUUUAUGCAUCCAUGUUUGGUAGAAUUCUUUAAUAAAGUACAUGCUAUUAGAUGGAAGUUCUCUUUAAAUCUAUUCAAGUCUGAAUAAACUGAUAUUCCAAUUUUCAUGACUUUGAUUAGGCGGAGAACUUGUGAUGGACACAGGUGAUUGGAGAACUCAAUUGCAGCCUGGCUCACGGCAAAGAAUAGUCAACAGAAUGUAAGUAUCUGUUUGCUAAUAUGUACAAGUGCUGCAAAAUAGUAAAUCUUGUAUUUAAAUGAAAGAAAAAGAGAAGGGCAAAAGGUUAAUUAAAAUCAGCAGGACUGCCAUGAGGCAACCUCAAGUAUCAUACACUGCUGUUUUUGUCUUUUUCAUUUUUCACGUGUUUCUCACAAGAAGUGAACUUGAGGGAAUAAAAAGUGCUGGGAAGGAAUUUUGGUGGAACUUCUUGUGUAACAUCUUCUUUCAAUGAUGACCUCUUGGAUGGCUGCAUGAAGCUUGUUCCGCUUUAAAUUUCAAGGUUAAUCUAUUGCUAUGAACAUUGGUGUUUCAAUUUCAACCUUGAGUUGCAACUGAACUUAAAUGAAUAGUGUUGGAUUUGGGCCUUCCAUUUGUUUUAACUUCUACAUGGUUGAAAUGAUAGUGAUCUUAAAAUAGAAAAGCAGUUGAAUGUUGAAUGGUGUAUGGUUUCCUAGUUUCUCAGCAUAAAGUUGAAUGUUUUGGUGAUAUCUCUACAUCCAAAAUCAUAUAGACAGCUACUGUUGGCACUUGCAGUAGCCAAUGAGCACUGUAGAGUAUAUAUUCCAGUGUGAGAUAAGGUUAACUCAUUGCAUUUUCAUAAAUUAAAGGGAUUUCUCUUCUUUUCUUUGUCAAUUACGGUGCAUGUAUAAAAGUUUUCUUACUUAGAGUAAAUGCUAUUGUAAUGUUUUCACAGAAUUCCCCUGGUUUGCAACUAAUUCACUUAUAUAUCUUGGAGCAUAGCCAUAGCCAUAGCCGUAAAUGGAAGGUUCUUCUGGUUCAAGAAAAUUAACCAUGAAGCUCGUAAUUAAAAUUUUAGACAGAAGGGUGGCCAAAUGAACUCCUAUACCCUGUACCUCUGGAAUAAUACGGGGAAAGGAAGUAAAAAUAGAUGUCUGUAUUCUGAUGCCAUAUAUUACUUGACCGACACUCGGCUAUAUCAUUAGUUGUUUUUAUUUUUUGCUAAUGAUUCCAUUGAAUACAUUUCUGAUAUUGGUGUGGUGUGUGAGUUCAUGGUUAUUUCUCACUGCUGCUAACUUCUCUAUACCUACCUUGUCAUUAAAAAUUAAACGUAAUGUUUUACAUGUGCAGAAUGGAGAUAUUAAAGAGGCAUCUUCCGUUUUCUGGUCAAGAGGGAUUACAAGAACUCAAGAAAAUUGCUGUACGGUUUGAGGAAAAGGUUUAUACUGCCGCCACCAGUCAGGUAUUCGGCUAAUGCUAGGUUCAAUAAUUUCGAUAUUCUCUAGACAUGAAUAUAAACAUGCAUAAGUUUGUGGAUUUAUGCAUGUACACGUGUGUGUAGUGUGUCCACACUCUCACUGGUCAUUCCGUAGAAGUUCUCAUCUGUUCAUUAAUUCUCUUGACAAGUGUUUUAUUUAGAGUGACCAAGGUUCUUUUCAAGUACAAGGGAAGUGUGCAAAAUGCAAAUAACGAAUCAAUACAUAAAUAAUUAAAUAAAAAGAUAGGAUACAGAAGUAUAUCCUAUAUCCUCACAGAAGACGCAAAUAUAGAAAGCCUAGCAUAUUAGAAAGAGCAUUUAUCCCUUUCCCCCCUUCUCUUGUAACAUGGACUGCUCAGAGAUCUAAUGUUUCCUUAUUGAUAUCUGAUUUCAGUCUGAUUAUCUGCGUAAAAUAUCUCUGAAGAUGCCUCAGAAUACCAUACCCACUGGCAAUGGUAACAAACCCCUGUAUCCAGGGGGGAAGUGUGCAAAAUCCAAGCUUUGAAUUUCUAAACAUCCUUACCUUUUGUUUUAUAUUUCGCAUUGUUAUCAGACCCUUUUACAUUUUAUUGCUGCAUUUUGCUAUGUAUAUACUAAUCCCUGUACUUUUACAUUAUGUUAAUAAACUGGUCCCUUCAUUAGUUUUUUGUUAGUCAAAUGUAGAGUUGUUAGCAAUAUUUCCUCAAUUUGUUCCACUAACUUGACGUUAAAAUGUGACCAAAGAAUCAAUUAAUUAUUUAAAAAACUUGAGGGAUUAAUUUGUUUGUUUCACAAAAAAAUACAGUGGUUAAAUAAAAUUUUACUCAAAUUUUUAUCAUCAUAUUCGUGAGUGUUUACUUGUAAAUAUUUUGGAAUGAACACAGUGGUUAAGUUUAUGUUUUGCGCAGCAUAAAAAAAAUCAUCUAGGCUUAAAUAAUUAUUUGGCAUCAUAAUUAAAACUCUAAUCCAAAUUUCUCUCAUCUGGCUUCUUAUCUAUAUCAAGUUUAAAAUUAACCAAUGUGAAAGUUGCUCUAACAUGAUAUAAUUAAUGUGAUGGGUUCCAAGUCAAUUCAUAUGACCAGUAAAAAAACAUAAUUUAGCUUUAAAAAAAAAAUUCAAGAUGAUACUUGUUUUGAACAUUGAUACGACAUCUUGGAUCGACUCUAGUUUUGUGACGUAACUCUUUAAACCCAUGACUUGAAUAAUGGAUUCUAUCUGGUUUAAUUUUUUAUAAAAAAAAUUAUUUUUUACUUAAUAAUAUGAUAAUAAAAAUAAAAACUCGUAAAAUUGAGCACUAAUCAAAUAUUAAGAUAUUUAUUUGAGACUGCAAUAACAUCAUUGAAAGCAAAUUGAAACAAAAUCAAUUCAAAAUCAAAUAAAUGUUAAACAAAUAUUAAAAGAUGAAACCAGACAAAAGCCAAAAAGGAUUUAAUUGAAAGAAAGAAAAUAUUGGAAUGUAGAGUUUAAAAACUAAGGAAUAAUAUUUAUUAAACUUGAUCCUAAUCUAUCGACUUGACUUCUUACCUAACAUAUAUUUAAAAUUAAUUUGUAAGGGAGUUGUCUGUACAUUACCUAGUUGACUUGACAUGUGCAAAUUAAAGCAACCUGAAUGACCAAUAAAAACAUGGUUUGGAUUUUAAGAAAAAAAAUCAAGAUAUCUUUUUUUUUUAAUAUUGAGACGAAAAUAUAUUAGAUCAACUCAAGCUCCGUGGCUAAACUCGUCAAAUACGCAACCCAGAUCAUGAACUCCACUAGAUUUAAAAACUAUUUUUUUAUAUAAUGAUACAAUAACUAAUAUAAACACUUAUAAAAUUGAGAACUAAACAAAUUUAGUGACGUUUAUUUGAUAUUGUGAUAACUACAUAUAAAGAAAAAAACAAAUUAUGACCAAUUCAAAAUUAACAAAAUAUUAAAGUGAAAUUGAAAGGAAAAAAAGGGCAAAAAUCAUUCAAUCAAAAGAAGAAAAAAUUAGAAGAUAGAAUUUUUUUUUUAAGGGAGGAUAUGAAUAGCAAAAUAGGAGGGAAAACCCUAACUUUUUUUAGUAUAAUAAAUGAUGUUUAAUUUAAUUAAAAUCUUUAUCUCAUACAAUUAGACCUAAAAAGAGAAGAAAAUUUCUAAAGAUUGAUUUGUAAAAAAACAGAAAAAAAAAUCAAAUCAAGAAGCGAAAAAAUACAAGGACCAAUAUACACACACAUAGUGAAAGAGUUAGAAAAGCAUAACUUUUUUAGUAUAGUAGUUUAUUUCUAAUUAAAUUGAAAACUUUAUCUCAUAUAAUUAGGCCAAAAAAGAAUUAAAUAAAAAAAAAAGGAUUAAUUUAUAAAAAGAAAAAGAAAAAUAAAGAAUACAGAACCAAAUCAACAAAGAAAAAAACUAAUUUUUAAAAAAUAAAGUGCUCCACUAUUCAUAUAAAAUAGAACAUCAUUAUAGUAUCCAAUUAGACAGUGACCCAUAUUACUGGCUAUUUUAAUUUUUUUAAAGAAAAAAAAGUUUCAGUAUUUUCAAAUGUGAUAAGUUUUUUUUUUAUAAAAAAAAACAUAUAUGUGUGCAAGGGAAUAGAGAUUUGGUUUGAGAAUACAUGCUAAAAAUCUAAACAUGAACUAAAACAAAGUGGAAUUAAAAAGAGUAAAAAAAAAAAACCUAAAAGAGAUCCAUGAUUCAUUAUAUAUAUAGACUAUGAGGUUACGAGGUAAAAUAUUAUGGAUUAGCAUAAUAUAAUUACUUUUUACCCUUCUCUACACAACAAUUACCUUGCUAAUAGGGGUAAAGUUGUCUUUUUCAAUGAUUUUAAAGGUUAUUUAUAAAUUCACUGGAGAUAAUUUAGUAGGUUUACUCCUUUUUUGCAUAUUAAAACUACAUCAUUGCCUUUGCAAGCCAAAAAAAGAAAAAACAAUUAACCUUUUGUUUAAGAUCUAUUUUGUAUUUUGUAUUUGAUUUAUACAGUAAAAUGACAUUAAUGCCUUAGAGAGUUAAAAAAUCAUCGACUUUAAGUUACUGGGCCUUAAACUUUGUUAUUUAUUUUGGUUUUUUUUUAUAGGGUUAUUUCUAUCUCAUAUCUCAAGUUGCAGAUAAGUUAGGUUGGAUGCAUACUUAAUUAAUUAAUAAAAGUCAUGUAUAUAUUUUUGCAAAUUGGAUGCACACUUAAUUAACAUACUUAUUGAAUAUUAAGUCAGGCAAAAAAUCUAUAAAAAGAAUAUACAAGUGAGCCAAACAACAAUAUUAAGAACGAAUAAGAGGUAGUAAAAGAAGAUGAUACCAAAGGACGCAAAAUCACAAAAAUUCAUGAAACUACAUUAGGCUCUCUACAAGUGAAUUGUUUAAAAAGUUAAAAGAAAAUAAAUGCACUUUUGUCCACAGCAACAACUAAAUGCACUUUUGUUCAAUACCAAGAAAUUAAACAUUUUUUAAAAAAAAAACUAAAUGAAUUGUUUAAAAAGUUAAAAGAAAAUAAAUGCACUUUUGUACACAGCAACAACAACUAUAGCAAAAUGCUGGGCUGUAGAAUCUAGAUGAUUGUCCACAGCAACAUGAAAAAAUCAUAUAUGCUUAAGUAACUAUUUGGCAUCUCAAUCUAGUAAAUUAAUCUUAAAUUUCUUAUAUCCGACUCUUUACCUAUAUUAAAUUUAAAAUUAACCAACAUAAAAAUUGUUUUAAUAUGACUUAAUCGAUAUAGUUGGUUCAAAGUCAAUCCAUAUGACCGAUAAAAAAUGUAAUUUGGCUUAAAAAAUUUCAAAAUAACAUCUUUUUUAUAACAUUGAUACGACAAUAUAUUAGAUUGACCCUGAUUUCAUGACUUAACUCUCUAAACCCACUACCUUAAUAACGGACUCCUUCUAGUUUAAAAACUUUUUUUUAAUUAUUUUUUACUUCAUGAUAUUAUAACAAAAAUAGAUGCUCAUAAAAUUAAGCACCAACCAAAUAUCAAGAUAUUUGUUUGAGAUUACAAUAAUAAAUAUCAUAAAAAGCGAAACCGAAACAAGACCAAAUCAAAAUAAAUCAAAUGUUAAAGGAUUAAACCAGGAAAAAGCCAAAGAGGAUUCAAUUAAAAGAAAGAAAAAAAAAAUAGAAGGUUGAGUUUAAAAACAAAGUAACAAUAUGACAUUGUUAUUAAACUUAAAGGAAAAAAAAACUAAUUUAAAAAAUUAAAGUGUUUCACUAUUCAUGUAAAAAUGAAAUACCAUUAUAGUAUCCAACUAUAUAGGUGACCUGCACUAUGGGUUAUUCUAUUUUUUUAAAAGCAAAAAAAUAAAGUUUCGACAUUGUUAGAUUGUGAGAAAAAAAAAGUUUUAAAAAAUAUCCGUGUACAAAAGAGGAGAGAGAUUUGGUUUGAGAAUGCAUGGUAAAAAUCUAAACAUGAACUAAAAAACAAAGUGGAAUUAUAAAAAUUAAAAAAAAAACUAAAAGAGGUAAAUGAUUCAAGUGAUUCAUUAUAGACUAUAAGGUAAAACACUAUGGAUUACACACAAUAUAUUUACUUUUUUCUCUUCUAUACACAAAAUAAUUGUCUUGCUAAUGGGGAUAAAGUUGUUUUUUUAAAGGGAUCUAAAGGUUAUUUGUAUAUUGAUCGGGGAUAAUUUAGUAGAUUUACUGCUUUUUUUGAACAUUAAAACUACAUCUUUGCCUUUGCAAGCAAAAAAAAAAAAUUGUCCUUUCGUUUAGGUUUAGGGUUUAUUUUAUCUUUCCUAUUUUUUUUCAUAGUAAAAUAACAUCAAUAUCCUUGAUAACAAUACAACAACAAAGGAAAAUACCAAUAUUUAAAAUACAACAACUCUUUUUUUCCCAUCUUCUGUUUUCUUUUUUUCAUAUCAAUACAACAACAAAGAAAAAUACAAAUAUUUAAAAUACAACAUAAAAUUUAUUUUCCUGUAGAAUCAAUGUAACAUUAAAGAGGCAUCUUCCGUUUUCUAGUCAGGAGGGAUUAUAAGAACUCAAGAAAAUUGCCAUAUGACUUGAGGAAAAGAUUUAUACUACCGCCACCAAUCAUGUGUUUGCCUAAUGCGAGGUUCGAUAAUUACGGUAUUCUUUAGACAUGAAUAUACACACGCAUUUAUGCAUGUACAAAUGUGUGUGUAGUGUGCCUACACUUCCUCACCGUUCAUUCUGUAUGCAAGGCUAAUUGGGAGUUCACAUCUUUUUGUUAAUUCUCUUGACAAGUGUUUUAUUGAGAGUGACCAGGUUCAAGUAUUGGGGAAGUGUGCAAAAAGAAAAUAGCAAAUCAAUACAUAAAUAAUUAAAUUAAAAGAGAGGAAACAGAACUAUAUCCUCACAGAAGAUGAAAUGAUAGAGCAUAUAUCCAUUUCCCCCCUUCUCUUGUAACAUGGAUUGCUCUGAGAGCUAAUGUUUUGUUAUUGAUAUCUGAUUUCGGUCUGAUUAUCUGCGUAAAAUAUCUCUGGAGAUUCUUUCGAUGGAAAUCAGGUCUCAAAACGCCAUGCCCACUGCCCCCAUGGACCCAUAAGGUAAUAAUGCAGCCAAGCAUUGAAUUUCUAAACAUCUUACCUUUUGUUUUUCUUUUCGCAUUGUUAUCGAACUCUUUUACAUUUUAUUGCUGCAUAUUGUUAUGUAUUUCGCCUUGCUGGAAAAAUCUCAUGAUCACCUCCACGAUGCUAAUUCUGUAAUGCAUGUGAAGUGUUUCUGAUAAGGUCCCAAUCAAGAGUGAUACACAAUUGCAGAAAUGCUAGGAUUCUCUUAGGGUGAGAAUUUACCACAAUAUUGUUUGGAUAAACAUAAUGCUAUUCUUUUUAUUCUUCUUCAUACAUAUAAAGAACUAAACCAUAACAACUUUCAGCAAAUCCAGCCGAAAUGGAAAUAACAGAUUACAAAACAGAAAUGCAAAUAAUGUGAAAGUGGCUGCUUUAUUUUCUCCCAUUGAAUCGGAAGCAUGAUUCCAAUUGACUUGCUUGUAACUCCCUUUAAUCACGAUAUCUUUUAAUCACGAUAUUUUAAAUUCUUCUUUAUGACACGUGGGGUCCUUCGUGGCAGCAGCUCUCCAAGCUGCGUAUCAUUACCCCCCACAUCAAGUGGAUGCUUGUCCCCAAGGUCCAAGCUUGGGUGGUUCGUUAGCAGUUCAGCCGUUGGUUCCCAGAUGGCAUCAUUUGUAGACAAAUGUUUCCACUUCACCAAACUCUCCUCAAUAAAUCUUGCCCCAUGUGGAAUCCAACGUGUGUCCAGAAUAGCUUCUGGUGUGACCACAAUGGUGCCUUCUUCAUCAAUAGGUGGAAGUUCCAUACUAGUGUCUGCUUUGUCACCCAACUUCCUUUUAAGCAACGACACAUGAAAAACUGAAUGUAAACGUGCCCCCUCCGGAAGCUUGAGUUUGUAGGCCACAUCACCGACUCGCUUUUCAAUUGGGAACGGACCAUAAAACUUGCAAGCAAGUUUUUGAUGAGCUCGUCGAAAAGCAGUCUGUUGGCGAUAAGGUUGUAAUUUGAGAUACACAAGGUCACCUUCUAUGAAUUCGACAUCCCUUCGCCCACGAUCAACCAACUGUUUCAUGCGAUUCCUAGCAUUCGCUAAAUUCUGCUUGAGAUUCCUAAGAAGUGUGUCCCGUACCUGAAGACUGUGAUCAACUUCAUUAACUGGUGAAGAGCCUGUAGCAUAAAGUGGAAAUGUAGGUGGUAAGCGUCCAUAAAGAGCUUGAAAAGGUGUCGUUCCUGUUGAUGAAUGGUAAGCUGUAUUAUACCACAGCUCUGCCCAAGGAAGAAAUUGGCUCAACUGUCGUGGUCUUUGGUGAACAAAACAGCGCAAAUAUUGUUCCACACAAUGAUUAACCACCUCUGAUUGACCAUCCGUUUGAGGAUGAUAUGCUGAGCUCAUCUUAAGCUGAGUACCAGACAUCUUAAAAAAUUCCUGCCAAAACUUACUAAUAAAGACUUUAUCUCUGUCGCUCAUAAUAGAACUAGGCAUGCCAUGUAGCUUCACCACACCAUCUACAAACUUUUCUGCCACCAUCUUUGUUGUGAAAGGAUGUGUUAAGGCCAAGAAGUGAGCAGAUUUGCUUAGAUGGUCCACUACCACUAAAAUGGUAUCGCGACCAUGUGAAGUAGGGAGACCUUCAAUAAAAUCUAUAGUAACGUCAUCCCAUACCUGACACGGAAUAGGAAGAGGUUGCAAGAGCCCAGCUGGUUUGAGAUUAUCAGCUUUAGUUUUCUAGCAUGUCACACAUGUGUGGACAUAUUCUUUGACAGAAUGAUACAUAGAUGGCCAAUAAAACUGCUGAGAUAGACGUUUGAAUGUACCCAAUAUACCAGAAUGGCCGCCCAUCUUUGUAUCAUGAAAUUCCUGUAGUAAUUGUUCUAUCACAGCUGUGUUAGGAGGCACCACAACACGUGUUUUGAAGAAAACUAACCCAUCUCGCCAGGUAUAAGGUUUUCCAGGACUAUUUUGAGCUUGCUGAAUAAUUUGUUCCAUAUAUGGGUGUCCAGUGGAGGCCUUUUUUAUGUCUUCCCAUAAAGUUACUUGUGGCACAGACAACGCAUUAAGAAUAGGGCUUCCAGACACUCUUGAUAAUGCAUCAGCAGCUGAGUUGUCGCGUCUUGGGCGAUAUAUGAUUUCAUAGUCAUAGCCAAGUAAUUUAGCCACCCAACGUUGUUGUUCUGGUGUCCCAAUUCUUUGCUCCAAUAGAUACUUUAGACUGUGCUGGUCCGUUUGAAUGAAGAACUUUUUGCCCAGUAGAUAUGGUCUCCAAGUGCGUAUUGCCUGAAGGAUGGCAAUCAUUUCUUUGGCAUAUGUUGACCAUGAAAGUUUGGCCACUCCGAGUUCUCGGCUGAGGAAAGCAAUGGGUUUACCUUGCUGUGUCAACACUGCACCAAUACCCUCUCCAGAAGCAUCAGUUUCAAUUGUAAAUGAUUCAUUGAAAUUUGGCAUAGCUAAAAUAGGUGUGGUUGUCAUAGCUUGUUUGAGCUGUAGGAAAGUUGCCUCCGCCUCUUGACUCCAUCUGAAUUGCCCUUUCUUCAAGAGAUUGGUUAAUGGCUUUGCCAGCAGACCAUAGUUGCGCACAAAUUUUCGAUAAUAACCUGUAAAGCCUAGAAAACCAGGUAAGUCUGAAAUAGUGCUUGGCCUUGGCCAAUUUACCAUAGCUGUAAUUUUGCUUGAAUUAACCUUGACCCCUUUAUUAGUCACAAUGUGACCGAGGUACUCGAGCUCUGACUGCCCAAAUGUAUAUUUGCCUUUACAAAAUAUGUAUGUUGCCGUAGAAUUUCAAAAACCUUUGUAACAUGUUCAAGAUGCAUGGUCCGGGCUAUAAAUCAAAAUAUCAUUAAAAAAAAAACUAAUAUGAAUUGACGGAGAUGAGGAUGAAAAAUAGAAUUCAUAAUAGCUUGGAAAGUGGAAGGAGCGUUGCAAAGACCAAAGGGCAUGACCAUAUAUUCGUAGUGGCCAUUAUGGGUACGGAACACAGUUUUGUGAGUGUCUUUUGGAUUUACUCGUACUUGAUGGUACCCUGCUCUUAAGUCUAAUUUUGUAAAGAAGGCAGCUCCAUGGAGCUCAUCAAGCAUGUCAUCAAUGGUAGGAAUAGGAAAUCGAUCCUUAAUGGUUACGCUAUUGAGAGCUCUAUAAUCAGUACAAAAACGCCAAGUGCCAUCUUUUUUUUUAACUAACAAAACAGGUGAAGAAAAGGGACUAGUACUUGGUUUUAUAAGUCCCAAUUUAAGCAUGUCUUGAACUUGUUUUUCAAUUUCAGUUUUUUGAAAAUAGGCAUACCUGUAGGGCCUCACAUUAAUAGGCUCAGUAUCUUCUUUAAGAGGAAUGCAAUGAUCAACUUCACGAGCUGGAGGUAACUGUGUGGGCUCAUAAAAAAUGUCCUCAAAGUUGUUGAUGAUUUCCUUCAUAUCUGUUUGCAUAUUGGGUCGUUCCAUCUUUUCUAUGGAUUGACAAUACACUGUAAAAGUGGAACAGCCAUGACGGACAUCUUUAGUAAUUGCUGAUAGUGAAGCAGGUUGUAUAGCUUGGCUAUUAGAACCAUUUAAUGUUUGAGCUUGAUUCUUCCACCAAAAGUCCAUUGUAAAUUUUUUCCAAUUACACACCACUGGUCCGAGUUGUUCAACCCAUUGUACACCAAGAACAAGAUCAAGGCCUGUGAUAGGUAUUGAAUAAAGGGUUAAUGAAAAUGGAAUGUUUUGGAGAAUAACCUGGACUUGUUCAAACCUUCCUUGGCACUUCAUUUGAUUGCCAUCUGCCACCCUUACAGUGAAGGGUCUCAUAGGAAUAACAGGUAAUUGAAGCUCCUCUGCUAUUUUAGAAUUGAUGAAAUUAUGGGUAGACCCACUGUCGAUGAGCACUGUUAGAGUGUGAUUCCCAACUCGUCCUUCAAUCCUCAUGGUUCGUGGUGUGGACCAACCCGUGAGUGCAUGGAGUGAAAUUUCUGGCUCAGUGUUCUCCUCAGCUAUGUCCUCUACUGGAAUGUCAUCAGUAACUUCUUCGCACAUGACUCUGACAGGUUCACUAAGGCUUUCUAGUAAUAACAGUUGCGGUCUUUGGCACUUAUGUCCAGCAGUGAAUUUGUCAUUGCAAUUGAAACAAAGCCCUUGUGCACGCCGUCUCUGCAUUUUAUCCCAUGUUAGUCUUUUUAUCGGAACUGGAAAACUGGAUUUUGGUGGGGGAAAAGUCAAUGGUGUGCGAGUUAAUUGUGUUGGCCGUGUAAAUUUCCCUUGCCGCAUUAUUUGUUCAUCCUUCAUUUUAUCUAAACUGAUAGCCUCUUUCAAAGUCCGUGGUUUGAACAUCCGAAUAGCAUCAGAAAUUUCUACUUUAAGUCCACCCAUGAAUGUUGUAACAACCCCGAUUUUUCUACAUUCUUUUUCGCGAUAUAUUGGAAAUUUUCAGGUAAAUUUUUUUUUUUGUGAUAUACAGGUUCCACCAAAAUUUCUACCAAAAUUUCGGCAGAGUCUCCCCUAUACUGGUAGGUCCCAGGUUAUCGACAUAUACCAUGUUUACACUUCUAAUAUCUCACAUCUCAUAACUCAAAAUCACGACCCAAUCAUCCUGGGUCUCAACCCAACUCAUUAUCAUCAACACAACACAUCUUAUUCAAUAACAUCAUAUAAUAUAGUUCAAAUGAAAGAUUCAAUUUCAACUAUAAAUAUGCAUGGUCAAAUAGGUACUAAGAGUUUAAACCAUUAGAGUAAAGACAUACAUUCAAAUUUACGGAUUAAUAUUACAUCUCAAGUUUUAUAAUUUACAUAGUCAAAAGCAAAAGAUAUCUAAACUAGCAUUACCCUUGACGCGACCCUGAUGGACCUGAAAAUAGAAAUUAACAUGUACACAUAAAUAUAAAAGAUAGUAACAAGCAAUAACAAUGGCAAACAAUAAUCUCUACGGAAUUUCUUUUGAUAUAUAAAAUUAGGCAUAAACCUCUUUUACAACAUAUAUUUUACAUUUAUUACCAAUAUCCAUCUAAUAUCCUAUCUCAUUUACCAAGAAUAAUUCCAUCUUGGAAAUCUCAACACAACUCAACGGUUUGCGAACACCAUCUCUUUAUAAAUCAAUUCUCACUUGAUACCAAGAUAUUCCUCUCUUGGUAUUAUUAGCUUAUCUCAUUCUUUUGGAAUAACUAAUUAAUAUUUUCCCUUUUCUGAAUCUGUUGCUAGAAGGUAAUCACUGAAACUAAUAAAUCUCAUUAGUAUCAUUAGUCUUCAAAUAUUGGGCUAGACUAAUCAAUUUAAGAAAUACUGGCACCGAUGAAACUUCAUCGAUACCAUUAGCAAUCCAAACUUGGAUGGCUAAUCAAUUCCAUUUGAUUCUUCCAUUCGUACCGAACCCCUUUUAUCUUUCUUAUUAACAUCAUAUGCAUUGUAACCACGGUUGCCAAGUAUCAUUUGCACACAAUCUUAGUUAUCGACACUACGGUCACUAAGCAUCCUUCACAAAACCUUGGUCACCUUCAUCACAGUGCCAAGUAUCAAUUUAUGCCCUUAGCCACCAUCAUUAUGGUGUUAAGUAUCAUUGUAAUGUAUCCUUAGCCACCGACACUAUGGUAACCAAUUAUCUAUCAAUUCACCUCCAAUCUCCAAGUCAUUGUGUCUACCCAAUAACCACAUUAAUUAAUUUACUCAAUAUGUUAGUCAUAUAUUAAUUAUUUUACUCAUAACAUUUAGAAUUUACUAUUUCUAACUUCAAUCAAUUAAUUCACAUAAUCUUUUCAAAACUUAACUAUCCGGCUAACUCAUCUCGAUUGCCAAUAAUUCUGGUAAUUUCAUAUAAUUACCCACACUUUUGGUUAACCUCCAUCGGUUACCAAUACAUCUGGUAAUUCCAUACGAAUUACUCAGCCUCCAGCUAACUUCUUUUGUUUGUCAAUUAAUCCUGUAAUUCCAUACGAAUUACCCCAUAUCCAGUUAACCUUCUUGUUAACCAAUAAACCCGGUAAUUCUCUUAAUUGUCCAAGAAAUCUGGCUAACCCAUCUUGGUUGCCAAGGUCAAUCCGGUAAUUCCAUACGAAUUACCCAUCAUCCAGCUAACCUCUCUUGUUAGCCAAUGAAUUCGGUAAUUCCAUACGAAUUACCCAUCAUCCAGCUAACCUCUUUUGUUAGCCAAUCAAUCCGGUAAUUCUAUACGAAUUACCCCAUAUCCAGUUAACCUUCUUGUUAACCAAUAAAGCCGGUAAUUCUCUUAAUUGUCCAAGAAAUCUGGCUAACCCAUCUUGGUUGCCAAGGUCAAUCCGGUAAUUCCAUACGUAUUACCCAGCAUCCGGCUAACCUCUUUUGUUAGCCAAUGAAUCCGGUAAUUCCAUACGAAUUACCCAUCAUCCAGCUAACCUCUUUUGUUAGCCAAUCAAUCCGGUAAUUCCAUACGAAUUACCCAAUAUCCCGGCUAACCUCUUUUGUUAGCCAAAUAAUUUCGGUAAUUUCUCUUAAAUUACCAAUAAUUCUCAUUUGUAAUAAUCACUCAACUUAUUCAUUUGUUUCAUUCUUUUAACAUCAAUUAAACACACAACACAAAUAUUUAAGAAAAACUAAUAAUUACAAAAUAAGGUGAUGAAUCACCUACCUAGAAUAGGUGCACGUGCUGCCACUCCAUGCAAUUGUCCAGUCCCCACAGCUUUCCCCUGUACCACCAGGGAUUCAAUUUUUAUCAACAAUACAACCAACAUCACAUCUUCAUUUAAUUCUCAUUCAACUAGUAUUCUCAAACUAAUCACAAGGAAUUUUCUUUAAGAUCUCAUACUCUUACUCAUUUUAAUGUUUAUAUUUAUUCUUAUAAUUUUGUUAUCAAAACCAUCACUCAACAGCAAUUCCAAGCAACGAUUAAAAAUUGUCUAAUUCCGAUCAAUUAAGCUUAACCAACCCAUAACACUAUCUAGUGUCUUAAUCAUAACUAAAGUUGUAAAACUCAGUUUUGGGCGUGAUUUAUAUCUCUAUGAAAGGCUAAACAUAGAGAUACAAAUUUUAUGAAGAAACCAACUCCAAAUUAUUUUGUUUUAAGGCUUAAAAUCAACAAUCACAAUAGCCCUUCUUUAUGGCUAAAAUUUUGGACAACGAGGAUUUUCAUUCCUUGGAAAUCCUUUUCAACUUCCAACUUAUUUUCAUGCAAAAUCAACAUCAUCCAAGGUCAUUUGGCAUCAUUAAAUCACAAGUUCAAACCAAUUCUAAAGCAAAACAUUCAAACAAUUUCCCUACCUCUACAAUAUAGCAAGAUUAGACCAAAAUAAGGAAACUCAUUCCUUUUGAGAUUUCUCCUAUUAUUAUUAUUAAUACAACAAAAUGAUGAACUAUUCAUUUUCUUUCGCUUUCUCCUCGUGCGAUUAAACAUAUACGGCAAACCUUAACAAUUAAUAUUCUCAGAUCAUUAUCACAACAAUAAUUUCACUCUACUAAUUGGGAUCCAUGACAACCUUCAUUAACUAACCAUUUGCUAAAAACACUUAUGGCUAGCUUUAAAUAUGUUUUAUUUUUUUCAAAUUUUUUUCAUUUCAAUUUCUUCAUGGUUCCACCCCAUUUAUAUCCACACAACCAACAAGUUAGCUUUCUAUUCAAUCAACAUGUUCUAUUCAAUCAACACGUUCAUAUAGCAAUAUUCUUUACUAUUCUUACACAACAAUCAUUCUUCCCCUCAUAUAAAGAAUACACAAUUAAUCUAUAAUAUUACUAAUAACAGGAACAUAUUUUAUCAUUACAUCUUCCAUAAAACCUACACCCACACAAUUCUAAUUUCAUCAAAACAUGUAUUUAAUCAAGCUUACUACAUUUUGCAAAAACUAGCAAUAGAUUCAAAAAGCAAUAAGUCAUCAACCUCUGAUUAUUGUUUCCCACCCAACGGUCAGACUACAUAUCAUAGCGUUGUGCAUAAUAUAUCUCAAAUUCAUAAUGAUCCAACGGUUAAAUCUCCCUAGAUCUGAAGAAAACCGAGCUUACCUGAAAAUGAACGAGCUACUGUUCAACAUGCACGCAACCUUGCCGGAGAAAUAUGUUCCGAUCUCCACUGUCCAGAAUGAAUUUAACAUCUACGCGCACCACAUAUCCAACAAUUAGCAUGAUCCAACGGUGGAAGAGAGAGAAAUCGGCCGGCGACCAAACUGCCCUGCAGGUGCAUUUCCUUUUUGUUUUCCAUGAAAUUCCAGAUGAUGAUUUCUGUCAAAUGGAUUGUGUUCCUUCCAAUCACUCCGGUCAGUUAGUAGAGGAGUGUAAUGAGAACAACACGUCCAAAACGCAGCUUGAUCCAACGGUUGAUUCCCGAGAUAUGACCACCGGAGCAUUAUUGGUUUUCUCCAAAAUUUGCAGCUCUCUCCCCUUAUCCGCUUUUCUCUAUUUUUUUUCUUUUUUUUCUUUCUUUUUUUCUUAACUGGUGGCCUCUUUGCAGAUUUAUAGGCACCUUUUUUUUUCAUAAUUACAAUUUUGUCCCUCUUUCAUGCUUUUAUGUAUUUUAUUUUAUUUUUCAUGUAAACUAUCUCGUUUAUUUCUGUUUAAAUCGCUAGUCUUUACCAAACUCUGAUUGGGAUGAGAUAUUUAACCAAGGUAGGAAAACAUAUUAAUAGGCUUCAUACAAAAUUUCAUCCCGAUCCGACGAUUGGAUUGAGAGCUCUGCUUCCUAAUGUAAAAUUGAUCAGUUCAUAACUUUUCGUAAACAAUCUAGAUUUUUUUUUUGUUCAAUCUUCACAAAAAAAAAAAACAUAUCAAUUAUCAUUCUAAACCUUUAAGGUCAUUUAAUUAUUUUGGAAUGUAUUCAUUUUAGGAUUUCCACCUUUAUUUAUUUAUCGGGCUUAUUAUCGUUUCAAAAUAACAUCACUGAUUUUUAAGCGGUGCUUGCACCUUCAGUCCUACCCUUUUCAUUGUACUAUCAUUUAUUAUAAUGUAUUCUUUAUUACCUCACUUAUUUCCUAAAAAUAUUUUGUCAUUUUUCUCAUUAUUUCAUCCAUCAAAACACGUUACCAGUUUCUCUAUCCUUAUGAAUUCUAAACCAAAAUUCAUUUUAUGAAGGUCAUCUCUUCUAUUAUAUAUCAUUAUUUAUCUAUUAUUUCUAAUCUUGGUUUCCAUCACUCAUUGAAAUAUUACCACUUUCAGUCUUAUGUUUACAUGAGGGUUUAUACAUCUACAUAUUUAAAUUAUAAAUUUCCAGGGUUUCACAAAUGUGCCCACCAGCGCCUUUUGAGUCCAACCAUGAACUCGAUUGCCCAACCUCUCAAAUUCCUUCUGAUAGUCCCUUAAGGAACCCACUUGUCUGACCUUUGAUAAUGCUUCAUCAAAAUCCUCAUAUUCUGUGGGCCCAAACCGUGCCCAAAGCUCUUCUUCAAAUAUCUCCCACGUGACAGUGCGCCCUUCUUCCUUGUGAGCUCGAUGCAACCAUUGCCACCAUUGGUUGGCUUCUCCUUCCAAAUGGAAUGAGGCCAAUGAUACUUUUUGAUUGUCCGCAGUCUCUUGAUAUUCAAAAAAUUGGUCCACCCAAUUGAACCAUUCGGUUGGAUCAUCCCCAGAAUAUCGUGGAAAGUCUAACUUGGCCAUUUUUUAUGAGAAGACGUGGCGUCCACACUCAUUAUCAGUUUUCUUCUUUCCCCCAUCAGUGUCAUCCCGAUAUGUGCGUGAGAAGCCAUCCCGGUCGUUGUUGUGGUAACUUGAAGACGCCUUGGAAGCGAUCAUGACCUCUGAAAGUUUGUUGAUGGUUUCCUCCAGGCUGUGCAAUCUAUUGAUCAUGUAAUCUUCCAGUCGCUGCAUGCCAUCUUGGACUCCACCAAGUCCUGUCUCCAAAAGCUCAAUUCGUUCUUUGUUUGUUGCCAUUGCGUAGGCUCUGAUACCAAUUGAUAAGGUCCCAGUCAAGAGUGAUACACAAUUGCAAAAAUGCUAGGAUUCUCUUAGGGUGAGAAUUUACCACAAUAUUGUUUGGAUAAAAAUAAUGCUAUUCUUUUUAUUCUUCUUCAUACAUAUAAAUAACUAAACCAUAACAACUUUCAGCAAAUCCCGCCGAAAUGGAAAUAACAGAUUACAAAACAGAAAUCCAAAUAAUGUGAAAGUGAUUUCUUUAUUUUCUCCCAUUGAAUCGGAAGCAUGAUUCCAAUUGACUUGCUUGUAACUCCCUUUAAUCACGAUAUCUUUUAAUCACGAUAUUUCAAAUUCUUUUUUAUGACACGUUGGGUCCUUCGUGGCAGCAGCUCUCCAAGCUGCGUAUCAGUUUCAUUCUUAACUUGUUAAGGAACAAGGACUGUGAUGCAUGGCUAUUUUAUAUUUUAUGAUUGAGAUGGUAGAUUUUAAAGAUUUUCCUGUUUAGGAGGUAAGACGUCACUUUCUUGCUUUUCUUCCGAGAGAAAGUAUUUGAUCCUUUCUUCAUAUAUAAUAAUGCUGCCAAGCAUUGAAUUUCUAAACAUCUUACCUUUUUGUUUUGUUUGUCGCAUUGUUAUCAAACUCUUUUGCAUUUAAUUGCAGUAUAUUGCUAUGUGUACGGCAUGCUUUAAUCAAAAAGUUGAGUACUCGAUGAAUGUUAGGCAAGAAAAUUACUGAUUAUUUUUGUUUUCUGCCUCCUCCUUUUCUUUCUCCCAACCUGAAAAUUGUCAUAUUAUUUUUGUUUUCAGCCGCCUCUUCUUCCCCCAACCCUGAAAAUUGUCUGAGGACACUUUUAUGCUUUGAAUCAAAUCCAUCCUAAUUCUUUCGCUCAUAACUUUAUGUGUGAACUGCCGAUGUUUGAUCAUUUGUCUUCCUUGUUCAGUGCCUUCUUUUUUUCUUUGACAUGGUUUCCUUUUUUCCUUUUAUCUUGAACAGCAUCCCAUAGUAUGCCCCCUCAAGUUCAGAAUCAUGGGCUAUUUCUCCCUAUCCUAUUGUCCACUGAUCAAUCUCAAGUACGCUAGCAGUUGUUAUCACAGAACAUGCAGAAUUGCAUGGCAUCUAAUGCAAUUCAAAGUUCUGCUGGUUUACUAGCGGCACUGCCUCUUGUCUCCGGUGUAACCCAGACUAUCCCCAACACUGUUGUCCAGAAUCCUAACAUGCAGAGUAUCCCCGGUGUUUCACAGAACUCAGUGGGGAAUUCAAUGAGACAAGGGAUUCCCUCCACUAUGUUUGCCAAUUCUCAUAAAGAAAUGCCAGGUAAUGCUCUUUUUGGUAGCUUUAUGUCUUCCACUUAUGGCAUUAGAAAUGCCACUGCUAUUGGAACUAUUGCAAUCACACAUGCAUUUGGCAUCACACGAUGCCCUUCAGUGCUCUGCACCAACUUUUCACCUCCCAUAAUGGUUCUAGUCAGUAAUGCUUUUUUAGGUAGCUUUAUGUGCUACUGCUGCCACUUAUGGCAUUAGUAAUGCCACUGCUAUUGAAACCAUUGCAAUCACACACACAUUUGUUACCCACAUCAUACCCUCCAGUGCAUUGCACCAGCUGUUCACCUCUCAUUCUGGAUUUAUAGGGUUUGUCCGUCUGUUUGAAUGAUUACAUAACGUUUAGAUGGAGUUCCUAGUACUCCUAGUUCAAAAAGACUUGUAUUCCUCUGUAGGAAAAUACUAAUAGUCCUAUCUAGAAUAGGAAAACCUAAUGAAGCUCGCUAUACUUUGGGAUAAUAAAAUACUAAAUGGAAAAUAAAAUGAGACUUGCAAUAUUCCAUAAUUUUCAGCAAGCGUGAAAAUUACAGAAAUACCCUUGUAUAUGGAAAACACACAAAAAUACAUGAAUUCUAAUCUUUGUUGCCCGCAUUGAAAUAUUUGUAGCAUCCCUAGAUUCUACAGCACAGACUGGACAUGCAAAAGGCGCUGAUUGACAAGAGUAGAUCUAUCAAAAGGUAAUUUCUGUGAUUUACUGUUCAUUAGAUGGAGUUCAUGUAUGCCAUAGUCUUAAAAAUAAAAGUGCACUAUUUCUGAAUGACUUACAGUUUAUCUUUUGUUAAGUGAAGAGUUAUUUGCACGAUUGCAAUCAACUUGUUGUGAAAAAUUUCCAGUAUUGAAUUUUAUAGAAAAUGAGGUUGAAAUUCUGAAUGUCUCAAGUCAUAACUGCAUAUUUGAUAAGGACAUUUUUCUUGUGCUUAAGUGAGUAUUAAAACGGGAAUAAGAAUGGUUGUUGUUAAGGAUCCAUGGGGUCAUGCAUAGGAUCUAAGGCUAAGAAGCGUCGCUAAAGUUGUGAAAUCCAUUGACUUGAGCUAGAACAGCAGAAAACAAUGAUGUGUAGUUUGCAGGGAGACAGUAACUGAACUUAACCAACCCCUGAAUCUUGUCUAAUGGUGUACUUACACAGUCCUUUGCAUCUUUCCAUUCCAUCAAUAUCGACAUCCUGUUGAGUUUCUAGCAUUAAUUCCACUCUAUUAUUUUUAUCUCAACUAAUUUAUGUUGUCCUCUGCCCUUUUUUUGUUAUUUUAUUUUUAUCAAUUCCCUUAAGUUUGUUUGUUUUACUUUCUUUCUGACUGGCACCUGAAGAGAUCAAGCAUAUGAGCGAUAAUGUUUUGCUGGUUAUUUGUACUUCCUAGAUCAAAGUUAUGAAGGAGACUUAUUUCCCUGAAAUAAAUGAAAUGUAUCAGAGAAUUGCUGCCAAGUUACAGCAGGUAAAUUGUCUCUGAAAUUUCUUCCGGAUUAUCUGUGCAUGCAUGAUUAUCUGCAAUUUCCCCAUGUUGAGUUUUGUAUUAGUUUGUUUUCCUCAUCAGCAUUGCCUGUCACUGUAUCAUCUGCACUAUUCACCUACCCCACCCCCAACCGCCCCCACAACCAUGCAUCGACACAGAAGAAGUGGAAUAGAAACAUUUUGUUUCACUAAUGUUUUGCUACAAAGGAUCAAUGCAAUUUUUAAUUCUCGUGUAUGUUAACUUUGCUUUCUAGCAUGACUCUCAUCCGCAACAACCGAAGUCGGAACAGCUUGAAAAGCUGGAGGUAUUCAAGGCCAUGUUGGAGCGCUUGAUAACAUUCUUACAGGUCUCUAAAAACAAAAUCACACCUAGUUUCAAGGAGAAAUUGGGUUCCAAUGAGAAGCAUAUUGUAAGUUUUCUAAACCCAGGCAGAUCAGGAAGCCAAUUCCUAAUCUACAGCGAGGACAACUUCCCCAGCCUCAUGUGCAACCUAUGCAGCAAUCCCAGUCUCCAGUUCCUCAAUUGCAGUCCCAUGAAAAUCAACUGAAUACCCAGUUGCAAUCAAUAAAUGUGCAAAAUUCUAUACCAACAAUGCAGCAGAACAAUAUGUCAAGCUUGCAGCAUGGUUCUCUUUCAUCUUUAUCUGGGUUUUCUAUGUCACAACCAAUCAUGAUGAUGUGGGACGAGAGAUUUUACGAGAAGAAAAGGGGGUAGAGAGAAUGAUAUUGUAGCAAAAAUAACUAAUCAAAUAGAAAGGCUGAGCUUAGAGACAGCACACUACAAAGGAAGCACCCAAUAGCUAGACAUACAAUCAUAACAAAUUCAUCUUCUAAAGUUGGAGAACUUGCGAAAACUAGCAACCAUAAAAUAGUAACAAGUAUCUAUGCAAUCUUCGAUGAAGUACAACCACCUACGUCGCCAAUAUGGAUUGAUGUAGAGAACUGCUGCAAUCGUCAUCACCACAACUGUGUAACAUACACUGAAACUGAUGUAGAAAAACUCCAUGUCUAUGAAACCAUCAUCUUCUUGUUCAUCAUGAGGCACUGGCUGGGACAACACUACUUCUUCACUACAAUUGUUUCGCAAUGGAGGUCCACACAAGAAAGGAUUUCCUUCGUAACAGCUUUCAUCGAAGGUCCCAAACUGAUAUUUUCUCUCGGGUGUCUUACCUGACAAGUUAUUGUGCUCCACACUAAAAACUUCUAGUGUGGUCAUUUCAGUAAGUUGUGGAGGGAUGUCACCAUUCAAGUUGUUGUAAGAAAGAUCCAAACUCUCAAUCCGCUUCAGGUUUGAGAAUGUUGCAGGGAUAGAUCCAGUGAGAUUGUUGUGUGAUAAGUUUAAUGACAGUAUCUCGCUUAAGUUUCCAAAUUCUGGUGGGAUUGCUCCUACAAAGUUGUUAUUGGAGAGAUCAAUACCAGACAUGUAGAUGAGAAUUUUCCCUUUGUAACCAUAAUACAUAUUUUUAGUUGUAAAUUCUAUCACUUCUUCUGUAAAGUUAGUCCAAUAACCCUUUAAUAAGGUGUAUAUGCUAUCCACUUGUGGUGGACCCAUUAUUUCAUAAUAAGCCUUUUCUAAGAACCCUGGUAGUAAAAGAACAUCGAGAUUCACUAAUGCUUUCUGGGAACUUUCUUUGAAAGUAAGAUUUUCCAAACAGGAGGGUAAUGGACCAGAAAGCUGGUUUUGUGAAACAUCCAAAAUGCUUAAUUGUUUUAAUAAGCAUAACUGAACAGGGAACUCACCAUCAAAGUGAUUAGCUCUCAGAAGAAGAACACUCAAUGAUGAAAGAUUGCCAGCCCAAUUUGGAAUUGAGCCGGUGAAGCUGUUAUCUCUAAGAUCCAUCGUAACCAGGGAAGAGCUAUUAUAAAAUCCAUAUUUUAAUGGACCGCUCAAUCUAUUUUUGGAUAGAUGCACAUGGGUUAUUUGUGGUGAAUUGAAACAAGAUGGAAUAUAUCCAAACAAAUUGUUCUCAGAAAGGUCCAAAUAUUCAAGCUGGUCAAACUUACAAAAAAAGUCUUUUGGGAUAGGACCCUUAAAAUGGUUUUUUGAAAAAUCAAUUGCUCUAAGGUUCGUCGAAUUGACGAACCACCUUGGAAGCAUGCCUGAAAAUUGAUUGUUACUCAAAUCCAAUACAAUCCACGUUUUCCACCCGUUUAAUGGAAAAUCUGAUAUUUGACCCCAAAAGUUGUUAUCACCUAGAUAGAGAUAUUCUGAGGUAGAAGAAUUGAACACGGAGGUUGGUAUUUGCCCACCCAAAUUGUUGUUUGACAGCUUGAGAAACAUUAAUGUUGUUAGUAGUUCUAGUUUUACCGUGGACAAUUGAUUGUUGGAUAAAUCUAAAACUCUCAAAGAGCUAAUAUUUCCUAAACAAGAAGGAAUACAACCCGUGAAUCCAUUCUUAGCCAUCCUUAAUCCCUUCAGAUUUGGAAAGAUCAAACAAAUAUCCUUUGGAAUUUGACCGCUCAUGUUGUUGUUGGAUAUAUCCAAUUCGGUCAUUUUCGGAUAUGGGUGAUCUUGCAACUGCAAAGUACCAACAAAGGAGUUCCCGCUCAGAUAUAGUUGCUCCAAUCGUGUAUUGUUCUUAAGCAACCACGAUGGAAACAUUCCGGUGAUGUUGUUGUGGGAGAGAUCAAGGAAUCUUAAGUGGUAUUGGUAAUAGAGGAAGUUGGGAAUUUCUAUAUUGAGUGCUUCCGUUGUUUUUGUCGAGCUAAAAAAGACUAGUUGGAACUUUGGAAUCAACUGAUCAAAUGCAGCAGGUUCUAUUACUAAUCUGUUGUUCUCAUUGCAGAAGAACUUGAGGCUUGAGUGGUUCAUAAAAGGUUUCAUUGAAGUGGGAACUUCAAAGAGGUUAUUUGAUAGUGAGAGGAAUUCAAGGGAUAUGAGGUUGGUAAGGGGACCGAAGGCAAUAUUUCCAGUAAAUUGGUUUUCAGAAACAUCUAAUAGUUGUAGAGAAGACAAGUUCCCCAAACAAUAUGGGAGUGAACCUCCUAAAUCAUUUUCAGAGAGAUCUAAUUGCUUCAGAUUCUUCAUUUCACACCAACCUGUACAAUUUAUGGAUAUAAAGUCGUUAAAGAUGAAGGCUAAGUCAAACAUGAUAAAAUACUAUCAUUAAAUUGAUCAUUGCAUAGAUAUAAAGUCCUUUUUUAUAUAUAUAUAUAUAUAAUGUAAUGAAUAUUAUUGAUUAUUCAACAUAGUUUUAAAUAAUAUAAUAUUUUUUAAAUUUAUAAUAUUAUAAAUUAUAAAAUUAUUGAUACUUGCAAUGAAGACCAAGUCUCAAAAUACCAUAUCCACUGGCAGUGGUAAUGCAGCGAAGCAUUGAAUUUCUAAACAUCCUUACCUUUUGUUUUAUAUUGCUAUGUAUAUACAAUGCUUUAAUCAAAACCUAUAAUGCAGGAAUAUCUGCAGAUGGCCAUUCCCAAAGGGAAAACUAAUCUUCCCUAGAAUAUUACAAAGUGCCAUUUCUACAGUGAGACACUGAAUAGUGAAAUUAGUGUUUCGUUUUUGUUGUUUUGUUGCUGAUAACUAGAUCUGUUAAAUCUUUUCCCUGUACUUUUACAUUAUGCAGUAAACUGGUCCCUUCAUUAGUUUUUCGUUAGUCAAAUAUUGUAGAGCUGUCAGCAAUAUUUCCUCUGUUUGUUCCACUAACUUGACGGUAAAAUGUGAUUAAAGAAUCAAUUAAUUAUUUAAAAAACGUCGAGGGAUUAAUUUGUUUGUUUCACAAAAAACAGACACUGGUUAUAUAAAAUUAUACUCAAAUUUUUUUCAUCAUAUGCGUGUGUUUACUUGUAAAUAUUUUGGAAGGAACUAGUUUAUGUUUUGCGCAACAUAAAAAAAAUCAUCUAGGCUUAAGAAACUAGCUCGAUCUAGUGGAUUAAUUUUUAAUUUUUUUUAUUUGACUUUUUAUCUAUAUCAAGUUUAACAUGAAAGUUAAUGUCUUUGUUUAAUUCGCAUGAUAACAAUUCUAUGUCUAAGAUCAUUUGGUUGGCAUACAUAUGUAAACCUAGGUGUUGUUAGUUCGAGGGAAGGAAGACACAAUAAAAAAUAAACAAACAUGGAUGAUAUGUCAUUUAUGUUUUACUUUUUUUAAUUAAAAAAACAGGCUUAAUAAAAAAUAUCAAGCGAGGUCAGAUGCGCGAGCCUUGUUUUAUAAUUUUUUAUUCAAAUUUUAAUAAUUGUUUUCAAUUAUUAUGCAUAUGACAUAAAAAUCUGUUCAUGAAAAUUAAAUUCAAAUCACUUUUUUAAUCUUAGAAUUUUUAGAUAUAUUUUUAGCAUAAUUUUAUCAUAUUUAUGAUUUUUUUUAACUUUCAAUCACAUGAAUAUAUUAUUUUGAUACAUUUUUAAUUUGUUGUGACAAUUAUAGAAUAUUCUUUUAAUAGAAACAAUGAUUCUAGUUAAGAAAAAAAUCUUGCAUUCAUCGAGAUAAACAAGAAAUAUGUUAAUAAGAAAAUUUAUCUUGAUGGAGAAAAAUUCAAAACGACUAAAUUUUCAAGUUUAAUAACAAUGCCAAGGAGUUUCCUUAGACUUGGAUAUUUUGUUCUACGUUUAAAGUUUUUUUUAUCUCCAUAACAUAGCAUUAGCAUACAAACUUGUAUAUUUUUAAGACAGCGUUUGGUUACUAUCCGGGACAAUAAAGACAAAGACAGAGGAGACAAGACAUAAAAGAAGAUGGAGAUAGAAUUGUGUUCAGUAGUGAUGUACAAGAUAAAAUAAUUGUCUUUGUAUCAUAUUUAGUUAUGUUGAAUAAGAAAGAAUAAAAUACAUAAAAAACUAUUUUACCUUUAAUAUGUAUUGUUGUCAAACUUCCAUAUUUAAAAAAUAAUUAUUUUUAUUUUUUUACUUUAGUUUAUAUUGAAUGUUGAAAUUAUUAAUAUUAUAAUAACCCUAAUUAUAAAACCAGGACUGAUUUGACAGGUUGGUUUAAGGCGUAGACUUGCCCGAGUUUUAGAAAAAUAGAUUAAUGAUUAACUAGACCUGACCUGGUAAAAAAUAUGAGUCAGGUUAAGAUAAAACACAAGUAAAAAACCCAUUGACUUUUUUGAAAAAGAAAAUUGGUCAAAACAAGGUUUCUUUGACUAUUUUUUUUAAAAAAAAAUUGGGUCAAUCAGGUUGACCUUCCCAACCCAUGACCUACACCUUUCCUUUGGUCAACUCCUAAGUUGAGUUUUAAAACUAUGAUAUUAAUAAUUUUUAUCCAUACUCAGGUCAACCUGUGUUGACCCUCUCGAUCCAUGACCUAGGCCUUACUUCUGUCGACUCCCGAGUCGGGUUUUAAAAUAUGAUAAUAACUAUUUUUAUCCUUACAUUAAUCCGGGUCGACUCUCUUGAUUCGUGACCCGAGUCUUACCCCAAAUUGACUAUCGAAUCAAAUUUUAAAACUAUGAUUAUAACCACCUUUAUUUUAUGUUGACCCGGGUCAAUCCGGGUUGACCCAUAUAACACGUGACUCAAGCCUUAUCCCGAGUCGAUCCCCGAUUUGGGUUUUAAAACUAUAAUAAUAACUAUUUUUAUCAUUACAUUUACCUAGGUCAAUAAUCAACCUCACUUGUGACCCCAAAAUUGCCCGGGUCGACCCUUAAAUCGAGUUUCAAAAUAUGAUAAUAACUAUUUUUAUUUUUAUACUAAUACAGGUCAACUCAACUCGUGACUCGGGCCUCAACCAGUGACCCAGAAUUUACCCCGGAUCGACCUCAAAGUUGGAUUUUAAAACUAUGAAAAUAAUUAUUUUUACCUUUAUAUGUCUUAAUUAGACAAUUUAGAAUUGAGAGUUUUUUAUAAGGAUAUUUUAGAAAUAAAAAAUAAUAAAUAUUGUCUCUAUAAACAUGUCCCUUCUAUACCUCAUAUUUUGAAAAUAUAAAAAUUCACUCUAAAAUUAUUCUAGAGACAAAUUUAUUUUUAUGUAUUUGUCUUUAUCUCUUUAACCAUAUAUAUUUAUAUCUUUAUUGUCUUCAUCCUUUUUAUCACACGACAAUGACCAAACAUUACCUAAAGGAUCUACAACUACUGAUGACAAACUUGGCUUUAUUUCAUCUUUGAUUUCUUCUCAAUGAUAUCUCACCUAUAUGUGUGGAGGCACUAGAUCGUUGAUUGAAAGGUUGACUUUGAAAAAAUAUAUUCAUAAAGUAAUGUUUGAAUCUUGGUGUUUUUUAUUGGCUCAAAAAAAUUACCAACCCACCAAAACCAACAUGUAUGAAACAUUUAGAUUUAAUAUUAUAUGUAUAAUUUAUUAUCAUAAUUGAUAUGCUAUUCAACUCACUAACUUAGUAGGAUGACCUAUAAUACCUGUUGAUCUAGGAUUUUAGCCGAAUCAAGCUUUAAGCCAGAUAUAAUAACUAUGAUUUUAUAAAAUUACUAUGAACUUCCCUUUUAUGUCUUCUUAUUUACUCAUUUGAUUUUAUGAAGUUAAGAUGUUUGCAUUUAUAUCAUGAUUAAACUCUAGGAUAACAUUUAGUUAUUACUUCAGGAUAACAAAAAUAAAGAUAGUAAAGACAAAAUUAUGUUUGGUUGAAAAGACAUAGAUAUAAAAAUAAUUUUUUUCAUGGGAUAAUUUUAGAGUGAAUUUAUGUACUUUCAAAAUAGAAAGUACAAAUAAGAUAUAUCUUCAUAAACAAUAUUUUUUAUUUUUAUUCCUAAAAUAUCAUUGAAAAAACUUUCAAUUCCAAAAUUGUCUAAUUAAAACAUGUAAGAACAAAAAUAGUUAUUAUCACAGUUGUAAAAUCUAACUCGAGGGUCGACCUGGGACAAGGCUUGGGUCAUUGUUUGGGUUGACCAUUGACCCGAGUCAACAAAAAAAUAAAAAUAGUUAUUAUUAUAAUUUUAAAACCUAACUUGGAGGUCGACUCAGGGCAAGACCCGGGUCAUAGGUCAGGAGGGUCAACUCUGGUUGAACUGAGUUAAUGUAAGGAUAAAAGUGGUUAUUGCAAUAGUUUUAAAACUUGACUCAGAGAUCGACCUGAUGUAAGCUCAGGUCUUGGGCUAGGAGGGUUAAUGCAUGGAUAAAAAUAAUUAUUAUCAUGAGUCGAUUUGAGACAAAGCCUAGGUUAUGGGUUGGGAGGGUCAACCCGAGUUGACCCAAUUUUUUUUUUUAAAAGAAUCAACACAACUUUGUUUUGACCAUUUUUUUUUAAAAAAAAAUAGCUGGUUUUGCCCUAUGUUUUAUCCCGAGUCGACCUGUGUUUUAUCCCGAAUCAACUCGGUUUUUUAAUUCACCUAUCUAUUCUUAAACUUAGAUUAAUACAGGCUUAGAGACGACUAGGUCCCGAAUAGAUUCACUAGGUCAGUCUAGGUUUUAUAACUAGGAUUAUUAUAAUAUUAUUAAAAUUAAACUAAAGUAAAAAAAAAUCUAAUUAUUUGUAUAAAUAUGUAAGUUUAACAAUAAUGCAUAUUAAAGGUAAAAUAAUUUUUUUAUUUUUUAUUUUUUUUAUUUAUCAUUAUCAAAUAAGAUAUAGAGACAGUUACUACCAAACACAAUUUUAUUUUCAUCUCCUUUUAUAUCUUGUUUUCAUGGUCUUCUUCCUUUUUAUUCAGGACAGUAACCAAAUAUUACCUAGUUAUAACAUAUAGAAACAUAUAAGUUGUCAAGUUCAAGCCUUUCUCUUAUCGAUUUAAAUAAAUUGAAACACAAUUGCAAGAAGAUUCGAGUGUGUUUGGUAUUGUGAUAGCUUUUGUGGUUGUGAUUUGAAAAAAAAUUGUUUUAUAAAAAAUACUUUUGGUUGAGGUUGGUUUGGUAUUUAUAUAUAUUUGGUUCAAACUGUGGUUGAAAUUGAGGUUGAACAAAAAGUAGUUUAAUGUGUUUGGUUAAGAAUGCUUUUCAAAUUGAGGUUAUAAAAUAAUUAAAAAAAGAUAUUAAUAUUAAUGGUUUUUAAUUUAAAUAUUGUAGAUUUAACUACUGUUAUUACAUCAUGAAAUAAAUAAUACUUUAUAUAAAAUAUUUUUAUUGUUCCAUUAAACUAUCUACAAUUCCAUCACGUACGAAAUCCAUCCGACAAGGACUACAGUUUCCUUGGUUUUUUAAGUGCGCAACAACAUCAUGUAAAAUAUCAUCAAGAACAAAAUUAGGAUUGCGAUCAAAUUCUGUAAAUGUUACGUCAUUAAGCGAUCUCCUUCUAAUUUAUGUAGUGUCAUUGAAUAAUGUUAAACAUUAGUUUUUUUGAAUAAAAUACAAUUAAAAAUAAAAAAAUUGAAUUUUAUUUUAUUUUACUGGGUCGGACCCGGUUCAAUGCAUUUAGCUUUGAACCGGACCCAAUUCGGCCGGAAUAAUAAAACAUUCUCCACUGUUCACGUGAACAGUGGAGAGUGAAGUAAUUCACUCUCACUAGGUGGAGACAACAGAAGAAAAGAAAAGGCAGCUUUGAGCUGCUUUCAAUGACACUGCAUUUUAAACAUAAAUUAUAAUGGAUCCUGUAAACAGUAAAUAAUAUUUUAUUAAUUAUCACAUGAUUGAUUUCUGUGGUUUGUUACAAAAACAGAAGCAACCACAGAAAUAAUCAGGUUCAAAGAAGAAAAGACAUAUGAUUAAAGUGCCACGCAACCUUUUGACAUUAUCAGUAUUUUGAUGUAUUUCCAUUAAUUUAUAAUAUACAAGUAUAUUUCCACGUUUCUUUUAUUUGGAUAGAACAUCUUUCCAAUAGAAUUUGUUUUUAUUAGAAUUCCAUAUUCAUGAUAUUUUUUUAAUAAUAAAAAUAGCAUUGGAUGAGUUUGUAUGUCAAUUGAAACUAAAAAUGUGUUAGAUACGAUCGAUGGAUUGAACAUGAUAAUAUAAAUAUCAAAUAAUGUUUAAUUAGAUUAAAUUGAACUAGAGAAUAUAUGUUUUUAUUCUAUGUUUGGUGCACACAAAAUAAGAUCAAAUAAUUUUAUUUUUAUCAUUGAGAUUUUUUCAAUCAUUUAUUUUAGUCUUUGCAUUUUAUUUUUAUGAUAUUUUAGUCCUUACUAGAAUUUCUUUAUCAUCUAGAACAAUCUAGUUCUUAAAUCAAAAAGGUUUUUGCAAUUAAACUCUUACAUGUAAAUAUUUAUUUUAAUAAAAUUGGUCAAAUUUUGGUUUUCCAAAUUAAAAAAUAAAUAAGUGAUAAAUAAAUAAUAGAUAAUAUAAAAAUUAAGAAAAAAUAAUUUUGUACAAAUUUUUUGUCCUGAGGAAAACUUUGGACAAGACAAUGACAAUGAUCAAUCCUUGUCAUGUCCAAAGUGUAUAUCAAACAUUUCAUAGCUUGCCAUGUGCAACAAAUAUAUCACAACUUGUUUUUAUUGUAUUCUAUUAUGAUCUCUUUUGUGUUUUAUAUUAUUUAAUAUAUUAAAAUAAAUUUAAUAAAUUAUACUGAAGCAAGAUCUAAUAUUAGAAAGUUAACGGAAAUAAUAAAUGUACCUUUGCCCGUCCCUUCAACAAAAUGCUGAGCUGUAUACUAAUUCUCAGAGGCAGUGAUAACUAGUUGUUCUAACUAAUCCCUAUACUUUUAAAUAUGUUUACAAUUCAGUCCCUUCAUUAAUUUUUCGUUAGUAAAAUGUUGAGCUGUCAGCAAUAUUUCCUUAGUUUGUGCCGCUAACUUGACGGUAAAAUGUGAUUAAAGGAUCAAUUAAUUAUUUAAAUCAACUUGAGGGAUUAAUCUGCAUUUGCUUAACAAAACGACAAACACUAGUUAACUCAAAUUUAAGGUAUGUUUGUUUUUAUAUUUCAAAAACGUUUUGAAAAAAUUUGAAAAUUUUUUAUUUUUUUCUUUGCUUCAAAUUAAUAUUUUUUGGUAUUUUUAGAUCAUUUUGAUAUGCUAAUAUUAAAAAUGAUUUUUUUCAAAAAACAUAUUUUAAUAUAUUUCUGAGUGAAAAACAUUUUAAAAAAUAUCUGUAACCACACUCUCAAACAAUCACAUUCCCAUACAGGUUAAUCAUCAUAUGCGUGCAUGCGUGCGUGCAAGUGGGGUUCAAUCCGGGUGCCCUAGCAUUAUAUUAUAAUACUUAUAUAUAUAAGAAACCCUGUAUGGAUUCGUACAACACUGGAAUGCAAUGAUUGAAUGAAAUAUUACAUGGACAUUGGACCUGCUGUGUAAACAUGUUUAGGAUGGAUGCGACGACAUUUCAGAGUUUUUGCUUUCAACUUGGAAACCAAUGUCAUAACCCAAUUCUGGGUUAUUCCCCAAAAAUCAUUUUUUUUUCAAAAUAAAAAUCAAAAUAAUAAUAAUAAAAGCUGGAAACGUGGAGAAGGCAAACCGGGGAAUCAAGUUGUAAUUUUGGAGGAAAUUCAAGGCCUAAUUGUACCCCAUUAUGCCAAAAAAUGGAGGAAAAAAAUGCAAAUUCAAGGUCAAAUUAAAUGACUAUUGGAUGAAUUUGCAUAAAAAUUAAGUCCAAGAACAUAAUUAAAUUUUUAAUAGGCCAAUUUGAUUUAAUCAUGGGCCAAAUUGAAUUUUAAUUAUGUUUAAGAAUUAAUUUGGGUCCAAUUGAAGGAUUUAGUUAAGUGCAAGGACUUAAUUAUACUUUAAAUGGGUAAAAUUAAUUUUAUUUGGGGCUUAAUUGGUGAAAAAUUAAGUUUGGGAGCCUAAUUUGGGCUUAAUUGAGAAGAUUGGAAUUUUAAGAGAUCAAAUUUAAUUUUUUCCAAGUUAAUUGCUUGAAAUCAGGGGCCAAAUUGCAAGAAAAUUGAAGUUUUGGGGUCAAUUAGGGGUUAAAUUGACAAAAUUUGCAGCCAAGGACCAAUAUGCAAAAAGUGCCAAACUAUAGGGCCUAUUGGCAAAAUCCAGGGUGAAAUUGAAGAAAUUGAAAGUUUAAUGGUUGAUUAGGGGUUAAAUUGCAUAAAUCCAAGACUAAAGACUUAUAUGCAAAAGGCGCGUAAAUUUGGGGUUCCAAUUGAAGUUCAGCAAGGGCGUAAUUGCAUUAAAUCAAAAGUUUAUGGUCAAUUAGGAGUUCAAUUAAAACAAAUUGAAAUCUGGAGGACUAAAUUAAAACUUAGUUAAAAUCCCUAAUUCAAACCUAAAACAACAUUGUUUUGAAUAAUAAUAAUAAAAAAAGAAUCAGACAACACGUCGUCUGGUCAUUAUUUAUUGUCUUCUUCUUUUACCCGGUUAAUCAUCAUAUGCGUGCGUGCAAGUCAGGGUUAUUGUGUUGUCUAUUCCGUGUGUAAUGUGGGGUUCAAUCCAUGUGAAUCGCACGACUUGUCCAUAUCUUUCUUAUUGAUUACAAAUAGCAUUGAGAAUUAAAGAAUAUUAUCUUAAUAAGUUCCAAUUUAUUCUACAAAAACUAUAUAUAAAGAUGUGACAAAAUCUUAAGUUCCAUUUUAUUCUACAAAAACUAUAAAGAUGUGACAAAAAGAUGCAGCUUACGGAUCAAGCCUGGUUCAGGUUUUGAUCCUGUUAAAAAUCUAUUUUGUUGAAUUGUUCAUCAACUCGUGAAUUAUUGGGUUAAAUAGAUUAAUUUUUUAAACAAAACAAUGCCAUUUUUUUUAUAUAUAAAAAAUUUGGUUCUGGCGUAUAAAUAUAAUAUUAGAAACUUAAACCUUAUUGAUUAGCAAAAACUCAAAGGGAAAUUUUGAAAUAGAUUUUUGUAAAAUCAAAUAUGAACCAAGUACUAGAAAGUUUGUUUGAAAUAACAAUUACUUUAUAGAAAGCAAAUAUAAAUAUAUUUAUUAAAUUUAAUAAAGUUUAAAAUCAGCAAGUUAAGCUACGAAACCCUGAUCAAUUUAAUAUAAUGCCGUUCAAUACAAAAAAAAAAUACAUCUUAAAAAAAAUUUAAGUUAAAUCAUGUUUCUACCUAUUAUUUAGGUUGUCUUCAGACUUAUAAAGUCGACUAGGUUAUAUUAGAAAAACUUUUAUAUAAUUAAAUUUAAAACUCGAGUUAGGAAAUUUUAAUAUUGAUUUGUUGAAUCGGAUUUAAUAACAAUACCAAAAAUCUAAAAUUUACUUUUUUAAUCAAUUUUUUUUAAUUCAACUCGUAUCAUAACACAGUAUAGUAAAAUAAAUAGAUAUAAAAUAUUUUGAUGGAUCCUCGGGAUAAGAGAUUGUUUUAGGACAUUUUGCUAAUUUCUUUUGUUAUCUAAUCAACAAGCUCAUAGUGAAUAAGUAUAUAAAUAUAUACAAUUAAAUUAAAUAACAUAUAAGAGAAAAAUGGUCGAAAGGUAAAGCUAAAGUGAUGCGACGUUGAGCCACUAGUCGAUAGUUGUAACGUCAGUUUGUUGGUUCGUCGUUCGUUUCUCGGAUUUAUUGAUCUUUAGAUUGUCUGUUUCUAGAAAAGAAAGAAAGAAAUAUUUAUAUUAUCAAUGCAAUGCAAUGCAAUGACUAAUAAGAGCUUGAAAUUAAGAGGUUUGCUUUCUCUAUAGUUUCAGGUUCGAACCCUGUGGUUGCUCAUAUGAUGGCCACUGAAGAUUUACAUGGUCGUUAACUUUAGGGCCCGUGGAAUUAGUCGAGGUGCGCAAAUUAUUAUCAUUUUAUCAAUGUAUACUACAUCUUUUUCUCAAUUGUUUGAGUUUGAAAUUAUAUCUGUGAACCCAUUAAUUUAUCUAGAAAAAAAAAAUUUAGGUAAUUGGAUCAAUCCUUGAUAUCAUAUAGAGAUAAAUUAAUUGUUUUGAUUAAAACAAUAUCAUUUUAUUUAAAAAUAAAUUUAUAAUAUUAAUUGAAUCACUAAAAACACAACUAGACCAAUCAUGUUUUAAAUAUUUUUAAAUAUUUUUAUAUUUAAUUUGAAAUUGAUUUAAAUUAAACUUUAAAUUAUGGGUUUUUCAAACUAACAUGUGUUGGGUUACGUCGAUUGAGUUAGGUAUAACAUAUCUAGAAGAAUUUAUUAAAUUUCUCUAUAAUUAGUCAAUCGAUGAGGGAAUUUAGUUUUAAUUGAUGGAGAAAUUAAUUUAAAGAUACCAUGCAAGAUAUAAAAAAAAACAUUUAAAGAUAUCAAUUAUUGUUUUCCGUUUAAUUAUAAAUAGAAUGAAGAGAGCGAUGCUCGCUGCACUUUUAUAAGCGACUAAAGUAGUUUCCAUCUUAGAUACAGUUAGAAUCUCCCAUAUCUGUCAAAAUGCCAAAAAAGCUAUUCGCAAAGAAACUCUCAAAAACUGACAUUAAUUAAAUAUAGAAUGGCAGUUCCAAUGGAAAGCCUCUACGCUUUCCAAAUCCCAGAAGGAGAACACUCUAAAGAAUUUGGUGUCACUGGCAUCCAUGGCAAGAGGUGGAGGUUCCGAUGUUGUACAAGAAAAACUGAGUUGAUCACCUUAAACCAGUCAUGUUUUCAGUUUGGAUUGAGUUCGCCAAAAAAAAGGGUUCUCAAAAAAGGUGAUGAAGUCACCUUCUCUGUGCUGGACAUGAAGGGAGCUGAGGAUCUGGAAUUGGGAAUUCAAGCUCGGAAAAGAAUCAAGCUAUUCGGCCAAGAUUUUUGGAGUAAUCCUUUGUGAAGAAGAAGAAGAAGAAGAAGAAGAAGCUACUCCUCGCAUAAGUAUAGAUUUUGUGCACCGAAGAUUGUGUCUGUGAGUAAUAGAGCUGGUUGCCUAUGUACAAUUAGUAUGCUUUGGCAGGAACUUCGUGACUGGUCCUUGGAUAGCUGAGAAAGCCAAGUCUAUGGCAACUUCAGGGGAAUCCAGGAGCAGGAAAAAAAUCAAGGUGAAAGGAUAUGAAUUUGCUAGUGCAACUGCUGCAAAGGAUCUAGGAGACAUAAAUUUGCGAACUAGAGAAGAGUUAAUUUUGAGCUCUGCAUUCUUCUUGCAUGUUCAUCUGUUUCCCGUUGUGGUUGAUCUUAGCAGUUCUCAGUAUAGUAAUUUGCAUUUCCUUCUAGAUCAGAUGAUUAAUGGAUUAUCAGGCAUGGACUGCGAUGUAGUCGGUGCUAGGGAAUCAACAAAGUUAACUCAUUGUAUUUUCAUAAAUUAAAGGGAUUUCUCUUCUUUUCUUUGUCAAUUACAGUGCAUGAUGUAUAAAAGUUUUCUUACUCAGAGUAAAUGCUAUUGUAAUGUUUUCACAGAGACUCCUCUAUUUUGCAACUAAUUCACUUAUAUAUCUUGGAAACAGAAAGGCAAUCAACGAAGAGUAAGGCAUCUUCUGAAGAAACAAAGAAAUUUAAUGCCCUAAACUAAGCAGCAGGUAGAAGGCAAAAACUGAGCUCAAAUUUUCAGUAAGGGACAAACGAAAAAAACCAAAAAGAAAGCAGAGAAAAAUACAGACUCAAAUUCACAACACCCAUUUUCUUUCCAUUGGAACACUUUAAAUAGUUUAUUAAAUUUAUAAUGAUCUGAUUUCUACGCAUAUUACAAAAUCAACUUCAUGAUCAAUUCUCUAUAAUUUCGGCAUUACUAAAAACAUCCAAACUAAUAAACUAUUAGUUAUUUUAGCCAUUUUAAUAAACAUUUUAGUUAUGAAUUCACCAAACAUUUUGAACAAUUCAUAUGGAUGAAUUAACAUGUUAAUUUUAGAUUUUUUAACUUAUUAAUUCCUUCAUGAAUUACUUCUAAAGCAUGUUAUAUAUAUCUAAGCACUUUUAUAUAAUAUAAUUCUAUCAAAUUCACUUUUACCCAAUGUAUAAUAUAAACAUCCAUAAAAAAUAACUUAUAUUGUCAAUGCAAUGAAAUGACUAAAUAACAUUUAAUUAUUAUAAUAGCUUUGUCCUCAUACCUAAGGAAGUAUACUACGUCUUUUUCUCGAUUCUUUGAGUUUGAAAUUAUAUCUUUGAACCCAUUAAUUUAUCUAAAAAAAAAUUUAGGUAAUUGGAUCAAUCCUUGAGGUCAUCAUAUCAUAGGGAUAUAAAUCAAUUAUUUUUAUUAAAAAUAAUUUUUUUUUUAAUAUUUUCAUAUUUAACUUGAAAUCGAUUCAAAUUAAAUUUUAAAUUACAGGUUUUUCAAAUUAACAUGUGUUGGGUUAGGUCUAAUAUAUCUAGAAGAAUUUAUUAAAUUUCUCUAUAAUUAGUCAAUCGAUGAGGGAAUUUAGUUUUAACUAGUUACAUGACCCGCGCGAUGCCACGGGUCAAUUUUGUUUUGCAUAAAAAAUAUCAAAAAAAGCUAAGAUCUAAAAGUGUUAGGUCUUUCUAUAAAGUUAUACCCAAAAGUCUUGGGUUUGGCUACAACGCCUGAUCCAAAAAUAAUAUUUAUAAUAUUAAUAAUAACAUUAAACUUGCAUAUAUCCACGAAUAUGUACAAUAUUUGAAACCUAUAAUGCAAGAAUAGCUGCAGAUGUACAAUAUUUUUAAUUUAAAGAAUCAAUUAAUUAUUUAAAAAACUUGAGGGAUUAAUUUGUUUGUUUUACUCAAAUUUUUAUUGUUUACUUGUAAAUAUUUUGAAAGGCACAACAUGAAAAAAUCAUAUAUGCUUAAGCAACUAUUUGGCAUCUUAAACUUAAUCUCGUAAAUUAAUCUUAAAUCCUUUUUAUUUAACUCUUUCCCAGUAUCAAGUUUAAAAUUAAUCAACAUAAAAGUUGUUUUAAUAUAACUUAGUUAAUUUAAUGGGUUCAAAAUUAAUACAUAUGACAUGAGAUCUACCAGCCAUCAUCUGGCCGGAAACGGGCCGCGAUCGUCGACUGCCACCGAAGCUUCAAGUCGUCGAUUCUCGCUCAUCAGCCAUCAACGGCCGUCAAGACCACCACCAUAAGAAUCCUCGACAUCAGAUCUACCAGGAUCGACCAUCGGUUGGCCAGAAAUCGCGCCGGAAAAUCUCCCCGCCGCCAACAGUAGCCGCGCGUGUGCCACACGCGCCGCCAGUGGCAUUUUUGUAAAUUUUGGAGAAACCCGAGGGUAUUUCAGUCUUUUACCUAUACAGUGGCACUCAGGUAAUUUUUCGGGGUUUCUACUGGUAUUUUUGAUAUUUUUUAUAUAUAAAUGCUUGUAAAUUUUCUUGCAUGUUGUAAAAAAUACAAAAACCAAAGUCGACACGUCUCUUUUUUUAAAAGGACCGAUGUCAAAAAUGUAAAUACCAAAUAUGGCAUAUGUCCAUUAUUUUUUUUUGGUGACCCAGACGUAAUUCUCCUUUUUAGGGUUGAAACGUCAUAUUUUAGACAAGUCUCCUAAUUUUUAGGGACUGAUGUCAUUUUUAACGUGUCUCCUAUUUUUAGGGACCGACGUUAACCAUUUAAAAAAACAAAUUACCAAUAAACCCAAAAUAUAAUGGAUUAUAUCCAUUAUUUCUUUUGGUAACUCAGACGAGUCUCCAAUUUUUAGGGACUGAUGUCAUUUUUAACGUGUCUCCUAUUUUUAGGGACCGACGUUAAUCAUUUACAAAAAUUUACAAAUAAGCCCAAAAUAUAAUAGCAUUUGAAUCAAAUAAAAACACACAAGUAAGGGUAACCUUUCUUUUGAAAGGAUGUUUUAAGGGUGGUGUCUACCUUCCCUUAAUCAUAACUAACCCCGUACCCGAAUCUCUGGGACCAGUGUCUAAUUUGGGAUUUCUAGUUCCCUCAAAUUACUAGAUGGCGACUCCAAUAAAAUCUUUGUUUCCCCCAAUCGAGAAAAAAACCCUUUUUGUUAAACAAACAAAAAAAGCGGGAGCCGUCGCCCGACGUCGUGUAUCGACAAAUGUCUGCAAAUCUUGUGGUCAUAUACAGGGUGCCGGUUUUCUUUCCACGAGCCAAAACCAUUGCUCCCUUUGAUACCUUCCACAUACCUCCAGAAAAAAGGAUUGAAUGACCACUAUCAUCAAGUUGUCCGACCGAGAUCAGCUUCUUCUUUAGAUCAGGAACAUGCCUUACAUUUUGCAAGGUCUAUAUAGAUCCAUUCAUUGUCUUGAUUUGUACAUCUCCUAAACCCACAAUAUCCAAUGGUUGUCCAUCGGCCAGAUAGACUACACCGUGAUCUCCAGCAAUAUAGUUUUGCAUCAUUUCAUGGUGUGGUGUACAGUGAAAUGAAGCACCAGAAUCAAGAACCCAAUCAUCAACAGGACUAUGCACAGCAAGAAUCAAAGCAUCUUGCACCUCAUUUGUGGUAGCGUUUGCAGAGUCAGCUUCAGGUUUUUUCGGUUUUGUGCAAUUCCUCAUGAAAUGACCGGGUUUGCCACAAUUCCAACAUUCAACCUGUUUUCUGGGUCCAAACUUGCUUUUACUUCUAUAUCUUGAUUUUGAUCUGCCUCUGGAUAAGCCUCUAUCAUGUCUCCUCCCUCGAGUGUUGAUGUUGAGAGCUGAUCCUGAGCUUGAACUUUCACCCGAGUCUUUCCUUCGCACUUCUUCAGCCAAAAUCAAGUCUCGAAUGUCAUCAUACUUCAGUUUGGAUUUUCCAGCUGAAUUGCUCACGGCUGUCCUCAUGCCUUCCCAACUGCUUGGAAGUGAAGCUAGCAAGAUGAGUGCACGAAUCUCAUCAUCAAACUCAAUCUCAACAGAUGAUAAUUGAUUUGUGAUGGUAUUAAAGUUAUUGAGGUGUUGUGUCACAGAAGUGUUUUCGACCAUCUUCAAGUUGAACAACUUUUUCAUCAGGUGCACUUUAUUAUUUGCUGAUGGCUUCUCAUACAUCCCAGACAAGGCUUCCAUCAAUCUUGCAGUGGAUCUUUCUUUCGUAACAUUGUGAGCAACUCUUCUUGAUAAGGAUAACCGGACAAUGCCCAGAACUUGUCUAUCAAGAAGUAGCCAAUCUUCUUCUUGCAUAUUUUCUGGUUUGCUCCCCAACAAGGGAAGAUGAAGUUUCUUCCCAUAUAGAUAAUCCUCAAUUUGCAUUUUCCAGUAUCCAAAAUCUGUCCCGUCAAAUUUUUCAAUUCCAGCUGCUUUUAUUUCAUCUGCCAUUUUUACUGCUUCUCCGAUUCGAAUUUCCCAAAUCUGACCUUACAGAUGUGUCCGGAACAGCCGAAAACCUUGGAAAUGACACUGAGAUAACCCCAAUCGGACUUCGGAUGGCUCAGAUUUUAGCAAUCAAAGUUUUGGAUUAACGGACGGUGCAGAUGCAGCCGCGUGUCAACCAGAGUACCGCCUGCGUCGCACCGGAUCAAAACCUCAGUAGCGGUUCUGAUGAAGCCACGUGUCAGCAGAUUAGGUCCUGCGUCACACCGUAUCAAAACUCAGUAACGGUUAUGAUGAAGCCACGUGUCAGCAGAUGAUGGCCUGAGUCACACUGGAUCAAUACUCAAUAGUGGUCCUGAUUUAACCACGUGUCAACUGAUUGGAUCUUGCGUCGUACUGGAUCAAAACCCCUCAACGGUUGUGAUGUAGCCACGUGUCAGAAUAUCAGCUUCUGCGACACAUCGGAACAAAACUCAGAGAUGACGUGGCAGGUGACGUGGCAGGUGACGCGGACGGUGACCGUACGGCUGUGCUGACGUGGCGGGUCAGCCCGACCCGUUUUGCAGAAGUCGGGCGAAGAUGGAGCGUGGCGCGCGUACGGCGCGUUGGUGCGCGUGGGCAGUCUGGGCGUCGGCGCGUGUUGGCGCGUGCGGGCAUGCAGGACGUCGGUUCUUCGCCGGGUUUUCAACAGUGGAUUCGUCCGGUUGUCCUCUACACGAUGGUAUGUUCAAAAACACGUUUUGAGAACUUUGAUUUUUGAGUUUGGAUCAAACACCCUCUUUGUCAAGAACAAGCUCUGAUACCAGUUGUUGGGUAAUUCCAGAACUCAAACACACAUCAAUUUACGUGGUUCGGCAACUUGCCUACUCCACGGAGCUACUGGUUUGUAUUAAUCAAGCUUAGAAACAAUACAAACAACAAAACAAGGAGGAGGAGAAAAUCUUCUCUACUCAACUCAAGCUCUCUCUCUCUCACGUUUUUCUCUCUGUGUUUUCACUCUUCUCUGUGUUCUUCACGCUUCAACCCUCCAGCUCUUCACUGAGCAUACAUAUAUAUUAAGCUAGGAGUGAAGGGCAUAAAUCAUGCCAUGAUUUAUGCCCACCGUUUGCCUCCACUUGUGCUAAGUGGAGAUUAGGUAUUCCCACUAAGCACAUAGUGGAGGUGGGACAUUGCUUGUCUCCAAAUAGCUAACAUAACUGAGGUGGGGUCGCCCUUGAAACAUUGGUAGAUGUAAGUGUUGCUCACAUGCAUAGAAUAUUUUUUUUCUACUUAGUAGUGGUUUUGGCAAUUUUUUUCAGACAAGUCUUGAGAGUUGAAAGAGUAAUCACACCCGAGUCAACCAACAAUCCAAAUCAGCUCCCUUCCUAAUGGUUCAGGAAUGAGAAGUCCAGCUUAUAUAUUUGAUAUAGAGACGGUACACUACAAAUUAAGCACCCAAUAACUAGACAAACAAUCAUGAUAAACUAGGAACAAUUGUCUUCCCAGUAACAAAUUCACCUUCUCACGUUGGAGAACUUGCGAAAACUAGCCACCACAAAAUAGUAGCAAGUAUUUAUGCAGUCUUCGAUGAAGUACGACCACCUGCGUCGCCAAUAUGGAUUGAUGUAAAGAACUGCUGCAAUCGUCAUUACCACAACUGUGUAACAUACACCGAAGCUGAUGUAGAAAAACUCCAUGUCUAUGAAACCAUCAUCUCCUUGUUCAUCAUUAGGCACUGGCUGUAACGGCACUGCUUCCUCACUACAAUUGUUUCGCAAUGGAGGUCCACACAAGAAAGGAUUUCCUUCGUAACAGUUUUCAUCAUCAAAGGUCCCAAAUUGAUAUUUUCUCUCGGGUGUCCUACCUGACAAGUUAUUGUACGCCACACUAAAAACUUCCAGUGUGGUAAUUUCAGUAAGUUGUGGAGGGAUGGCACCAUUCAAGUUGUUGUAAGAAAGAUCCAAACUCUCAAUCUGCUUUAGGUUUGAGAAUGUUGCAGGGAUAGAUCCAGUGAGAUUGUUGUGUGAUAAGUUUAAUGACAGUAUCUUACUCAAGUUUCCAAAUUCUGGUGGGAUUGCUCCUACAAAGUUGUUAUUGGAGAGAUCAAUACCAUACAUGUAGCUCAGAACUUUCCCCUUGUAACCAUAAUACAUAUUUUUAGUUGUAAAUUCUAUCACUUCUUCUGUAAAGUUAACCCAAAAAUCCUUUCCCAAGUUGUACAUACUAUCCCCUAGUGGUGGACCCAUUGUUUCAUAAUAAGCUUUUUCUAUGGACCAUGACGGAAAACCAUAUCCGAGAUCCGCGAGCGUUUUCUGGGAACUUUCCUUGAGAGUUAGAUUGCCCAAACAUGAGGGUAGUGGACCAGAGAGCUGGUUUUGUGAAACAUCCAAAAUACUUAAUUGUUCUAACAAGCAUAACUGAACAGCGAGCUCACCAUCAAAGUUAUUAGCCCUCAGAAGAAGAACACUCAAUGAUGAAAGAUUGCCAAUCCAAUUUGGAAUAGAGCCAAUGAAGCUGUUGUCUCGAAGAUCCAUCGUAACUAGGGAAGAGCUGUUAUAAAAACCAUAUGUUAAUGGACCGCUCAAUCUAUUUUUGGAUAGAUGAAUAUGGGUUAUUUGUGGUGGAUUGAAACAAGAUGGCAUAUAUCCAGACAAGUAGUUAUCAGAAAGGUCCAAAAAUUCAAGCCGGUCAAGCUUACAAAAGUCUCUUGGGAUUGGACCCUUAAAAAGGUUUUUGGACAAAUCAAGUACUUCAUCGUACGUAAAAUUAAAAAAGCUUCUUGGAAGCAUGCCUGAAAAUUGAUUGUUACUCAAAUCCAAUACACUCCAUACUUUCCACCCAUAUAAUGGAAAAUCUGAUAUCUGACCCCAAAAGUAGUUACCACCUAGGUAGAGAUAUUGUGAGAUAGAAGAAUUGAACACCGAGGUCGGUAUUUGCCCACCCAAACUAUUGUUUGACAGCUUGAGAACCUGUAUUGUUGUUAAUUGUUCUAGUUUUACUGUAGACAAUUGAUUGUUGGAUAAAUCUAAAAAUGAAAGAGAGCUAAAAUUUCCUAAACAAGAAGGAAUAUAACCUGUGAAUCCAUUGUCAGCCAUCCUUAAGAUCCACAGAUUUGGAAAGAUCAAACAAAUAUCUUUUGGAAUUUGACCAUUUAUGUUGUUGUUGGAUAUAUCUAAUUCGGUCAUAUUCGGAUAUGGGUGAUCUAGCAAUUGCAAAGUACCAACAAAGGAGUUCUCGCUCAGAUAUAGUUGCUCCAUUCGUGUAUUGUUCUUAAGCAACCAUGAUGGAAACAUUCCGAAGAUGUUGUUGUGGGAGAGAUCAAGGGUUCUUAAGUCGUAUUGGUAAUAGAGGAAGUCGAGAAUUUCUACAUUGAGUGCUUCCGAUGUUGGACUACUUGACAAGCGGAAAAAGACUAGUUGGAACUUUGGAAUCAAAUUAUCAAAGGCAGCAGAUUCCGUUACUAGUCUGUUGUUCUCACUGGAGAAGAACUUGAGGCUUGAGUGGUUCAUAAAAGGCUUCAUUGAAAUGGGAACUUCAAAGAGGUUAUUUGAUAGUGAGAGGAAUUCAAGGGAUAUGAGCUUGGUAAGAGGACCAAAUGCAAUAUUUCCAGUAAACUGGUUAUCAGAAACAUCUAAUAGUUGUAGAGAUGACAAGUUCCCCAAACAAUCUGGGAGUGCACCUCCAAAAUUAUUUCUAGCGAGAUCUAACUGCUUCAGAUUCUUCAAUUCACACCAACCUAUACAAUUUAUCUUGAAACAAUCAAAACAAUGUUGAAAGAAUCUUUUAUUGAUGAUGUAAUUAUAGGCGGAUGGAGAGUUGUUAAUUUACCUUGAGCGGGUAGGGUGCCAUGGAGGUCACAUUCAGCAACAGACAAAACUUUAAGAGCAGGCAAUGCUCCAGUGUUCUGGAGAAAGUUUAUUGGGAGAGAAGUAUUAUCUAGAUGCAAUUCUUCAAGGGUGCUAGAAUUGAAGAAAGUCCCUGUGAAAAAGAAAGAAGAAGAGAUAUGAUGAAAAUAGUGGUGGUACAGAAUAGCCAUUCCAUUCAAUAUUAUUAAUUAAGAUUUUAAGAAACUAAACUAUGAUUAACCUUGACUUAAAUUAGUAUCCUUGAGAGAAAGGGUCUUCAGCGAUGGCCAUGAACGCAAUGACUGCAGGAUGUCCAGAUUCCUUAAACCUAUGAUAUUUGGAUAGAAACAACAAAUUGCUUGAAGAAUCUAGAGAUUUCAAAAGGUAUUGUUAAGAAAUGAAGUAAAUAAUAGAAGAUGCCAAGAGAUAUUCAUAACUUUACCAUUGAUAGUCGUCGAUCCUAGCAACAUAUUGCCUGAUAAAUUUAAAGACUUGAGAUGAGAAAGUCCACGCAGAUGUGAUAAAAUGCUGUCAUUGAAUAUAUUAUUAUGGCUCAGGUCCAGGUUCUCGAGUUUCCCCAAAUGUGAUGAUAUGAUCUCAAAACCUGCAAGAGUAAGUCGUUAAAGUCGUUAUAUAAAAUAUAAUUCUAAUUUUGAUCUUAUUGGAAAUAUUACGAAACAAUUUUUAAAUAUCAUUCUAGUUUCGAUCUUAUUGGAGAAAAAAAAACAAUUUAUGGAUAUAAAGUCGAUAAAGAUGGAAGCUAAGUUAUGGAUAGACUUACAAAACAAGAUAAAGAAACUUAUAAUUAAGAUCUCAUCGGUAAUUAAAACAAGAAUAAUAAUCGAUCCUAGAUAGCAACAUAUUGUCCAAAUAUUUCACCAUAAAAUCACCCAUCACCAUUCACCACGACCAUAAGGCAAAAUCCUCCACCACAUAAUAAUAUUUUGAUUAAAAAAAGGUCCAAAAUAAUAUAAAACCAUGAUUAAAAAGGAGAGGAAAUAAUAAAUGGCUACAAACAAGAAUUAAAUAUCAUAUAUGUGGGUUUUAUGUUGUUCUCUUUAUUGAUAAAACAGUCGAGAGUUUUUCUAAUAGAGAAAUUGGCUGUCGAGAGUGAUUUGUAUUGGAUAGUUUUUUUGAUAGUUUUUAUUAAAUAGAUAUAAAGUCCUCAUUUUUGUUGAUAAAGAAACAAUAUAAUUAAGAGAAUGUCAUGUGAAGCAUUUAGGUAGGUAGAAACUGUGUAUUAUACCUGAUCCUGUCAGCUGAUUGCCUGACAGAUACAAAGAUUUUAGGGAUGAAAACCCAGUUAGAGAUGGAAAAAUGCUAUCGUUGCAUUGAAUCUCACUUAGAUGAAGGUUCUCCAGCUUUUUCAACCUUGAUGACAAGUCUUUGAGACCUGCAUGAUGUUCCUCAAUAGCAUAUUGGAAGGAAAUAAACGCAUAGAAAAAAAAUGAUAUGAGAAGGAGAAAAGAAAAGGUUUCAAAGCUAAAUAAUUAAAAGGUUACCAUAGAAGCUACCUCCUAAUCCAGCUGUCAACCCAUCGGUAAUUAAAACAAGAAUAAUAAUCGUUAAAUAUCAUUCUAAUAAUAAUCCAUGGCAAGUUCAAAUCCGUUGGUAACUGAAUUCCUCUAUCUAUUUAGUUAGUAAGAUGCUUAGUUGUCACUAAUUUAGUAAUUAUAAUUUGUUCCUCUGUUUUCUAGCAACUACUUUCCCAAUUUUAUCCAUUCACCACGACCGUAAGGCAAUAUCCUCCACCACAGAAUAAUAUUUUGAUUAAAAAAAGGUACAAAACCCAUUAUUAAAAAGAGAGGAAAUAAUAAAUGGCUACAAACCGAAAACCGGUCCAAUAUGUGGGUUUUAUUUAAAAAGAUAAAUAUAAAAUAUAUAUUUAUAGGAGAGUUUUGAAGUGAACUUCUGAUUACUAAUUUAAUCUAAAUAUUACAACACUUUUGGCAUAAAAGGGCUAAAAUAAGAAUAAAAUAUAUGCCUCUUGGACCUAAUUCCAAGUGCCUCUUUUCUUGAUAUAAAGUCCUCAUUUUUGUUGAUAAAGAAACAAUAUAAUUAAGAGAAUGUCAUGUUAAGCAUUUAGGUAGAAACUGUGUAUUAUACCUGAUCCUGUCAGCUGAUUGCCUGACAGAUACAAAGACUUGAGGGAUGAAAAUCCAGUUAGAGAUGGAAAAAUGCUAUCGUUGUAUUGAUUCUCUCUUAGAAGAAGGUUCUCCAGCUUUUUCAACCUUGAUGACAAGACUUUGAGACCUGCAUGAUGUUCCUCAAUAGCAUAGAAAUGAUAUGAGAAGGAGAAAAGAAAAGGUUUCGAAGCUAAAUAAUUAAAAGGUUACCACAGAAGCUACCUCCUGAUCCAGCUGUCAACCCAUUGAAUGAUAGAUCCAAAGACUUGAGAGUGGAAAGGUUACCAUUGAAACAUGACAAAAUGCUUUUAUCAUUAGUAAAUUUGUUAACACGUAGGUCAAGAUUGCUCAGUUUUGAUGAUAGGACUUCGAAGCCUGGGAAGAGAAUCAUCAAAGCAAGAUAAUUGACAUUAAACACCAACCAACCAACCUUCAUUUAUUUUAUGAUUAUAAUUAAGUGCAGAAACAUUGAACUAACCUUCAUUCUCCAUGCAACCAACCAAUCCAGUACCUCCCAAAUCAAGACCUCGCAAUUCUUUGAAAGGCUGAAACAAAGAUGCGUUGAGAACCCAAUCGCCCAAGUGGAAAUCCCUUGCCCCCCAAAGAGAGAGUUGGAUCACUCGCCUUGUAGUGUUAUCACACUCGAUCCCACGCCACUCACAACAAUUACUAUUGGUGUCCACCCAAUGAUCUCUCCAGGAAACGCCAUGUGGGUUGAUCAAAGAUUGGAUCUCCAAGAGACCAAUCCUCUCCUCCUCCAAACACCCAUAACAACGACCAUGCCAUUCGCCAACCAAAGUGAAUAAUGCUAGCAACAUCCAAGCCCCAAUUCUUUUCAUCAUCAUCUUAGAUAAUUCUAUGAACUGCUACGUAGAAUAUUGUUGUUUGUUAUGUGCCUUUGGGCAACCAUAGAGGUCCUAUUUAUACUACACUCUGGCCAUUUCCAUGACUUUGAGAUGUUUUCUUUAUUUCAUUUCUUUUUGGAAUAUUUUUGGAUUUGAAUAUUAUUCUAUUUUAUUGUCUAGCACUUAGUCUAUUUGCCAGGUUGGGAAAAAUAUUCAAAUUAGUUUUGUUGGCAUGUAAACCUCACCAAAUAAUUUGCGUAGACCGUAUUGACUGGGAGUCAAUUAUUGUCGUAGUGCUUUUAUGCACGAUCUGUGUGCGUGAACGGAAAGAAAAGCAGGGUGUGAAAAGCAUUAAAGGUUGUGAACGCGGAUGCUUGACUUGCUGUGUACCAUUUUGAUUUUUAAACACGGCCAUGCAGUCAUUUCCUGGCGAUUUCCUUAUGCAUACUGGUGGUCUUUCAUAAUCUUUUUCCAAACAAUCCUCGUUAGGCCGGCUCGGGGGUUAACUUAGAGUAAGGCAUCGUUUGACAUUGCGUUUGUAACUGCGUUUUAUUAAAUUUUGAAUUUUUUAUUUUUGCUAAAAUUAAGUGUAGCUUGUACUUUUUGGAUCUUUUUGAUGUGCUGAUGUUAAAAAUAAUUUUUAAAAAAUAAAAAAAUAUCAUUAGCAUGUAUUUCGGCACGAAAAGCUAUUUGAAAAGUACCCGCAACCACACUGCCAAACACGCUCUAAGAUUUGUAUCAUCGUUUUUUAUCAGAUUCAAGAUCAACUUGGAUCAAUCUUAAUUUUAUGCUAUUGUUUUUUAUAUAUAAACAUAAAUAAAAAUCCAGAUCUCUUUUAUAAUCUUAAAGGUAGUAUAUUAAUAGUAGAACCAUUAUCUAUCCAGAUACAAUUCAUCAUCUUUUCAUCGACAUAUCUUUUAAUUAAGAAAAGCUGUUUAUAGAGUUUUAAUCUAAGCAAUAGGUUUUCAUCGUUAAAGGAUACCUAUGUGGUGCUAAGUUCUUCUAAAGUUGGAGAACUUAUGAAAAUUAAUGCAAGGCUUCAACACUCCGAAGCCUGCAAGAGAAAUAUCAAAGCAAAAUAAGUAGCGUUAAACAGCAGCCAUUUCUUCAUUUUUAAUUUUAGUAUAACACAAUAAUAUGAACCAACCUUGAUUCUCAAAGGCACCCAACUAAUUCAUUAGCCUUCAAAUCAAGACUUUGCAAUUCCUUAAAAGGCAGAAACAAAGAUGCGUUGAGAACCCAAUCGCCCAAGCGGAAAUCCCCAGUACCCCUAAGAGAGAGCCGGAUCACUCGUCUUUCGGUGGUAUCACACACGAUCCUAGACCACACACAACAAUUACUGCCCAGGUAUUUCGACAGUUAUGGCUUGUGUGGGUUUUGGUUCACGAUGGAGAUGAUGGAUACAAUGAUGUAUUUCGACAACAAAAUUUUCAGUUCUUGUGAAUGGCUCUCCAACUAAAGAGUUCUUUAUGGAAAAGCGAUUGCGACAAGGGGACUCUUUAUCAACAUCUCUAUUCAACAUAGCAACUGAGGGUCUUGGUAGAAUGCUAAAAUUAAAAGGAGAUGUGAUUUGGGACUUAUAAAAGGUAUUUGUUUUGAUCACUUUCAAGUUUGUAGAUGAUACACUCAUCUUCAGUUCAUAUGAUUAUCCAUCUCUUCAAAAGAUCAAAAGAACUAUGUGAUGUUUUGAGUUGAUUCCUAGGCUGAAGGUUAAUUUCCACAAGAGCUCAAUCACUAGAACUAGAACUAGAAUUGAUGAUGUUGUUAUUUCUUCAACUGCUAGCAAUCUAAUAUGUAGGAUGGAGGGGAUGCCAUUUAAGUAUUUGGGUCUGCCUAUUUAUGCAUCUUCAUCUCAUACAUCCGUUUGGAAAACUAUUGCUUGAUUAACUCAAUUAUAAAUAACCUUUCUUUAUUUCCUAUCCCAUCCACUGUUGCUACCAAAAUUGAGAAACAUAUCAUAUCUUUCUUUGGUUCUCAGGAGGAAGGAGGGAAAAAACUAUGCAAUGUUAAAUGGGCAUCAGUGGUUCCUCCAAAAAAACAAAAAAGGUGGGUAUAGACUGCAUUAUUGAUAAAAAUAAAGCCUUGUUUUUCAAAUGGCUAUGGAGGUUUGGGAGGUCUAAUACAAGACUAUGAAAAGAUGUUAUCUACAACAUCCACAACCAAAAAGCGUAUUUGAACAUGCCUUUAGUUUGUGUUAAUUUAAAGGGUAGUACAUGGUCCAGGAAUGUCGUUACUUUUUAUAAGAACGAGGGACUUCAAAAUAUUGCCAAGAAAGAAGUUUGUGGUUUGGUUGGCAAUGGUAGAGAUAUUAACUUAUGGAAUGAUGUCUGGCUGAUAGAUUCUUGUCUUGCAGUUCAAUUUCCUAGACUUUAUAGUCCACCUGAAGAUCAUGUCUCCCCUGUAGCUACUGCAGCAGUAAAAGCUUCUAUCCAACCAGCCAGUGUGAGGCCUUCCCCUGUUGCUAGCAAUGUAGCUUCUUCAAGUAGCUAAAGUUCUGCUUCAAUAAAUGCCACGACAUCAGCAAUAACUGGUGCUACAACAAUGAGCUUCAACUACCCAAACUUCCCUGGCAAAAUUGCAGAAUGGUGCGUACGAGAUUCUAAUCCCUGAACAUGUUGGGGGCCACGAUAGCCUACAGAGGAACCCAUCCUCAGGCUAUGCCUUUCUUCAAUGGAUCAAUUCUAUUCUUCUUGAAUGUUUCAUCCUUCAUAGCUUCAGCGACAGCAACAACCAUUCAUACAGACACAACAAAGCCAACAGGGUCAUCAAAAUCCAAGUAUUUCUAGUGGCUCCUCGUCAUCCCAGAAGCAUUUGCUGAAUUAGGUGGAAUCAGCAGCGGUCAUCAAGAUCCAACCAUUUACAGAAUCAUCAGCAGAAUCAUUCCCUGCCGAACUAGCAGCGGCAGCUGAUGCAAAAUCAGAAUGUUACUCACAAACACCUCCUCCUUUUGCAAUGUCAUUUGCUCCAUCAACGGAACCACAACUUCCCCAGGUCUUGAUGUUUCAUUGCUGGUACAGAAUCAUGCUCUUCUCCAAAGCCCUCCAGAGGCAGCAAGUCAUGGCUAUCACUUCAUCACUGCGGCCCAAGCAACACAGCAGACGAAUUACCGUGUGCCUGAAGAAGGGAAAAAUGGAGGAAAUGACACUUCAAAUAUGGAAGGAGAGAGAAAGGCCGAUAUGGUUGGAGGACAGACCCCAUUAACUGGUGGGCAGUCAAUUGUGUUCUCUCGGCUAGAUUUUGUGUUCUCUCGGCUAGAUUUAACAGACUCCUCUGUUUCAACAAUGCCUGUGAACAAUGUUGUUGAUAGCUCAGCCCGAACUCUUAACCUUGGGUCCACUCUUGCUCGGACCUCAAGCCCUGUUAUGUCAGCUACUAUUGGCAGUGUAAAUGCACCAAGUAUACAACAACAGAUGCAGUGGAAUCAGCAGCAGCAGCAACGAAGUCAGCAAAUCCUUCAACUUCAGAAGCGUCAACAAUUUGCAGCUGCAGCUUCCACUCGAAGUGAAACACCAACAACUAGUAAUGGAAGUGUUUAUUCGGACCACAUCUCAUCAUCAUCAUCUAUGGGCACCAAGUUACCUAAUGCACUUUUGCAUUUCCUCAAAAUCUUGUUCAAAGCGGCAGUAGCAGCAGCAGUUAACAAAGCAUGCACUGCAACAGGCUCAACUAAUCUACGCUAAUGCUUUUAUGCAAGCUCAAGCUCAAGCUCAAGCUCAACAUGUGGCAAAUUCAACAAGCUUUGCAUCAACAGCUAGUGGGUUUCAUCUGCAAAGACAUCGCAAUGAGCAGCAACCGCAAUGCAUCGGCAACCUCUUCUACAAGGAUGUUGUUGUUAUGUCAUCCGAUCAUGUAAAUUUUUGUGACUCCCAACCUCCUAGCAACCACGAGAGGAUGUUUCCAGUUUUUUUUUUCAACAGCUAAUGCUUAGAUAACAAAAAUAGAGGAAUAACUGAUAGAGCUCCAGCAUUCGAGCAGAGUUUAAUAAAAAAAUAUAAAGUAAGGUUAGAUGCGUGAGCCUUGUUUUGUAAAUUUUUAUUUGAAUUUUAAUAAUUGUUUUUAAUUGUUAUGUAUAUGAAUAAAAAUUUGUUCAUGAAAUUUCAAUUUAAAUCACUUUUUUAAUCUUAGAAUUUUAAAAUAUAUUUUGAGCAUGAUUUUAUUAUAUUUAUGAUUUAUUUUAACUUUCAAUCACACAUAAAAAUAUAAACAUACUAUUUUGAUUUUUUUUUAAUUUGUUCUGACAAUUAUAGAAUAUUCUUUUAAUAUAAAAAAUGAUUCUAGUUAAGAAAAAAACUUGUAUAUUCACCAAGAUAAAACAAGAAAUAUGCUAAUAAAAUUUUUUAUCUUGAUAGAGAAAAAUUCAAAACGACUGUAUUUUCAAGUUUAAUAACAAUGUCAAGGAGUCCCUUAGACUGGGAUAUUUUGUUUUACAUUUAAAGUUUUUUUGAUCUCCAUAGCAUAGCACUAGCAUACAAACUUGUAUAUUUUUAAGGCAGCGUUUAGUUACUAUCCGAGACAGUAGAGACAGAGACAAUGGAGACAGAGGAGACAAUACAUAAAAGAAGAUGGAGAUAGAAUUGUGUUCACUAAUAAUAUAUAAGACAAAGUGAUUGUUUUUGUAUCAUAUUUGAUUAUGAUAGACAAGAAAGAAUAAAAUAUAAAAAAAAUAUUUUACCUUUAAUAUGUAUUGUUGUCAAACUUACAUGUUUUAAAAAAUAAUUAGUUUUAUUUUUUUACUUUAGUUUUAUAUUGAGUAUUGAAAUUAUUAAUAUUAUAAUAACCCUAGUAUUAAAACCAGGAUUAACUUGACAGGUUGACCCGAGGCCUAUACUGGUCUAAGUUUCAGAAAAAUAGAAGAAUGAUUAACUCGACCUAACCUAGUAAAAAACAUGAGUCAACUUAAGAUAAAACACGGGUCAAAACCCAUUAAAUAUUUUGAAAAAGAAAAUUGUUCAAAACAAGGUUUCUUUGACUAUUUGUUUUUAAAAAAAAUUAGGUCGAUCGGGUUAACCUUCUCUUGGAUUAACUCCUGAGUUGAGUUUUAAAACUAUGAUAAUAAUCAUUUUUAUCCAUACAUUAACUCAGGUCAAUCUGUGUUGACCCUCUCGACCCAUGACCUAGGCCUUGCUUCUGUCGACUCCCGAGUCGGAUUUUAAAAUUAUAAUAAUAAUAAUUUUUAUCCUUACAUUAAUUUGGGUCAACUCUCUUAAUUCGUAACCCAAGCAUUGCCCCAAGUUGACUAUCGAAUUAAAUUUUAAAACUAUGAUAAUAACCAUCUUUAUUUUAUGUUGACUCGGGUCAAUCUAGAUUAACUCAUCUAACACAUGACCCAAGUUUUAUCCCGAGUCGAUCCCUGAUUUGGGUUUUAAAACUAUGAUACUAAUUAUUUUUAUCAUUACAUUAACCUAAGUCAAUGAUCAACCCCACUCGUUACCCAAGAAUUGCCCAGGUCGACCCCCAAAUCGAGUUUUAAAAUAUGAUAAUAACUAUUUUUAUUCUUCUACUGACACAGGUCAACUCGACUCAUGACUCAAGCCUCAACCAGUGACCCAGAAUUUGCCCCGGAUCGACCCCCAAGUUGAAUUUUAAAACCAUGAAAAUAAUCAUUUUUACAUUUAUAUGUCUUAGUUGGACAAUUUGAAAUUGAGAGUUUUUUUAUAAAAAUAUUUUAGGAAUAAAAAAUAAUAAAUAUUAUCUCUAGAGACAUGUCUCCUCUAUACCUUACGUUUUGGAAGCACAAAAAUUCACUCCAAAAUUAUUCUAGAAACAAAUUUAUUUUUAUGUAUUUGUCUUUGUCUCUUCAACCAAAUAUAUUUAUAUCUUUAUUGUUUUUAUCCUUUCUAUUAUAGGACAAUGACCAAACAUUACCUAAAGGAUAUACAACUGACAAGGAUGAACUUGGCUUUAUUUCAUCUUUGAUAAUUUCUUCUCGAUGAUAUCUCACCGAUUUGUGGAGGCAAUUGAUCAAAACCUAGUUGAUUCAAAGGUUGACUUUGAAAAAAUAUAUUCAUAGAGUAAUGUUUGAAUCUUGGUGUUUUUUAUUGGCUCAAAAAAAUUACCAACUCACCAAAACCUGUAUGAAACAUUUAGAUUUAAUAUUAUAUGUAUAAUUUAUUAUAAUAAUUGAUAUACUAUUCAACUCAGUAACUUAGUAGGAUGACCUAUAACCUGCUGAUCUAAGAUUUUAGCCGAAUCAAGCUUUAAGCUAGAUAUAAUGACUAUGAUUUUAUAAAAUUACUAUGAACUUCCCUUUUAUGUCUUCUUAUUUACUCAUUUGAUAUUUUUUUUUAUGAAGUUAAGAUGUUCACAUUUAUAUCAUGAUUAAACUCUAGGGUAACAUUUAGUUAUUAUCUUGGGAUAAAAAGAAUAAAGAUAGUAAAGACAAAAAUAUGUUUGGUUGAAAAGAUAUAGAUAUAAAAAUAAUUUUUUUCAUGGGAUAAUUUUAGAGUGAAUUUAUAUAUUUUCAUAACAGAAAAUACAAAUAAGACAUAUCUUCAUAAACAAUAUUAUUUUUUAUUCCUAAAAUAUCAUUGUAAAAAACUUUCAAUUCCAAAAUUGUCCAAUUAAGAUAUGUAAAAAUAAAAAUAGUUAUUAUCGUAGUCUUAAAACCCAACUUGGGGGUUGACUUGUAGAAAGAUAUGUGAUCUUUGUUGACCCAAGUCAAGGUAAAAAUAAAAAUAGCUAUUAUCAUAGUUGUAAAAUCUAACUUGAGGGUCGACCUGGGACAAGGCACGGGUCAUUGUUUGGGUUGACCAUUGACCCAAGUCAACAAAAAAAUAAAAGUGGUUAUUAUUGUAAUUUUAAAACUUAACUUGGAGGUCGACUCAAGGCAAGGCCCGGGUCAUGGGUCAGGAGGGUUAACUCUGGUGGAACCGGGUUAAUGUAAGGAUAAAAGUGGUUAUUACAAUAGUUUUAAAACUCGACUUAGAGAUCGACCUGAGGUAAGCUCAGGUCUUGGGCUAGGAGGGUUAAUGCAUGGAUAAAAAUAAUUAUUAUCAUAAUUUGAAAACUUGAUUCAAGAGUCGACCCGAGACAAAGCCUAGGUUAUGGGUUGGGAGGGUCAACCCGAGUUGACCCAAUUUUUUUUUAAAAAAAAAGAAUCAACACAACCUUGUUUUGACCAAUUUUUUUUAAAAAUAACAGGUUUUGCCCCGUGUUUUAUCCCGAGUCGACCCGUGUUUUAUCCCGAAUCAACUCGGUUUUUUAACUCACCUAUCUUUUCUUAAACUUAAAAUUAAUCCGGGCUUAGAGACAACUAGAUCCCGAAUAGAUUCACUAGGUCAGUCUAGGUUAUAUAACUAGGAUUAUUAUAAUAUUAUUAAUUUCAACACUUAAUAUAAACUAAAGUAAAAAAAAGUUCUAAUUAUUUGUAUAAAUAUGUAAGUUUACCAAUAAUACAUAUUAAAGGUAAAAUAAUUUUUUUAUAUAUUUUUUUUAUCAUUAUCAAAUAAGAUAUAGAGACAGUUACCGCCAAACAUAAUUUUAUUUUCAUCUCCUUUUCUAUCUUUUUUUUCUUUAUUUUCAUGGUCUUCUUUUUUAUUCAUAACAGUAACCAAAUAUUGGCUAGUUAUAACAUAUAGAAACAUACAAGUUGUCAUGUUCAAGCCGUUCUCUUAUCAUUUUAAAUAAAUUGAAACACAAUUGCGAGGAGAAGAGUGUGUUUUGUAUUGUGUUAGCUUUUGUGGUUGUGGUUUGAAAAUUGUUGUUUUAUAAAAAAUACUUUUAGUUGAGGUUGGUUUGAUAUUUAUAUAUGUUUAGUUAAAAUUGUGGUUGAAAUUGAGGUUGAACAAAAAGUAAUUUAAUGUGUUUGGUUAAGAAUGCUUUUCAAAUCGAGGUUAUAAAAUAAUUAAAAAAGAUAUAUAUUAAUAUUGAUAGUUUUUAAUUUAAAUAUUGUAGAUUUAACUACUGCUAUUACAUCAUGAAAUAAAUAAUACUUUAUAUAAAAUAUUUUUUUAUUGUUCCAUUAAACUAUCUACAAUUCCAUCACAUACGAAAUUCAUUCGACAAGGACUACAGUUUUCUUGGUUUCUUAAGCGCACAACAAUAUCAAGUAAAAUAUAAUCAGGAACAAAAUUAGGAUUGCGAUCAAAUUCUGCAAAUGCUAUGUCAUCAAGCAAUCUCCUUAUAAUUUAUGUAGUGUUAUUGAAUAAUGCUAAACACUAGUUUUUCAAAUAAAACAUAAUUAAAAAUAAAAAAAAAUUGAUUUUUUUUUAUUUUACUGGGUCAGACCCGGUUCAAUGCAUUUAGCUUUGAAUCGGACCCAGUCCGGCCAGAAUAGUAGAGACAUUCUAAGCAACUUCAAGUGAGUCUCGUAAACAGUAAAUAACGUACCAAACAAUUAUUUUUAGUAAAGCAGAAGCAACCGAAGAAGAAGAAGAAGACAUGUGAUUACGGUGCCAUGCAGCAUUUUGACAUUAUGAGUAUUUUGAUGUAUAUCCAUUAAUUUAUAAUAUACAAGUAUAUUUCCAUGUUUCUUUUAUUUUGAUAGAACAUUUUUCCAAUAGAAUUUGUUUUUAUUGGAAUUCCAUAUUGAAUGGAUGUCAAUUGAAACUAAAAAUGUGUUAGAUAAGAGCAUACUAAUAUAAAUACCAAAUAAUGUUUAAUUAGAUUGAAUUGAACUAGACACCAUAUGUUUUUAUUCUAUGUUUGGUGCACUAAAGAUAAGAUCAAAUAAUUUUGUUUUUAUCAUUGAGAUAUUUUCAAUCAUUUAUUUUAGUCUUUGCAUUUUAUUUUUAUGAUAUUUUAGUCCUUACUAGAAUUUCUUUGUCAUCUAGAACAAUCUAGUUCUUAAAUCAAAAAGUUUUUGCAAUUAAACUCUUACAUGUACAUAUUUAUUUUAAUAAAAUUGGUCAAAUUUUGGUUUUCCAAAUUAAAAAAUAAAUAAGUGAUAAAUAAAUAAUAGAUAAUAUAAAAAUUAAGAAAAAAUAAUUUUUGUACAAAUUUUUUGUCCAAUCCUUGUCAUGUCCAAAGUGUAUAUCAAACAUUUUAUAGCUUGCCAUGUGCAACAAAUAUAUCACAACUUGUUUUUAUUGUAUUCUAUUAUGAUCUGUUUUGUGCCUUAUAUUAUUUAAUAUAUUAAAAUAAAUUUAAUAAAUUAUACUGAAGCAAGAUCUAAUAUUAGAAAGUUAACGGAAAUAAAUGUACCUUUGCCCGUCCCUUCAACAAAAUGCUGAGCUGUAUACUAAUUCUCAGAGGCAGUGAUAACUAGUUGUUCUAACUAAUCCCUAUACUUUUAAAUAUGUUUACAAUUCAGUCCCUUCAUUAAUUUUUCGUUAGUAAAAUGUUGAGCUGUCAGCAAUAUUUCCUUAGUUUGUGCCGCUAACUUAACGGUAAAAUGUGAUUCAAGGAUCAAUUAAUUAUUUAAAUGAACUUGAGGGAUUAAUCUGUUUGUUUAACAAAAAUACAGACACUAGUUAAAUAGAAUUUAACUCCAAUUUUAAUCAUCAUAUGCGUGCGUGCGAGCGAGCGAGCGAGUGUUUACUCGUUAAUGUUUUUUUAGAAGGAAUCUGGAAAAGAAUAAAGUCAUCCAUUUCACUUUGGUCCAGCAUUCCUCACCUCUCCCCGCCAGAGCUCUCCCUCCCUCCCUCCCUCCCUCCCUCCUCCGCCUCUCGGAAACCGCCGCCGCCAAGAAGGCUUCAGAUUUCUGCCAGGUGCUUCUAUUUCUAUCAUGUUUUUGUUUUUAAAAUUUAUGGGUGUUUUCAUUUAUUCUAUUGGAAUUAUUAUUCAGAGACAGAAAUUCUAUUUUAAUGAGAAAAUUAAAAAAAAUAAUCGAUCCGAUGAAAUCUCUGCUAGUGAACGCAAUUCGAUUUUAAUAAGUAAAUUAAAAAAAUAUAUAAUCGGAUCCGUUGAAAUCGCUGCUCGUGAACGCAAUUCAAAGAAACGCACAAUCAGCCGAUUCUAAUAUUUUCUUUUUCAAUUUUUCCCCUUAAUUUACAUGAUAUUAUCCGAUUUUUCUCACAGUUAUUGUUGUAAUAAUCAAGCCCUGAAUUCUUGAACCCAAAUUUAUUUUAUUUUAUUUUAUUUUAUUUUUUAGUGGAGAAUAGAAAUCAAUUCAAAUCUUUUAGGCUCGAUCGAUAAUUUGUUAAUUAGUUUAUGCAGCAGCUGGAGUGGAAGAGAUUUUUCUGCCGGAAUGGCCGAAAAAUGAGCUGUUUGGUUGAUUCUUCUUUUUUGGAAUUUACUGAAUUCUUCAAAAUUAUUGUGUUCUUAACAACAAUACGAUAUCCUUGGGUUUUAUGCUCGCUCACACAUGGAAAAAAGAAAGAAAGAAAAGGACUUUACAUUUUAUAAUUUGGUCAUGUUAACGCAAAAAAAAUAAAAAUAAUAGUUUAUGAUGACUCAUUGUUUGGUUGAUAACCCUACAUGAUAUAUCUUUCUUUUUAGGACUUCCUAGCUGGUCUUGAGUAUGAGGUGAAAGCUUGAGGAGGGCAGUUGGUCCUAACCAAGGACUGUAUUGUGAUUGAUUGAGUUGAAAGUUAAGAGCAUGUGGAAGUGUAAAACAAAUGACUUUGUUCACUUCACCCCAAAGGCGCACCUGUGCAUCUAGUUAGGAAGAACAUUUUAUAACUUACCUCAAGGUCGAGCAUGGUCAGGGUUAUUGUGUUGUCUAUUCCGAGAAAGAUGUGCCUGCAAAUUUAAUCUUAUUUCAACAAGAGUUGUUAAGUUAAUUCUUAUCAGUCCUCUUUAGAGUUGAUGAUGACAUGAAAUAUUCAUGGUUAAUGCUUGUCGUUUUCUUCUUCAUUUUCCUAGCUUAAAACAUCCUAGAAAUCUAUCUAUUGAAGUAAAGCAUUUAAAUGCGUAUACAAUGUUUUUGGAACUUUAAAUAUCUAUUUGAUCAGAAUCUGUGAACCUAAAACCACAAUGAAUACAAAUGCAAGUUUGUCAUUGUAAACAUUGCAUCAAUGAUGUAUCACGAGUGUUGCUAGAAAACAUCAAGUUAAAAUUGAAGCACCAUGAGUUUCUCCAUGGCUUGGUUUACCAACACUCACCAUCUGAUGGUGUGGCAAGUUAUGAACUAGCUGGCUAGUUUUUUGCUUCCUUGGUUUUAGAAGGACCAUGAAGAUUCAGGCCCAAAUCUUGCUUAUAAUACCUAAAUACCCAAGAUCCUAGCACCUUGCCCUGAAUGGUCGUGUAUAUUUGUUAUGGCUGUUCAGAUUUUAUGCAUCCAUAUUUGGUAGAAUUCUUUAAUAAAGUACAUGCUAUUGGAUGGAAGUUCUUUUUAAAUCUAUUCAAGUCUGAAUAAACUGACAUUCCAAUUUUCAUGACUUUGAUAUGCUCUUACUCUUCUGUUGUUCCUGACUUUCUUUUUAGGGUCUAUUCUAACAUGCAAUAUAAUUAUUAUUUUUUUUUUUGGUGAUUGAAGUGAUUUUUUUGGUUGGCCAAAACCCCAUGGAUGCCAAUAAUUGGAGGCCCACUGCCCCAGGCGGAGAACCUGUUAUGGACACAGGUGAUUGGAGAACUCAAUUGCAGCCUGACUCACGGCAAAGAAUAGUCAACAAAAUGUAAGUCUCUGUUUCCUAAUAUGUGCAAGUGCUGCAAAAUAGUAAAUCUUGUAUUUAAAUGAAAGAAAAAGAGAAGGGAAAAAGGUUAAUUAAAAUCAGCAGGACUGCCAUGAGGCAACCUCAAGUAUCAUACACCUCUGUUUUUGUCUUUUUCAUUUUUCACGUGUUUCUCACAAGAAGUGAACUUGAGGGAAUAAAAAGUGCUGGGAAGUAAUUUUUGUUGGAACUUCUUGUGUAACAUCUUUCGAUGAUGACCUCUAGGAUGGCUGCAUGAAGCUUCUUCCGCUUUAAAUUUCAAGGUUAAUCUAUUGCUAUGAGCAUUGGUGUUUCAAUUUCAACCUUGAGUUGCAACUGAACUUAAAUGAACAGUGUUGGAUUUGAGCCUUCCAUUUGCUUUAACUUCUACAGGGUUGAAAUGAUAGUUAUCUUAAAGUACAAAAGCAGCAGACAAAAAUCAAUUAGUCACAAUAGUGCAUGGUUUCCUAGUUUCUCAGUAUAAAGUGGAAUGUUUUGGUGAUAUCUCUACAUCCAAAUUCAUAUAGACAGCUACUGUUGGCAUUUGCAGUAGCCAAUGAGCACUGUAGAGUAUAUAUUGCAGCGUGAGAUAAGGUUAACUCAUUGCAUUUUCAUAAAUUAAAAGGAUUUCUCUUCUUUUCUUUGUUAAUUGCAGUGCAUGUAUAAAGGUUUUCUUAUUUAGAGUAAAUGCUGUUGUAAUGUUUUCACAGAGUUCCCUUGGUUUGCAGCUAAUUCAUUUAUAUAUCUUGGAGCAUAGCCAUAGCCAUAAAUGGAAGGUUCUUCCAGUUCAAGAAAAUUAACCAUGAAGCUCAUAGCUAGAAUUUUAAACAUAAGGGUGGCCAAGUGAACUCCUAUACCCUGUACCUGUGGAAUAAUACGGGGAAAGGAAGUAAAAAUAGAUGUGUAUUUUGAUGCCAUAUAUUACUUGACCGACACUUGGCUAUAUCAUUAUUUGUUUUUACUUUUUCCUAAUGAUUCCGUUGUAUACAUUUCUGAUAUUGGUGUGGUGUAUGAGUUCACGGUUCUUUCUCACUGCUGCUAACUUCUCUAUACCUGCCUUGUCAUUAAAAAUUAAAUGUAAUGUUUUACAUGUGCAGAAUGGAGACAUUAAAGAGGCAUCUUCCGUUUUCUGGUCAAGAGGGAUUACAAGAACUCAAGAAAAUUGCCGUACGGUUUGAGGAAAAGAUUUAUACUGCCGCCACCAAUCAGGUAUUCGGCUAAUGCUAGGUUCAAUGAUUUCGAUAUUCUCUAGACAUGAAUAUACACAUGCAUAAGUUUGUGGAUUAAUGCAUGUACACGUGUGUGUAGUGUGUCCACACUUCCUUACUGGUCAUUCUGUAGAAGUUCUCAUCUUUUCGUUAUUUCUCUUGACAAGUGUUUUAUUUAGAGUGACCAAGGUCCUUUUCAAGUACAAGGGAAGUGUGCAAAAUGCAAAUAACGAAUCAAUACAUAAAUAAUUAAAUAAAAAGAAAGGACACAGAAGUAUAUCCUCACAGAAGAUGCAAAUACAGAAAGCCUAGCAUAUUAGAAAGAGCAUAUAUCCCUUUUCCCCCUUCUCUUGUAACAUGGACUGCGCAGAGAUCUAAUGUUUUGUUAUUGAUAUCUGAUUUCAGUCUGAUUAUCUGCGUAAAAUAUCUCUGAAGAUGCUUACAAUGGAGACCAAGUCUCAAAAUACCAUACCCACUGGCAAUGGUAACAAAACCCUGGAUCCAGGAGGUAAUAAUGCAGCCAAGCAUUGGAUUUCUAAACAUCCUUACCUUUUGUUUUGUAUUUUGCGUUGUUAUCAAACUCUUUUACAUUUUAUUGCUGCAUUUUGCUAUGUAUAUACCAUGCUUUAAUAAAAGAGUCGAGUAAUUGAUGAAUGUUCAAAAAAAAAUUACAGAUUAUUUUUGUUUUCUGCUCCCCACCCCCCCACAACAAAAAAAAAAAAAAAAGUCAAAUGACACUUAUGCUUUGAGGUAAAACCAUCUUAAUUAUUUCCCUCAUAACUUUACGUGUGAACUGUCAUUGUUUCAUUUGUUUUUCUUGUUCAAUGCCUUCUUUUUUUUUCCUUUGACAUGGUUUUCCUUUUUGCCUUUUAUCUUGAACAGCAUCUCAUAGUAUGCCGCCUCAAGUUCACAACCAAGGGCAGUCGCUCCCUAACUCAUUGUCCUCUAAUCAGUCUCAAGCACGUCAGCAGUUAUCACAGAACAUGCAGAAUAGUAUGUCAUCUAAUGGAGUUCAAAGUUCUGCUGGUUUACAAUCAGCAAUGCCUUCUGUCUCCGGUUUAACCCAGACUAUCCCAAACACUGUUGGACAGAAUGCUAACAUGCAGAGUAUCUCUGGUGUUUCACAGAACCCAGUGGGGAAUUCAAUGGGACAAGGGAUUCCCCCCAAUAUGUUUGUCAAUUCUCAGAGACAAAUGCCAGGCAGGCAACAGGUUGUUCCUCCACAGCAACAGCAGCAGUCCCAAAAUCCUCAGCAGUAUCUUUAUCAGCAGCAGAUGCAACAUCAGCUUUUAAAGCAGAAGCUUCAACAGGGAAAUCAUCCACACUCACUUGUGCAAUCUCACAUCCACCAGCAGCAGCAGCAAAAUUUGUUACAGCCAAAUCAGUUGCAAUCUUCUCAGCAAUCUGGUUUGCAAACAUCAACUGUUAUGCAGCCUUCAAUGAUGCAAACUGUCUCUGGCCUUCAACAGAACCAACCAUCUUCUGUUCAACAGUCAACACAACCAAUGCACCAGCAACAUCCACAAUCAGUCCUUAGGCAGCAGCAGCAACAACCUCAACAGUCUGCUGGUAUUCAUCAGCAGCAAACACCAAUGAUGCAGCAGCCACUAUUGCCUCCACAACAGCAGCUAAUGGGGCAACAAUCAUNNNNNNNNNNNNNNNNNNNNNNNNNNNNNNNNNNNNNNNNNNNNNNNNNNNNNNNNNNNNNNNNNNNNNNNNNNNNNNNNNNNNNNNNNNNNNNNNNNNNACAGCAGCUAAUGGAGCACAUCAAGUACACUAACAUGUCGCAAAAUCAGUUAAUUGGACAACAAAACAUUGUUGGGGACUUGCAGCAGCAGCAGCAGCAGAGAUUGCUAGGGCAGCAGAAUAACCUUCAAAAUCUGCAGCAGCAGCAGCAGUUAAUGGCUCAACAAAAUAACCUCUCAAGCAUGCAUCAGCAACAGUUGGCCCCUCAAAGUAAUGUCACUGGUUUACAGCAACAGCAGUUGCAUGGAGCUCAGCCUGGUAACUCAAGCAUGCAAUCUAAUCAGCACUCUCUACACAUGCUGCAACAGCCCAAGGU
rnacentral:lncRNA from 1 species